UGGACACUUUUCAAGAAUUAUAACAACAAAAUCAGUGGAUUCCGGUUCACUGCUUUGGUUUCCUAAGUAGACAUGAAGAAUGGUGUUCUCGUCUGGAGUCAAUAACUGAUCAAGGCGGGUUUGAUAAUUCUCAAAGGGACCGAUAUCGCCUUCAGCUGCAGCUUUGAACAAGACAGGAUCCAUAUAGGUCGUCAUACUAUGUUGUAGCUUAGAGAAACUAACUAAAUGAAAAGUAAACACAUGAAGGGGAGGCGAAAUUAACCACUGUGGCUCAAAGGCAAGAGGUUCCACUCCUCAACUGAUCACAAGCUGCUGAUUUCUUCGGUAUUUAAAGGAAGAAAAAGCGUUCAGAACCACAAAUUACAUUUAUUUUCCUUUUUGAUAUUUUGUCGCAAUAUCUUUUCUUUUGCCCUGCCGGAAAGUUAUAUCUGUUUUAUCAAGAUAAUAAGAAAAUAAAAAAUAAAUUGUUUGGCUCAUCCAUCAUUAUUAGUGAACUUGGACUCGUCUAUGUCUAUGUGUAUCCACGUCACUUUUGUCACCCAAAUACCUUUCUUUCGGUUCCAUGUUAUGAUGGGCACAUUAUCCACGUCACCUCUCUCUCUCUCUCUCUCACUUCAUUUUUUCUUUUCUUCGCAUAUUUAAUUUCUUUUUUUUUUUGUUGCAAUCUAUCUGUGCAUAUUUAUCUAACCCAUAAUUCUAACUCUUAUAUAAUUCUUUGUUUAUAUCACUCUAACAUUUAUUUUUUCUUUUUUCUCCUCUCUCUGUUAUUUUCUCUAAUUUAUACACCAUUUGCUAUACACAGGAACAAAAAAAUGAAAAGGCAAAAAAGUGUGAUUAAUUGUAUUAAAACACCAUUUCCUAUACACUUAUACUAGAAUAGUUUUUCUCAUGUUCUUUAUAUUUCUUUUUGUACUUAUCUUCAUGUAUAUGAACUUUUCAAAUAAUUAUUCCAAUAAAAAAUUUAUAUUUUUGUUAGGAUACAUUAUAAUUUAUUAAAUAAUCAUUUCAAUUUAAGAAUUCAAGUUAUUGAAAUUCGUAACUCUUGACAACUAAAUUUUAAUAACAUAUAUAAAAAAAAACAACAAUUAAAUUCAAGAGCUCAAUUACGGCAGCUCCCUCUUUUCAAUACGAAUUAGUAUAAAAACGCUUACAAGUCUAGCUAGUACUUGGAUUAAUUAGCCAAAAGUACCUCCUGUCAACGGCCACUGUCAAGAAACAACAGUCAUGCAAGAUGAUUUCCUCUGAUGUUGCAUCAUGCUGCAGUAAAAAAGCAACAGCGCCCAUUCAAGAAUCAUCAAACUUCUCUAAACCAGCUAUUCACUCCACACACAAAAAAAAAAAAAAAAAAAAAAAAAAACAAACAAACAGUUCUUCAUAUUUAAGGCCUUAUUUGAAAACCGGGUCAAUCCAUGUUUUUAAAAAAUUUAAAUUUAUAAUAUUUAAGUUUUUUUUUGCUUAUCAUAAAAGACAAUAGAGAUGAAAUGCUUUCUAUCGUAAUAGGUGACAAAUGCUCAAAUGUGAAUAAAUCACUUGUCCGCCUAAUUAUUUUUUAGGACAAUAAGAAGUUUUCAAAAAGCAUUUAUUGUUAAUUCCCUCAGCAUAACUUCCUAGCAAUGCAAAGGAUUCUGAAACACAGAAUAAAAGGAAAGGAUUACCAUGCUGACACUCUUUUUUUUUUUUAAAAAAAAAAAACCUGAUACUUAGACACUUUUAUAUAUUAAAGCACCUCCCUACAUCGGACGUGAAAUAAAAACACACACAUAUGUGCAAGUGUAUGCACACCUCCGCGCCCACACGUAAACUAAAUCAAUAUAAAUAUUGGAUGUACAUUCAUAAAAACAUUAUUUAGCAAAUGAAACUAAAACAUUUUAUCACAAUUUAAAAAACAAUUGUGAGUAUUUUUUUUUCCUUCUUUUAUAAGUAGAGAAUAUUGAUACUUUAACAAUAGUGUUGAUAUCUAAGUAUUGUAAGUAAAGAAUUUAUAUAUAUAUAUAUAGAGAGAGAGAGAGAGAAUAUUGAUACUUUAACACAUAUAUAUCAAAGUAUCUCUCGUUAUACUAAUAAUUUUCAGACAUGAAAAAGUUAAUCAAACACAUUACCUGUAAUCUAAAACUUGUGAGGAAAGUACUAUGGCAAUAAUACUUUCCCCACAUUUUCCCACAUGUUUUGUGACUCUAAAAAAUACAUCUUUUUUUUGUUUUUAUUUUUUUCAAUCAAUGUUUUUUUUUUUUAAUUUUAUCAUUUUAUAUUAGAUUUUUUAUUGGGUUAUCUCACUCUCAAGACAUGGAUUGCAGGUGUCGCACGUGUGCGGCGGCGCGGCGAUCAUCCACCCUCAAGGAAAAAUCGGAAUAUUUAUUCUUGGAAAAUAGGGAGAGACAAGGAAUUCUUGUCUCUACAAGUGAAAAUAUGGACUGGGAGUCGCCACCUAGUGUUCUAGUUACUAGGAACCUUAACUGGUCUUUAGAGAUCGGGUACGGAGACUGGUUGCGUAAAGGGAAGGUAUUAGCACCCCAACUACGCCCUACCUAAGGUAAGCUGCAUUGUUUUAAUGUCUGAUAAAAUCUAAGGUCGUGUUGUGGUUUUUUAUUGUUCGGAAUACGCAUUACAUGUAAUGUCAUACCCCAGGUUCUAUUGUCCAAAAAAAAAAGAAUUAAAUAUCCGGAAUAUGUAUUACGUGUAAAGUCAUACCCCGGAUACUAAGAGACAAACAAAAUAAAAUUUUUGUUGUUUUUGAAAUAUUGGCCAAUAUUCUCUUGACUUUAAUAAACUGGUUAUUAAAGCCAAAAUGCAUGCUAAAACAUUUUGUUUUGGUGUAUGAAAAAAUACAACAUAAAUUUUUAGCUUUGAGACACUUGGCCGUAUGCACAAAAACAUUUUUUUUUUUAAUUGUUUUGUAUUUUGUGGAAGUUUUUGACGAAAACCGGGUAUUUAAAAAUCAGAUUUUUGUAUUUUUAACAACAUCAAAAAAUACCACCAAAUAUUAAUCAAAAUGACAUAAAAAUUACGCGGAAAAAUUAGAAAAUGCUGAAACAAAUAUUUUUUUGAUUUUUUUCUUUGAAAUGGGCCGGAUCAGGCCCAAAUAUAUGGGUUGGGCCGAACCUGGCCCAAAGAAUGGGCUGGUACUGUGCACAUAGUAACCGGGGUUACUGUGUGUACAGUAACCAGAGAAUUAAUCUGCGGGUUACUGUGCACAUGCACAGUAACCGUGAAUUAAUUAGCGAGUUACUUUGCACAGCACAAUAACUCGCUAAUUAAUCUACAUGCGGAACAAAAAAAACGACGGGAAAGGCUACCUGCGGUGGUGAUGUUGGACUCUCUUCUCUGCUUCUUCUUCUUCUGCUUUCUUCUCUCUGUCUCUCCCUUCUCUUCUCUUCUCCUCUCUUUUCUUCCUCCUUUCUUCAGUGAUUGUCACCGGCUAUUUAUAGCCAGUGAACAGUAACGUAAGAGUUGAUUUCUGCCUAAAUUGUUGCCUAAUUGUAAGAAAAAACAUCCCUGCCUAACAUUGCCUAACAUGCCUAAUAUGACAAAAAAAUUUGUUUUAUUAUAUAUAAUAAUAAAUAUUUAUAUAGGUAAAAUUAAAAACUCAAAUCAGUAUUAGAAAAAGCCCGACUCAAACGCUAAAAAUCAAUUUUAAUUACCGAAAAUUAUGUCGAAACAUAAAAAACUUUCAGUGGGUAUCAACCCGGUGAACCGGGUUUUGACCACAAAAUAACAGUUUUGACCCAAAAUGACCUGAAACUCAUUUUUCAUCCCGGUCGACAUGGUUAGACCCGUAUCGACCCGGUGAACUCGGUUUUGAUGGAAAGAUGCGGUUGACUCGAGAAAAAAAUAUUCUUUUGAAUUUUAAACUUUUUUUAUUUUUUGGAUUUUUAUAAAUAAUAAUAGAAAUAAAAUAACAUUCAAGAAAAACUUGGUGAAUCCAAAAUUGGGUUACAACAAUGGGGACCCAAAAAUGGGUUACAAUAGUUGCCCCCCUCUUUACAAUGCUUACGGAGCAAAGAUUUGUGCAUAGUAAGUGUUGUAAAGAAAAAAUAACAUUGGUCUUCCGAAACUGGUCAUCUCAAAAUUUGAUUGACCUAAAACUUCAACCGGACCCAAAGUCCUGUGUAUGGUUGGGCUAAACUGAGAUUCCUUUCGCCAAUCCCCUUUAACCCGAAAAAAAGGAAAGAAUGUGAAGUGUAGUCUCAUUGUAAUGGGUGACCUACCCAGAUAUAAAACAUGGAGAAUUGGUCGCAUUGUAAUGGGUGACCUACCUAGAAAAAUGUUGGUGAGGGCUCAAAGGCGCACUUAAAAGGAGGUAGGGUUACAAAACGCUCUACCUGAAUGGUGGUGGCUCAAAGGCACACUUGGAAUGAGUUGAGGGCUCAAAGGCACACUUAAAAGGAGGUAGGGUUAGAAAACGCACUACCUAAGGGAUGAGGGCUCAAAGGCGCACUCAAUAAUGAAGGUGAGGGCUCAAAGGCGCACUCAAAAUGGAGGUAAGGGCUCAAAGGCGCACUCAAAAGGAGGUAGGGUUAGAAAACGCACUACCAAAGGGAUGAGGGCUCAAAGGCGCACUCAAAAUGGAGGUGAGGGCUCAAAGGCGCACUCAAAAGGAGGUAGGGUUAAAAAACGCACUACCCAAGGGAUGAGGGCUUAAAGGCGCACUCAAAAUAGAGGUGAGGGCUCAAAGGCGCGCUCAAAAGGAGUUGAGGGCUCAAAGGCGCACUCAAAAGGAGGUAGGGUUAGAAAACGCACUACCAAAGGGAUGAGGGCUCAAAGGCGCACUCAAAAUGGAGGUGAGGGCUCAAAGGCGCACUCAAACGGAGGUAGGGUUAUAAAACGCACUACCUAAAAGUGAUGUUGAAACAAUGAUUGUCAAUGUUGAAAAGCAAAUGCAUUAUGAUUGAUAUGCAUGUAUACUUACCUGAGAAAUAUAGGCCCCCAUUUCUUCAUGGUGUCUUUCUUUUCUCUCAAAAGUUGUAGUAUUGGUAGUAAACUUCGAUGGCUUUUCCACUUUUGCUUACUCGGGUUACAUCUUGUGAUCUUGACCUCUGGGAAGGGUUUGAUGUCAUCAUACAUCUUUGUCCUUCACCCAUUAUCUCAAGAGUUACCAAUUUUGCCCGACAUUUUCCUUAGAACAGGAAUCAUGGAGCCAGCCCUACCAUGUGUUUUUGAUUGCCCCCCAGCUUGAUCAUGCCCCCCAAGUGUUCAACUUGGGUUUAGUUUGGGGUGAGGAUAUGUGAAAGUGGGUUUUUUGGUACAAUGAAAUGUUUUCAUGCAAAAUUUUUGGAACGUCCAAGUUAUUCCAAUCACAAAAAUGAUUUUGACAUUGGUUCAAAAUAAACUUGUUCUAAAAAAUUCAAGUGAUUCCUAUGGACAGGUUUCUUGAAGUGAUGAAAGCUUUUUGCUUUUGGUUUAAAGAUGAAGUGACAUCUGGUUGGUCACAAAAGGUUUAAAUUUCAAUUUGAGGGUUAUUGAGAACCGAAUUGAUUCAAAGCAUUUAUUUUAUUUGCAUGAAUAAUGAUUUGACCCGCACGAGAAAGCACUGCCUACCUAUCCAGAUUGCUUGCCUUUGAUCAGAAAGGGCUUUAUCAGGUAUAUAAUGUAGGCUUUGGCUAUUGGUUACGAAGAAAAUGGAUAUGUUGCAGGCUCAAAAAGUGUUUAAGGGAUUUCAAAAACUAGGGAUCACUUGUGCUUGUUUCCUGACCUUUGUCUUUUGGAUUUGUUUUUUUUUUUUUUUUUCAAAAUGAUUUGUCCUGCCCCCCAGUGUCGGGUUUGGGCUUUUCUCUUUGUUUUCUUCGUUUUUGUUUCGUUGAGAACAAUCAUAUCAGUUGUUUUUAUGAGAAGCUCAAAUCUUUUAACCAAUCGCAGUAUUUAUCUUCACUGUUUCAUUUGGAUGAUAAUGAAAGAAGAAACAUUACAUGAUCAAUUCCAACACCCAUCUUCACUGCUUUGUCUGGAUGGUAAAAACAACAAACUCUCUUAUUUUGCCCCCCAGUGUGGGGUGUGAUCCUAGUCAAGGUUAUUUCCAAAAAACGCUACUAGGCUCAACAUGGGACUGCAAAGGAUAUAUUUCAGUCUUGUGAAAGGAUUAUCAAAGAUGGCCUUUCCUCAUCUCAAAUGCACUGCAGUGAGGAUCGAUAGGUCUUGCUUUCAUGCGCGUAUGCAAAGUGAUUUAUUCAGUCAAAUAAAACUCAGCUUUUGAGUCACCUCAUAGUGUUGUUUGUCUUUAUUGUCUUUUUUUCUUUCAAGUUUUCUAGGUAUAUGUGUACCUAUUUAAGGAAUCACUUGAAUUUUCAAAAUGCAUUUGUUUUGGACAAAUAUCAACACGAUUUGCUCAAAAUGUUAUUUACAUGUAAUAACAACAAAGAAGAGUGUGAUGUGAACACAAGAAAACACAUGAUCUUAUUUCACAAGAGAAGCUCAUUAACAGAGAGUCUUAUUCAAAAGCAUUAACAAAAUGAAAUAACAAGGCAGGCUUCAUUCCUCUAUUUUGGCGAAUCUGUUCAUAGGCUAAACUUUUCUCAAAAGGUCUGCGUAGAGGACUCAAAGACAAUGCGGAACAACACCACGGUCAAAAAUUCAAGCUAUCAUGCUGGACCAUUGAUGCUUUCCAAUUCCCCAAACAUUCCAUCCUAAUAUGCUUCAAGCAUGAUUAGGCAGCGGGUUCGUAUUCACAUUGGGGGUGUCUUCCAACUCUAUCCAACCAGCCUUGAUUAAUUGCAGAAGCUUUCUCUUGAAGGCGUUGCAGGUAUAGAUGCUAUGCCCAGUAAUACCGGUAUGGUAUUCACAUUUGAGUUCUGGUUUGUACCAAUUAGGAUAAGGUGGCUGCAGAGGUGUUAGAGGUUCUGGAGCUAUUUGCCCAAUGCUCAAUAGCUUUUGAUACAUCUCAUUCAGGGGUAACGGUAGUGGAGGCAGUUGUUCUUGAACCCUUUGGAAAUUUCCAAUUUGGCUUUUGGCUUGAAAGUUUUGGGGUUUAGGUUUUUGGAUGUUGGCAAUUUGGGAUGGAGUAUGGUAAUUUUGGGAUGUAUUAUUUUUACCCAUGUAGCCAUCUUCAACAUGGUGAACCUCUUUUCUUUCGAAGCCUCUUUUCUCGGUUGGUGCAUAAAUUCUACCACUCUUGACAUCUUGCUCUAUGCGUUCACACACUAUCACGGCAUCAGUGAAUUGUUGGGCUGAACUACCCAUCAUAUGUUCGUAAUAUGGUGCUUUGAGUGUGUUGGCAAAUAAAGAGACCAUCUCUUUGUCCAGAAGUGGGGGAUGUACUUGAGCAGCUAAUUCUCGCCAUCUUUGAGCAUAUUCCCUUAUGCUUUCUUUAUCCUUUUUCUCUAUAUUGGACAAACUGGUUCUGUCGGGCGCAAUGUCCAUGUUGUAUUUGUAUUGCUUGACGAAAGCAUCCACAAGAUUUUUCCAGUUGCGAAUUUUUGUGUUAUCCAAUCUCAUGUACCAACUCAAAGUUGCCCCACUUAAACUGUCUUGGAAAAAGUGCAUUAGUAGUUUUUCAUCAUGUACUACCUCAGCCAUUUUAUUGCAGUAGGACCUGAGAUGAGUCAUGGGGCAUUGUGUUCCAUUGUAUUUGAUGAAUUCAGGAACACAAAAUUUCUUUGGGAUAACCACGUUUGGGACCAAACACAUCUCUGCUGCCCGUACCGGGUCAUAUAAGUCUACCCCUUCAAUGGCUUUGAGUCUGGCUUCCAGCGCCUCUAUCUUAGCUUGAUCAAUGCUAUCAGAUGACUUAGCCUUGUGGGACUCAUUAGCAGAUGCCUUCACAACUGUUGGGGAUGGUGCAGGUGUCGUUGACUGCACAAAUGUUGGAUUUUGCUGAGGUUCUUGACCAUGUUCGCUCAUUCUUUCCUCAGGCUGAACUGAAGUAGGAGCCGGAUCAAAGGUGAUCGGUUGAUUAGAAGGACCUUCAUCAGAGGUAUUUCUUAGUGUUUGCUUGAGUAAGCUAGUGAGGUGAGCCACACUUAUUUUCAGAGACUCCAACUCGUCGUGCAAAUAGGCCUCACGUUGAGCACGUUCUUCAUCUUCCAUGUUUCUUGCUCGAAGUCGGGUGUUGUAGACUUUUUGGGGACCUAUAUUUCAAUCUGACAUGUAUGCAUGUUAAAUGUAUGAACAUGUAAUCUAUAUGACGAACUCGCCCUUCGAGGGGUGACAUAUGGUCGCAACUCUUGUAUGAUGAAACAAGAAUCUUGAUUCUUGCACAAACUCUACAAUGAAAAUUUUCUGAGCGACGGUCAUUGUGUCACCCAUAAGUCUGGAGUUCAAGAUGCUUCAAGAAGGGCUUGCUCGGAUGCAAAACAAUGUAUACGGAGCAUACAUCCUAAAAGCAGGUUCUAAUCUUUUUAAGUGAGACAAAAGGUAGGUUUACUAUUUGGUCUCUAAAAAAGGACUCUCGUUGUCCCAGUGAUCGCCCUCGUGGAGGCAAUAUGGGGGCUUGUAGGCAGUGAGAUGGCACGUGUCCAACUAUUACCAGUCUAAGCACUCAACGAAGAGUUGGGGUUUACACAAACUUAAACCUUGACUAAAAGUCAUAAGGUAAGCUGCUAGUUCCCCCCUAACCUGAAGCUUGUGUGUGCUUUAAAAAAAUUAACUAUGUGAUGCAUGAGAUAAAUAUGUACAAAAAUUAAAGCGCACAACUAAAUAUGAACAAAUAUAUAAAGAAAAUGCAUAUUUAAAAAUAAAAAUGCAAACCACAACAAUAAAACACAAUCAACAGACAAAACAAAGCUUAGUCCACAAAGUCCCCAGUGGAGUCGCCAUUCUGUCGCACGUGUGCGGCGGCGCGGCGAUCAUCUUCCCUCAAGGAAAAAUCGGAAUAUUUAUUCUUGGAAAAUAGGGAGAGACAAGGAAUUCUUGUCUCUACAAGUGAAAAUAUAGACUGGGAGUCGCCACCUAGUGUUCUAGUUACUAGGAACCUUAACUGGUCUUUAGAGAUCGGGUACGGAGACUGGUUGCGUAAAGGGAAGGUAUUAGCACCUCAACUACGCCCUACCUAAGGUAGCUGCAUUGUUUUAAUGUCUGAUAAAAUCUAAGGUCGUGUUGUGUUUUUUAUUGUUCGGAAUACGCAUUACAUGUAAUGUCAUACCCCAGGUUCUAUUGUCCAAAAAAAAAGAAUUAAAUAUCCGGAAUAUGCAUUACGUGUAAAGUCAUACCCCGGAUACUAAGAGACAAACAAAAUAAAAUUUUUGUUGUUUUUGAAAUAUUGGCCAAUAUUCUCUUGACUUUAAUAAACUGGUUAUUAAAGCCAAAAUGCAUGCUAAAACAUUUUUUUUGGUGUAUGAAAAAAUACAAUAAAUUUUUAGCUUUGAGACACUUGGCCGUAUGCACAAAAACAUUUUUUUUUUUAAUUUUUUUUGUAUUUUGUGGAAGUUUUUGACGAAAACCGGGUAUUUAAAAAUCAGAUUUUUGUAUUUUUAACAACAUAAAAAAAUACCACCAAAUAUUAAUCAAAAUGACAUAAAAAUUACGCGGAAAAAUUAUAAAAUGCUGAAACAAAUAUUUUUGAUUUUUUUCUUUGAAAUGGGCCGGAUCAGGCCCAAAUAUAUGGGCUGGGCCGAACCUGGCCCAAAGAAUGGGCUGGUUACUGUGCACAUAGUAACCGGGUUACUGUGUGUACAGUAACCAGAGAAUUAAUCUGCGGGUUACUGUGCACAUGCACAGUAACCGUGAAUUAAUUAGCGAGUUACUUGCACAGCACAUAACUCGCUAAUUAAUCUUACAUGCGGAACAAAAAAAACGACAGGAAAGGCUACCUGCAGUGGUGAUGUUGGACUCUCUUCUCUGCUUCUUCUUCUUCUGCUUUCUUCUCUCUGUCUCUCCCUUCUCUUCUCUUCUCCUCUCUUUUCUUCCCCCUUUCUUCAGUGAUUGUCUAAAAAUCAAUUUUAAUUACCGAAAAUUAUGUCGAAACAUAAAAAACUUUCAGUGGGUAUCAACCCGCUGAACCGGGUUUUGACCACAAAAUAACAGUUUUGACCCAAAAUGACCUGAAACUCAUUUUUCAUCCCGGUCGACAUGGUUAGACCCGUAUCGACCCGGUGAACUCGGUUUUGAUGGAAAGAUGCGGUUGACUCGAGAAAAAAAUAUUCUUUUGAAUUUUAAACUUUUUUUAUUUUUGGGAUUUUUAUAAAUAAUAAUAGAAAUAAAAUAACAUUCAAGAAAAACUUGGUGAAUCCAAAAUUGGGUUACAACAAUGGGAAUCCAAAAAUGGGUUACAACAGCGGGUACGGCGAAUUAAACUAGUUGGCUGGGGUUUUAUUCUAUUUUAUUUUAUUUUCAAUUUUAUCAUUCAAUAUUGGUUUUAAUAAAGAAUUAGGUUUCAUGAUUUAUUUUAUUUGCUUUCUAUUAGGUUAAUCUGGUUUCAUGACCCGAAAAUAGUUUUUAAUAGAUUAAUCUCAAGUUAACUCAGGUUAUUUUUUAUGUUUUUUGUUUAAUUGAAUUUCUUUUCAAUUUUAUCAUUGAAUAUUAGGUCGGUUGGAAAUUGAGCUUUCAUAAUUUAUUCUGAUUUCUUUUCUACUAGGAUAUUUUGGUAUCAUGAUCAGUGUUGUGGGUUUUGGUAUUUUAACCUCGGUUAAAUCAUGUUGUUAUUUUUUUAUUUUCUUUCAAGAGGUUAUCUUGAUCUCAUGUCCUUCAACAUUAUAUUUGUUUUUUUAUUGGGUUGUCCAUGUUUUAUGAUCUAAGUUGCGUGUUUGACAAAUUAAUCCAGUUGACUCAGUUUUUUAUAACUAAUUUUUUUCUCAAUUUUAUCAUUUAAUAUUGUGUUUGAUUGAGAAUUAAACUUCAUUAUUUAUUUUGAUUUGAUUUUAUGGGAUUAUUUCAGCUUAAUGACUCGGGAAUAAUACUUAACGGGUUAACAUAUAUUAACUUAGCUCUUUUUUUAAUUAAAAUUUUUACAAAUUUCAUCAUUUAACCCUAGGUCCGAUAGAAUCGAUUAAAAAUUAAGCUUCAUAAUUUUUUUUUCAUUUACUUUUUAUUGGGUUAUAUCAACCUCAUGACUAGAUUUAUAAAUUUGAUAGGUUAAUCUAAUAACUUAAAUCAAGUUUUUUUUUUUUAAGGUCAUCUUAAUUUUUUUAUUUUAGUCAUGAGUUUUACUUGUAUCAUUGUUAUUUUUCCCCUCCCGUGCAGUUCAAUGGCAAGCUGGGGUUGUGUUUUUUGGGCAUGGGAUUUGCUUACAUUUUGAUCCUCCAUGCAGACGGCAGGAUGUCACUGUCAUAAAAAACUAAAUUUGCUUCUUCUUUUUUUUUUAGCUUAUCAUAAAAGACAAUAAAGAUGAAAUGCUUUCUAUCAUAAUAGGUUAUUACCUGCCUUUUUUUAAUGUUGUCUAUGCUCUUGAACUUGAUAAAUGCUCAAAUGUGAAAUCAAUUGUUUUUUGGGACAAUAAUAGAUGACAUGCUUUCUAUCCUAAUUGUUUUUUGGGACAAUAAGAAGUUUUCAAAAAAUAUAUAUUGUUAAUUCCCUUAGCAUAACUUCCUAGCAGGGCAAAGGAUUUUGAAAAAGAAAAAGGAAAUGAAGACCAUGCUGCCACUUUUUUUUAUAUCUUUUUUUUUUUUGAAUAUUUAGACACUUAUAUAUAUCAAAGUAUCUCUUUACAUCAAUAUUUAUCAGACUUAAAAAGUGAAUUAAAAACACUCAUAUAUGUGCAAGUAUAUAAACACAUCUAAACACAUAAACUAAAUCAACAUUUUACUUAUUAGGAAUUAAAUUUUAUAAUUUAUUUUAAUUUUUUUGGUGAGGUUAUCUCAGUCUUAUAAUCUAAAUUGCAAGUUUGACAGAUUAACUUGGGUUGUUUUUUUAAGUCUUUUUUUAAUUGAUUUUGUUUUUAAUUUCAUUCUUUAACUUUGAGUUGAUUGAAAAUUAAGCUUUAUAAUUUGUUUUCCAUGGAGUUAUCAUAGUCUCAUAACCCAAGUCACAGAUUUGACAUAUUAACUUAAGUUGAUCGAAGUCAGUCUAAUAUAUUGUUAUCUUAAUAUUUUUUUUUAAAAAAAAUCAUCUUGAAUUAUUUUUAAUCAAAUUAUGUUUUUAUUGGUCAUUUGAAUUACUUUUAGACCUUCAAAGUCAAUCAUGUCAUAUUGAGUCAAUACCCACACAAUUUAAAUUUCUUUUCCACUAAAAUAUACAUUAGCAACAUCUAAAUAUUUUUUUAUGUUCAAGAAAAAUUUGAUCCAACCCACGUAGCUAGUGCGGGUCAAUAAUCUAGCACACGCAAUAAACUAAAACAAUAUCUCACUAUACAUGUACAUGCAUUCAUAAAACACUAUUAAGAGAAUCAAACUAAAAAAUUCUAUCACAAAUUGUUUUAAAAUUCUUUAUUUUCUAUUUGUAACAAACAAUUUAUUCCAAAUAAUGAAUUUUUUUUAAAAAAAAUACAACUGAAUUUUAUUUGAUAGCAAAUCAAGGACUGAUUAUUUUAGUUGUAAAUCAAGUUCAUAAAUUUUAGCUUAAAUUUUAAUUUUUUUGUUUAAUUAUUGAAAAAUUAUUGUUAUUGUUAUUGUUAUUGUUAUUGUUAUUGUUAUUGUCAUAUGAAAAUAUACUUACUAUGAUAUUAAAUAUUAAUAACUAUCUAAUUAGGAAAAAUUAAUUAUUCAUAGUAAAUACAAAUUUAAUAUCAUUAUAUAUAUAUAUAAACAAAUUCCAAAUUUUCAUUACUGUGAAAAAAAUCAGAUUUUUGUGAACAUUUGUUUGUAGUAUAUGCUGGAUUAAUCAAUAUUUUAUUGAUUAAUUUAUUAAUCAAAUUCAUUAAUAUGGAAUCCUAUCACUCUAAGAUUAUAUAAAUUAUAUAAAUGCAAUUAUUGAUUAAUUUAUAAUUUAUAAUUUUUAUUUUAAUUUUUUUAAUUUUUUUCUUUGUUUUCUUAUCAUAAAAAACACUGGAGAUGAAAAGUUUACAAAAACAUUUUAUUGUUAAUUCCCUCUUCUAAAACAUAACUUGCUAGCAAGGCAAAGGAUUUUGGAAUACAAAAGUGAAAAGGAAAGGAUGACUAUGCUAGCACUUCUUCCUUUUUUUAAUGUUUUUUCUAAUACUUAGACACUCGUAUGCAUCAAAGUAUCUCGCUACAUUAAUUAAUAGUUAUUAAACUUAAAAAGUGAAUAAAAAAAACACAUAUAUGAAAUUUUAUUUGAUAACAAAUCUGGGAUUGAUUGUUUUAGUUUGAAAUUUUUUUCAAACAAAUUCCAAAUUUGCAUUAUUUUGAAAAAAAAUCAGAUUUUUGUAAACAUUUGUUUGUAGUAUAUGCUGGAUUAAUCAAUAUUUUAUUGAUUAAUUUAUUAAUCAAAUUCAUGAAUAUGGAAUAAUAUCAAUCUAAGAUUAUAUAAAUUAUAUAAAUGCAAUUAUUGAUUAAUUUAUAAUUUUUAUGUUUUUUUUUAAGUUUUUUCUUUGUUUUCUUAUCAUAAAAAACACUAGAGAUGAAAAGUUUACAAAAACAUUUUAUUGUUAAUUCCCUCUUCUAAAACAUAACUUGCUAGCAAGGCAAAGGAUUUUGGAACACAAAGGUUAAAGGAAAGGAUGACUAUGCUAGCACUUCUUCCUUUUUUAAUGUUUUUUUUUCUAAUACUUAGACACUACAUUAAUAGUUAUUGAACUUAAAAAGUGAAUAAAAAACACAAAUAUAUGAAAUUUCAUUUGAUAGCAAAUCUUGGAUUGAUUGUUUUAGUUUGAAAUCUUUUUCACAAAUUUUAGCUAAAAUUUAAAAUUUUUGUCUUAUUAUUAUUAUAACCCAAUUUUUUAAUUUAAAAAAAAUGAAUGGAUAAAAAAAUAAUUUGAGAUUUAGGUUAGGACAACACAAAUUGAAAGUUUGAGGAUUAAUAAUGAUGAAAUUAUAAAUUUGGCAGUCAAUGUGUAAAAAAAUAGAAGAAUUAAUAUGUUUGGGGACUUAAAUAAACUUUUAUUUAAUUAAUUAAUGCAAUCAAGGGCUUAAUUGAAGAAAUAUCAAAGUUUGAGGCUGAUUUGAGUCACAAUUACUAGCAAUUAAAGUUCUAGAAUCAAAGUGAAUAGCCAGUGAUACUAUGGGGGUGUUAAUUGAUUUUUUCAGGGGUAAUUUUGAUUGAAUUAAAAGUUAAAGAGUCAAUUGAAGAGUGAAUUGAUUAAAUUAGAAAUCAAGUACUGUUUUGUAAAUGGCUUUGAAACUUAGGAGUUGAAUUGCAAUUUGAUCCAAGGGUAACAUUAAGAAAAGAAAAAAGAGAUUUUUCUUGAUUAAAGACCCAAUUGUUAAGUGUCAGAAAUUUAAGGGUUAAAUUGAAAAUAAUCAUUUUGAGUGAAAUGAUGUCGUUUUCUACCUUGUUCAUUAUCUGUUCUUCCUCUUGAAGACCUGAUCAACAAGAAACACAACUAAAAAAAAUCACGGACCACGAUGCCAAUAUCCCCACCCACACGAUGAAUUAUGUCUAUCGCAACUGGCUUGUAACUCGUAAGAAUGUGAGCCUUGGGCUUGGUUGAGGCGGAUAUGUGGCAAUUACAUAUUCCCGGUUCAACUCUGAGAACCAUUGUAACGCAAACAUAAGAAAUCAAUUAGCUAAUGUGUUCAUAAAAAACAAAUAUAAAACUUUGGUACAAGGACCACAUGCAAUCGACUUUUAUAAUCGGUUAAUAAGCGUUAUUCUCCUUAAAAUAAUGAUAAAAUAUAAUUUCUAAAUCUUUAUUAAAAAGCUUAAUUUCUCAAAUAUUGAGAGAAUCAUAUAUAUAGUUACUACAUAUCGAGAAUUUAAAAAUUUCUAUGUAAAUAUAUACUAUAUAUAUAUAAAAAACUAAAGUAUUAAUAAAUUAAUUUUAUAUUUUUUUAGUUUUAAGCACUCGAAUUCUCUAUAAAUAAAAAUAGAUAAUUGAAAGCUUGUUAUUUAAUGGUAUAAAAUAAAAGAAUAAAAAAAAAACUUGAUUUCACAUCAUUCAUCCAAAUCUGACUAAUGCUUUAAGACCUAGCCAAUAUCUUAGAUUGCCCGGUUACGGGUUAAAAGGUCUCUCAUAAGAUUAUUAGAUUUUUAUGGCCUCAAAAGGCCAGAGUAAUUAGAUUAUCUUGAAAGGGCAGGCAUGAAUUUGACUUCACAAAUGAUUUCUUUUUUCUAGAGAAAUUAACAAUAAUUUAAUGAAGGACAACUUACCUGACUUUACAUCAUCUUCUCUAUAGUCUCAUGGCCAGAAAGUUGUCCUCCUCAUCCAAUAUUAAUAAUCUUAAAAUAAAAUUUAUGAAUUAAAUAUGCCAUUUUUAUUUUAAGAUUAAGAAUUCUUUAAGAAUUUGGACUCAUUUUCAAGCAAGUUAAGAAUUCUUUAAUUAAUAAUUCCUAAUUAUAAAGGGAUCUGCAUUGAUUUUUUGGAGUCAUUUUUACUCUCUUAAACUGUAGUAAGGUUUCUUAAUUAGGUGGCGAGAAAUCUGUCUGAAUUCGUUAUUUAUUCUAAUAAAAUAGCAUGCAAUUUAGUCUUUCUUAACCAAGUUGCAAAUUGGCUCUGAAUUUUCUAAACUUUUUGGCGUUGUCCAUCCUUCUUCGUAUUAUAAACUAGUUAUUUGACUCAGAGACUAUCACGUUCAUAAUCACUCUAUUUCCUAUUUAACUCUUUAAAAGGCCAGAAAAAAGCUCAGUUGUUGGGCCCACUGCCCAACAUGCCUGGCCAUUAUAAAAAAAGCUUAAGCAUGUGGGUGGGCCUUCAAGCCCAGCCCCGCAUGCUUGGGCUUUGUUUUAUUUUUUUUAUAUAUAAAAAAAAAAACAUAAACAUACAUUUUGUCUACAAAUCUGGAUUCCGGACACUAAAAUAGUAACUGGAAAAUCACGUCUUUUUUGGUAAAAAAAACUACACCUUAUCAACAUCAGGGCAACACCUUUUUUGGUUUUUUUUUUUUAAAAAAAAUACCUCUAUUUUAAGAUAUCAUAGCCCCAAAACACCUUACAAACAUCUUUAUAGCACCCGAAAAUUAUUCCAUCAACUUCAAAUACCCAAAAAAAUAGCCCAAAAAUCUAAAGUCAAAUCGGUUUAGUUUUAGUUUUCUUGGUUUAGAUCUGGAAUUUUACGCACCAUUAAAGCUCUAAACAACCAUCAUGAAACUCCUCUCAUAUCUGAGAACCCGUGGACACCAAUAAAAUCCAUUUUGGUGGUCGAAAAUGGAGUGAACAAUGACUUUAUCUCUUAUAAUUAGAAUCUGGCAACGCUUAUCUCUCUCUUCUCUGUAACCUUAGACUGAAAAAUAAUACAAAUAAACUUGUGUACCAAAACUAAUUUCAAGAGACCUGAAUUCUAUGAAUGAUUUUAUUUUUAAAGAUCAAAUACCUAAGUAUAUUUUGCUUGAAGUCUCUGGUACAUCAUUCAUGUUUGAUGUCUUUUUUAUUUUAAUCCUUAUUUUUUAAUUUCACUCUUGAUUAAAAAAUUAUAAGUAAUUCGCUUUCAAUUACGAUCAAAUUAUAUAAAAUAAAUUUUGAGACUCAAAAUAAAUUAUUAUAUAAAAAAAUUCAUAAUGUUUUGUGAAUGUAUGAACAAUAUUCAAAUAUAAUAAUAAAAAAAACAAACCACACGGUUUUAGAGUUUGUUAUAAAUCCAUCAUUUAGACUCGAAUCAAAACCUCACAGGAGGACAGAUUCAUUACGGCAUGCACACCAAAAUGGAAUUUCAACGAGAGAGAUAUAUACAGAUGGUUUUUUCUUAUUGGGCAAGUGCAGUGGAAUUACACAUCAUUUAUACGAGUAAUGUGUCGCUGCGAAAAUUUGACAGCAUUCAGGAUAUCACUAGCUAUUUAUUUAAUGUGUUUCUUAUAUUUUAUUAAAAUCUUCAAAGUAAAAAAAUUUAAAAUAUAUAUAUGAUUAUGAUUUAAAAAAACUACCCCAAGGUGGUAGUCUAUAGCCGUAUAUCAACUAGGGGCUUGGGGUUUGCUUCUUCAGAACUCUGGUACUAGAAAAGUUAUCCUUCAUGAACAACAGUGAUUUCAGAAGCUGCUGAUUUCUUCGGUUUUUAAAGGAAGAAAAAGCGUUAAUAACCACAAAUUACAUUUAUUUUCCUUUUUGAUAUUUUGUUGCAAUAUCUUUUCUUUUGCCCUGCUGGAAAGUUAUAUCUGUUUUUAUCAGAACAAUAAAAAAAUAAAAAAUAAAUUGUUUGGCCCAUCCAUCCUUAUAAUUGAGCUUGGACUCGUCCAUAUGUAUCCACGUCACUUUUGUCACUGGAGUCAACCAAUUGCCUCCUUGGUUCCCUCGAAUAUACCGUAUGCAGGUGCUGUUUAUAACAAGCAAAUUCUAUCCUCCCGUACAGUUCAACGGCAAGCUGGGGUUGUGUUUUUGGGCAUGGGAUUUGCUUACAUUUUGAUCCUCCAUGCAGACUGCAAGAUGUCCCUUGGUGAAGCUGCUAAUAUUCAUACUUCGUUAAAAAAACUACAAAUUACAUUACAAACAACACUGUAGUAAUCAAUAUUUAGAAAUAGUGCUUUCUGAAUUUCCAGAUCUCAAUUUUAUUAUAUUCCAUAUUACCUGUAGAAUAAAAGAAAAUACAACUCAUUCUUGAAAUGGUGAUGUUGCUUUUUUACUGCAGAUACAGCAUAGAGAAUAUAUCUGAAUUAGAGGUUUUCAUAGCCAUGCCACAAACUCUUCUGCUUUACAGGUUCCUUGUUUAGCAAGAACAUCUGCACGGUGACUAAUCUCCCUUGGUGUACGUACGAGUGAAGGAUACAGGACCCAAGCAAGAUGAAAAUCUACCUGCUAGGAUGAAAAGAUCAUUAAAGCGCCACGACCUGAUAAGGGGUUUAGUCAUCCAUUGUUUUUGGGGACAAUAAAAAGUUUUUUUAAAAAAACUUUAUUGUUAAUUCCCUCGUCAUAACUUCCUAGGUAAAGGAUUUUGAAACACAAAAGAAAAGGAAAGGAUGACCAUGCUGCCACUUCUUUUUUUUAAAAAAUUAUUUUUAUUUGAUACUUAGACACUUAUAUAUAUUAAAAUAUCUUGCUAUAUCAAUAUUUAUCAUACUUAAAAAGUGAAUUAAACACACACAUACAUGCAAGUGUAUGCACACAUGCUCACACAAAUAUAAACUAAAUCAGCACUUCACUCUAAAUAUUGGAUAUACAUCUAUAAAAUAUUAUUUAUAGCAAAUGAAACUAAAACAUUUUAUCACAAUUUUGAAAGAAAAUAUCUGAGAGUAUUUUUUUCCCUUCUUUUUAUAAGCAGGGAAUAUUGAAACUUUAACACUCAAAUAUAUCAAACUAUCUCACUACAUCAAUAGUUUUCGGACUUUAAAAAAGUUAAUCAAACACAUUGUUAUAAUCUAAAACAUGCAGGUAAAGUAUUAUAGCAAUAGUAAUUUCUCCAAAUGUUUUAGUAUGGCUCUAAAAAAUUCAUUUGCUUUUGAUUUUUUUAUAUAUUUUUUUCAAUCAAUAUUUUAUUUUUUAAUUUUAUCAUUUUAAUAUUAAAUUAUUUUAUUGGAUUAUCUCAUUCUUAAAACAAAUCGCAGGUUUGACGGGUUUUUAAUUUAUUCCAAAUAAUGAAUAUUUUUUGAAAAAUUACAACUGAACUUUAUUUGAUAGCAAAUCUACAACUAAUUAUUUUAGUUGUAAAUCAUGUUCAUAAAUUUUAGCUUAAAUUUUAAUAUUUUUUUAUUAUUGAAAAAUUAUAUUAUUAUUAUUAUUAUUAUAUGAAAAUUCAUUAUUUUUAAAAAAUGGUGAUACUUACUAUGAUAUUAAUUAUUAAUAACUAUCUAAUUACGAAAAUUAACUAUUUCAUACUAAAUAGAAAUUUAUCAUAUAUAUAUAUAUAUAUAUAUAUUGUUAAUUCCCUUGUCUGUCUAAUUAUUUUUUAGGACAAUAAAAAGUUUUCAAAUUUUUUUUAUUGUUAAUUCCCUUGUAUAAAGCAUAACUUGCUAGCAAGGCAUAGGAUUUUGGAAUACAAAAGUGAAAAGGAAAGCAUGACUAUGCUAGCACCUCUUCUUCUUUUCUUUUUUUUUAAUUGUUUCUAAUACUUAGACACUCAUAUACAUCAAAGUAUCUCACUAUAUUAAUAAUUGUUGAACUUAAAAAGUGAAUAAAAAGCAUACAUAUUUUAUUUGAUAACGGGAUUGAUUGUUUUAGUUUGAAAUCUUGUCACAAAUUUUAGCUAUUUAAAAUUGUUGUCUCAUUAUUGAAAAACAUUAUUAUUAUUAUUAUUAUUUUCAUAACCCAAUUUUUGAAUUUUCUAAAAAAAAUUAAUAAAAUAUAAAAGAAAUAACAAGAUAACAAAAUAAAUAAAUGAAUAAAACAAUAAUUUAAAAUUGGGUUAAGACAACACAAAUUGAAAGUUUGAGGAUUAAUAAUGAUGAAAUUAUAAAUUUGAGAGUUAAUUUGAUUAAAAAGUGGACGAAUUAAUAAAUUUAGAGACUUAAUUAAACUUUGAUUUAAUUAAUUAAUGCAAUCAAGGGCUUAAUUGAAGAAAUAUCAUUUUUGGGGUUAAUUUGGGUCGCAAUUGCAAGAAAUUAAAGUACAAGGACUAAAGUUAAUAUGCAGUGAUACUAUAGGGGUUCAAAUAAUUUGUUCAGGGGUAAUUUUGAAAGAAUUAAAAGUUGAAGAGUCAAUUAUGUACUGAAUUGAUUACAUUGAAAAGCAAGUACUGUUUUGUAAAUGACGUUGAAGUUUAGGGGUUCAAUUGCAAUUUGAUCCAGGAGCAAAAUUAAAAAAAGAAGAAGAGAUUUUCCAAGAUUAGGGACCCAAUCGUUAAAUUUCAGAAGUUCAAAGGCUAAAUCGUAAACAGUCAUUUCAGAACACACACUAUUCAUCAUCUCUUCAUCCUGAAGACCGGAUCAACAGGAAACACAACCAAAAAUAUCAUGGACCACGCCGCCAAUAUCCCCACCCACACGAUGAAUCUCAAAGUGAACGUGGGUCGUAGAAUUUUCUGUUCCCAUCGUGCAGGUCGCCCAUGAUAAUGGGGGGGGGGGGGCAGGAGACCAUGGACACUGGAACAAUACAGGGGAAGCACGGGCAGGGAGGACGAACUGAGAGGGGGGAACAACACAGGGGGAGCAUACAACAGGGACGAACAGAGGAAACCAGGGGAGAAGGAAGACCGAGGGAGCGAUGGUAAUACAGACAGACCAGAUGAGAAAGUCACAAGGAACGAACAGACAGAGAGACGAAGAAGAAAAGGCACAGAACAGAAGGCGAGAGAACAGGACGAACAACACAAGAAUACCAGGAGACAAAUACAGAGAAAGAACAGGCGACCCAAGAAAGUGAAAGACGAAAAGAAGCAGAGGAGAGAGUUUCUUUUCGUCAAGCAACCUCACGCCUUCAUCGCCAUCAUCCUCGACUUGCAGCGACCAGGUAAGUUCUUCAUUUCCCUCUCCUUUACAAUUAUAAUUGCAUAGGUACUCUUCUUAUGCAGUUUUAAUUCAAUCUUGCGACUUCAGCAAUUAUAAUCCAGUGGCUGGGUGUGCACCCGUGCCUUAUCCUUUUAUUUUCACCCUCAAUGUUUUUAAAACUCUUUUUUUACUCUAAAUGAAAAAAAAUAAUAUAAACUCUAAAUGAAAAAUAUAAUAUAAACUUGAAUUGUAAAAUUAUAAAAGUGCAAUUAAUUUUUUUUAAAUAAUUAUAUAUUGAAAAUUCUAAUCAUGAAAUUAAAUUAUAUAAAAAUUUGAUAAAUUAAGUCAACAAUAUUAUAAUCAAUGAAUGAUCUAAAUAAAAUGAGAGAGACAAAUAGUAUGAAUCAAUAAAUUAAUGAUAUUUUAAAAUAAAAAGUUUCAAAAUAAAACUUUUCAAUACAUGAAUGAUAGGAAGUAUACAUGAAUCUGGUGAUAACUUGGUUGUUCUCAUCUCAAUAAGUCCUAAUAGACCUCUUUUGGAUUGCAAGCUAAUGAACUUAAAGUAGUUAUUAGCUAAUAAACAAUGUCUAAUGCACUAGAAAAAAAUUCAAAUUCAAAAUAAUUAUUCAAAAUUAAAUAAAUAAAUAAAUAAUAAAAAAAAUCUUCACGUUAAAAUUCCUCAAUGUAUUUGCGAAUAUCCAAUUUUUGCAUAUAUCUUGGCAGAUUUGAGUUUUGAUUUCAAACAUGUCGUUCUUUCUCGUGUUGAUGAAUUACUGAGCAUACGAUAUAUGGUUAUAAAGCUUUAGAUGUCUAGUUUCCAACCCAACUUUAAUCGUAGCAAAAUUUCACUAGUAGCUUUAGAUAUAUCUCAAACAAUAUAUAAAGGUCUAGCUUGACAUAUUUGAUAAGAUUCAUCUACUAACUAUGACCCUCUAAAAUAUUAUGUUCUCAAACUCUAUUUGACUUGAAAAUUUACCAUAAUAUAUUUUCAUGUGUCUAAUAUUUUCCUGUAAAAUUUUAGCUCUAUCAAAUAUAUAGUGUGAAAAGAUAUGUUCAAUCUCUCAAAUCUGGUUAGUAGACAUUUUAAAACCAAAUUUAGAUUUGACUUGGUUCAUAUCAUAAAUUUAGUAAGCUCGUAAAAUCAAAUUGAGUUUACCGAGUUUACUAAUUUUACUGUUUUUGCACAAGUUAAGUUUGACUUUGCAAGUUAGAUACAUGUUGACUCAUAAAAUUGUAAGUUACCGGAUUUUAACAACAAUGUUCACCUUUCUUUAUUUUAAUAUCUAGUCAAACAGGUCUUUUCUGAUAUCAUAAAAUUCCAAAAAAAAUUGUGGAUCUUUUUGAAUUUAUUUAUAGGUCCCUUGUAUUUUUUUAGGUAUUUCACUAUAUUAUUAAUAUGUGAAUUUUUACUAUAAAAUAUAAAUCUGUUAUAUGAUAUAUUUAAAAAAUAUAUAUAUUUUUAGAAUUUUUAAAGUUCAUCACGUUGUGGGUGUGAUAAUUAUUAUUAUUAUUGAAAAAGAUGAUGAUUCUAUGAUAUUAAUUACUAAUUAAUAACUAUCCAAUUAGGUAAAUUGAUUAUUCCAUACUAAAUAAAAUUUUAUCUUUGAUUUUCUCAACAAAUAUGUGACCUAUAUAAACCUACGACAAAUAAUAUCAAUUGAUGGUAAGCUUCCACAUCUAAUUAUAUAAUAUAUAGGUUUUGAAGAGAUAGGGUGAAGGCUACAGUAAAUGUUACCGUUAUCAGCGCUGAUAACUAUACGGGACUCUGUUGCUUUACUCAAAGCAUCCUCUUCCCCUUUGUUUCUCCCAUCACUUCCUCUUUUGUGAGAUGCCAAGGAAGUAGGAACAAUGCAUAUACCCUUUCUGCUUAUAAUUAUUAACUAGUCCAAGUUUGAUACUUUUCCAUAAAUAUCAUCAGAAAAAAAAUAAAAAACAAAGAAAAACCAAAAAAAUAUAUUUUUGAUAUAUUUACAUUGUUUUAAUAUUUUCAAAAUCAUCUCAAAAAAAUUUAAAUUUUAAAAGUAUUUUGAAUAAGUUUAACUUUUAACACGUAAAUUUUAUGAUCACUGAUUUUUAUUGUUGAGUCGACGUUGAUAUUACUUAUUUUUUAAAAUAUAAAAAUUAAAAAAAAUUAAAAUUAAAAGGAAAAUAGAAAAAAAAAAAAUUAAGAAACUAAUUUGAAAAUAUAACAAUAUUUUACCUUUAAAUACUAGCCUACAGUAAAGUUAUAUAAAAAAAAAAAAUUCAGGCAAAAACCUAACCUAAAAUUUAUCUACAGGCAAGCCGCCGUCCGACGCCCUUUCAGCUUUUAGUUUUUUUGGUCCCAGAACCAGCAAAAAGCUUGGCUCGCCAUCUUCCCUGAAACCGGAGAGAAACCCCACUCAAAUACACUCCCUGGUCUCUGCCAUUUUCGGCACCUUCCCCUUUCCCAUUCCAGCCUUCCCAAAUCAACCAUCCUCUUCACCUGCUCUCGGUGAUCAGCUUCCCUUUAGCCCUCGGUCAAAGCAAGCCACAGUCGGCCUUCCCUCAACUUUUGCCCUUUGGUUUCUUUUUCUUCCAGCAGCGAUGGCCCCCUCCCCGUGCAGCGGCGCCGUGUUCCUCUAGCAGCAGCCCACACACGACAGCGCCCGGGCAACGCUCUCUUCUCCAUGUUCUGCAAUCGGCCUCCAGCAACAGCCAAGCCCGGCAGAACCCACCUUGGUCUAGCACAGCAACCUCCACCCUCACCUCGGAGCCGUCAGCCGUCAUGAAGAGGAAGAACUAAACUCAGAUCUGGAAAAGAAAGGAGACUGAGAACAGAUGAAAGAAAAAGAAAAGAACAGACCCGAAAGAAACAGACCUGAAGAAGGAGAAGAAAAAAACAGAUCCGUGAAGAAGUAAAGAAAAUUAAAAACAACUGCUUGUGUUUUGCUUUCUGCAGGUGACGGUGGGUGUCACCGCCGACAGGAGAAGGAAAAAGGGACGAAGCUGGUACAGACCCCCUGUUACCCGGGUUGUCUUCGCGGCGGCGCCGCCAGUGGCAUGGCGCGUGGGGGGACGCCCCAGAAACCUUCCAGCCAUUGCAGAAGGCCUUCGAUGCAAUUCUUGUAGAUUUUUGGGUUUUAUUUUGUAAUUUGUGAAUUGUAUUUGAUUUAUUAUGAGUUUUGUUUUUUUUUUACAUGUAAAAAAUAAUGUAUAAGAAAAUCAUAAUAAAAAAGAGAGAUCCUUUGUAUUUUUAUUUAUGUUAUUGAAUUAUAUAAAAAAUAAUUGUUUAAUUUGAAUAUGGUUAAAUAUUUUAAGGAUAAAUAAAAUCAUUUUAUAUUUUUUAUAAAAAUAUAAGAAUAUGUUUCUACAUGUAUUCUAGAUGAUUUAAUUAUUGAUUUAUUAAAACUUUAGAAUUUGAUUAAUAUUUUAGAUUUUUAAAUCAUAUCAAAUCACAAAACAGCUUAUUUCUGGUAAGAUGUGUUAGGGGUAUUAAUAUCUUUCCUAACUACAACUAGUCUCAUACCCGUGAAUUUUUGACAAUGAUCAUUGCAUUUAGAUUUUUUAUUAACCUUUAAUCAAAUACUAGGUGGAGACUUCUAAGACUCUAAAUCAAACAAAGGAAUGAAAAAUCACUAAUUUAUCGCCGCCAGUGACGUGCAAGAAUAACUAAUUUUAUUUUAUUAAUAUCUUCAAAGUAAGAAAUUCUAAAAUAUACAUAAUUAUUUUGAUAAAUUUUAACUUAAAAAAAACAAUAAUUCUUAAAAAAACAUGUUUUUGUAACAAAAAAGAAAAGAAAGAAACACAUUCAUUUUUUAAAAAGAAACACGUUAUGUUCACUUUUUAUUUCAAAUCAAUACAAUUUUUUUAAUUUCUAUGUUUGUUUUCUUUAUUUUUUAUCCAAUAAACUUUAUAGCUAUUAGAAAAAAAAUAUUCUUUUUAAAUUAAAAAAAAAUAUGAAAAAAGAAUUUUAACUAAAAAUAUAUUUUUUUCCAAGAAUUCAAAUAACUAUUAUGAAAAAAUAGUUUUAGUUACCCUUAAUGUAACUUUAUAGCUUACGGUAUAAGCUAGUGCUUGGGAUUAUAAUGCAAACAAGAAACUAAACUGUAAUGUACUAAAAGAGAAUUCAUUUUUAUCUUCAUACAAGUAAAUAAAAAAUAAAAAAACAACCAUGUUAUAGGUUAAAUAUUUACACUUGCAUUUAUUUUUUUGUUUUCUACAAAAAAACCCAACUGUUUCAGCCUUUAAUUAGCAUGAACAAAUAUUAUUUAUGUGAUUUAUUAAUUUAAAUAUUUUUAAUUCAUUUUUUUAAAAAUAAAAAUAUCAUCUUUUCAGUUUCUAAAUUAAAAAUUUCAUGCUAUCAAAACACAUGUCCACAUAUUCAUAGCUUCUUGUUUUUUUUAUUAUUAUUAUUAUUAUUUAUUACAUUACAAUUUAGUUUGUAAUGUUACCCGUAAUUAACUAGAUGGUAUCUAAUGUCUCGUCUCUUUGUAUCUCAAGGGCAGUCUAGUUUGUCAGGUCUGACUUGUUAUCCAAUGGAGAUUAUCCAAAGAAAAUAAAUAAAUCAUAAUGUCAGAGUUUUUGACUACGCACUUGUGAUGCACAUCGAUUACAAAAUAAAAUAUAAAAAAAUGACAAUUUGAGAAUCAAACACAAUUUUUUUGAUAUAAUACAUAGGAGUUUUAUUUGAUAUAAAAUUUACAUUGAUUGUUUCAGUAGCAUAUCUAAUCUUUUAUAUUCUUGCGAAUGAACUUAGGCCCCGUUUGUUUGCAGGAAAGUGAAUUCCUUUUGGAAAAUGAAUUCCGGGGAAAGUGAAUUUCUGGAAAGUAAAUUCCGGGAAAGUAUUUUAUGAUGUUUGGUAGUGUUAUGGAAAAUGAAUUGGAAAAUAAUUUAUUAAUAAAUUAAUUUUUUUUUUCAAAUUUAUCUAAUAUAUAUAAAAUAUUUAAUAUAAAAUAUUUAAUCACUUACAAUAAAAAAAAAUAAAAUCUAAAAUGUAUAAUGAUGAAUUUUUUUUAUUAUAUUCUAUAUUCAUACAUAGCUUAUUUUAUAAAAUAUAACUAUAUAUAUCAUAUCAUAUUAUAAAGAAAUAAGCUUGUGAAAUAUUUUUUAUUAUUCUAUGAAACCAUUUAUAAUUUCAUUACGUACGAAAUACAUCCGACAAAAACUAUAGUUUUAAUAAUAUUUUUAGCAUGUAAUAAAAUUGGAUAAAAUAUUAAGGUAUAAAAUUCACUCUAAACUAUUUUUUUUAAAAUGUUAAAAAAAUAGCACACUUAAAAAUAAAAAUAAAAAGUCCCCGCAGGCAAGUGAACAGUGCACUAAAACUGCGCUGUUCACUAUUUUUUUAGUGAACAGUGUAUGCGAUACACUGUUCAUGUUAAUUGCACUGUUCAUUGAACAGUGCAAUUAACAUGAACAGUUACAGAAAAAACAUGACAACGCAGUAUUGGCCCACAUUAGGAAAGUGUUUUUCGAGAAUUAAAAGCGGAAAACACUUUCCUUAUGUUAAAAUUAACAUUUUCCUUUGACUGGAAUUACAUUUCCUUUGAUUCACUUUCCAUGUAUUGACAAACAUGGGAAAGUGAGUAAAAUGGUUUCUAGGAAAGUGAAUUCCUGGAAACAAACGGGGCCUAAGUAUUUUAGAUUUUGCAUGACAAUUAAACCGAAGGCUCUUGGGUUUGUCAUGACCACUAAAACCAAGAUCCUAUAAAAGUAUUUAAAAAAAUAAUAAUUAAGAUUUAAGUUUAAAAUAUUUUAAUGAUAAUUUAAAUAAAAGAAAGAGGGCUCUCUUCCACCUUUCCUUUCUUUCACAUCUUGAUUCGGAUUUUAUAGUGGUCCAUGGUCGGCCAUUUCCCCUUGACCUCGCUGUCCAUGGCAACUUCUUCUAUCGUACCAUUUCUUUUUAGCGGUCUUAUGUCAUGGUCAUGCACAGGAUAUAUCAGUCAAGUUUUGUCCUUGAUAUGCGACUCCCUCGAGUAUAUAUUUAUCUGCCUUCUUUUUCUAUAUCGUAAAAAGGAAACCUUUCACUAAAAGAGCUUUAAGUUAUGAUAGUUUGGUUUUUUAUUGAACAAAAACUAGCAAAACUUGUUUUGUUUUUUUCGAGUUUUUAUGGGAUUUUACUGACUUUUCCUAGGUUUUUUUAAAUUUUUUUUUUUUAAGUUUUAUGGAUUUUUAAAAAACUUUUUAUAUAUCUAGUUAUUUUGAGGCCAAGUUAAUUAACAAUGCAUGCAAGGAGAAAAGUUAAUCCACUAAAGUUAUCAAAAGCAACGUAAUCUAAUUCAACUACCAGUCAAUAUAUCAUAUGGAUUCAACAAUUAUUUAUUGAACUAUCCUGGAUUGGGUUUAAUUUUUUGGUGAAUCAUCACAUACAUAAUAUAUAUAAGCUUUUCCUGUUGCCAUUGAUUAACUUUUAACGUCCAAUACAUGGACAAAAGAUCUGAAAUUCUUUGAACAGAAAAGCUGGAAUUUAUGCAGUGACAGUGAUACAAAAUCAAGCUAUUAUACUUUACAAGUACAAACUUGAUUAAUAAACAAACCAUCCAAGCAAAUUGUACUUGGAAAAUAAAUGUAUCUGUCCCAACUAGUAGUUGUGUCUAUAUCCUUGUAAAUGAGCCUAAGACUAAAUACAGAAGGAAGAAGAAGAUCAAACCAAUGAGACAACUAAUGUUGAAAACAAGCCCUACUGAAGGUACUAGAACUGCGUAUUUGCGAAUGCGAUAAUCAUUGUCCCCAUGCCAAUUAUGGUUAACAACAUUGCAACCGCAAAUAAUCUUAGAGUGGUUUUCAAAUUCAUUUCUUCAUCCUUAUUCAUGUCCAAAUCUUGAAUCAACACCGUCAAAAAAUGAAUAAUUAGAUACAACAGAAAUAGAGAGCAUCAUUAACAUUGCAUCUAAUAUGACAAAUACUAUAAAAAUAACUUUUUUUAGCUAGAAUUGCAAUGCCUCUGUCACUCUUGUAACUGCCAGGUAGGAUAAAUGGUGCUACAAAUGUUAAUGUUGCUAUCAAUGCUGUAACUACUAGAUGAGACUCUCUUGCUUUACUUAAAGCAUCCUCUUCCUCUUUGUUUUCCUCCUUCUCUCUUCUCAAAACAAAGCGCCCGACCAAAUGGUCCCCUGCCAACAUCAAAGGAUUCUAGGAUCGUUUUCUGCAAAAUAUUUAGGGUAAAAUAUCAUAGAUAUCCAUUAUCUUUUUCUAUUUAAUUCUCAGAUUAUUUAAAUUUUAAUUAAUUGUUUUUUUUCAUUCAAUUGUUCUGCUUUUUGUUUUUUUAUUGAAUAAUAUGUUUUUAUAAAGCAGUUACAUGCGAUUGAUAUGCAUAAUCUGUUAUCGUAGAUGAAAAACUUAACAAAAUCAAUAAAAUAACUUGAUUUCAAAUAAAAAAGAUUAUUAAGUUAUUUAGAUGAAUUCAUUUUUAUGUUUGGUAUUGCAAUACGAAUGGUUUUUAAAAGGAAAACCUUUCUUGAAAAUUAAGUUAUAUUUUUUUUUACUGGAAAGUAUUUUUCAUUGAUUAACUUUUUAAAUAGCAAACAAACACAAUAAAGUUUGAAAAGUAAUUUUUAAAAAAAUAAUUAAAAUAAUAUAUCAGCAUGUUAAAAUGAUUUAAAAAUAUUAAAUAUAAUUUAAUUUCAAACUUUAAAAAAAUUUGAAAUUUAAAAAAACAUGCUUCACACAUCUAAGACUUGAAGAUAAGAAGAUUAUGGUCCAGCUCUAACCAUAAGAAAAACGAGUGAAGACAGAAAAGAUGCAAGUGGAGCAGAGAUAUUUAAAUUGUUUGUGAAACUUCUAGAAUCAUUUUUAUUCUAAUCUCUCACAGAACUCAGACAGCUUCCUCUGCUUUAUUUAUUUAUUUAUUCAUAUUGAUGAAUUGGUAUAAAUAGGCUUACAAGCCUAGCUAGUAAAUGGAAAUAGCCAAAAUAGUUACUUCUAUCAACAACCAUUGUCAACAAACAAACAGUCAUACAAGAUGAAUUCCUCUGAUCAACAAAUGAAUAGCAUCUCUUACAUGGAACCAAAAUUGUACAAAGCUGCAGAAGCAGGCAACAUCAACCCAUUGAAGGAUCGUCCUCCAACUUCUCUCAUUGAGCUAUUGACUCCACAAAAAAACACAAUUCUUCAUGUUUACUUCGAAAACCAACGUAGAGGAUGGAGAUCCACUGAUUUUGUUGGCCAAAUUAUUGAUAUGUGUCCACAACUGCUAUUGCAAGCCAAUACUAAAGGCGUUCCAAUGCAGUGGAAGUCCUCAUUGACCGCGCAGAAGCAAAAAAGAUGUUGAGGAUGACCAAUGAAGAGCAAGAUACAGCGUUGCAUGUGGCAGCUCGAAAUAUCCAAGCCCAAGUGGUGGAAAUAUUGACAAAAGAGGACCCUGAGUUUUCAUAUUCCGCCAAUGUUCAUGGAGAAUCUCCACUUUAUAUUGCUGCCAAUAUGAGGUUUGUGAACAUUUUUUUAGUCUCAAACAGAGUUUGAUACCGAUUCGAUACUAUAUGUGACCAACAUCUUUUUUUUUUCUUUUAAUAUAUACUAGAUUAAUCAAUUUUUUACUAAUCUAUUUAUCAAUCUAGAAUACUAUCGUUUUAAGAUUAUAUAAAUGUAAUUGUUGCAUGAUUAAUUUUAAUUUGUUCAGCUUUAUAAUGUUUAAGUAAAUCUGUUUUUAAAAUUAUCAUAAGAGAUAUUAGAAAAGCAAUGCUUCUAUAAUAAUAGGAUUUUACCUGGUUAUUUUUUUAUGCUAUGUAUGUUCUUGAACUCGAGACAUAUUAAUUCAAUAUGAAUAAGUUCACUUAUCUCCCUAAUUGCUUUUUAAGAACAAUAAAAAAUAGCAAAAUUUAAUGGUUUUUAAUUCUGUUUUAUUGGACUUAAAAUCUUGCUACAUAAGUAUUUAUUGGACUUAAAAUGUUAAUAAAAAUCACAUAUAUCUAAUUAUGAUAUAUUGCUGCCAAUGUAAGGUUUAAUUGGAUGUUUAAAAGACAUGAAGAAAAUAGAAAAAAAGUGAUCGACGAAAUUGAGUAAUUGCAAGUCAGUGGAAUAUUGUGGUUCUCAUGGCAGAACCGCACUACACGCGGCAGCCAUGCAUGGUGAUCAUGGUAAGAUUUUAUUCUGAACUGUAAAUCCUUGAAUUCAUAAAUUAUUAUCGGAAACCAUAACUGUGAGAAGUGUGUUCUUAUCUUAAAUUAUUUCUUAUCUGUUUGCCAUUUUAUUGUACUCAUUUAUUUUAUGUUUCUUAAAAAAAAUCUUAUUUUAACCUUUAGGAUAUUGUUCUUUUCAUUUAUUGUUCAUUUGUCAAAUUCUUCGUUUACUCUAUCACAUUUAAUAUUUGAUAUAUAUAGAAGUUAAUAAAGGGGUAAAAAAACAAAAAUAUUCAUUUUAUGUUUGUUAAAUUAAAGGUUAAAUUGUAUUUAUUACUUACAUAAUUCUUUGGAAGAUAUAUACAAGGUAAAGAAAAUACAUAUUAAGAAGACAAUGAAUUUCCUAGUCUAUUUAAUUAAGGACUUAUUUGCAUGAUUAUAUAUAAGAUUUUAGGACCAAAAUGUUCUUAUAUACGUUUGUAUGUAAGGAAUCUAUAUGACAUGUAUGUGUGGGCGAAUCAUUUCCAUAUUAUUAUUGAACAUAAAAAAAAAAAGAACACAAAUGAAUUAUUAGAUUAGUAAGACUACUGGAUUCUACGUUAAAAUGAUAAUUUAAAGGCUCAUAAUAAUAUUGAACUUUAUUCUUGUUGUUUAUAGUUUUCUUAAAAACUUUGGUCAUCUAGUUUAAAUGAGGUUGGAGUUGUUGACAUUUCCAUAUUAUUAUUUUAAAUAUGACCAAAUAAUAAUAACCAAUAAAAAAAAAUGAUGCAUAAACAAUAUUGAAUAGCGACUAUAAGAACCCAAGAACGUAGAAAGCAAGAAAGGGCAUUUAUAAUACAAUUAAAGAGAGAAAAAUGCCAAAUUAAAUAUUAACUUAUCACUAAAUUAGUAGCGUAGAUUACGCAUUAACCAUAAUAUUAUUCAUAUAUUACCUAAUAUGUACCAUAUUUUUUUUAUGGUUUAUUGCAGAGACAGCAAGAAAGAUAUUAAAAAGCGACGCGAGUUUGACGAGAAGAACCGACGAUGACGGGUGGUCACCACUUCACUACGCUGCCUUUUUCCCUACUUUAUUGCCAGGUUCUCUAACAGUAAAAGUAUUACUAGAACAUGAUGUGUCCGCAGCCUACAUUGUUGAUUCAGAGAAGAGAACAGCCCUUCACUUGGCCGUCGUUCGAGGCAAUGUGGCAGCAGUGGGAGCGAUUAUGAACACUUGUCCAGCUUGUUGUGAACUAGUGGAUAGCGGAGGUCGGAAUGUCCUUCACUAUGCUGCCUUAACUCUAAAAGGAGCACUUACAUCUAUGUCUUUCCCUCGAUUGAUUCCUAAAUUUGACAAACUUAUAUACGAGAAGGAUAACAAUGGAAACACACCAUUGCAUCUAUUUGCUGCUUUCGGCAGUUAUCCCCAGAAGUUUCUGAGUAGUGAUUGUAGACAUGUGUACAAGAAGAUGUGUGGCCUUAACAAGCAAAACCUCAGCAUUGAUGACAUCUUGGAACGAAAUUUUCCUGAAGAAAAGGUAAUUCCCUCUAUUUGAUUUUUUAACGAGUCGCACUCGUACACGCGAAAAAGUCUUUGCAUUUGAAAAAGCUCGCUAACUUACCAAAAAAAAUUAAAUUUAAAUUGUCAGAGGAAUGAUGUAAGAUUAUUUUCAUAACUAUCAAAGGACGCAUCAAGAGAAUUUAUAAUAUUCAUUCAAUCUUGUUAAAGAAAAAAAAACUUCAACUCUAACAAUAAAUACGUAUGCACCUUUAAUAAAUCACAUCAAUCAAACAUAAAUUCACUUCGUUAUUCUCUUUUUUUUUUUAAAAAUAAAAUAAAAAUAGAAUAGAAAUCCUUUUGUCAAUAUAACAAAAUUAUACCUUCAACAUCAACACUUAUAAUUGAUUAACACUAUUUGCUUUGUCCCUAGACUGAUGUUGGUUUCUUUAUUUGUUUGUUUUAAGAUGUGUUUGAUAUUAUGGUAUAAAAUAUUUUUAAAAAUUAUUUUUGUUUUGAAAAUAUAUUAAAAAUAAUUUUUUAAUUUUUAACAUUAAAAAAUACUAAAAAGUUUCAUUUGAUUUUUUUUUCCAGCGAGACACUUUUAAAUCAUACCUAAAAACAGUUUAAAAUUAAAAAACAAACAGCCCUCUCGUAGCAACAAAAGCAUUAUAUAUUGUUGCUAGCUAAAAGAAACAAAAUUACUUGAUUUCAAACUCGCUGGUUAUGAUAUCAAACAAAGGUUGAGAGUCUACAGGUGAUAAAGGAAAAGAAAGAUUCGUUUAAUUUCAUUGCCGAAACUUGUUGCAGAAAGAGAUUUUGGAAUCAUUGAAAGAUGUACGGAGUGGACUGCUUCAACGGCCCAUAGCUAUGCUGACACUAGACGACUUCUUUAUUACCGACAGUGGAAUGGACGCUCUUAUAGUUGUAGCGGCACUCGUAGCAACAGUAACAUUUGCAGCUGCUUUCACCAUGCCUGGCGGUUACAAGAACGAAAAAGGCACUCCAGUUCUUCUUAAAAAUACUGCUUUUGCAGUCUUUGUUAUAUCAGAUGCAGUAGCAAUGGUUCUCUCAACUUCUGCUCUCUUCAUGCACUUUUCUAGGGCACUGCUUGGAAAAAGAGGUCAAGUGGAAGACGAUAUAAAAGAAACCUUCUCUUAUAGGACAUCUACUUUAACCAUAUGUGCCAUCCCAGCAAUGGUCAUCGCAUUCAUCACAGGAAGUUAUGCAGUGCUAGCUCCAUCAUUAUGGCUUGCAAUCACGACUUGUUUCAUUGGUGUAGCCUUCUUCUUCUUUGCGUGCCAGGCAUUCAUAGUUCAAUUCCGCACCCUCAUAAAAUACUGAAAAUAAACACUUCACAGCAGACUUUAAAAGAGUCUGAUAUUGAAGAAGAUUAUUGAUUCUCAUUUAGCUCGUGUUAUAAACUAUUAUAGCAUGUAAUUAUAUAGGAAAUAUUGUAGUCAUAUUCUUAUGUGGUAAUCUCCACCUUUACUAUUGUAUAUUGCCCUACUCAUAUAUAUAGAAAGGGUUGGCUAACCUAUUAGGUUAAGCCUCCUAAUCAUUCUCAACUUGGUAUCAGAGCCUCCUAAUAUUUUCUCUCUUUGCAGCCGGCCCUAAUUUUCUUCCCCAUGGACUCUCCUCCUGCUGCCGUUGAUCCAAUCUCCCCCUCCACCGGUGAUGCAUCAUCACCGGCCAGCCCUCUUCCUGCUGCUGGCUCUGCCGUUCCUCUGCCUCUUAUGGGAACACAAUCUACAAUGGUUCCUCUAUCAAACACCCACCAUGUUGUGUCGUUGAAACUUACGAACACAAAUUAUCUUUAUUGGAGAAUGCAGAUGAAGCCAUAUCUCCUUGGUCAAGGUGUUUUUCAGUUUGUUGACGGCUCCUUGCCGUGUCCUCCAUCUCAUAUGAUUGAUGCUUCGGCUGAUUCUUCUUCUGCCAUCAGCCCCUCUUUUCUUCGUUGGAAGCAACAAGAUCAACUUAUUUUGAGUGCUCUACUCUCCUCUCUUUCCGUGGAUGUGCUGCAUCUUGUAGUCGAUUGUUCUACUUCACAUUGUGUUUGGCGCACGCUUGAGAAGGCACUUGCCUCUCCAUCUAAUUCGGAUCAUGCAACUACAUGGCUCCUUUCAAGACCUUCGGCAAGGUGAUGCAUCGGUUAGUAUGUAUAUGCAGCAAGCCAAAUCGUUAUUUGACGAAUUGGCUGCUGCUGGUCGCCCAAUGUCCCUUGAAGAUUUCAAUCUCUAUGUGUUUCGUGGACUUCGCGGUGAGUUCAAAGACUUGGUAACUAGUCUCAUAACCAAGGCUGAACCGCUAUCGUAUGCUGAUCUUCAUAGCCAUCUCCUUACCCAUGAGUUUUUGCACAAAAACUCCUUUCACUCCAUGGCUGUCGGUUCAUCCUCUUCAUCACUGCUGUCUUCUUCUUCUCUGCCGCAGCAGCCACCAUUGCUGCCAACACCUCCGAAUUCUGCUUAUUAUGCCAUGACUAAUCACAGCCGAAACAGGGGACGUUCUAGAGGUAAUUGGCGCUCAAACACCAACCGAUUUCAGGCCCCAAACAGAGGUCACUCCGCUGCAGAUUGGAGGCAAAAUCAGUGGCAGAACAGGCGCACCUCUGCUGCAGAUUUUCGGCCAAAUCAGGGGCAGUGGUCUGGACAUGUGCGCUGCCAAUUAUGUUCCACUCCUGGCCAUUCAGCUCUUCAAUGCUAUCAGUUUCGCAGCAGCACACAGCAGCCCUCUGCUCACCUUGCUGUUGCGAAUGAUUCUGCUGCAACGACUUGGUUUCCCGACACCGGCGCGAAUCAACAUGUGACGCCUGAUCUUGCAACUCUAACUGAUUCUGCUCCUUAUCUUGGUAAUGAUUUCUUGCAUGUUGGUGAUGGUAAGGCCCUUGACAUAUCCCAUGUUGGACAUACUACUUUAUAUUCCCCCAAACGCUUGUUUACAUUAACUAAUGUUCUUCGUGUGCCUCACAUUACCAAACCGUUGUUAUCUGUUCAGAAAUUCUGUCGUGAUAAUCAUGUUUAUUUUGAAUUUCACGAUUCUGUGUUUUAUGUGAAGGAUCUCGUCACCAAGGAAGUUCUUCUUUCCGGUCGGAGUCAUGAUGGUCUUUAUGUUCUCUCCGAGUCCUCGGCUACGUCAGUUCCUCAAGCUUUUUGGUCUCCUUGCAUUUCCGCGACUGCCGACUUGUGGCAUCGUCGUUUAGGUCAUCCAACUCCUCGCAUUCUAAAUUUGUUAGUUUCUGAUAAUAAAAUUAUUUGUACGUCUAAACGAUCUUUUACUCAAUGUCAAGCAUGUCCAUUAGGCAAGUCAUCCCGUUUGUCAUUACGACCGACGGGUCACAAAACUUCUACCCCACUUGAAUUAAUUUUUAGUGAUGUUUGGGGCCCUGCUCCAAUGUUUUCUUCUGAUGGUUUUCGUUAUUUUGUUAUCUUUGUUGAUGCGCACACUAAAUAUAUCUGGUAUUAUCCGCUUGUUGCGAAAUCUGAUGUAUUUUCCACGUUUCAACGUUUUCAGACACUUGUUGAGCGUCAGUUUUCUCUUAAAAUUAAAUCUGUUCAAACUGAUUGGGGUGGUGAAUAUCGUAAAUUAAAUACAUUUUUUCAAACAAUUGGUAUUCAUCAUCGAUUAAUUUGUCCUCAUACUCAUGAACAAAAUGGCACAGUUGAACGUCGUCAUAGACAUAUUGUCGAAACUGGCCUAACCCUCUUAGGCCAGUGUAAUGCCCCAUUGCGUUUUUGGAACUAUGCUAUGGAAUCAUCGGUCUAUCUUAUUAAUCGCAUGCCUACUCCUGUUCUUCAAAAUAAAUCUCCUUUUGCGUGUCUGUUUCAUCGCACUCCUGAUUAUAAUUUCUACGCACUUUUGGGUGUCUUUGUUUUCCAUUUUUACGUCCAUAUCAUGCUCAUAAAUUAGAUUUUCGGUCUUCUCCUUGUGUGUUUUUAGGCUAUAGCUCGUCUCAUCUUGGUUAUCGGUGUCUUGAUUUAGAGUCUGGUCGUGUCUAUGUCUCCCGUCAUGUUCGUUUUCAUGAAUGUGUCUUUCCUUUUAAAAAGUCUGAACAGGUAACAACACCCCCGGUUCCCCCCACUCCACCUACCUAUCUUCCAUCACUGCAACCCCCUUCCUGUUUUCAGCCUCUUCCUUCCCAACUCGGCAAAACACACCCUUUGCCCCUUGCCGCAACCCCCCAGCUUGCUCCCCUGCCCGUUGAUUUAGCCGACCCUGCCUCACCACCCCACACAGCCAUACUAUCACCACGUGCUUGUCUUUCCAAUGAUUAUUGUGCAGGAACAGGUUCUGACUUGCAGGAUUCAGUAGCGGCACAACCCAGCACCUCCCCGGCUUCACCUCCUGGUCUGCAACUUUGUGUUGAUCUCUCCUCUUAUCCUCUUCAGCACAUUCCAGGUACAGGUGCUGCUACUCCAUGUCCAGCUGCUCCUAAACACCCCAUGGUUCUUCGUCCGAGACAGCCCAAGACAGCGCUGAUCACCACCACGGCAGCCACCUCUGCUGCUUCCUUCAGUCGGGUAACUUCUCCUCCCUCGCAUGAGCCACUUAUUUUUCCUGAUGCUAACAGAUAUGAGGCGUGGCAUAAUGCUAUGCGAGAGGAAAUUCAGGCCUUACGCGCAAACAGAACAUGGACUUUAGUGCCAUUUCAUCCGUCCAUGAAUGUUGUUGGUAGCCGAUGGGUCUACAAAAUUAAACGCAGAUCUGAUGGUAGCAUUGAGAGGUAUAAGGCGCGCCUGGUUGCUAGGGGCUUCACUCAGCAAGAAGGUAUUGAUUACUCAGAAACUUUUAGUCCUGUUAUCAAACAGGCAACAGUCCGCUUAGUGUUCUCCAUUGCAGUUUCGAGUGGUUGGAAAAUUCAUCAGCUUGACAUUCAUAAUGCAUUUCUAAAUGGAGUCCUUGAUGAAGAGGUUUACAUGAAACAACCUCCAGGUUUUGUUGAUUCUGCACUCCCAGGUCAUGUAUGUCGAUUGCAUAAAUCUCUAUAUGGGUUAAAACAGGCUCCGCGGGCUUGGUACACUCGUCUGAAUGAUUUUCUAUUAUCCAUUGGUUUCCGUGCUUCUAAAGUGGAUACCUCAUUGUUUAUCUUCUCGGUUGGUAGUGAUAUUUGUUAUCUUUUGGUUUAUGUUGAUGAUAUUCUGCUUACGGGUAAUAAUGGAACUCUGCUACAACGACUCAUUCAGCUACUGAGCUCAGAAUUUAAACUUCGGGAUUUGGGUGAUGUUCAUUAUUUCUUGGGUAUUGAAGUGCAGUGUACUGGUCUGGGACUUAUGCUUUGUCAACAUAAAUAUACACUUGAUAUCCUCACACGAGCUGGUAUGUUAUCCUGUAAACCAGUUGAUACUCCUAUUUCGGCAUCCAAAGCCACCAUUAUGCCAUCCAUUGUUUUCUGAUGCUACUCGUUUUCGGCAACUUGUUGGUGCUCUCCAAUAUCUCACUUUCACACGCCCGGAUAUUUGCUUUGCUGUUAACCGGGUCUGUCAAUUUAUGCAUGCUCCUACAGAAUCCCAUUGGGCUGCCGUGAAACGCAUCUUGCGUUAUCUCCGUGGUACGGCAUCACAUGGUUUACAUAUUACUCGCAGCUCUUCCUUUGCUUUACACGGUUUUACAGAUGCAGAUUCGGCAGGUAGUAUUGAGGAUAGAAAGUCUACAGGUGGUUAUCUUGUGUUCUUUGGUCAGACGCCAAUUUCUGGAAAUCGAGUAAGCAACGCACUGUUGCUCGUUCUUCGACGGAAGCUGAGUACCGAUGGCACGGCUGAAGUUAUCUGGCUUCAGUACUUGUUAACGGAUCUUCAGAUUCCGGCUCCUUCUGCUCCUAUUAUCUGGUGUGACAACCUUGGUGCCACGUAUUUGUCCGCAAACCCUAUAUUUCAUGCUCGCACAAAACAUAUUGAGAUUGAUUAUCAUUUUGUCCGAGAUAGAGUUGCGAAGAAGGAGAUUCAGAUUCGUUUUAUUUCCUCUCAGGAUCAACUUGCCGAUGUCUUCACUAAGCCACUUCCUGCUGCUUCAUUUACUGCUUUUAGAUUCAAGCUUCGGGUUGAUCCUCCACCCUCAGCUUGAGGGGGCGUAUUAUAGCAUGUAAUUAUAUAGGAAAUAUUGUAGUCAUAUUCUUAUGUGGUAAUCUCCACCUUUACUAUUGUAUAUUGCCCUACUCAUAUAUAUAGAAAGGGUUGGCUAACCUAUUAGGUUAAGCCUCCUAAUCAUUCUCAACUUAAACUAUCUUCUCGUCAUCUUCUUGAUGGCAUCAGCUGUAACGUUGGCUUUAUUUAUCAAUAUAUUUUACCUUGCUUUUCACGAGUACAAUGAUCGAAAAAUUCAAUUUUGGCACUUGGAAAAUGCUAACACCUUCAAUAUAGAGACCAUAGAAUGAAGGCUAACAAGUUCACCAUUGAUUCUAGAUGAAUGGAAUUAGCCAUAAUUUUCGAAGGACUUGAAUUUCUAAUAUAUAUAUAUUGAUUAGAAUUUCCAUUAAUUGCUGAAUGGUAAUUCAGACUUCAAUUUCUACACAUUGCAACUUCAUUCACCUUCCCAACUUUUUGUUUAACAGAAAUCAUUCUCAUGAAAUGCAAAACAUUCUUUUACGAGAACAAAAAUAAAUAAAUAAAGUAACAAAGGAAAAUUUUACGACAGGCACAAGAAAACCAUAAUAAAAAAAGGAGGAAAAUGGGUAUAUAAAACAGCAGAACAUAAACAUUUUGAGAAAUUAAUGAAUUAAUGAUGUAGUGCUAUGAUUUAACUCCGAUCUAGUGGGUUAUGAAGGACAUGAAGCUGAUGACAACACCCAAUGUCUGAGUUUUUCAGACCCUAAUUCCACUGACAAGGUGUAAAGAGUAGUUAAAACUCAAUUUGAACAACGGAGACAAAAAAAUAAAAAUCAAUUUAUGUUUAUAUUUAGUGUGUUUUAAGACUAAAUAAUUUGUUUUAUUUUGCAUUUGGUUAACAUUAGUCAAGACACAAGUAAAAAAUAAUUAGUGGAAGAAUUAAUCUAAUUUGAACCCGAUCAAAAAUUCAAGUUGACCUACUAUAAAGUUUACCUGAGAUAAAACACAAAUAAAAAAUUUUAAUUUGUUUUUUAUUAAGAUAAAACAAGUAAUCAAAAUCUUGUCUUAUUUAUAUUGAGUUUUAAACAAUUAAAAUAAUUAUAUUUAUUUUUAUAUUCACUCAGAUUAACAAUGAACAUAAUGUAUGAAUCAAACCUUAUAUCGAAAUCGACUAUUAUUUAAAUUUUUAAAUUAUAAUAAUUAUUAUUUUUAUUUUUAUAUUAAUAUAGAUCAACCCGGUAAAUUCUUAUGCAAAAAAUUUAACAAUCUAGCUUAUUCUACUCCUUUUAAUAAACAAAUAUUUCUUCACUGGAAUGGCCUUGAUAGAACAAAAAAUAAAUACUCCAAAAAACUUCACAAAAAGAUUAUACCGUCCAAUCCAUUUUUACAGCAUAUCAAAAACACUACAUAAAUUUCAAAAUCAAAUUACCUCAGUUAAAUCCAUUAAUAUCAUCGUAAUGUAGCUUCCACCAAGUAGGUUCUCCUUGAUCAUGGUUAUUAUCAUCAUCCUGUGCAUUCCUCCAUCUUUAACCACCAGACAGGAGCAGUUUUCAGUGAUGAAAACCCUCAUGGUUGUUCUAUAAUGUGAACAACGUAGUAUAAUUAUUCUUACUAUAUAUGUACUUAUACUGCUUUGUUUUUCGUGUACUAAUUUCCUUUUCACUUUAUGUUUUGUUAAACCUUGUUCACAUGAAGCUAUAAAAUAUAGACAAGAAAUGCCUUUUUUUCCUUAUCAUUUUGCAACUUAUAAAUUGUUUUAUUCUGAUUUGUGCCCUAGGCAUGGUAUUGUCUGCUGAGAAAACCAAGCUCCAUUGAUCUUUUCUUUUUACUAAAUUAAAUCGCCACCGAUUGCAAUUAAAAUUCUGAUCUACAUUAAUAUCAUUCGGAUAGGAUUAGGAUGUACUCCACCACAAACUCUAAUAAAUCUUUUCCAAAGAAGAGAUGCCUUGGAAUGUUUUAGAAAGGGGAUAAUAUUCUCAUAUGCACCCCUAACUUAUUCGUUAUUACCCUUUCUGAGUUGUGUCCCUAAACUACAUAAUUAAGCAAUUAGGUCCAGAAUGUAUCUAGGAAUUAUCAAUUUAAUCUUUGUAAAGGGAUUGUGAUAGGUAUUUAUGGGCUAGGUUUUGGUAUUAUCUAUAUUUGAAUUCAAACCCAAAAUAUUAUAAGUCAAAAUUUGACGGGUGUAAAUUUUGAAUACCAAAAUCUAAUUCAUUAAGGUUUUAGUUAUCGAUUUAGAUAAUUAUUAUCUAAUUGAUACAGUAAGGUUUGUGAAAACUUGAAGUUUUGAUAUGUAUAUAAGAAUCUAUCACAAGCACACUAUUUGGAUAACUUAACAUAUAUUUUUAUAAAUUGGUACUGAGAUAGCACUAGGUUUAAGAAGAUGCAUGGCCAUGCUAUACUACAGUACGUAGUGGCUUUAAACCGAAAUAAUAAGAGAUAAUUUGAUGGUUGGUUGAGAUUAAUUUUUUUUUAAAAGAUUCUACAAGUUUUUUUUUUGUGGAAAGCCAUUAUGUCAUUCAUUGGACUAUUAGAUCUUCAAAAAUUAGUCCUAAAAGUUGCUACUUAGACUAAUUUUGUUGUUUUUUUCUAGAUUGUUUUGGAUUUAUUAUUUUAUUUAAGAUUUUAUGUUAGUUUUCUUUAUGAUUUUGAAUUCUAAAUUCUUUUUAUAGAGAUAGGGUUUUCUAGUUUAUUUAAACAUCUUGUAAACAUUUUAAAAAAAACUUAAUAUAUACUUAAUUUUUAGAGAAUAUAACCGUAUUUCAAAUUCAAAUCUACAAUUUAUUUUCUUAUAAAAAUUCUAUUAUCAAAAUCUUGAAGUGGUGGGGGUAAUGACUGCCUCAUAGUAUACAUCAUAAGUGGAUCAGAAAGGGACUCAGACAAGUGUUUUUUUUUUAAUCAAAAUUGAUGUCUUUUUCGGUUUCACUUGCAAACGGAACACCUAUCUCCAAAACCCAUGUUUGCAAAAAUGUAUGCUAUGCGUCAAAAGAUGAAAUCUAUGUGCGAUAGGAUUAGCAAUUUACCUGAUGCACUCCUCCUUCACACACACUCUUUUCUGAGAUGCCAAGGAGUUUUGAUUGGAUACAUUGUUCACUCUUUAUUUCAAAUCAAUUCAAUUUUUCUAAUUUCUAUUUUAGUUUUCUUUAUUUUUAUCCAAUAAACUUUAUUUCUAUUAGAAAAUAUUUGUUUUUCAAAUUAAAAAAAUUAACAUUAAAAGAAAAUUUUAACUAAAAAUAUAUUUUUUUCCCGAGAAUUCAAAUAACUAUCUUUAUUAAUGAAUAUUCAUUUUUAUUUUUAUAUAAUUAAAUAAAAAACAAAAAGCAACCAUGUUAUUAGAUUAAAUAUUUGCAUUUGCAUUUUUUUUAUUUUUUACAAAAAAAAAAAACCCAACUAUUUUAGCCUUUAAUUAGAUUAACCAUUUGAUUUAUUAAUUCAAAUAUUUUUAAUUCGUUUUUUUUUUUUGAAAAUACAAACACCAUCAUUUCAAUUUUGAAUUUAAAAAUUUUAUGCUAUCAAAACACAACUCCACAGAUUCAUGGCUUCUAGUUUUUUUUGUUUUACAUUACAACUUAGUUUGGAAUGUUACCCGUAACUAGUUGGUAUCUAAUGUCUUUAACUGUUUCCCCAUGAAUUUGUAUCUCAAGAGCAGUCUGGUUUGUCAUGUACAUGCACUUCAUGGAAAAUGCUAGCUAGCUGGCACAGGAGCCGAAGAAGAACGAAACUUGGCAUAUUCAUCUUUCAAAAAAAAAAAAAACUUGGCAUAUUAAUUCCACUUUUCAGAAUAAGCUGUGCUUAAGAUUUGUUCUUUAAAAUAUCUUUUAUUUAAAAAUAUAUUAAAAUAAUUUAUUUUUUAUUUUUAAAAUUUUAUUUUUAAUAUAUGAUUUAAAAUCAUAAAAAAUAUUAGAAAAAUUCAAUAAUACUUUUAAAUAUAAAAACAAACACUUUAGAAGUACAAUUUUGAUUAAUAAACAAACCAUCAAAGCAAAUUGUACUUGGAAAAUAAAUUUAUCUGUCCCUAAAUUUUAGUCAUGAAUAGGAAAAUGAAAAUAAAUAAAUAAUGUCAGAGUUUUUAACCACUUCACUUGUGAUGCACAAUUGCACAUUCAUUACAAUAAUAAAUAAAAAAUUGACAAUUGAUUUGGCAACCAACCACAUGAUUUUUAAACAUAUGACGUCACCAAUUUUUUUCAAAAUCAAUAAGAAUGUUUUAAAAAAUACAUCUGAAUUUGAUUUGAUAGAAAAUUUAGAAUUUAUUGUUUCACUAUGACAUCACGUCUUUUACAUUCUUUAAAAUGAACCUGAACACUAAAUACACAAGGAAGAAGAAGCUCAGACCAAUUAGACAAGUGCUCAUGACAAGCCUUAAUGAAGAUUCUAGAACUGCAUAUGUGCCUCUAACGAAUGCAAUAAUCAUUGUACCCAUGCCAAUCAUGGUCGACAACGUGGCAAACAAAAAUAAUUUCCUAGUGGUAUACUUAUUUAUCACUUUAUACUUAUCCACUUCAAGACCAUGAAUCAGCGAAAUCAAAAAGUGGAUAAAGACAACAAAAAUGGAGAGCAUCAUUGACAUUGCAUCUGAGAUGACAAAUACUAUAAAAACAGUUUUUUUAGCUAGAAUAGCAGUGCCUCGGUCACUCUUGUAACCGCCAGGUAGGGUGAAUGCUGCUGCAAAUGUUACGGUUGCUAUCAGCGCCGCAACAACUAGAUGAGACUCUCUUGCUUUACUCAAAGCUUCCUCUUGCUCUUUGUUUUUCUCUUCCUCUUUCUCUUCCAAAACAAAGGGACAGUAAUCAAUCAGUCCACUGCAAACAUCUUUAAGGGAUUCUAGGAUCUCUUUCUGUAAAAAUAUAUAUUUUGAGUAAAAUAUGUUAAGAUAUUAAAAGAGGUUUUAAAAGUAAUUCUUUAUUACUUUCUAGAUUAUUUUUUUAAGUGAAUUUUUGUAAAAAAAAAAAUUCAUAUUAUCUUGCAUUUAAAUUUUAUUAAUUACAAUAGAAAUAGUGAGAUUUGAAUUUAUAAUUGUUUGAUCAAUAAGAUUGUAAUACUAUUUUAAAAAAACUAUCUCAAUCUAAGAAUAUAAACAAAUAAUCCAUCAUUUUUAGCUAUUUAACAUAUAUCAUAUAUCAACUUCCGAGCCUUUGUUUUUGUUUCCACAACUAGUUUGUUUGCAAUCAAAUCCUUUGUGUUACAAAAACUAAUUUGGUUGAAAUUAAACCGCAUGCUUUCCAUUAGUCCAAUUAUCCCCAAAAAGAAAACUAAGAUGUGUGUGUUUGGGGAUGCAUUAAUUAUCACAACAGUUAAUUCAUAGAGGAUUGAUUACUCGUAUCUCUGCAAAAUUUCCGAAAUAUAUGUCGUCGACCCUUAGCUUUCGCUUAUUGAGACCAAUUAGAUGGAAGGGCGUGUUUCCUUUGUCAUCCUUCUUCGUUCCAAGUCUUGCAAGUAAUGGAAUAUUCUCCAGACAUUCCUCGAAUACUGCUAUAUCUUUACUUCCAGAGCAUAGUGAAGGGCAUUCCAGCCUCUGUUAUCAACUAGCUCACAACAAGCUGGACAUCCAGAAACAAUCUCUUCCAUUACGUUUACGUGUCCUCGAAUGGCUGCAAUGUGAAGAGCUGUUCUCUUCUUCUCUGUUUCAGCAAUGUAGGCCGCGGACGCAUCAUAUUCUAGUAAUACUUCCACUAUACGAUUAGGCAAUAUUAAAUAAUAGGCAGCGUAGUGAAGUGGUGACCAGCCGUUCUCAUCGGUUGUUUUCGUCAACGUUUUUUCUUUUUCUAACAAUUUUCUUGCUGUCCCUGAAACCAACAAAACAAGCAAUAAAAGUUAUCCUUCAUGAACAACAGUGAUUUCACUUAUGCCCCGUUUUAUAAUUUCUUUUAGAAAAGUGGUUUCUUGCAAAAUAUUUUUCUAAAAAAUAAAUUAUUUUUCAAUGUUUUGUAGCAUCAUGAAAAAUAAAUUAAAAAAUAUUUUUCAGUAUUUGGCUAUAUCAUUAAAAAUACGCUAGAAAAAAAAUGGUUAAUAUUUUUUUUUCAAGUUUAAUAAAAUAAUGAGAAGCAAAUUUUAUAAAUUAAAAAGUUGAAUGAGAAUAAAAUUUAAAAAUAUAUAUAAUUUCAUAAAUAAUCUCAAAUAAAAUAAAUAACAAUCAAGAUAAUAAAGAUCAAAUCUAAAUAAUAAAAAAAUAGAAAAAUAAUAAAAUUUAAAAAAAUUAUAAUUUCAUAAAUUAUUUCAAAUAAAAUAAAUAACAAUAAAAAAAUAUGGACAAAAUCUUAUAGAUACAAAAAAAUCCAAUUAAUGAUAAGAGAAAAACAAAUAACAAUGAUAAAAAUAAGGAUCAAAGUUGAUAUAAAAAUCAAAUUAAAUCAAAUUUUAAGAGAUGAAAUUUGAAAAAAAAAAUUCAAAAUAAAAUAUAUACCAAUCAAAAGUUUGAGGAUCAAAUUUGAUAUAAUCAGUAAAUAACAUAAUAUUUCUAAAUUUUCAAAAUAAUAUUUCUAAAAUAAUAUUUCUAAAGGACCAAGUUUGAGGACCAAUUCAAAAUAAUAUUUUUAAAGUUUGAGGAACAAAUAUAUAUAAUCUAUGUGAAUUACUAUAUAUCCAAUUCUUAAACUCACAAAGUUUCUUUUUAAAAAAAAAAAAGCUAAUUAUGAAGCAAACACGGAUAUAUAAAAUCAAAUAUAUGUGGAUUUUAAAUUAUAGUUUACACUAUUAUAUAUAAAUUAUUUAAUUUUCCAGACUUGAGCACAAAAUCCUACCACCAGCUCCCUCCCUGAUUGCCUCGUGUAGAGCAGUUCUACCAUUAGGGCCGCCAUAGUCCACUGAAAUGCAAUUAGUUAGGAUUUCACCGAUCACCAAAGUACCCCUGGAAGCAGCAAUAUAAAGUGGAGUUUCUCCAUGAACAUUGGCGGGAUAUGAAAACUAAGGGUCCUCUUUAGUCAAUAUUUCCACCACAUGGCUCCGCCUAUUUCGAGCUGCCUCGUGCAACGCUGUAUCUCCCUCUUCAUUGGUCAUCCUCAACAUCUUUUUUGCUUCUGUUACUCCGCUCUUCGGAUCUGAAGGUAGAGCUUUUGCGAGGUCAAUGAGGACUCUUACCACGUUGGAAUGACCAUAUCUUGCUGCAAAAUGGAGUGGGAUUUCACCUUUCUUAUUGGCUUGGAAUAACAGUGGUGGACACUUUUCAAGAAUUAUUUCAACAAAAUAAGUGGAUUCCGAUUCACUGCUUUGGUUUCCCAAGUAGACAUGAAGAAUGGUGUUCUCGUCUGGAGUCGAUAACUGAUCAAGGCAGGUUUGAUAUUUCUCAAUGGGAUCGAUAUUGCCUGCUUCUGCAGCUUUGAACAAGACAGGAUCCAUACUAUUUUGAGUUUGGCUCUGCGGCUGGCGUUUUAUUGAAAACGCAGCGCGCAGCCAUUUGGUUAAAGAAAAAAGCAUUUUACUGUUUACUAGGCUCCACUUAAAUUCUGCGUUUCCAACGCAGGGAACGGAAAGCAGCUAUUUCAUGCUUUUUUGUUACUGUUCAUGUUAAUUGCACUGUUAAUGAACAGUGGAACUAACAUGAACAUUAUAUAGUGUACUGUUCAUGGAACAGUGCAGGAGAGCUGCACUGUACACUUAACCCCAGUGAACAGUGCAAUUCUCUUGCACUGUUCACUUGCCUGCGUGCCUUUUUUUUUUCUUCUUUUUAACAUUUUAAAAAAAAUAAAUUAGUUUAUAGUGAAAUUUAUACCUGAUAAUAUUUUAAAAGCAUUUUGAAGUUUUAACCAAACACAUUAAACUAUUUUUUCUUUAACUUCAAUUUCAACCAUAGUUUUAACCAAACACCUAUUUUUUCAAACCAAACUCAACUAAAAGUACUUUUAAUAAAACAACUUUUUUUAAAUCACAACCACAACAACUAUCACAAUACCAAACACACUCUUUGUAGCAUAGAGAAACUCACUAAAUGAAAUUUAAGCUAAUGAAGGGAGGAAAAACCACUAUGGCACAAAGGUUAGAGGUUCCACUCCUCAACUGAUCACAAGCUGCUGAUUUCUGUUUGUUGCAUCCCUGGAUAAAGGAGUAUUUAAAUAGCGUGUUAGAUGUUGUUUUUUAAUGUUUUUUAUUUGAAAAUAUAUUAAAUAAUAUAUAUUUUUUAAAAAAAAUUAGUUUUCAUAUCAUGACAAUAAAAUUAUUUAAAAAACUUAAUUUAAAAUAAAAAAACGUUUUUACCCUUUGAGCAGAAACACAGAUUAUAGUGUUUGGUUUGAAAAAAAAAAAAACCUUAAUUUUUAAUAGUGGGUACACCAAAAGCAUCUUUUACAAUUUUUUUUUUCCCCUGUGAUUCACUUGACUGAUUGAGCUGUAUCCUUCUCGCUUUUUAUUGUUGAUAACUUAAACAGACGAAAAUGACCUCCUUCUUCCUUCUCCUCAAUUGAGAGACAAAUCAAGCUAUCAUCAAGAAAACUAGAAUAUCGAUCAUUCUUGAAGGGAUCGAUAUUGCCUUCUUCCGCAGCUUUGAUAUAUCAAAUUAAAAUUAUCUAAAAAUACAAAACAAAUUAAUUUAUAUCCAAAAAAAAUUCAAUUUUUUUUCACAUUUUGAGAAAAAACACAGAUUAUACCACAAUUGUCUAUUUGUUCUAUUUGGCUUUUUUUUUUUUUAAUUGGAACCAUAUAUUUUAAUUUUGAAGUGUUUUAAAAUGUCAUUUCGGGGGUUGUACAACUACAAAUUACUAUCAAGUUGGUGGCUGCAUUAACUAGCUACUAGACAAAUGGUAGGAGAUUUAGUGUUUACUAGUUGGAUGUCUACUGGCGGACUCACUUUUUAUUUUUAUAAAAAAUAAAAAAUUUAUAAUAUAAAAAAUAAUAUUUUUUAAUAUUUUUAAAAAUAUAUUAAUUAUUUUAUUAAUAAUAUUAAUUAUAAUAAAAAUAAUAUUUUUUUAUAACACAAAUAAUAAUAUUUUUAAUAUUCAUACUAUUAAUCAUAAUAAAAAUAAUUAUAUUUAUAACAUAAAUAAUUAUAUUAAGAAUUUCAAGGAUGAUUAUAACACAAAUAAUAAUAUUUUUUACAUCAAUAUUUUGAGUUAUAAUAAAAAAAUAAUAUUUUUAACACAAAUAAUAACAUUAAAAAAACUAACGUGGGGUUGGAUGUGGACGUGGUGACAUCCAGCUUAACAUGAGGUUGGGCAUUGACGCAUUCAGAGUCAACAUGGGGUGGGUCGGGGACGCGUCCUAAUCCAACUUGUGGUCGGGCACGAAUAUUUCUAGGCCCAACCUGGAGUUGGUAAGAUUGUGUCCCCGCACGAGGGCGUGUGCCUUGCUCAUGCCAGGACAAGGUCAAAGGCAAGCCAGCCCCAACACCACGUGGCGUGUGGCCUGCCCUAACACAUGGACAGGUCAACCCAAACGCCUGGUGUCCUCACUUGGGGGCGUGGGUCUGGCUGACAUCUUGAGCAGCCUCACCAAAACUUCAAAUGACAAUUUUCUCCUUAACUAACACUUCAAUGUCAAAUACAUCUCAUAAAAAAUAUAUCCCCACCCCUCACUCGCUGCCCUUGCAACUCUUUAUGGCAAGGUUGAGCUGUUAUUAUAGUACUCCAAUCCAUAGUGCUCUAAGUCUAGGUAAACAGUAAGAGGAGCACUGAACCCUUUUAGUAUAUAGUGUAAUUUGAUAUUAUAAUUAAUUGUAUUUUUUAAAAAAUAUUUUUUGUUUGAAAAUAUAUUAAGAUAAUAGUUUUUAGAUUUUUUUAUUUUUAAAAUCAAUACAUUAAAAUUAUUAAUGAAACAUACUAAUAAAAACAUAAAUUUGAUUUGUUUUAAAAAAACUCUUUUAAAAAUAACAGUGGUGGACACCUUUCAAGAAUUUUAUCAACAAAAUCAAUGAAUUCCGGUUCACUGCUUUGGUUUUUCAAGUAAACAUGAAGAAUGGUGUUCUCGUCUGGUGUCAAUAACUGAUCAAGGCAGGUUUGACAAUUCUCGAAGGUUCCACCCCUCAACUGAUCACAAGCUGCUGAUUUAUGUGGUUUGUUGCCUCCCUGGAUGAAGGGGUAUUUGAGAGAGUGUCAAAUAUUGUUUUUUUUUUUUUAAUAUUUUUAAUUUUAAAAAAAUAUUUUUUAUUUUAAAAAAAUAUUAUUUUUAAUAUCAUCACAAUAAAAUUAUUUAAAAAUAUCUAAAUUUUUUCUUUAUGUUUAUGUUUUGAGCACAAACACGGAUUACAGUGUCUGGAUAAAACAAAAAACUUAGUUUUUAUAAGUGGUCUUUUACGAAGCUUUUUUAUUUCCUGUGGUUCACGUGACUGACUGUGCUGUAUCGUUCUUGCUUUUAACAGUUAAUAACAUAAACAGAAGAAAAUGAGCUCCUUCUCCGUUCUCCACAAUUGAGAGACGAAAAAAAUUAUAGCAUUCUUAGUGCGCCCAAUAAAACCUUCAGCAUCCAUAAAAUCAGAUCUUAAUUGCAUGACUCUGAGCAGUGGCGGAGCCAGGAUUUUUUAAAUGAGGGGGCAAAUUACUAACAAAUAUUUGAUAUUAUAUAUUAUAUAUUAUACAUACAUGUGUUAUAUAUAGAAAUUAAUUUGAAAUAUAUAUACCAACUCAAGUUAAGCAAAAUUAAUUUAAGAAUACUUUUAAAAUAAAAAAACUUACAUUAUAAUUGUUCUUUUCGAGAUUUAAUAUUUUAAAACUGUUUCAUAAUGAUUUUAUUUUUAAUCUCAUUAAAAAUAUCUUUCUCAAUAUAUAUAACAAAUUUUAUUUAUUUAUUUCUAAAUUUUUCAAGGAUUGAGAAAGUUUUUGGCAGUAAUUUUAUGCUGACAUAUAGUACAUAAUAUCUAAAAUCAUAGCUUAAAAGGAUUGUCAUAAAUUAAUGUUGUUCUUGCUAGCUUGUUGUUUUGUACAAGUGAAUUAAACAUACAUAUUAAAUAUAUAUUUUUUAAUUUAUUUAUUAUGUCCUUAAUUUUUUUAGUUCCUGUAUUUCAUUUUUAAUCAUUAAUAAAUUUAUUAUUAUCAUUUUUCAUAUGAAAUUCAUAAUAAAUACUACCAGUUCAUCAAAACUCAUUUCAUUUCAUAUCUAUUAGCAUAUAAUAUUAUCCAUACACAUAUUAAUUCAACAAACCCAUAAAUUAUUAUAAACCCUAACAUUUUCAAAUAAAACUAAAAUUAUAUAAUAAAAUAAAUAAAAAAGUAAUUUGGAUAUUGAUUUAUCUACUAUUAAUUUAUAUAAAUCAUUUAAAAAAAGUAACAAUUUUAUACCAUGAAAUAAUUAAAGUGGAAUCAAUAGUAGCAUUGAUGAAUCGGACUAUCAAAGAGAGGACCAAAGACAUUCAUCUUUGUGCUUUUUCCUCGCCAUCAAAUGCUUCUCUUGCUGUGGAGGGUUUCUAAUUAAUUGGGAGGGGGAGGGGGCAAUUGCCCCCUCUUGCCCCUACGUGGCUCCGCCACUGACUCUGAGCCAGAGGAUACAAAUUCAAAGCCAAAGGUGAUACAAGAAACGCAAUCAAAUUUUCCCCAACGCCAAGAGAAAGGAAAUUAAGUGGUCCAGCUCUAACCAUAAGAAAAACGAGUGAAGACAAAAAAGAUGCAAUUAAGUAGGGAAGAGAAAUUGACGUCGAGGAAGACAAGCUAGGACAAUCAUUAUGAGUGUCUUUAUGUUCAAGAGCAGCUGCAACACACGAAGAAGGCCAAGCUACUUCAAAAAUUGAACUUUCCACGAAGGUUGUCAGUCAAAUUUAAAUUUUAGACUUUGGAUCCUAGGCAAGGAUUAAAGGAACGGUUGGUAUGCAUCACUGUCAUAGGGUUAACAUUAAUCGUUUCUUAGUUAUUUGGAGAUUUUUAUUUAUUUGAUGCUCAUAAUAGUUCCUUUUUAAUUGUUGAUAUUAUAAUUGUUUUUUUAAUUAAAACUCUCGGAAUUUGUUUAACAUUUGAAGAUAGGUUAUUAUAAAACUAAUUAUCAUAUCACACUUAAUAAGUCACUUUAAUAUUAUGCAUCUAGUAGUCACAAUUUUUUCUUUAAUUUAUAUCUAUCAUAAAUUUUUAUUGCCAAUUUUAAGAAAUUCAAUAUAGGUUAAAAUUUUCUAGCAGGCAUCUCGAGUUUCUCAAGUUGGCUUACUUGGCGCAGGCGAGGCAAGGCAUCCUUGGAUCCGAGUUUGAGGCCUAUCGCCCCCUCCUGUAAACAAAUUGUUGGCAACUUCCCUGAGACGCAAAUAUUGGUUGAUUGCUCCACUUGUGAAUCUCGGUUGCAAAUGAACCCCUUUUUUUUUCAAUGGUGAGUUGAUUUGCCAAGUUACUGAGUUGAUUUGCAAACCCGUCCAGCUACUGAGUUGAUUUGCCAAGUUUAAUAACUAUACUAUAAACAGCUUCUGCACGUUCAAUGAGGAGUUUUACCACAUUGGAAUGGCCAUAUCUUGCUGCCAAAUGGAGGGGGGUUUCUCCUUUUUUAUUGGCUUGGAAUAACAGUGGUGGACACCUUUCAAGAAUUUUAUAAACAAAAUCAGUGGAUUCCGGUUCCGUCGUUUGGUUUCUUAAGUAGACAAGAAGAAUGGUGUUCUCGUCUGGAGUCAAUAACUGAUCAAGGCAAGUUUGACAAUUCUCAAAGGGAUCGAUAUUGCCUUCUUCCGCAGCUUUGUACAAGACAUGAUCCAUAUAGAUGAUGCUAUUCAUUUUCUCAGAAGAAUCCAUAAAAUCAAAUUCACUCAUAACCAAAAAAAAUCAAAAACUUUUGUACGUUUUGAGCAGAAACACAGAUUAUACCACGAUUGUCUAUAUUUUAUUAUAGUUGGAGUUUUAUUUUUUCAAUUGGAACCAGAUAUUUUAAUUUUGAAGCAUUUUAAAAUAUCAGGUUGUACUACUACAAGUUACUAUCAAGUAGGUGGCUGCAUUAACUAGCUAUAGUAGAUAAAAUUGCAUGAGAAUUAAGUUUAUUAUAAUUUUAAAAAAUAUUUUUUAUUUAAAAAUAUAUUAAGAUAUUAUUUUUUAUAACUUGUUUUUUAAAUCAAUACAUCCAAACUAUUAAAAAAUAAUAAUAAAAACGUAAAUUUAAUUUGUUUUUAAAAAAUAUAUAAAAACAAAAGCAAUCUCUUUGUUAUGGUUAGAAUUAUCAAGGACAAUGUAGUUAAUUUUAAAGAUCUGUUUAAAAGUAUGAUAAAUAUUAUUUUUUAAAGUAUUUUUUAUUUAAAAAUAUAUUAAAAUAAUAUUGUUUUAUUAAUUUUUAAAAUUUAAUUUUAUAUCAUUUAAAAACAUAAAAUAUAAUUUAAUUUCAAACUAAAAAAAUUAAAAAUUUUAGAAAAAUAUUUCACACAUCUAAGACUUGAAGAUAAGGAGACUGUGGUCCAGCUCUAACCAUAAGAAAAACGAGUGAAGACAGAAAAGAUACAAGUGGGGCAGAGAAAUUGACGUUGAGGAAGACAAGCUAGGACAAUCAUUAUGAGUAUGUUUAUGUUCAAGAGACAAGAAGGUCAAGCUACUUUAAAAAUUGAACUUUCCACGAAGGUUGUCAGUCAAAUUUAAAUUUUAGACUUGGGUCCAAGGCAAGAAUUAAAGGAACGGUUGGUAUGCAUCACUGUCAUGAUAAAUAGGGUUUACAUUAUUAGUUUCUUAGUUAUUUGGAGAUUUUUAUUUAUUUGAUGCACAUAAUAGUUUCUUUUUAAUUGUUGAUAUUAUAAUUAUUUUUUUAAUUAAAACUCUUGAAAUUUGUUUAACAUUUGAACAUAGGUUAUCAUAUCACACAUGAUAUGUCACUUUAAUAUUAUGCAUCUAGUUGUCACAUUUUUUUCUCUAAUUUAUAUCUAUCAUAAAUUUUUAUUGCCAAUUUUAAGAAUUUCAAUACAGGUUAAAAUUUUCUACCAGGCAUCUCGAAUUUUCCCCGUCGGCUUACUUGGCGCAGGCUAGGCAUCCUUGGAUCCGAGUUUGAGGCCUAUCGCCCCCUCCCGUAAGCAAAUUGUUGGCAACUUCCCUGAGACUCUUUUAACCAUGUGACGUGAAACUUGUAAGAGUAAUUUGUAUAUUGAUGGAGUGUAGGUACUGAUGAGAAAAAUGCUCAGUAAUUACUGCAUUUCUUGUUCCGCAUACUGGAAAUGUUGAUGAAAUUGUUGUUUUGUUCAUUAUAAUUGUAAUAUCAUGAAAUUGCAGUGCUGUCUGGGGAUCAUGUUAUAUUAUAUGGUAUCUUUUCAGCAUGUCACUCAAAACCAAUUGGACUACCCUAAAAAUUAUAUUAUAUACAUAUGAUUUAAUGAACCCAAUUGUUAAUAAACGUUUCUUGACAGUAAUAACAUGAAUUCAGGUUGUAUAUACGAAACUUGAAUAAAAGAAAAAAGUUCAAUAUUGGAGAGGAUCUUGCCAAUUUUCCAACUUAACACCCAGUCCUUGGACUCAGAUGAGAUCACGUAAUGAUCUUAUACACUGAUGGCAAGCCCGAUAAAGAUUCUAGAAUUGCAUAUGUGACUGUGAUGAAUGCACUUUACCACAACCAAAAAACAAACAAAUAAAUAAAAUUAUAGCAUUCUUAAUUAGUACGCCCAAUAAAACCUUCAGCAUCCAUAAAAUCAUAUCUUAAUCGCAUAACUCUGAGCCAGAGGAUACAAAUUCAAAGCCAAAGGUGAUACAAGAAACACAAUCAAAUUUGCCCCAACGCCAAGAUAAAGGAAAUUUCAAUCACCCCUUCUUGCUAGUCUACACUGUCAUCACCUCGUACCAAUUUUGUUUUAGUUGGCGUUUAAUUUUUAGUUGGUAUUUUAAUUUUGAAGUGUUUUCGAAUUUCGAGGUUGUAGUAUUUUAAAGUUACUAUCAGGUAAGUGGCUGCAUUAAUUAGCUACUAGACAAAAUUGCAUGAGAUUUGGAGAGUGUUUCGGAGUGCUUUUCAAAAGCAUUUAUAAAAAAAUUUGAAAAUUUUUUAUUUUUUAUUUUGAAUUAAUAUGUUUUUGAUGUUUUCAAAUCAUUUUGAUAUGCUGAUCUCAAAAAUAAUUUUUAAAAAAUAAAAUAAUAUUAUUGACAUGCUUUUUUGAGUGAAAAACACUUUGAAAAGCAACAACAACCACACUCUCAAACACGUUUUUGAUGAAUAUUUGAACUAUUUUUUAAAUGUUUUUUUAUAUAUUAAAAUAAUAUUUUUUGAAAUUUUUUAUUUUAAAAUUAAUAUAUCAAAACCAUUAAAAAACACUGAAAUACAUAUAAAUUUAAUUUUUUUAAAAAAAAAAACUUUUAAAAAAUAUAUACAACCAAAAGGAAUCUCUUUUCUAUUGUUAGAGAAUAUAAUUUAGGGUGCUUGUUUGUUCGGAAUUCCAAACUUUCAUGUGUUUUUUUGCUAUUAAAAAAGUUGGUCAACGAAAAACACUUUUCAGUAAAAAACAGUUGGCUUGAUUUUCAAGAAAAUAUUUUCCUUUUAUUUUGGACGAAAAACACUUUCCAAAAGUUGUGAAAAAUUUUAAAAUAUCAUAUUAUUUGCUGAUUAUAUAAAAUUUGGUCCUCAAACUUUUGAUUGAUAUAUAUUUUGUAUGAAUCUUUUUUUUUUCAAUUUUAUCCCUAAAAAUUUGAUUUAAUUUGAUUUUUAUAUUAACUUUGAUCAUCAUUUUUAUGAUUGUUAUUUGUUUUUCUCUUAUUAUUUUUUUAAUUGAAAUUUUUCAUCUAUUAAAUUUGGUCCUUAUUGUCUUUAUUGUUACUUAUUUUAUUUGAAAUUAUUUAUGAAAAUAAAAUUAUUAUUAUUUUAAUUUCAUCAUCUUUUAAAUUUUUUAUUUGUUAAAUUUGAUCUCUAUUAUUUUGAUUAUUAUUUAUUUUAUUUGAGAUAAUUUAUGAAAUUAGAUUUUUUUUUAAUUUUAUUUUUAUUCAACUUUUUAAUUUAUAAGAUUUAUUCCUCAUUAUUUUAAUAAACUUGAAAAAAAAAACAUUAAUAAGUUAUUAUUCAGUUCAUUUUUCAUAACAUAACCAAACACUGAAAAAAAAUAUUUUUCUAUUUAUUUUUCAUUACACUACCAAAUUUCAUUAAAUAAUUUAUUUUUCAACAAUUUAAUAUUUUUUUUAAAAAACCACUUUAUAAAAGAAAAUUCAGCGCUUUAAUUUCAAACUAAAAAAAAUAAAAAUUUUAAAAAACAUGUUUAACGCAUCUGACUUUUAGAUAAGGAGAUUGUGGUCCAGCUCUAACCAUAAGAAAAACGAGUGGACAGAAAUGAUGCAAGUGUAGCAGAGAAAUUGACGUCGAGGAAGAAAAGCUAGGACAAUCAUACUGAGUAUGUUCAUGUUCAAGAACUUCUGCAAUACACGAAGGUUGCCAGCCAAAUUUAAAUUUUAGCCUUGGAUCCAAUGCAAGAACUAAAGGAACGGUUGGUAUGCAUCGUUGUCAUAAAUAAUGAGUACCACUUUUUGGUGCAGCUUUUUCUGCCACUUUGAAUUUAAGAAUAUAGUUGGCUGAAUUGCCUCUGAAUUUAUUGUAAUAGAUCAUCAACUUUAUCUUGUCUCGUAGCCUUUGUCACAUGUUCACACGGUGGAAAGUAUGAAUGCACUUGGACAAAAAUAACAGCAAAGACAAAGAACACAAGUCUAUUAUUUCCUAAGCAUGUAAUUUAACUUCUUAAGAAAUCAUCUCUAGUCAAGAAGUUACAUUUGUUUUUACUACUCUUAUUUAAUAAAAAUAUUAAACAACUAUUUCAACUUAAAAAUUUAAAUUUAUUUUUAUACUUUGUUUUACAUUUUUUGAACAUAUAAAAAUUUAAAUUGUUUGUGAAACUUCUAGAAUCAUUUUUAUUCUAUUCUCUCACAGAACUCAGACAGCUUCCUCUUCUUUAUUUAUUUUUCCAUAUUGAUGAAUUAGUAUAAAUAGGCUUACAAGCCUAGCUAGUAAAUGGAACUAGCCAAAAUAGUUACUUCUAUCAACAACCAUUUUCAAUAAACAACAGUCAUACAAGAUGAAUUCCUCUGAUCAACAAAUGAAUAGCAUCACUUACAUGGAACCAAAAUUGUACAAAGCUGCAGCAAAAGGCAACAUCAACCCAUUUAAUGAUCGUCUUACAACUUCUCUCAAUGAGCUAUUGACUCCAAAAAAGAACACAAUUCUUCAUGUGUACUUAGAAAACCAACGUAGAGGAUCGAAAUCCACUGAUUUUGUUGGCCAAAUUAUUGAUAUGUGUCCACAACUGCUAUUGCAAGCCAAUACUAAAGGCGAAACUCCACUACAUUUUGCGGCAAGAUAUGGGCAUUCCAAUGCAGUGAAAGUCCUGAUUGACCGCGCAAAAAAGCUAGCUAUAGAUCCUGAGAACGGGCCAGCAGAAGAAAAGAAUAUGUUGAGGAUGACGAAUGAAGAGCAAGAUACAGCGUUGCAUGUGGCAGCUCGACAUAUCCAAGCCCAAGUGGUGGAAAUAUUGACAAAAGAGGACCCUGAGUUUUCAUAUUCCGCCAAUGUUCAUGGAGAAACUCCACUUUAUAUUGCUGCCAAUAUGAGGUUUGUGAACUUUUUUUUUUGUCUCAAACAGAGUUUGAUACCGAUUCGAUACUAUAAGUGACCAACAUCUUUUUUUUUCUUUUAAUAUUUACUAGAUUAAUCAAUUUUUUACUAAUCUAUUUAUCAAUCUAGAAUACUAUCAUUUUAAGAUUAUAUAAAUGUAAUUGUUAAUUAAUUUUAAUUUGUACAGCUUUAUAAUGUUAAAGUAAAUCUGUUUUUUAAAUUAUCAUAAAAGAUAUUAGGAUUUUACCUGCUUAUUUUUUUUUAUGCUAUAUAUGUUAUUGAACUCGAGACAUAUUAAUUCAAUAAAAAACAGCAAAAUUUAAUGGUUUUUAAUUCUCUUUUAUAAAGCAAACUUCCCAGAAAGGCAAGAGAGUUUUGAAGGGGAAAAAAAAAUAAAAAGGAAAAGAAUUUUGAUAAUAUUAAUUAGCAUUUUUUUUUAUCUCUUAUAAAAGAGAAUAUUGAUACUUUAACACUCGUGUACAUCAAAAAAAUCUUGCUACAUCAGUAUUUAUUGGACUUAAAAUGUUAAUAAAAAUCACAUAUAUCUAAUUAUGAUUAUAUUGCUGCCAAUGUAAGGUUUAAUAGGAAGUUAAAAAGACAUGAAGAACAUAGAAAAAAAGUGAUCGAAAUCUUGAGUAGUUGCAAGUCAGUGGAAUAUUGUGGUUCUCAUGGCAGAACCGCACUACACGCGGCAGCCAUGCAUGGUGAUCAUGGUAAGAUUUUUUUCUGAACUGUAAAUCUUUGAAUUCAUAAAUUAUUAUCGGAAACCAUAACUGUGAGAAGUGUGUUCUUAUCUUAAAUUAUUUCUUAUCUGUUUGCCAUUUUAUUGUACUCAUUUAUUUUAUGUUUCUUAAAAAAAAUCUUAUUUUAACCUUUAGGAUAUUGUUGUUUUCAUUUAUUGUUCAUUUGUCAAAUUCUUCGUUUACUCUAUCACAUUUAUUUGAUAUAUAUAGAAGUUAAUAAAGGUGAAAAAAAAAACAAAAAUAUUCAUUUUAUGUUUGUUAAAUUAAAGGUUAGAUUGUAUUUAUUACUUGUAUAAUUCAUUGGAAGAUACAAGGUAAAGAAAAUACAUAUUAAGAAGACAAUGAAUUUCCUAGUCUAUUUAAUUAAGGACUUAUUUGCAUGAUUAUAUAUAAGAUUUUAGGACCAAAAUGUUCUUAUAUACGUUUGAAUGUAAGGAAUGUAUAUGACAAGUAUGUGUGGGAGAAUCAUUUCCCUUACAUAAAUAAAUAAAUAAAUAAAUAACACUAAUGAAUUAUUAGAUUAGUAAGACUAUUGGAUUCUACUUUAAAAUGAUAAUUAAAGGCUCAUAAUAAUAUUGAAUUUUAUUCUUGUUGUUUAUAGUUUUUCUUAAGAACUUUGGUCAUCUAGUUCAAAUGAAGUUGGAGUUGGUGACAUUUCCAUAUUAUUAUUUUAAAUAUGACCAAAUAAUAAGAACCAAUAAAAAUAUGAUGCAUAAACAAUAUUGAAUAGCGACUAUAAGAACCAAAUAACUUAAUUAGAAAGCAAGAAAGGGCAUUUAUAAUACAAUUGAAGAGAGAAAAAUGCCAAAUUAAAUAUUAACUUAUCACUAAAUUAGUAGCGUAGAUAACGCAUUAACUAUAAUAUUAUUCAUAUAUUACUUAAUAUGUACCAUAUUUUUUCUUAUGGUUUAUUGCAGAGACAGCAAUAAAUAUAUUACAAAGCAACGCGAGUUUGACGAGAAGAACCGACGAUGACGGGUGGUCACCACUUCACUACGCUGCCUUUUUCCCUUUUUCAUAUACUGGUUUUGUAACAGUAAUAGAACUACUAAAACAUGAUGUGUCCGCAGCCUACAUUGUUGAUUCAGAGAAGAGAACAGCCCUUCACUUGGCUGCCGUUCGAGGCAAUAUGGCAGUAAUGGAAGAGAUUAUGAAGACUUGUCCAGCUUGUUGUGAACUAGUGGAUAGCAGAGGUCGGAAUGCCCUUCACUAUGCUGCCAUAACUCUAAGAGGAGCACUUACAGCUAUGUCUUUCCCUCGAUCGAUUCCUAAAUUUGAGAAACUUAUAUACGAGAAGGAUAACGAUGGAAACACACCAUUGCAUCUAUUUGCUGCUUUCGGCAGUUUUACCCAGAAGAGUAGUGAUUGGAUACAUGCGUGCAAGAAGAUGUGUGGCCUUAACAAGCAAAAGCUCAGCGUUGAUGACAUCUUGGUAGGAAAUUUUCCUGAAGAAAAGGUAAUUCCCUCGAUUUGACUUUUUAACGAGUCGCACUCGUACACGCGAAAGAGUCUUUGCAUUUGAAAAAGCUUGCUAACUUACCAAGACAAAUUAAAUUUAAUAUGUCAUAGGAAUGAUGUAAGAUUAUUUUCAUAAAUAUCAAAGGAUGCAUCAAGAGAAUUUAUAAUAUUCAUUCAAUCUUGUUAAAAAAAAAAAACUUCAACUCUAACAAUAAACACGCGUGCACCUUUAAUAAAUCACAUCAAUCAAACAUAAAUUCACUUGGAUUGUCUCCCUUUUUUAAAAAAAUAAAAUAAAAAUAGAAUAGAAAUCCUUUUGGCAAUAUAACAAAAUUAUACCUUCAACUUCAACACGUAUUUUUAAUUGACUAACACUAUUUGCUUUGAGCCUGUUUGGCUCUACGGUUCAACCUGUGUUUUCAUAAAUUUUAAAUUUUAUUUUUUUGCUAAAAUUAAAUGCGGUUUGUAUCUUUUGAAUCAUUUUGAUGUGCUGAUAUCAAAAAUAAUUUUUAAAAAAUAAAAAAACAUCAUUGGCAUGCAUUUUGUCCCCUAGACUGAUGUUGGUUUCUUUUAUUUGUUUGUUUUAUGGUGUGUUUGAUAUUUUAAUUGAUUAAAAUAAUUUUUUUAUUUUUAAUAUAAACAUAUUAAAAAUAUUAAAACACGCUAAAAAAAUUAAUUUGAUUUGUUUCCAAACCAGACCCUUUUAAAUCAUACUUAAAAAUAAUUUAAAAUUAAAAAACAAACAGCCCUCGUAGCAACAAAAGCAAUAUAUAUUGUUGGUAGCUAAAAGAAACAAAAUUACUUGAUUUCAAACUCGCUGGUUAUGAUAGCAAACAAAGGUUGAGAGUCUACAGAUGAUAAAGGAAAAGAAAGAUUCGUUUAAUUUCACAGCCGAAACUUGUUGCAGAAAAAGAUUUUGGAAUCAUUGAAAGAUGUACGGAGUGGACCGCUUCAACGGCCCAUACCUAUGAUGAAAGAAGUGAACCUCUCUAGUACUGAGAUUGGAAUGGAGACUCGUGUACUUGUAGCGGCACUCGUAGCAACAGUAACAUUUGCAGCUGCUUUCACGAUGCCUGGCGGUUACAAGAACGAACAAGGCACUCCAGUUCUUCUUAAAAAUGCUGCUUUUGCAGUCUUUGUUAUAUCAGAUACAACAGCAAUGGUUCUCUCAAUUUCUGCCCUCUACAUAUACUUUUAUUGGGCAGUGAUUGGAAAAAGAGGUCAAGUGGAACAGAAUAUAAAAGAAAACUUCUCUGACUGGACAUCUGCUUUAACCGCAUAUGCCAUCCUAGCUAUGCUCAUCGCAUUCAUCACAGGAAGUUAUGCAGUGCUAGCUCCAUCAUCAUGGCUUGCAAUCACGACUUGUUUCAUUGGUGUAGUCUACGUCUUCUUUGCGUCCACGGCAUACAUAGUUGACGUACGCACCAUUAUAAAAUAUUGGAAAUAUUGAAGAAGAUUGAUUAUCAUUUAGCUCGUGUUAUAAACUAUCUUCUCGUCAUCUUCUUUAUGGCAUCAGCUGUAACGUUGGUUUUAUUUAUCAAGUUAAUUUACCUUGCUUUUCACAAGUACAAUGAUCGAAAAAUUCAAUUUUGGCACUUGGGAAGUGGUACUGAGCCAUAGAAUGACGGCUAACAAGUUCACCAUUGAUUCUAGAUGAAUGGCACUGAGCCAUAAUUUUCAAAGGACUUGAAUUUCUAAUAUAUAUAUAUAUAUAUAUAUAUAUAUUGAUUAGAAUUUCCAUUAAUUGCUGAACGGUAAUUCGGACUUCAAUUUCUACACAUUGCAACUUCAUUCACCUUCCCAACUUUUUGUUUAACCGAAAUCAUUCUCAUGAAAUGCAAAACAUUCUUUUACGAGAACAAAAAUAAAUAAAAAAAGUAACAAAGGAAAAUUUUACGACAGGCACAAGAAAAACCAUAAUAAAAAAAAGGAGGAAAAUGGGUAUAUAAAACAGCAGAACAUAAACAUUUUGAGAAAUUAAUGAAUUAAUGAUGUAGUGCUAUGAUUUAACUCCGAUCUAGUGGGUUAUGAAGGAAAUGAAGCUGAUGACAACACCCAAUGUCUGAGAUUUUCAGACCCUAAUUCCACUGACAAGGUGUAAAGAGUGUAGUUAAAACACAAUUUGAACAACGGAGACAAAAAAAAUAAAAAUCAAUUUAUGUUUAUGUUUAGUGUGUUUUAAGACUAAAUAAUUUGUUUUAUUUUGUGUUUGGUUAGCAUUAGUCAAGACACAAGUAAAAAAUAAUUAGUGGAAGAAUUAAUCUAACUUGAACCCGAUCAAAAAUUCAAGUUGACCUACUAUAAAGUUUACUCGAAAUAAAACACUAAUAAAAACUUUUAAUUUUUUUUAUCAAAAUAAAAUUAUUUUAAUUUAUUUUUAAUUUAUAUCAACUUAAAUUGACUUUCCUAUUGACCUUCCUCCUAACUCAUGAUUAGGCCUUAUCUCACAUUAACUCUUAGGUUAGAUUUUAAAACAACUAUAACAAAUAUUUUGAUUUAUAUAUUAAUUUUAUUCAAUUAGGUAACCUUCCUAACACGUAAUCAAAAUCUUGCAUUGAAUUAUUAUUUAUAUUGAGUUUUAUAUUCACUCAGAUUAACGAUGAACAUGAUGUGUGAAUCAAAUGUUAUAUUAUUUAAAUUUUAAAAUUAUAAUAAUUAUUAUUUUUAUUUUUAUAUUAAUACAGAUCAAUCCGGUUAAUUCUUAUGCAAAACAUUUAACAAUCUAGCUUAUUCUACUCCUUUUAAUAAACAAAAAUUUCUCCACUGGCCUUGUUUAGAACAAAAAGUAAAUACUCCAAAAAAACUUCACAAAAAGAUUAUACCAUCCAAUCCAUUUUUUACAGCAUAUCGAACACUACAUGAAUUUCAAAAUAAAAAAUUACCUCAGUUAAAUCCAUUAAUAUCAUAGUAAUGUAGCUUCCACCAAGUAGGUUCUCCCUGAUAAACAGGGACAUGGCUCCACUACACCUUCAACAAAUUGGAUUAUAUCAUCAUAGGCAAUCUUACAUUACAAUUUUGCUCAAACCAAAAAUUAGCAUAGCCAAGUCUCAAAAACCUUAAACCUCCUAAAUAUUACUUAACAUUAAAAAUAGAUAUACAAGGAAUUCAUGAAUGGAUGCAAUGUAAUAAGCUAUUCAAACUAUUUUGUAUCUAUAAAUUAAAUGGCUCAAAGUUAUAACAGCUCUAACAAUCAAGAAUUUUCAGUAGCAGAACUGGCAUUAAAGUUGUAUAUUAAUCAUCACUGCCAAAAAUUUCUGGAAAAAAGCAUAACUUUAAUCACAGAGCAAACAGAACCCAAGAUCGAUCAAUAAAACGAAAACUUGAUGAAUCCAAUCAAAACUUGAUUUAUCUCUUUGCUUCAUUGAUUUCUCUCAGAAGAGCGAUAAAUGCAAUCUAAUAAUCGCCAACAAAUUUAAUAACAUAAAACAAUCAAAACUUGAUGAAUUUGGAGGGAUGUUUUAGAGGCAAAACCAUUGACACAAAGGGCAUAAGCCCCACGUGAACACCACCAAACAAAACUCAAUCCUUGCCUCAGUGACUAGCUUAAUGUCCACCAUAGUUCUCAAAAAAACAAGCUAGGGGUACAGAGAGUCAGCAAAAAAACACAUACCCAGAUAAAAAAAAAUGAAAAAUUUUAAAAAAAAUAAGAGAUGUAGUCGUUGAUUUGACACAGAUAACCCAGGGAAAAAGGUACGAGAGGCUAAACUCAAUGGAGUCCAUAACUCGGAUUGCAGGUUUAGUAGGUUAGGCUACAAAGCUCAAGAUAUUAUCGUCUCAAUAUUAAAAAAAAAAUAUCGUAUUGAAAUUUUAAAUUAAAUAUUAAAGAUAGAAGCACCGAAAUAUUAUGAAGAGAAGAGAACAGCCCUUCACUUGGCCGUCGUUCGAGGCAAUAUGACAGCAAUGGAAGCGAUUAUGAAGACUUGUCCAGCUUGUUGUGAACUAGUGGAUAGCAGAGGUCGGAAUGCCCUUCACUAUGCUGCCAUAACUCUAAAAGGAGUACUUACAGCUAUGUCUUUCCCUCGAUCGAUUCCUAAAUUUGAGAAACUUAUAUACGAGAAGGAUAACGAUGGAAACACACCAUUGCAUCUAUUUGCUGCUUUCGGCAGUUUUCCCCAGAGGUAUUUGAGGAGUGAUUGGAGACAUGCGUCCAAGAAGAUGUGUGGCCUUAACAAGCAAAACCUCAGCGUUGAUGACAUCUUGGAAGGACAUUUUCCUGAAGAAAAGGUAAUUCCCUCGAUUUGACUUUUUAACCGAGUCGCACUCGUACACGCGAAAGACUCUUUGCAUUUGAAAAAGCUCGCUAACUUACCAAAACAAAUUAAAUUUAAAAAUUAUCAUAGGAAUGAUGUAAGAUUAUUUUCAUAAAUAUCAAAGGACGCAUCAAGAGAAUUUAUAAUAUUCAUUCAAUCUUGUUAAAAAAAAAAAAAAAAACUUCAACUAUAACAAUAAAUACGUAUGCACCUUUAAUAAAUCACAUCAAUCAAACAUAAAUUCACUUGGAUUGUCUCCCUAUUUUAAAAAAAUAAAAUAAAAAUAGAAUAGAAAUCCUUUUGGCAAUAUAACAAAAUUAUACCUUCAACUUCAACACGUAUUUUUAAUUGAUUAACACUAUUUGCUUUGUCCCCUAGACUGAUGUUGGUUUUUUUAUUUGUUUGUUUUAUGGUGUGUUUGAUAUUUUAAUUGAUUAAAAUAUUUUUAUUUUAUUUUUAAUAUAAACACAUUAAAAAUAUUAAAACACUAUAAAAAAUUUAAUUUAAUUUUUUUCUCAGAAAGACACUUUUAAAUCAUAUCUAAAAACAAUUUAAAACUAAAAAAACAAACAGCCCUCGUAGCAACAAAAGCAAUAUAUAUAUAUUGGUGCUAGCUAAAAGAAACAAAAUUACUUGAUUUCAAACUCGCUGGUUAUGAUAGCAAACAAAGGUUGAGAGUCUACAUAUGAUAAUGGAAAAGAAAGAUUCGUUUAAUUUCAUAGCCGAAACUUGUUGCAGAAAGAGUUUUUGGAAUCAUUGAAAGAUGUACGGAGUGGACCGCUUCAACGGCCCAUAGCUAUGAUCAUAGGCGGAGGCAUGCCAAAGGCUAGGGUGGGCUUUAGCCUAGGUCAAGAUUUUAUCAAUAUUUUUUUAACUAGUUUUAUACAAAAACAAUUUAUAAUUCUCAAUUAAAUUAUCAAAAAAUUCUGAAAAUUUACGUGGAGCCUUCUAAUAUGAUGUUUUAGCUUGGGUUAAAAUUUCAGAAUUUUUAAAAAAAUUUAGAAAUUUGAUGAAAAAUCAUAAUUUGAUCGGUUUUACGUUAUUAGAUGUAAUUUUCAAUACGACCAUCAGAUCGAGUUGAAAUUUUACGAGGGAUCUUAAAAUAUAUUGAAUAAAAUCUAGUUAAGAGUUUAGGAUGAACGGAGCUUAGUAGUGCUAACAAAAAAAAAGAUCGUCAAAUAAAAACAAAAUGACUCAUUAAAAGUAAAAUGGUUAUUUGCCAUUAAAAAAUAAAACAAAUCAGCUACUCCUUCCUUUUAUAUGUUGCCGACUAAGCAGAAGCAGAAUAGAAGAAGAAAGAAAAGAAAAGGCAAGAAAGAAAUAGAAAAAAGUAAGGGAAAAACAUUAAAAAAUUCCAAGGAAAAAUAUAAGAAGUGAGAAAAUAACCUUGUAAACUAACGAAGUCCAACUUAUAAAAUACUAAUCUAGAGAAGAAUCAAGUGAAUGAAGAAGGAAUUAAAAGAGGAAAAAAAUUUAAUUACUUUGUUUUUCAGUUGACAUGAGAUUGUUAUUUUAUCCCUGUUGAGGGGUUGUUACAAUAUCGAUUCAGAUUCAAUUAUAGAUGAAUUAUAUUCCACAAAACAUCGAAGAAUGUAACUUUAAUAAUGAGUUUAUUUUUACUUUUGCUUUAAUUUUAUGUACUUUCAAAUUUAUUUUUUAAUAUUUUAGAUAAUGUAUUUGAAUUAAAACUUUAUUAUUAAUUUUAAAAAUUUAUGUACAUAAAUUAAUAAUCGAUCUUAAAAAAUAUUUUUAUAUUUAUUUAUAGCCCAGGAUAAAAAAAAUUCUUGGCUCCGCCCUUGGCUAUGAUGAAAGUAGACCUCUCUACUACUGAGAUAGCAAUGGAGACUCGUAUACUUGUAGCUGCACUCGUAGCAACAGUAACAUUUGCAGCUGCUUUCACCAUGCCUGGCGGUUACAAGAACGAACAAGGCACUCCAGUUCUUCUUAAAAAUGCUGCUUUUGUAGUCUUUGCUAUAUCAGAUGCAAUAGCAAUGGUUCUCUCAACUUCUGCUCUCUUCAUUCACUUUUUUUGGGCACUGCUUGGAAAAGGAGGUCAAGUGGAUGAGGAUAUAAAAGAAAACUUCUCUGAUUGGACACCUGCUUUAACCACAUGUGCCAUCCCAGCAAUGAUCAUCGCAUUCAUCACAGGAAGUUAUGCAGUGCUAGCUCCAUCAUUAUGGCUUGCAAUCACGAUUUGUUUCAUUGGUGUAUCCUUCUUCUUCUUUGCGUACAAGGCAUUCAUAGUUCCAUUCCGCAUCAUUUAAAAAUAUUGAAAAUAAACACUUCUCAGCAGACUUUAAAAGAGUCUGAUAUUGAAGAAGAUUGAUUCUCAUUUAGCUCGUGUUAUAAACUAUCUUCUCGUCAUCUUCUUGAUGGCAUCAGCAGUAACGUUGGCAUCAGCUGUAAUGAUUGAAAAAUUCAAUUUUGGCACUUGGGAAAUGCUAACACCUUCAAUAUAGAGAUCAUAGAAUGACGGCUCACAAGUUCACCAUUAAUUCUAGAUGAAUGGCACUGAGCCAUAAUUUUCGAAAGACUUGAAUUUCUACACAUUGCAACUUCAUUCACCUUCCCAACUUUUUGUUUAACCGAAAUCAUUCUAAUGAAAUGCAAAACAUUCUUUUACGAGAACAAAAAUAAAAAAAUAAAAAAGUAACAAAGGAAAAUUUUACGACAGGCACAAGAAAAACCAUAAUAAAAAAAAAGAGGAGGAAAAUGGGUAUAUAAAACAGCAGAAUAUAAACAUUUUGAGAAAUUAAUGAAUUAAUGAUGUAGUGCUAUGAUUUAACUCCGAUCUAGUGGGUUAUGAAGGAAAUGAAGCUGAUGACAACACCCAAUGUCUGAGUUUUUCAGACCCUAAUUCCACUGACAAGGUGUAAAGAGUGUAGUUAAAACUCAAUUUGAACAACAGAGAUAAAAAAAAAAAAAAUCAGUUUAUUUUUAUGUUUAGUGUGUUUUAAGACUAAAUAAUUUGUUUUAUUUUGUAUUUGGUUAACAUUAACCAAGACAAGAGUAAAAACAAUUAGUGGAAGAAUUGAUAUAACUUGACCUUGUUAAAAAUUCAAGUUAACCUAUAAUUAAGUUUACCCAGAAAAAACACAAAUAAAUUACUUAUGAUUUUUUUUUUAUCAAAAUAAAAUUGUUUUAAUUUAUUUUUAAUUUAGAUCAACUUAGAUUGACCCUCCUCCUAACUUAUGAUUAGGUCUUGUCUCAUAUCAACUCUUGGUUAAGAUUUUAAAACAAUUAUAACAACUAUAUUUAUUUAUAUAUUGACUUGGAUCAAUCUUCCUAACAUGUAAUUAAAAUCUUGUCUUGGAUUAUCAUUUUUAAUUAGUUUUAAAUUAUAAAAAUAAUUAUUUUUAUUUUUAUAUUCACCCAAAUUAACAAUCAAUAUUAUGUAUGACUCAAACCUUGCAUCGAGUCAAUUAUUAUUUAAAUUUUAAAAUUAUAAUAAUAAUUAUUUUUAUUUUUAUAUUAAUACAGAUCAGUCCAGUUAAUUCUUAUGCAAAAAAAAUUAACAAUCUUAUUCUACUCCUUUUAAUAAACAAAAAUUUCUCCACUGGCCUUGUAUAGAACAAAAAAUAAAUACUCCAACAAAACUUCACAAAAAAAUUAUACUGUCCAAUCCAUUUUUUACAGCAUAUCGAACACUACAUAAAUUUCAAAAUCAAAUUACCUCAGUUAAAUCCAUUAAUAUCAUCGUAUUGUAGCUUCCACCAAGUAGGUUCUCCCUGAUAAACAGGGACAUGGCUCCACUACACCUUAAACAAAUUGGAUUAUAUCAUCAUAGGCAAUCUUACAUUACAAUUUUGCUCAAACCAAAAAUUAUCAUAGCCAAUUCUCAAAAACCUUAAACCUCCUACAUAUUUCUUAACAUUAAAAAUAGAUAUACAAGGAAUUCAUGAAUGGAUGCAAUGUAAUAAGCUAUUCAAACUAUUUUGUAUCUAUAAAUUAAAUGGCUCAGAGUUCUAGCAGCUCUAUCAGUCAAGAAUUUUCGGUAGCAGAACUGGCAUUAAAGCUGUAUAUUAAUCAUCACUGCCAAAAAUUUCUGGAAAAAAGCAUAACUUUAAUCACAGAACAAACAGAACCCAAGAUCAAUCAAUAAAAAGAAAACUUGAUGAAUCUAAUCAAAACUUGAUGAAUCUAAUCAAAACUUGAUUUAUCUCUUUGCUUCAUUGAUUUCUCUCAGGAGAGCGAUGAAUCCAAUAUAAUAAUCGCCAACAAAUUCAAUAACAUAAAACAAUCAAAACAUGAUGAAUUCCGAAGGAUUUUUUAGAGGCAAAACCACUGACACAAAGGGCAUGAGCCCCCACGUGAACACCACCAAAAAGACUCAAUUUUUGCCUUAGUGACUAGCUUUAUUUCCACCAUAGUUCUCAAAAAACAAGCUAGAGGUAUAGAGAGGCAACAAAAAAACACAUACCCAGAUGAAAAAAAGAGAUAUUUUAAAAAAUAAGAGAUGUUGUCGUUGAUCUGACACAGAUAAGCCGUGAAAAAAGGUACAAGAGGCUAAACUACAACACUAAACGAAAGGUGUUUUAGCACGAGCAUUGGGGCUUUCUACUUCAGUGAAAUGUAACAAGUGAAGCCUAGGAGGCAUCAUUCAGAGAGAAUUUUUUUUAAAAGGUAAGUUUUUGAAAGGAUUUGUGUGAUGAAAACAGGGUUCUUGGAGGUGUGGAGCCUGCUAAUAGAAGAGAAACAGGGGUGUUAAGAAGUUAUAUAUAGGCGGUAAAGAGCUAUAAAACCCUACUUUUGUUAUUUGAGGAGGUGUUUUGUGUUUUUUGGAUAGUUCAAUUUGUUUUGGGAAUUCAGGGUAUUUAUAUUUGGGGCUUAUUUUUUAUUUUUUCAUCUCUAAUUACUGGAUAAUUUUCACGAGCAUAAAUUUCAUUUUUUUAGGUUAAAAAAUCAACAACAAAAUAAUCUAUCUUUUUCAUUCUUCCAAAAAUAGGUUUAUUAAUAAAAAAAACAAAUAUAGGGUUUAGGACUGGAUUUGGGGUCGUCCAUUUGGAAACCCAAAAUAUCAUGAAAAAUAAAAUAAAUUAUUAUAUAUUUUAUUGAUGUUAAAAAAUUAUUUUAGCUCUGUUUUUUUUUUUUGUUGAUAUAAUUAUUUUGGUUUCUGGAGUGGUUAUUCUUAAGAUUUCUCUUGGGUAUUAAAGGUAAAAUAAUUUUUGGACUAGAUUUUAUAUAUUCUAACUAAAUUUAUUUUCAAUUAGAUUUUAAAUAAAUUAUUUAUAUCGAAACUGAUGUAUAUGGUAAAAAUAUAAUAUAAACAAUCAUUGAUAGUUUAUUGCCCCUGUUAACUAAAUAAUUUGUUUUUAUUAUUGUUGACACCUUUCUUUUUUAUUUUAUUAUUGUUAUUACAACUACUGUUACUAACAACAAGAUCAAGAAUUAAGGGGAAAUCACUUGCUUGCACUGUUUAUGUAAACAAUAUAAGCAUGUACCUCUUCUUCUUCUUCUUCUUCUUUUAAUUUAAAUUUCAUUACUCAAUGAUGCAUUGCUUUUAAAUUGUUCCUUAUAAUUUAUUUUGGUUUGUUUUCUAUAAAGUUAUUACAUUCUUAAACAAAUGAGCCGAUAUUUAAUUAGUGCUCAAUUUUAUGAGUGCCUAAUUUUAUUAUCAUAAAAUUAGGUAAGAAAUAAUUUCAAAAAACAAAGUUAUUAAACUCAAUAAAGUCCAUAACUUAGGUUGUAGGUUUAACUGGUUAAGCUACAAAGCUCAAAAUAUUAUCGUCUUAAUAUUAAAAAAUAUAUAUCAUAUUGAAAAUUUAAAUUAAAUAUUAAAGAUGAAAUCACCAACAAAAUAAUUAAAAAUAUUAAUAUUUAAUUAUCUGUUUGUAAAAUUAUCAAUAAAAUGCCCCAAUAAAAAGACUAGAAUCCCUCAUUUCACAGUAGACGGGCCUUUUUUUUUUCUUUUUUCUUCUUCUUAUAUAAAAACGUUUUGUAGCAAAUUUUGAUAUGAUUAUAUACAAUGAUGAAUUUAUAUUUCAAUAGCCUGGAUUUAUGAUUUAAAGAAAGCAUCCAUCAACGUGAAUAAAUCCUUACGUGCAUCUCAUGUGAAGACAAAGGUGAUCUCAAGUGCAGAUUCUCCCUAAGACAAAUAUACGAAGUACAGCUUCUUAAAGACGAUCAGACCAGAGAUGAUUUUUGUUGGUUGUAAUAUUGGAUUUCGGAACCGAACUAUGUAGAGAUGGCCAAAGACUGGCUUCCUGAGAAGUUUUCACUAAAUAUAUUAUUGUUAGUACUCACAAAAUUAAAUAAAUUCAAUUAGAGGAAAUUCUAAAAUAUAAUUUAUAUUGUUUUUUUAACUAAUAACUGGUAUAACAAUCAAACACUAAUUCGAAUUAAAAUAAAAUAAAAUCAGUGACAUUACUAAUUCUUCAUGAGAGAAUGAAAAGAACAGGAUCCGAUGGAAUCGCUAUAUAUCAUGUGAAGUUUACAAUUUCCACCACCGGUUCCGACGGUCAAGUGACAUGAGUUAAUCAUACUCUUUUAAGCAUAUUAAUUGUAAACUUUCCUUACACUUUCAUAUUACGUAAUUAUUUAUUUUUGUCAAUAUUUAUUAAUACCAGGCUGCAAAGUCAAUGCUCAGAGAGGAGAAUGAUUAACUAUGUGCACGCCCUUGCAUUAUGAAUUUGUCUAUGACGACGUCCUCUUUAACAUGGUAGAGUCUAAUUUUCUUAGAUAAUUAAUUAAUUAAUUAUCGUUGGUCUUUCCUUCAAGAUCCAACAUCCCAUUUGCAAAGUAAUUAUAUGAAAAGAAAGUCGGUCCAAUAUUAAAUUAUAUAAUAUGUUACAUGUCCAAUCAUUCCCAUUAUUUUAUCAAAUUACAUGUUCUAUUUAUAGAGAGCAUAUAGCACCUUGUUUGACAUAUUCAUACUAUCAUACACUUCAACUCAAUCGUUCUUCUCUACAAUCAAAUUCAGGCUUCAGCAGCAAAAGUUACAAUGGCGGUAAGCGUGUAUAGAUGUCGUGGAUGAAAUUAUAUAACCGUAGGUUAAUUAGUAAGAGUCUUCUAUUAAUUAAUAUUUUCUCGUAUCAUAUUACAACUUAAAGGAAAGAAUGGCACAAUUGUAUUGAAAAUUUUCGUUGUAUUUUACCCAGUCGAUCAUAGAAAUGAGAGUGCAUAUGGAUUGUGCUGGAUGCGAGAGCAAGGUGAAAAAUGCUCUGGAAAAAGUCAAAGGUAAGAAAUCACCUCCACUAAAAACUUUAUGCAAGCGAAAAUUUUCAUCUUAGUCAUUCCUUAUUUUGUCAUGAAUUAUUUUUUCUGUUCCUCUCUUUUUAAAGUUUUCUUUGGACAUAUUUUCUUGGACUAUAUCUUAAACUUUUGUAUUUAUUAUAUGUAUGCACGCACAUGCGUAGAUGACAUAGAUAUAGAUAUGGGGUUGCAAAAGGUGACGGUCACAGGAUGGGCUGACCAAAAGAAAGUUCUAAAGACAGUUCGUAAGACAGGAAGAAGGGCAGAGCUCUGGCAAUUACCUUACAAUCCACAACAUCAUAUCUAUUCUGACCACUACUACAACCAACACCAAGUUAACAGUCCACUUACUUACCAUGCUCCUCAGCCUUCCUCUUCUUACAAUUACUACAAGCAUGGAUAUGAUAGCAACGAUCAUGGUUAUUAUCAUCACCCUGUGCAUUCCUCCAUCUUUAACCACCAGACAGGAGCAGUUUUCAGCGAUGAAAACCCUCAUGGUUGUUCUUACUAUAUAUAUAUAUAUAUAUGCAUGCUACUUUGUUUUAUAUGUACUGAUUUCCUUUUCACUUUAUGUUUUGUUAAACCUUGUUCACAUGAAGCUAUAAAAUAUAGACAAGAAAUGCCUUUUUUUUCCUUAUCAUUUUGCAACUUAUAAAUUGUUUUAUUCUGAUUUGUGCCCUAGACAUGGUAUUGUCUGCUGAGAAAACCGAGCUCCGUUGAUCUUUUCUUUUUACUAAACUAAAUCGCCACCAAUUGCAAUUUAAAACUCUGAUCUACAUUAAUAUCAUUCGGAUAGGAUUAAUUAGGAUGUACUCCUCCAUAAACUCUAAUAAAUCUUCUCCAAAGAAGAGAUGCCUUGGAAUGUUUUAGAAAGGGGAUAAUAUUCUCAUAUUCGCACCCAACUUAUUCGCUAUUACCCUUUCUCAGUUGUGUCCCUAACCUACAUAUUUAAGCAAUUGAGUCCAAAAAGUAUCUAGGAAUUAUCAAUCUGAUCCUUUCAUCCUCAAAUAUAAUUUGAAGUUAUCUUUAGGUGUGGACUUAAAUGAGAAAAUUCUUAAACAAUUUUUUUAUGGACAAAUCCAAUUGAGAAUUCUGGGACUAGUUGGUUGAAAAUUAUAACUAGGUUGAGAACAAAAUUUGGAAAACAAUUAGAGAUAGGGGACUAAUAUUAUGUUACCCAAGAACCUCAUAAAAAUUAGGGAUGAAAACGUCAUCACUCAACAGAUAUCAGGAAUACUCCUAUCUAAUUGAGAUUGAGAUGGGUUUUAACCCAGUUUGACUAGGAUCCAACCUAUUGUGGAUAUAUAUAACUUCUCUCAUUUUUAUUUUUAAGCAUACAAAUGUGUGGUUUUGCCCAUUUAAUACCCAAAUUGUUUUUUUUAUAUUUCCUUAUAAAUAUUCUAAGAAUUUUUGUGAUUAAUAGUUUUCAAUUUUUUAUUUCCUUAAUAUUAUGAAAAAAUAUAUGGUUUUUAAAAAUUAAUUUUCAAAAUUCUUUAAACUUUUCGAAUAUUUUUCUUAAAUAAGAAGUUUCCAUAACUUUUUUUUUAUUAUUAUUCCUUAAAUUCAUUUCAUGCACUGUUAAAAAAAAAACAUUACAUAGUGUCGUUUUAAACGGCAUUGUAUAUCUUCUUCUUCCAUAUGAACGUAGAGACAAAGAAGAAGAAGGAUUUUGAAUGUUUUUUCCGCCUCUCUCUCUCUCUCCCCCGCUUGCACAAACCUGACAAAACACAUACUCAUAUGCCCAUGCCACCAUAAUAAGAAAGAAAGACAACCCAUACCCCGGUCACCAUGUCCUGCACUCACCACGCCCUGCAUUUGGACAAGGUAUGGUGACUCUCUCCCUUGGCCUCCUACAAAUACAGGGGGAGAUUUGAGAGAAAGGGGGGAGAAAAAUUGUUCUGGGAGAAUAGUAUAGAAGAAAGGAAAUAGAAAGACAGUUUGAGAAAGGGCUGGGGAAUUGUUUGUGGGAAAUAAGGAUAAAGUAAAGACAAAGAGGAGACUAAAAGAAGAACAAAAGGAAACAUAAGAAAAUAGAGGAGAAGAACAUAAGGAAAAUACGCAGAGAAGAAGAAGAACCGACCACCAAAGAAGCAACUCUCCAGUCAGCAACCACCAACAUCACCGCCACAAAGCCACCACAUGUCCGCCCCUUUUCCUUCUUCCUCCUUCUCCUCUUCAUCUUCGAUGGUUUCCUUCAUUAUUCACUAAGUGAAUUAAUUUUCUCUUCAUUGUUAAGGUGAGAGUACUCCUGUUCAUUGGGCUGGACAAGUCCGACCCGGCCCAAUCCAAUUUUUUUUAUUAUAAAAAUACUUUUAUUGUUUUUUUAUUUUCCCGCGUAUUUUUCUACCUAUUUGAUUAUUAUCGGUUUGUAUUUUUAUAUCAUAAAGAUACAAAUUCGAUAUUAAAAUACUCGAUUUUCAUCGAAACAUCUCAAAAAAUUAUAAACAAUAAUAAAAAUAUAUUGUUUUCAUGCAUACGACGAAGUCUUUCAAAAAAAAAAUCAUAUUGUAUUUUCAUACAUCAAAAAUUCAAAAAUAUGUUUUAGCAUGCAUUUCGGCUUUCAUAACUAGUUUAUUAAAGUCAUGAGAACUAGGCGAAUAUUUAAAAAAUUCCAAAAAAAUCAAUUUGUUUUCUUUCAAUAUUAAGGAUUACGAGCUCAUACGUAAAACGAAUCCCUGAUAUUAAAAAGCUAGUUUUUUUUUAUUGAUUUUAGAAUGAUUAUGUUUGACCCAAUAAGAUAAUGAUCUUCUUACUGAGAAUGACCUUUUUAAAACCAUAGACGGACCAACAAUUAGACCUUAGCAUAUAUCUCCUUGUUGAUAUCUUUCCUUUACGCAACCAAUCUCUGUGUUCGAUCUCUGAGACCAGUUAGGGUUCCUAGUGACCAAAAUACUAGGUGACGACUCUUAUUCCCUCUUUCCACUGAUAAAAGAUAAGAAUUCAUUGUCUUUUCUAUUUUUCCAAUUACCUAGACAAACCUAUCAAAGUGGAAGACCCGUCACGAUGCCGCAUACGUGCAACAAUUUCAUUUGGUCAUUGAAUCUUUGUAAAGGAAUGAUAAUGGGUAUUCACGGGUUAGGUUUUUGUAUUAUCUAUACUUGAAUUCAAACCCAAAACAUUAUCAAUGUCUGACUCAAAACUUGACGAGUGUAAAUUUUGAAUAUCAAAAUCUAAUGCAAUUAAUCAGGUUUUAGUUAUUGAUUCAAAUACUUUAUAUUACCUAAAUGAUACAGUAAGGUUUGUGAAAACUAAAAAUUUUAAUAAUCUACAUGAGGGUUUGUCACAUACAGACUAUUUGAAUGACUUAACACAUGUUUUUAUAAACUAGUACUGAAAUAGGACUAAGUUUAAAAUGAUGUGUGGUCAUGCUAUAUUAGAAUAGUGACUUUAAACAAAGAUAACAAGUUUACAUUUGGUUGAGAUUAACUUUUUAUAAGAGAUUCUAAAAGUUGUUUUUUUUUUUUUAGGGAAGCUAUUCUGUCAUUUAUUAGACUACUAGAUCUUUUAAAAUUUGGCCUAAAAGUUGCUAUUUAGGUCUAAUUAUUUUUUGAUUGGUUAGGUUUUUUGGUUAAAAAAUAAAUAAAUAUUUUUUUUUAAAUCACGAUUGAACUAAAAUAGAAAUCAGUUCAAACCAACUAGUUUUGGUUUGGUAUAAAUUUGUUUUUUAAAACAAAAACUGGCAAAACCUGUUUUGCUCUUUCUGAGUUUUUAUGGGAUUUUACUGAAUUUUUAUAGGUUUUUUUCUAACUUCUUUGUUUAGUUUCAUGGGUUUUUUUAAAAAAUUUAUAUAUCUAGCUAAUUUGAGCCCAAGUUUAUUAACAAUGCAUUCAAGGAGAAAAGUGAAUCCAAUAAUUUUAUUGAAAGCAAAAUACUCACUACCAAUCAAUAAAUCAUCUGCGCGCAACAAUUAUUUAUUGAACUAUGCUGGAUUGGUUUGGUUUUUUUUUUUUGAAUUGACAAUCACCACACACACACACGCAUGGACAAAAGAUCUGUAGCCAUUGAUUAACUAUAAGCGUCAAAUACAUGGACAAAAGAUCUGAAAUUCUUUGAACAGAAAAGCUGGAAUUUAUGCAGUGACAGUGAUAGAAAAUCAAGUAAUUAUGCACAAUUAUCCUAUUUGCAGUCAAUGCAUCUAAUUCCGACUUGCUUUUUUUAUUUUAUUUUAUCCUUAAUCAAUUAUUCUUCUUUUUUUUUCAAUUUCAUUCUAUUCACAUAAUUUUAACAGGGUUUGGUUUGCUUGUGGUGCUGUAUUCAUGAUAUAAGAAAAAUACCAUGGCAUUAAAUUGAUCAUUAAUUUUAUAAAACUUAAUUUAAUUUUAUCAAUUCAAAAAAAUAUAUACAGUGCCGACCAAGUUUCACACAAACAAAAAAAUCCAUUUUUUCUUUUUUAUUGUUUAUGAAGAAUGGAAAAUUAUAGUUUAUUCCCAAAGUUUUUUUUUCAGUUUUAGUCCCUAUAUAUGUUUUCUAAGGUUUCAUGUUAGGAUUUCAAUAGUUAUUAUAAUUUGAAAGGAAAGAGAAAGUUAAAAAAAAAAGUAAAUAUAAAAUAUUUGACCAUCCAUAUUUUGACAUAAAAAAAAACUGAUUUUAUUAGUAACAUAACACCCCUAGUAGCUGUAUAGCGUCUGUUUAUAAGUGUUGAUUAGUUACAACUAUCAUUUCUAUCAUUUCUAGCUAGCACCCGUGCAGCGCCUCGUCAACAUCCCAGGAAGACAGCAAGCGUGCCUGCCUGCACUCACUUUCGGGCCUAAAGGCCCAGGGAUUUUAUUUUUUUUAUCAAAAUCUUUAAACAUUUAGAUAAUUCAUAUAAUAUUACAAUACUUAAAAAGGAACGUAUUGCAAAAAGGAACGUAUUGCAAUUAUAAUAAAAGUUAAACGCGGUAGAGAAAUCAUGGUAAAACGGAACGUAUUGCAAUUAUAAUAAAUUUUUUACUAUCUUUUUUUUUGUGUCAAAUUAACUUAAUUUGAUCAUACCCAAACUUCUUGGAUCUGGAUUGGCCACACUAAAAUAUUUUAGGUUUAGCAUGAUUGCUAGACUUAAGUCUCUCAAAUCUGACAUGAUUGUCAGAUCCAAUUGUUGCACGUGUGUGGCGUUAUGGCGAUCACCCACCACCCCCACCAUCAUCAGGUGUGGUAUGUUUAUUUAUUCCGGCAAAUAUGAAAAAACAAGGAAUUCUUUGUCUCUUACCAAUAAAAAAUAGAAUGGGAAUCGCCACCUAGUAUUUUGAUUACUAGGAACCCUAACUGGUCUCAGAGAUUGGAUACAGAAACUAGUUGCAUAAAGGAAAGGUAUUAGCACCCCAAAUACGCCCUACCUAAGGUAAGUUGUAUUGUUUUAUUGUCUGAUAAAAAAUUUAAAGUCUUGUCAUGUUGGUCUGUCUAUGGUUUAAGAAAAGUCCUUCUUAGUAAGGAGGUUCUUAUCUUAUGGGGAAAAACCUAAUCAGUCUAAGGUCUAUAACAGAAAUAUCUUUUUAAUAUCAAGAAUACGUUUUACGUAUAAAUUUGUAAUCCCAGAUAUUAAAAGAAAACAAAAUAGUUUUUUGAUUUUUUUUUUAAAUAUUGGCCAAGUUCUCAUAACUUUAAUAAACUAGUUAUUAAAGCUAAAAUGCAUGCUAAAAUAUAAUAUAUAUUUUUUGAAGUUUUCUAUUUUUGUAUAAAAAUACAAUAUGAUUUUUUUUCUUUUUUAACUUUAAGAGACUCGGCUAUAUGCACAAAAAUAAAAUAAAAAAACUUUAUAUAUAUAUUCAGAGUUUUGACGAAAACUAGGUAUUUUAAUAUUGGAUUUGUAUUUUAAAAAAAAUACAGAUCGAUGUCAAUCAAAAUGACGUAAAACAAAUACGCGGGGAAAUCACAAUUUCUUUAAAAAUAUAUAUUUUUCUUUUAUUAAAAAACAAAAAAAAUAAAAUUUCUGAUGUUCCAGCAUUAAAAAAUGACCUGAAAUGGUGACCGGCUGUUCUCAUUGGUUGUUUUCGUCAACCUUUUUUCUUUUUCUAACAAAUUUAUUGCUGCCUCUGAAACCAACAAAACAAGGAAUAAAAGUUCUCCUUCAUGAACAACAGAAAUUUCACUUAUGCCCCGUUUAAUAAUUUCUUUUUAGAAAACUGGUUUCUUGAAAAAUAAUUUUCUAAAAAAUAAAUUAUUUUUCAAUGUUUGGUAGCAUCAUAAAAAAUAAGUUAGAAAAUAUUUUCUAGUAUUUGACUAUGUCAUGGAAAAUAAGCUGUAAAAAAAAUUAUUAAUAUAUUUUUUUCAAGUUUAUUAAAAUAAUGAGAACAAAAUCUUACAAAAUAAAAAGUUGAAUAAGAAUAAAAUUAAAAAAAAAAUCUAAUUUCAUAAAUGAUCUCACAUAAAAUAAAUAACAAUCAAGAUAGUAAAAAUCAAAUCUAACUAAUAAAAUAGUUGAAAAAUAAUGAAAUUAAAAAUAUUAUAAUUUCAUAAAUUAUUUCAAAUAAAAUAAAUAACAAUAAAAAAUAAGGAUCAAAUUUUAUAGAUAAAAAAAUUAAAUUAAUGAUAAGAAAAAAAAAAUAUAAAAAUAAGGACCAAAAUUGAUAUAAAAAUCAAUUUAAAUCAAAUUAUAAUGGAUAAAAUUUUAAAAAUAAAAUUCAAAAUAAAAUAUAUAACAACCAAAAACUUAUAAUUUGUUUUUCUUUCAAAAAGCUAAUUAUGAAGCAAACACGGAUAUAUAAAACCAAAUAUACGUGGAUUUUAAAUUAUAGUUUACACUAUUAUAUAUAAAUUAUUUAAUUCUCCAGACUUAAGCACAAAAUCCUACCAUAAUCUCCAACUAGAGCAGUUGGACCAUUAGGGCCGUCGUGAUCUCGCACCCUGAUUGCCGCGUGUAGAGCAGUUCUACCAUUAGGGCCGCCGUAGUCCACUGAGAUGCAAUUUCGUAAGAUUGCAGCGAUCACGUUUUCUCCAUGAACAUGGGUCCUCUUUAAUCAAUAAUCCCACCACAUGGCUCUGGUUAUUUCGAGCUGCCUCAUGCAUCGCUGUAACUCGCUCUUCAUUGGUCAUCCUCAACAUCUUUUUGGCUUCUGUUACUUCGCUCUCUGGAUCUGUAGGUAGAGCUGUUGCGCGGUCAAUGAGGACUCUUACCACUUUGAAAUGACCAUAUCUUGAUGCCAAAUGGAGUGGGAUUUCACCUCUCUUAUUGGCUUGGAAUAAGUGGUGGAAACAAUUCCUAAUUGAUUUGAACUUUGCAAUCAAUUUCUUGUUUACCCACCUGUGUUGUUUCUUUUCCUCUAUCCGAUUGGCGGUUGCAGUAAAUGGUCUAGGCACAGAGAGUUUUUAGACGACAGCAGAGGUCCUGAACUACAGUAAAGUUCUGCAGUCUCUACAGAGCCAUUUUUUAUACGAAUGUGAUAAAUAAAAAUAAAAUUUUUAAUUAGAAUAUCCAUGUUUAAUAUGCAGUACGAUUGUGAUAAAGUCCAUCACGGACUCGAGAGUCCAGAACAUAACAUGGGAAUUAUGAUAAAGAACAAAAAAAAAAACCCGUGAAAAUAAAGACAACAGUGACAAAACAGCCCAAAGACACAAUUACAUGGGAAUUAUGUCUAUCACAACUGGCUUGUAACUCGUAAGACUGUGAGCCUUGGGUUUGGUUAAGGCGGAUAUGUGGCAAAUACAUAUUCCCGGUUCAACUAUGAGAACCAUUGUUAGGCAAACAUAAAAAAUCAAUUAAUGGGUUUUAUGUUCGAGUUUUAUAGUUGUUAAUAUAAUAAUUAUUGAAGACUUACAUGAUUAUUAAUUUUAAAACCCGUAAGAUUAAUUAAAAUAUAUACAAACUGACCUGUACAUUAAUAAAAAAAAAAUCAAUUAGCUAAUUUGUUUAUAAAAAACAAAUAUAAACUUUGGUACAAGGACCACAUGCAAUCGACUUUACUCUUGCGUUUAACAGUAAAAACAUCAUUAAACCCGCAGAAACCUAUGACAAAAAACCAAAUUGUUUUAGCCUUUUUUGGAAGAAUGAAACUUGGCAUAUCCUGCUUUUCAUAGAAGUUAUCUUACAAUUUUUUGAGAUUAUAGAAAUAAUGUUUUUAAAAAUAUUUUUUUAUUUAAAAAUAUAUUAAAAUAAAUUUUUUAUUUUUAUUUUUAAAAAAUAAAAAUAAUAUCAGAGUUUUUGACUACUUAAUUUGUGAUGUCUCAUCAAUUACAAAAUAAAAUAUAAAAAAUUGAUAAUUGAUUUGGGAACCAAAAACAUGAUUUCUGAACAUAUGACAUCAUAAUUGUUUUUCAAAAACAAUAAGAAUUUUUUAAAAAAAUACAUGAGAGUUUAAUUUGAUAGAAAAUUUAGAAUUGAUUGUUUCACUAGUAAAUCUAAUCUCGUAAAUCCUUUUAAAUGAUCCUUAAACACUAAAUACACAAGGAAAAAGAAGCUCAAACCAAUAAGAAAAAUGCUGAUGAUAAUAAUCAUUAUCUCCAUGCCAAUCAUAGUAAACAAUGUGGCAAACCCAAAUAAUAUCUCAGUGGUAUCCUCACUUGUAUCUUUAUUUUUGUUCAUUUUUAAAUUUUUAGAGGGUGUUUGACACUGUUUUUUAAAAGUAUUUUACAAAAAAAUUGAUUAUUUUUUUCUUUAAAUUAAUAUGUUUUUUAUUUUUUUCAAAUCAUUUUGAUGUGCUAAUUUCAAAAAUAAUUUAAAAAAAAUUAAAAAAAAAACAUUAUUAGCAUACUUUUCUAAGUAAAAAGUAUUUUGAAAAGUAAUAAUUAUCAUACUCCCAAACACAUCUAAAUAGAUAAAGACAGAAAAAAUAGAGAGUAAGUACUAUUGACAUUGUAUCUGAAAUGACAAAUACUAUAAAAACAUCCUUUUUAGUUAGAAUUGCGGUGUCUUUGUCGCUCUUGUAAUCGCCAGAUAAGGUGAAUGCUGCUGCAAAUAUUACCAUUACUAUCAGCGCCACAAUUUUAAACAAGUAUAAUGAGUUUAAACUAACAGCCACUUCUACAAUAUCUCGAAAUCUCAAUAUCUACAAUUACCAAAAAAAUUUAAGAAUAAAUAAAAUAUAUUUAUUAAUUAUUUUCUUAUGAAAUAAAAUUAGUCACACUUAACAAAGACCCCCAUGACUGCAUAUAAAAUAAAAAUUGCUUAAGACUUCACUUAUUAAACACACACACACACACACAUUAAUAUGACGGCGCGCCUCGUAAACAAACAGCAUCGUCUUCAAGGUUCAAAGCAUGUAAUGGGUUUUCUUCAUUGUCAAUUCUCUGUGGCCUUGUUUAUUGAGCGAACUGGAGUACUGGGUUUUCUUCAUUUUUCCAUGGUACCAGGGAUCUUGCAUUUUUUAAUAAUUCAUUUUUUUUUUAUCCUAUUGAAUCUCUUAACUGGAGUACUCCAAUACUCAUGCUUUAUUCGAUCACAGCAUCCUUUUCCUUUUUGUUUUUCUCAUUCGUUUCUUCCAGAACAAUGCGCCGGCAGCCAAACGGUCCCCUGCCAACAUCUUCAAGGGAUUCUAGGAUCUCCUGCAAAAUAUUUUGGGUGAAAUAUCGUAGGUAAUCCAUCAUUUUUAGCUAAUUAUCAAAUAUCUUGUUUAUAUCACUCUAACAUUUAUUUUUUCUUUUUUCUCCUCUCUCUAUUAUUUUCUCUAAUUUAUACACCAUUUGCUAUACAAAGGAACAAAAAAAUGAAUAGGCAAAAAAGUGUGAUUAAUUGUAUUAAAACACCAUUUGCUAUACACUUAUACUAGAAUAGUUUUUCUCAUGUUCUUUAUAUUUCUUUUUGUACUUAUCUUCAUGUAUAUGAACUUUUCAAAUAAUUAUUCCAAUAAAAAAUUUAUAUUUUUGUUAGGAUACAUUAUAAUUUAUUAAAUAAUCAUUUCAAUUUAAGAAUUCAAGUUAUUGAAAUUCGUAACUCUUGACAACUAAAUUUUAAUAACAUAUAAAAAAAAACAAUUAAAUUCAAGAACUCAAUUACGGCAGCUCCCUCUUUUCAAUACGAAUUAGUAUAAAAACGCUUACAAGUCUAGCUAGUACUUGGAUUAAUUAGCCAAAACUACCUCCUGUCAACGGCUACUGUCAAGAAUCAACAGUCAUGCAAGAUGAUUUCCUCUGAUGUUGCAUCAUGCUGUAGUAAAAAAGCAACAGCGCCCAUUCAAGAAUCAUCAAACUUCUCUAAACCAGCUAUUCACUCCAAAAAAAAAAAAAACACAGUUCUUCAUGUUUAUGGACCCAUUUGAAAACCGGUUUAAUCCGUAUUUUUUAAAAAAUUAAAUUUAUAAUAUUUAAGUUUUUUUUUUUCUUAUCAUAAAAGACAAUAGAGAUGAAAUGCUAUCGUAAUAGGUGACAAAUGCUCAAAUGUGAAUAAAUCACUUGUCUGCCUAAUUAUUUUUUAGGACAAUAAGAAGUUUUCAAAAAACAUUUAUUGUUAAUUCCCUCAGCAUAACUUCCUAUGCAAAGGAUUCUGAAACACAGAAUAAAAGGAAAGGAUUACCAUGCUGACACUCUUUUUUUUAAAAAAAAAAAAAAUAUCUGAUACUUAGACACUUAUAUAUAUUAAAGCACCUCCCUACAUCGGACUUAAAAAGUGAAAUAAAAACACACACAUAUGUGCAAGUGUAUGCACACCUCCGCGCCCACACAUAAACUAAAUCAAUAUAAAUAUUGGAUGUACAUUCAUAAAAACAUUAUUUAGCAAAUGAAACUAAAACAUUUAUCACAAUUUAAAAAACAAUUGUGAGUAUUUUUUUUCCUUCUUUUAUAAGUAGAGAAUAUUGAUACUUUAACAAUAGUGUUGAUAUCUAAGUAUUGUAAGUAAAGAAUUUUUUUAUAUAUAUAUAAAUAGACAAUAUUGAUACUUUAACACUUAUAUAUAUAUCAAAGUAUCUCUCGUUAUACUAAUAAUUUUCAGACAUGAAAAAGUUAAUUAAACACAUUACCUGUAAUCUAAAACUUGUGAGGGAAGUACUAUGGCAAUAAUACUUUCCCCACAUUUUCCCCACAUGUUUUGUGACUCUCGAAAAUACAUUUGCUUUUGUUUUUAUUUUUUUCAAUUAAUGUUUUUUUUUAAAAUUUUUUAUCAUUUUAUAUUAAAUUUUUUAUUGGGUUAUCUCACUCUCAAGAUAUGGAUCGCGGGUACGACGAAUUAACCUAGUUGGCUGGAGUUUUAUUCCUUCUUUUUUUUUUCAAUUUUAUCAUUCAAUAUUGGUUUUAAAAAAGAAUUAGUUUUCAUGAUUUAUUUUAUUUGCUUUCUAUUAGGUUAAUUCGGUUUCAUGACCCGAGAAUAGUUUUUAAUAAAUUAAUCUCAAGUUAACUCAGGUUGUUUUUUUUUAUGUUUUUUUUAAUUGAAUUUCUUUUUAAUUUUAUCAUUGAAUAUUAGGUCGGUUGGAAAUUGGGCUUUCAUAAUUUAUUCUGAUUUCUUUUCUACUAGGAUAUCUUGGUAUCAUGAUCAGGGUUAUGGGUUUUGGUAUUUUAACCUCGGUUAAAUCAUGUUGUUAUUUUUUUAUUUUCUUUUAAGAGGUUAUCUUGAUCUCAUGUCCUUCAACAUUAUAUUUGUUUUUUUAUUGGGUUGUCCAUGUCUUAUGAUCUAAGUUGCGUGUUUGACAAAUUAAUCCAGUUGACUCAGUUUUUUAUAACUAACUUUUUUCUCAAUUUUAUCAUUUAAUAUUGUGUUUGAUUAAGAAUUAAGCUUCAUUAUUUAUUUUGAUUUGAUUUUUAUGGGAUUAUUUCAGCCUAAUGACUCGGGAAUAAUACUUAACGGGUUAACAUAUAUUAACUUAGCUCUUUUUUUUAAUUAAAUUUUUUACAAAUUUUAUCAUUUAACACUAGGUCCGAUAGAAUUGAUUAAGAAUUAAACUUUAUAAUUUGUUUUCAUUUAUUUUUUAUUAGGUUAUAUCAACCUCUAGAUUCAUAAAUUUGAUAGGUUAAUCUAACUUAAAUCAAUUUUUUUUUUUUAAGGUCAACUUAAUUUUUUUAUUUCAGUCAUGAGUUUUACUUGUAUCAUUGUUAUUUUUUCCCUCCCGUGCAGUUCAAUGGCAAGCUGGGGUUGUAUUUUUUGGGCAUGGGAUUUGCUUACAUUUUGAUCCUCCAUGCAGACUGCAGGAUGUCACUGUCACAAAAAACCAAAUUUGCUUUUUUUUUUUUUUAGCUUAUCAUAAAAGACAAUAAAAAUGAAAUGCUUUCUAUCAUAAUAGGUUAUUACCUGCCUUUUUUUUAAUGUUGUCUAUGCUCUUGAACUUGACAAAUGCUCAAAUGUGAAAUCAAUUGUUUUUUGGGACAAUAAUAGAUGAAAUGCUUUCUAUCCUAAUUGUUUUUUGGGACAAUAAGAAGUUUUCAAAAAAAAAAUAUUGUUAAUUCCCUUAGCAUAACUUCCUAGCAGGGAAAAGGAUUUUGAAACACAAAAGAAAAAGGAAAUGAAGACCAUGCUGCCACUUUUUUUUAUCUCUUUUUUUUUUUUUUGAAUAUUUAGACACUUAUCUAUAUCAAAGUAUCUCUUUACAUCAAUAUUUAUCAUACUUAAAAAGUGAAUUAAAAACACUCAUAUAUGUUCAAGCAUAUGCACGCAUCCACACACAUAAACUAAUCAACAUUUUACUUAUUAGGGAUUAAAUUUUAUAAUUUAUUUUAAUUUUUUUCGUGAGGUUAUCUUAGUCUUAUAACCUGAGUUGCAAGUUUGACAGGUUAAUUUGGGUUGUUUUUUGAAGUCCUUUUUUUAAUUGAUUUUGUUUUUAAUUUCAUUCUUUAACUUUGAGCUAAUUGAAAAUUAAGCUUCAUAAUUUGUUUUUCAUGGAGUUAUCAUAGUCUCAUAACCCAAGUCACAGAUUUGACAUAUUAACUUAAGUUGAUCCAAGUCAAUCUAAUAUAUUGUUAUCUUAAUAUGUUUUUAAAAAAUCAUCUUGAAUUAUUUUUAGUCAAAUUAUGUUUUUAUUGGUCAUUCGAGUUACUUUUGGACCUUCAAAGUCAAUCAUGUCAUAUUGAGUCAAUACCCACAUAGUUUAAAUUUUUUUUCCACUAAAAUAUACAUUAGCAACAUCUAAAUAUUUUUUUAUGUUUAAGAAAAAUUUGAUCCAACCCACGUAGCUAGCGCGGGUCAAUAAUCUAGCACACGCAAUAAACUAAAACAAUAUCUCACUAUACAUCUAUAUGCAUUCAUAAAACACUAUUAAGAGAAUCAAACUAAAAAAUUCUAUCACAAAUUGUUUUAAAAUUAUUUAUUUUCUAUUUGUAACAAACAAUUUAUUCCAAAUAAUGAAUUUUUUUAGAAAAAAUACAACUGAAUUUUAUUUGAUAGCAAAUCAAGGACUGAUUAUUUUAGUUGUAAAUCAAGUUCAUAAUAUUUAGCUUAAAUUUUAAUUUUUUUUGUUUAAUUAUUGCAAAAUUACUAUUAUUGUUAUUGUCAUUUGAAAAUAUACUUACUAUGAUAUUAAAUAUUAAUAACUAUCUAAUUAGGAAAAAUUAAUUAUUCAUAGUAAAUACAAAUUUAAUAUCAUUAUAUAUAUAUAUAAAAAUUCCAAAUUUGCGUUAUUGUGAAAAAAAUCAGAUUUUUGUGAACAUUUGUUUGUAGUAUAUGCUGGAUUAAUCAAUAUUUUAUUGAUUAAUUUAUUAAUCAAAUUCAUUAAUAUGGAAUCCUAUCAAUCUAAGAUUAUAUAAAUUAUAUAAAUGCAAUUAUUGAUUAAUUUAUAAUUUUUAUGUUUUUUUUAUAAUUUUUUUCUUUGUUUUCUUAUCAUAAAAAACACUAGAGAUGAAAAGCUUACAAAAACAUUUUAUUGUUAAUUCCCUCUUCUAAAACAUAACUUGCUUGCAAGGUAAAGGAUUUUGGAAUACAAAAGUGAAAAGGAAAGGAUGACUAUGCUAGCACUUCUUCCUUUUUUUAAUGUUUUUUUUUCUAAUACUUAGACACUACAUUAAUAGUUGUUGAACUUAAAAGGUGAAUAAAAAACACAAAUAUAUGAAAUUUCAUUUGAUAGCAAAUCUGGGAUUGAUUGUUUUAGUUUGAAAUCUUUUUCACAAAUUUUAGCUAAAAUUUAAAAAUUUUGUCUUAUUAUUAUUAUAACCCAAUUUUUUAAAACAAAUGGAUAAAAAAAUAAUUUGAGAUUUAGGUUAAGACAACACAAAUUGAAAAUUUGAGGAUUAAUAAUGAUGAAAUUAUAAAUUUGGCAGUCAAUGUGGUAGAAAAAUAGAAGAAUUAAUAAGUUUGGAGACUUAAUUAAACUUUUAUUUAAUUAAUUAAUGCAAUCAAAAGCUUAAUUGAAGAAAUACCAAAGUUUGGGGCUGAUUUGAGUCACAAUUGCAAGCAAUUAAAGUUUUAGAAUCAAAGUGAAUAGACAAUGAUACUAUGGGGGGUUAAUUGAAUUUUUCAGGAGUAAUUUUGAUUGAAUUAAAAGUUAAAGAGUCAAUUGAAGAGUGAAUUGAUUAAAUUAGAAAUCAAGUAUUGUUUUGUAAAUGGCUUUGAAAUUUAGGGGUUGAAUUGCAAUUUGAUCCAGGGGUAACAUUAAGAAAAGAAAAAAAAGAUUUUUCUUGAUUAGAAACCCAAUUGUUAAGUGUCAGAAGUUUAAGGGUUAAAUUGAAAAUAAUCAUUUCGAGUGAAAUGAUGUCGUUUUCUACCUUGUUCAUUAUCUGUUCUUCCUCUUGAAGACCAGAUCAACAAGAAACACAACUAAAAAAAAUCACGGACGACGCUGCCAAUAUCCCCACCCACACGAUGAAUAUAUAUCUAUCGCAACUGGCUUGUAACUCGUAAGAAUGUGAGCCUUGGGCUUGGUUGAGGCGGAUAUGUGGCAAAUACAUAUUCCCGGUUCAACUCUAAGAACCAUUGUAACCCAAACAUAAGAAAUCAAUUAGCAAAUGUGUUCAUAAAAAACAAAUAUAAAACUUUGGUAUAAGGACUACAUGCAAUCGACUUUUAUAAUCGGUUAAUAAGCGUUAUCAUCCUUAAAAUAAUAAUAAAAUAUAAUUUCUAAAUCUUUAUUAAAAAGCUUAAUUUCUCAAAUAUUGAGGGAUAAUCAUAUAUACGAGAAUUUAAAAAUUCUAUGUAAAUAUAUACUAUAUAUAAAAAAAACUUAAGUAUUAAUAAAUUAAUUUAUAUUUUUUUAGUUUUAAGCACUCGAAUUCUCUAUAAAUAAAAAUAGAUAAUUAAAAGCUUGUUAUUUAAUGGUAUAAAAUAAAAGAAUAAAAAAAAUACUUGAUUUCACAUCAGUCAUCCAAAUUUGACUAAUGAUUUAAGACCUAGCCAAUAUCUUAGAUUGCCCGAUUACAAGUUAAAAGGUCUCUCGCAAGAUUAUUAGAUUUUUAUGGCCUUAAAAGGCCAGAGUAAUUAGAUUAUCUUGAAAGGGCAGGGAUGAAUUUGACUUCACGUAUGAUUUCUUUUUUCUAGAGAAAUUAACAAUAAUUUAAUGAAGGACAACUUACUUGGCUUUACAUCAUCUUAUCUAUAGUCUCAGACUCUCAUGGCCAGAAAGUUGUCCUCCUCAUCCAAUAUUAAUAAUCUUAAAAUAAAAUUUAUGAAUUAAAUAUGCCAUUUUUAUUUUAAGAUUAAGAAUUCUUUAAGAAUUUGGACUCAUUUUCAAGCAAGUUAAGAAUUCUUUAAUUAAUAAUUCCUAAUUAUAAAGGGAUCUGCAUUGAUUUUUUGGAGUCAUUUUUAAUCUCUUAAAUUGUAGUAAGGUUUCUUAAUUAGGUGGCGAGAAAUCUGUCUGCAUUCGUUAUUUAUUCUAAUAAAAUAGCAUGCAAUUUAGUCUUUCUUAACCAAGUUGCAAAUUGGCUCUGAAUUUUCUAAACUUUUUGGCGCUGUCCAUCCUUCUUCAUAUUAUAAACAUUCAUAAUCACUCUAUUUUCUAUUUAACCUUUUAAAAGGACAGAAAAAAGCUCAGGCUAUCGGGCCCACAGCCUAGCAUGCAUGGCCAUUAUAAAAAAAAACUUAAGCAAGCAGGUAACCUUCAAGCCCAGCCUGGCAUGCUUGGGGUUUGUUCUAUUUUUUAAUAUGAAAAAAAAAAAUAUAAACGUUGUCUACCAAUCUAGAUUACAGCCACUAAAAUAGUAACCGGAAAAUCAAGAUAGCGUCUUUUUUGGUAAAAAAACUACACCUUAUCAACAUCAAGGCAACGUCUUUUUUGGUUUUUUUAAAAAAUUACCUCUAUUUUUAAGACAUUAUAACCCCAAAACACUUACAAACAUCUUUAUAGCACCCGAAAAUUAUUUCAUCAACUUCAAAUACCCAAAAAAAUAGCCCAAAAAUCUGAAAUCAAAUCGGUUUAGUUUUGGUUUUCUUGAUUUAGAUCUGGAUUUUUAUGCAACAUUAAAGCUCUAAACAAUCAUCAUGAAACUCCUCUCAUAUUUGAGAACCCGUGGACACCAAUAAAAUCCAUUUUGGUGGUCGAAAAUGAAGUGAACAAUGGCUUUAUCUCUUAUCAUUAGAAUCUAGCAACACUUAUCUCUCUCUUCUCUGUAACCUUAGAUUGAAAAAUAAUACAAAUAAAGUUGUGUAUCAAAACUAAUUUUUUAAAAAUUUCAAAAGACCUGAAUUCUAUGAAUAAUGUUAUUUUUAAAGAUCAAAGACCUAAGUAUAUUUUGCUUGAAGUCUCUGGUACAUCAUUCAUGUUUGAUGUCUUUUUUUAUUUUAAUCCUCAUUCUUUCAAUUUCACUCUUGAUUAAUUAUAUAAAAUAAAAUUUUGAGAAUCGAAAUAAAUUAUUAUAAAAAAGAAUUCAUAAUGUUUCGUGAAUAUAUGAACAAUACCCAAAUAUAAUAAUAAUAAAAACAAACCACACGGCUUUGCAGUUUGUUAUAAAUCCAUCAUUUAGACUCGAAUUAAAACCUCACAGGAGGACAGAUUCAUUUCGGCAUGCACACCAAAAUGGAAUUUCAACGAGAGAGAUAUAUACAGAUGGUUUUUUCUUAUUGGGCAUGUGCAGUGGAUUUACACAUCAUUUAUACGAGUAAUGUGUCGCUGCGAAAACUUGACAGCAUUCAGGAUAUCACUAGCUAUUUAUUUAAUGUGUUUCUUAUAUUUUAUUAAAAUCUUCAAAGUAAAAUUUUUAAAAAAUAUAUAUAUGAUUAUGAUUUAAAAAAACUACCCCAAGGUGGUAGUCUAGCCGUAUAUCAACUAGGGGCUUGGGGUUUGCUUCUUCAGAACUCUGGUACUAGAAAAGUUAUCCUUCAUGAACAACAGUGUUUUCACAAGCUGCUGAUUUCUUCGGUUUUUAAAGGAAGAAAAAGCGUUAAUAACCACAAAUUACAUUUAUUUUCCUUUUUGAUAUUUUGUUGCAAUAUCUUUUCUUUUGCCCUGCUGGAAAGUUAUAUCUGUUUUUAUCAGAACAAUAAAAAAAAUAAAAAAUAAAUUGUUUGGCCCAUCCAUCCUUAUAAUUGAGCUUGGACUCGUCCAUAUGUAUCCACGUCACUUUUGUCACUGGAGUCAACCAAUUGCCUCCUUGGUUCCCUCGAAUAUACCGUAUGCAGGUGCUGUUUAUAACAAGCAAAUUCUAUCCUCCCGUACAGUUCAACGGCAAGCUGGGGUUGUGUUUUUGGGCAUGGGAUUUGCUUACAUUUUGAUCCUCCAUGCAGACUGCAAGAUGUCCCUUGGUGAAGCUGCUAAUAUUCAUACUUCGUUAAAAAACUACAAAUUACAUUACAAACAACAUUGUAGUAAUCAAUAUUUAGAAAUAGUGCUUUCUGAAUUUCCAGAUCUCAAUUUUAUUAUAUUCCAUAUUACCUGUAGAAUAAAAAAAAUACCAAAAAAUUCAUUAAAAGCACGUUUUAACCACGAAAACAACUCAUUCUUGAAAGGGUGAUGUUGCUUUUUUACUGCAUGGAGAAUAUAUCUGAAUUAGAGAUUUCAUAGCAAUACUCUGCUUUACAGAUUCCUUGUUUAGCAAGAAUAUCUGCACAGUGAUUAAUCUCCCUUGGUGUACGUACGAGUGAAGGAUACUGGACCCAACAGUCAUUUCGGGUGAAAACGGUGUUGUUUUCAACACACACUAUUCAUUAUCUCUUCAUCCUGAAGACCGGAACAACAGGAUCGAAACACAACCAAAAAAAUCAUGGACCACGCUGCCAAUAUCCGGCCCCACCCACACGAUGACUCUCAAAGUCAGAAGGAACGAACAGACAGAAAGACGAAGAAGAAGAGGCACAGAACAGAAGGCGAGAGAACAGGACGAACAACACAAGAAUACCAGGAGACAAAUACAGAGAAAGAACAGGCGACCCAAGAAAGUGAAAGGCGAGAAGAAGCAGAGGAGAGAGUUUCUUUUCGGCAAGCAACCUCACGCCUUCAUCGCCAUCAUCCUCGACUUGCAGCGACCAGGUAAGUUCUUCAUUUCCCUCUCCUUUACAAUUAUAAUUGCAUAGGUACUGUUCUUAUGCAGUUUUAAUUCAAUCUUGCGACUUCAGCAAUUAUAAUCCAGUGGCUGGGUGUGCACCCGUGCCUUAUCCUUUUAUUUUCACCCUCAAUGUUUUUAAAACUCUUUUUUUACUCUAAAUGAAAAAAAAUAAAAAAAAUAAACUCUAAAUGAAAAAAAUAAUAUAAACUUGAAUUGUAAAAUUAUAAAAGUGCAAUUAAUUUUUUUAAAAUAAUUAUAUAUUGAAAAUUCUAAUCAUGAAAUUAAAUUAUAUAAAAAUUUGAUAAAUUAAGUCAACAAUAUUAUAAUCAAUGAAUGAUUUAAAUAAAAUGAGAGAGACAAAUAGUAUGAAUCAAUAAAUUAAUGAUAUUUUAAAAUAAAAAGUUUCAAAAACAAAACUUUUCAAUACAUGAAUGAUAGGAAGUAUACAUGAAUCUAGUGAUAACUUGGUUGUUUUUCAUCUCAAUAAGUCCUAAUAGACCUCUUUUGGAUUGCAAGCUAAUGAACUUAAAGUAGUUAUUAGCUAAUAAACAAUGUCUAAUGCACUAGAAAAAAAUUCAAAUUCAAAAUUAAAUAAAUAAAUAAAUAAUAAAAAAAGUCUUCACGUUAAAAUUCCUCAAUGUAUUUGCGAAUAUCUAAUUUUUGCAUAUAUCUUGGCAGAUUUGAGUUCUGAUUUCAAACAUGUCGUUCUUUCUCGUGUUGAUGAAUUACUGAGCGUACGAUAUAUGGUUAUAAAGCUUUAGAUGUCUAGUUUCCAACCCAACUUUAAUCGUAGCAAAAUUUCACUAGUAGCUUUAGAUAUAUCUCAAACAAUAUAUAAAGGUCUAGCUUGACAUAUUUGAUAAGAUUCAUCUACUAACUAUGACCCUCUAAAAUAUUAUGUUCUCAAACUCUAUUUGACUUGAAAAUUUACCAUAAUAUAUUUUCAUGUGUCUAAUAUUUUCCUGUAAAAUUUUAGCUCUAUCAAAUAUAUAGUGUGAAAGAUAUGUUCAAUCUCUCAAAUCUGGUCAGUAGACAUUUUAAAACCAAAUUUAGAUCUGACUUGGUUCAUAUCAUAAAUUUAGUAAACUCGUAAAAUCAAACUGAGUUUACCGAGUUUACUAAUUUUACUGUUUUUGCACAAGUUAAAUUUGACUUUGCAAGUUAGAUACAUGUUGACUCAUAUAAUUGUAAGUUACUGGAUUUUAACAACAAUGUUCACCCUUCUUUAUUUUAAUAUCUAGUCAAACAGGUCUUUUUUGAUAUCAUAAAAUUCCAAAAAAAAUUGUGGAUCUUUUUGAAUUUAUUUAUAGGUCCCUUGUAUUUUUUUAAGUAUUUCACUAUAUUAUUAAUAUGUGAAUUUUUACUAUAAAAUGUAAAUCCGUUAUAUGAUAUAUUUAAAAAAUAUAUAUAUUUUUAGAAUUUUUAAAGUUCAUGACAUUGUGGGUGUGAUAAUUAUUAUUAUUAUUGAAAAAGAUGAUGAUUCUAUGAUAUUAAUUACUAAUUAAUAACUAUCCAAUUAGGUAAAUUGAUUAUUCCAUACUAAAUAAAAUUUUAUCUUUGUUUUUCUCAACAAAUAUGUGACCUAUAUAAACCUACGACAAAUAAUAUCAAUUGAUGGUAAGCUUCCACAUCUAAUUAUAUAAUAUAUAGGUUUUGAAGAGAUAGGGUGAAGGCUACAGUAAAUGUUACCGUUGCUAUCAGCGCUGAUAACUAUACGGGACUCUGUUGCUUUACUCAAAGCAUCCUCUUCCCCUUUGUUUCUCCCAUCACUUCCUCUUUUGUGAGAUGCCAAGGAAGUAGGAACAAUGCAUAUACCCUUUCUGCUUAUAAUUAUUAACUAGUCCAAAGUUUGGUAUUUUUCCAUAAAUAUCAUCAGAAAAAAAAAUAAAAAAAUAAAAAACAAAGAAAAAUCAAAAGAAUAUAUUUUUGAUAUAUUUACAUUGUUUUAAUAUUUUCAAUAUCAUCUCAAAAAAAUUUAAAUUUUAAAUGUAUUUUGAAUACGUUUAACUUUUAACACGUAAAUUUUGUGAUCAUUGAUUUUUAUUGUUGAGUCAAUGUUUAUAUUACUUAUUUUUUUAAAUAUAAAAAAUUAAAAUUAAAAGAAAAAUAGAAAAAAAAAAGUUAAGAAACUAAUUUGAAAAUAUAACAAUAUUUUACCUUUAAAUACUAGCCUACAGUAAAGUAAAAAAAAAAAAAAAGGAGAAAAAAUGAAUUCAGGGGAGAAAAAUUCAGAGGCAUGGAGGCGGAGCAAAUUUUGGGGGGAAAGAAAAAACCUAACCUAAAAUUUAUCUACAGGCAAGCCGCCGUCCGACGCCCUUUCAGCUUUUAGUUUUUUUGGUCCCAGAACCAGCAAAAAGCUUGGCUCGCCAUCUUCCCUGAAACCGGAGAGAAACCCCACACAAAUACACUCCUUGGUCUCUGCCAUUUUCGGCACCUUCCCCUUUCCCAUUCCAGCCUUCCCAAAUCAACCAUCCUCUUCACCUGCUCUCGGUGAUCAGCUUCCCUUUAGCCCUCUGUCAAAGCAAGCCACAGUCGGCCUUCCAUCAUCAACUUUUGCCCUUUGGUUUCUUUUUCUUCCAGCAGCGAUGGCCCCCUCCCCGUGCAGCGGCGCCGUGUUCCUCUAGCAGCAGCCCACACACGACAGCGUCCGGGCAACGCUCUCUUCUCCAUGUUCUGCAACCGGCCUCCAGCAACAGCCAAGCCCGGCAGAAUCCACCUUGGUCUAGCACAGCAACCUCCACCCUCACCGCGGAGCCGUCAGCCGUCAUGAAGAGGAAAAACUAAACUCAGAUCUGGAAAAGAAAGGAGACUGGGAACAGAUGAAAGAAAAGGAAAAGAACAGACCCGAAAGAAGCAGAUCUGAAGAAGGAGAAGAAAAAAAACAGAUCCGUGAAGAAGUAAAGAAAAUUAAAAACAACUGCUUGUGUUUUGCUUUCUGCAGGUGACGGUGGGUGUCACCGCCUACAGGAGAAGGAAAAAGGGACGAAGCUGGUACAGACCCCCUGUUACCCGGGUUGUCUUCGCGGCGGCGGCGCCAGUGGCAAGGCGCGUGUGGGUGACGCUCCGCACUGUUCAAAUGCCCAGAAACCUUCCAGCCAUUGCAGAAGGCCUUAGAUUUUUGGGUUUUAUUUUGUAAUUUGUGAAUUGUAUUUGAUUUAUUAUGAGUUUUGUUUUUUUUUUUUUUUUUUUAUAUAUAUGUAAAAGAUGGUGUAUAAGAAAAUCAUAAUAAAAAAGAGUUUGUAUUUUUAUUUAUGUUAUUGAAUUAUAUAUAUAAAAAAAUUAUUUAAUUUGAAUAUGGUUAAAUAUUUUAAGAAUAAAUAAAAUCAUGUUAUAUUUUUUAUGAAAAUAUAAGAAUUUGUUUCUAUAUGUAUUCUGAGAUUUAAUUAUUAAUUUAUUAAAAUUUUAGAAUUUGAUUAAUAUUUUAGAUUUUUAAAUCAUAUCAAACCAAAAAACAGUUUAUUUCUCGUAAAAUAUGUUAGGAGUAUCAAUACAUUUACUAGCCAUAACUAGUCUUAUAUAUAUGAAUUUCUGAUAAUGAUCAUCAUAUUCAGAUUUUUUAUUAACCUCAAUCAAAUACGUAGAGACUCCCAAGAUUCUAAAUCAAACAAAGAAAUGAAAAAUCACUAAUUUAUCGCCGCGCGAGUGAUGUGCAAGAAUAACUAAUUCUAUUUUAUUAAUAUCUUCAAAGUAAGAAAUUCUAAAAUAUAUAUAAUCAUUUUGAUAAAUUUUAACUUAAAAAGAAUAAUAAUUCUUAAAAAAACAUGUUUUUGUAAAAAAAAGAAAAGAAAGAAACACAUUAAUUUUUUUUUUUUUAAAAAGAAACACAUUCUGUUCACUUUUUAUUUCAAAUCAAUACAAUUUUUUUUAAUUUCUAUGUUAGUUUUCUUUAUUUUUUAUCCAAUAAACUUUAUAGCUAUUAGAAAAAAAAUAUUCUUUUCAAAUUAAAAAAAAAUAAUAUGAAAAAAGAAUUUUAACUAAAAAUAUAUUUUUUUUCCAAGAAUUCAAAUAACUAUCUUUAUAUUUAUUAUGAAAAAAUAUUUUUAGUUACCCUUAAUGUAACUUUAUAGCUUACGGUAUAAGCUAGUGCUUGGGAUUAUAAUGCAAACAAGAAACUAAACUGUAAUGUACUAAAAGAGAAUUCAUUUUUAUCUUCAUACAAGUAAAUAAAACAUAAAAAAACAACCAUGUUAUAGGUUAAAUAUUUACACUUGCAUUUAUUUUUUGUUUUUUACAAAAAAACCCAACUGUUUCAGCCUUUAAUUAGCAUGAACAAAUAUUAUUUAUGUGAUUUAUUAAUUCAUUUUUAAAUAAAAAUAAAAAUGUCAUCUUUUCAGUUUCCAAAUUAAAAAUUUCAUGCUAUCAAAACACAUGUCCACAUAUUCAUAGCUUCUUGUUUUUUUUUAUAUUAUUAUUUAUUACAUUACAAUUUAGUUUGUAAUGUUGCCCGUAAUUAACUAGAUGGUAUCUAAUGUCUCGUCUCUUUGUAUCUCAAGAGCAGUCUGGUUUGUCAGGUCUGACUUGUUAUCCAAUGGAGAUUAUCCAAAGAAAAUAAAUAAAUAAAUAAAUCAUAAUGUCAGAGUUUUUGACUACGCACUUGUGAUGCUCAUCGGUUACAAAAUAAAAUAUAAAAAAUUGACAAUUUGAGAAUCAAAUACAGUUUUUUUUCAAAAACAAUAAGAAUGUUUUAAAUAAUACAUAGGAGUUUUAUUUUAUAGAAAAUUUGCAUUGAUUGUUUCACUAGCAUAUCUAAUCUUUUAUAUUUUUGCGAAUAAACCUAAAUACACAAGGAAAAAGAAACUCAAACCAAUGAGAUAGAUAUUGAUGGUGAGCCCCAAAAAAGGCUCUAGAACUGCGAAUGAACCUAAACACUAAAAUCACAAAGAAGAAGAAGCUUAGACCAAUGAGACAAGUGCUGAUAGCAAGCCCCAAUGAAGGUUCUAGAACCGCGUAUGUACCUGUGAUGAAUGCGAUAAUCAUUGUACCCAUGCCAAUCAUGGUAAACAACGUGGCAUACCCAAAUAAUUUUAUAGCGGCUUCCUCACCUAUCUCUUUAUUCUUGACCGUUUCAAAACCAUGAAUCAACGAAAUCAAAAAGUGGAUAAAAAUUGCUAAAAUGGAGAGCAUCAUUGAUAUUGCAUCUGAGAUGACAAAUGCUAUAAAAGCAGCUUUUUUAGCUAGAAGUGCAGUGCCUCGAUCGCUCUUGUAACCGCCAGGUAGGGUGAAUGCUGCUGCAAAUGUUACCGUUGCUAUCAGCGCUAUAACUACUAGAUGAGACUCUCUUGCUUUACUCAAACCAUCCUCUUUUUCUUUGUUUUCCUCAUCAUUUCUUUUCAAAAAAUAGAGACGGCGUCCAAUCGGUCCACUGCCAACAUCUUCAAGGGAUUCUAGAAUCUCUUUAUGGAGAAAUAUAUAUUUUGAGUAAAAUAUGUUAAGUUGUUAAAGAGGUUUUAAACAUAAUUUUAUAUUACUUUAUAUAUUAUUUUUUUAAAUAAAUUUUUUUAAACCUUAUUCAUAUUAUUUUGUAUUUAAAUUUUAUUAAUUAAAAUAAAAAUAGUGAGAUUUGAAUUUAUAAUUAUUUGAUCAAUAAUAUUGUAAUACUAUUUUUAAAACCUUAUUCAUAUUAUUUUGUAUUUAAAUUUUAUUAAUUAAAAUAAAAAUAGUGAGAUUUGAAUUUAUAAUUAUUUGAUCAAUAAUAUUGUAAUACUAUUUUUAAAAAACUAAUUAAAUCUAAAAAUUUAAACAAAUAAUCCAUCAUUUUUAGCUAUUUAACAUAUAUCAUAUAUCAAAUUCCGAGCUUUUGUUUCCACAACUAGUUUGUUUGCAAUCAAAUCCUUCUUGUUACUGUAUAUAUUAGCAAGUAACAAAACCUAAUUUGGUUGAAAUUAAACCGCAUGCUUUACAUUAGCCCAACUAUCCCCGAAAAGAAAGCUAAGACGUGGACUUAAUUUUAUAUACCAUUAAUUAUACAUCAUUUCAUUCUAAAAUUAAUUUUCUAUGAGGAGUAAUCCAAUAUAUUAUUGUUUAUUGUUACUCCCCUUAAUUGCUUUUAAGAUUAUGUUAGGUUUCUAUUAGAUUUUCACUUUAAUUCUCAGAUUUUUAAAAUUUUAAUUAAUUGCAUUUUUUUUCAAUCAUUUGUACUACUUUUGUUUUUUUAUUGAAUAAUAUAUGUUUUUAUAAAGCAGUUACAUGCGAUUUAUAUGCACAAUCUGUUAUUGUAGAUAAAAAACUUUGACAAAAUCAAUAAAAUGACUUCAUUUCAAAUAAAAAAAGAUUAUUAAGUUAUUCAGAUUACUUUAUUUUAAUAUUUAGUACUGCGAUAUAAUAGAGUGAAACUGAACAGCAUAGUGAAGGGCUUUCCAACCUCUGUUAUCAACUAGCUCACAACAAGCUGGCCAUCGAGAAACAAUCUUUUUCAUUGCCUUCACAUGUCCUUGAAGGGCUGCAAUGUGAAGAGCUGUUCUCUUCUUCUCCUCUGUCACAGCAAUGUAGGCCGCGGACGCAUCAUAAUAUUCUAGUAAUACUUUCACUAUACGAGCAGAACAGUCAUAAUAAGCAGCGUAGUGAAGUGGUGACCAGCCGUUCUCAUCGGUUGUUUUCGUCAAUUUUUGUUCUUUUUCUAACAAUUUUUUUGUUGUCACUGAAACCAACAAAACAAGGAAUAAAAGUUAUCCUUCAUGAACAACAGAGAUUUCACUUAUGCCCCGUUUAAUAAUUUCAUUUAGAAAACUGGUUUCUUGAUAAAUAAUUUUCUAGAAAAUAAAUUAUUUUUUAAUAUUUAGUAGUAUCAUUAAAAAUAAAUUGAAAAAUACUUUCCAGUAUUUCACUAUAUUAUAAAAAAUAAAUUGAAAAACAAUUAUUAAUAUAUUUUUUUCAUGUUUAGUAAAAUAACGAGAAGCAAAUCUUAUAAAUUUUAAAGUUGAAUGAGAAUAAAAUUAAAAAAAAUAUAUAAUUUUAUAAAUUAUUUCAAAUAAAAUAAAUAAAUAAAAAAUAAGGAUGAAAUCUUAUAGAUAAAAAAAUUCAAUUAUUGAUAAGAAAAAAAAUAAAUAACAAUGAUAAAAAUAAAUAUCAAAGUUGAUACAAAAAUCAAGUUAUAAUAGAUGGAAUUUAAAAAAAAUUCAAAAUAAAAUAUAUAGUAAUUAAAAGUUUAAAGAUCAAAUUUGAUAUAAUCAGUAAAUAACAUGAUAUUUUUAAUUUUUAAAAUCAAUACAUCAAAAUUAUUAAAAAACACUAAUAAAAAUAUAAAUUUGAUUUCAAAGAAAAAAAAACCCUUUUAAAAAUAACAGUGAUGGACACCUUUCUAGAAUUAUAUCAACAAAAUCAGUGAAUUCUCGUUUGAUCAUUCUCGAAGGGACCGAUAUUGCCUUCUUCCGCAGCUUUGAACAAGAAAGGAUCCAUACUAUUUUGUAGCUUAGAAAAACUCACUAAAUGAAAUGUAAACAAAUGAAGGUUCCGCUCCUCAACUGAUCACAAGCUGCUGAUUUCUGUGGUUUGUUGCCUCCCUGGAUAAGGGGGUAUUUGAGAGAGCUUUAAAUCUUGUUAUAUAUAUAUAUAUAUAUAUAUUAUUUUUUUUUGAAAAUAUAUUAAAAAAAAAAAUUAUUUUAAAAAAUUAUUUUUAAAAUCAUCACAAUAAAAUUAUUUAAAAAUAUCUAAAAAAAUUAUUUUAAAAAAAUUAAACGUGAUUGUCUGUGCUGUAAUUCUUCUUGCUUUUUACCGUUAUAACCUAAACAGACGAAAAUGACCUCCUUCUCCCUUCUCCGCAAUUGAGAGACGGAAAAAAAUUAUAUAAAACCAAAAAGGAAUCUCUUUUCUAUGGUUAGAGAAUAUAAUUUAAUUUCAAACUAAAAAAAAUAAAAUUUUAAAAAAACAUGUUUCACGCAUCUGACUUGAAGAUAAGGAGAUUGUGGUCCAGCUCUAACCAUAAGAAAAACGAGUGGACAGAAAUGAUGCAAGUGUAGUAGAGAGAUCGACCUCGAGGAAGAGAAGCUAGGACAAUCAUAAUGAGUUAUGUUCAAGACCUAAAGGGACUGUUUUGUGCGGAAAAGGAAAAUUAAAGGAACGGUUGGUGUGCAUCAAUGUCAUAAAUAGGGUUUGUCUUGUCAGGAAGACUUUGAAAGUUGCAUUAAUACAGCAAAUGCAGGGGGAGGUGAAAACAUUCAAAAUAUGCUACAUUGUAGUAGUAAUUAUUUUUUAAAUAAUUUUUAUAUUAAAAUAAAUAUUAAUAAUAUUUUUUUAUUUUUUAAAAAUCAUUUUUAAUAUUAACACAUUAAAACGAUCCCAAACAUAUAAACUAUAUUAAAUUUUAAUAAAAAACAAAAAUUUAAAUUUAAGAUAGCAAGUGUAGAGAGUUGUGACUGAAUCCCUUCUUCUUCUUCUUUUAAUUGACAAAGUGGCUAAAUUACCAUAGCUUUAAUUCAAAAACAUAUCAUUCAUUGAAAACAUAUCAUUGAAAAUAUAUAUAUACUCUCCUACAACUUGCAAGAUAUUUUAUUGGUAUGCUCGAAUAUGGUAUCACAAUAUUGAUCUUUAUAAUCUGUAUAUUAAGCUAACUUUUUAUUUUAGCACUAGUAUACCAAGUAAAAAUAACACGAUUAAGCUCUUCAUCAUUAUACAACAACAGAAUGAAAUCACAAAGCAUAUAUUUAAAGAUUCAAUAAAUAAAUUGUAAACAUGAAGAAUCUAUGUAAACUUAUUGCCAUUGAGGCUCUAAUAAGUGGAUUCUAUAAAUAUUCAUUAUGGGAAUGCUUUUGUAAUUUUCAUGACAAAACUUUUGUCAAUAUAAAUUAUGUAAUAAAAAAUGAUAUUUGGGUGGAGAAAUCAAGUGUGACUAGAUAAAAAUAUCUUUAUUUCUAGAGAGCAAAAUCUCCACAAUAUCACUAAUCUUCUACUAGGACAUAAAAAAAAGUUACAAGGGAUCCAUUUAUGAUUUCUUAACAUUUUCAAAGCUUUUAGCCGCACCAUUCACCACUAUGCAUACAUAGGUGUUUGAUUCCAUCUAGGAAAAAGAUUUUGUACGAUAUCUAUCUUUUAUGAAGAGUGGUAUUAUUAACGUAAAAAACAUUAAUAAGUUCUGUUAUUUUCACAUCUCCAUGACUAUAAUCAUGACAUUGAAAAAUAUCAUGCCUUGAAAAGAGAGAUAAAAAGGUUGAUAUUCAAGGGAUAUCUCUAAUAAUUUAUGAAGAAUGAGAUGCAAUUUAAACAAAUAAAAAAAAAUCUCCAUAACACAUUACGAAUUUAUAAGAAAAUAUUGCCACCAAUAUCUCCACUAAUAGCAAGCAAGGCACAUUAUCUAAUGACUUAAUUUUCUAUGAAAAUAUAUUUUUUCUCUCCAUAAAAUAAGUUCAGAGACUACACCAGUCUCCAUAUAUAUAUAUAUUUAAGAAAGCCAAAGCUACUCUUAGCCAUUGAAAGCUUUAGCCUUGCAAGAUAUCAGUUUUAAGCCACACAAAGCUAGAGCCAAGUUCUACAGGAGACAAGUACUGGAAAUACAACUAAAAUAGUCUCUUCUAUUCUACACACAAAAACUCUGCACACUCUGCACUCUUAUACUUGCUAAUUUUAGUAUCAAAGAGUUUUCUAUUUAAACAAGGGUUUUAUUUUGUAAAAAAGCUCAUGAACCUGCCAAGCCCGACCACACCAUCAACCCAGGACGACCAUGAAAAACUCAAUUUUUAUCUAAAUGUUUUUCACAAUUUCAUUACCUAUGCUGUUAGUGUUAAGCCAAUGGUAUGGAAGCCAUAUGCCUAUAAUCUUUCUAAAAGUAUUCGUUUUAGACGAGUAUUCUCGCACUUUGAAUGCAAGGACAUUUACCGGUAGCUAGUAGGGGGCUAACUUGCUAAUACCAAUAUCACCACUAAAAGAAAGAGGGCUCUCUUCCACCUUUCCUUUCUUUCACAUCUUGAUUCGGACUUUAUAGUGGUCCCUAGGCCGGCCAUUUCUCCUUGACCUCGCUGUCCAUGGCCGCCACUUCUUCUAUCGUACCAUUUCUUUUUAGCGGUCUUGUCUUAGAGAAAAAAUGUCAUGGCCAUGCACAGGAUAUAUCAUUCAAGUUUUGUCCUCGAUAUGUGAUUCACUCGAGUAUAUAUUUAUCUGCCUUCUUUUUCUAUAUCGUAAAAAGGAAACCUUUCACUAAAAGAGCUUUAAGUUAUGAUAGUUUGGUUUUUUUUUUUAACAAAAACCAGCAAAACUUGUUUUGUUUUUUUUUUAGUUUUUAUGGGAUUUUACUGACUUUUCCUAGGUUUUUUUUUAACCUUUAAUUUUUUCUAGCUAUAUUUAAAAAAAAAUAAAAAUGAGUCUUGAAUGCUACAUGGUAUAUGGUCCCAGAAUGAGACCGUGCAAAGAUUUCUUGGUCCCAUAAAUAUUUCUGAUCGGUUAACUUUACUAGUGAUUUAGCAUUUGAUUGGCUGGCUGCUUUUGAAUUUUCUUCCCUGCCUUUAGCUAAUAAUUUCUGGAACUGAUUUGACUUUUUAUCUUGUAUCGUACGUAGCCUUUGUCAGCGUGUUCACACGGUGGAAAGUAUGAAUGCACUUGGACAAAAAUAAGAGCGAAAGACGAAGAACAGAACUCUGGUCCUUUUCUUUUUCCUAUCACUGGUCUCGGUGCUGUCCCGUCCGUCCCCUCUGCUAUUUUGUCCACAAAGCCCAAGUUCAACUUGUUUCGCAUUGCUCAAGACCUCAUCAUCCGCGGAAAAUGAGGAAUUUACUAAAUUUUUUUUAGUUUUUUUUUUUUUUUUAGUUUUUAUGAUUAGGUUUUUGGUUAAAAAAAUAUAUAUAUAUUUUUUAAAAAAAUAUCACUGAACUGUUUGGUUUUUUUUUAAUAAAAACUGGUAAAACCUGUUUUUUUUUUUUUUAGUUUUUAUGGGAAUUUACUAAAUUUUCAUAGGUUUUUUUUCAAACUUUUUUUUUAAAAAAGUUUUAUGGGUAUUCUUAAAAUUUUUAUAUAUCUAGCUAUUUUUAGCCCAGGUUAAUUAACAAUGCAUGCCAGGAGAAAAGUAUAAAAAUAUAUUUUAAAAAAUAAAAAUAUAUAUUUCAUAAAAAAACAUGCAAUUCUUGCUGUCCCGUCCCCUCUGCAGGUUUGUCUAUACUCUAUAGAGCCCAAGUUUAAUUCUGAUGCAAUACUAGGUUUUAUGGGUAUUCUUAAAUAUUAAAUACCUAUUUCAACUUAAAAAUUUAAAUUUAUUUUUAUACUUUGUUUUAUAUGUUUUGAACAUAUAAAAAUUUAAAUUAUUGGUGAAACUUCUAGAAUCAUUUUCAAAUAUAUGUUUUUAAAAAAUUAAUUUUCAAAUUUCUUUAAGCGUUUCAAACAUUUUUUGUAAAUAAGCUUCCAAAUUAUUUCAUUCUGUCAUUGAAUCUUUGUAAAGGAAUGUUAAUAGGUAUUCACGGGUUUUGAUAUUAUCUAUACUUGCAUUCAAACCCAAAACAUUAUUGAUAUGUAACUCAAAACUUAACAAGUUUAAAUUUUAAAUACCAAAAUUUAAUUCAAUUAAUCCGGUUUUAAUUAUUGAUUCAGAUACUUAUAUAUUACCUAACUUAUACAGUUAUGUUUGUGGAAAUUAAAGAUUUUGAUUAUCUACAUAGCAAUUUGUCACAAAUAGAUUAUUUGAAUAGCUUAAUAUAUGCUUUUAUAAACUAGUAUUGAGAUAGGAUAAAGUUUAAAAUAAUAUAUGGUCAUGCUAUAUUAAAGUAGUGACUUUAAAUGAAGAUAACAAGAGAUUUGACUUUUGGUUAAGAUCAAAGUUUUACAAGAAAUUCAAAAAGUUGUUUUUUUUUUGUAUCUUUUAUUGGACUACUAGGUCUUUCAAAAUUAAGUCUAAGAGUUGCUAUUUAGGCUAAUUUUAUUGUUUUUUAUUUAUUAUUUAAUUUUAGAUUUUAUAUUAAUUUUUUUAUGCUUUUGAAUUCUAAAUUCUUUAUAUAUAUAUAGGGUUUUCUAAUUUAUUUAAACAUCUUAUAAACAUUUUAAGAAGAUAUUUAAUAUAUAUUUAUUUUUGAGAGAAUAAAACCAUGAAUUUAGAAUUCAAAUAUAAAAUUCAUUUUCUUAUCAAAUUCUUGAAGUGGUGGGGGUAAUGGCUGCCUCAUAUUAUGCCAGCAUAAGUGGAUCAGAAAUGGAUUCAGAUGAGUGUUUUGAAUACGGUUAAAUAUUUACACUUGCAUUUAUUUUUUAUUUUUUACAAAAAAAAAAAAACUCAACUGUUUUAGCCUUUAAUUAGAUUAAUCAUUCUUUAUGUGAUUUAUUAAUUCAAAUAUUUUAAUUUGUUUUUUAAUAUAAACAUCAUCAUUUUAAUUUUCAUUUUAAAACUUUUAUAUUAUCACAUUGGAAUGUCCACAGAUUCAUAGCUUCUUGGUUUUUUUUUUCUUAUCUUGAACUACUCCCCCAUCUUUAUAUCUCAAGAGCAGUCUGGUUUGUCAGGUCGAUAAGAUUCUUCGAACCAUUCAUGCACUUCAUGGAACAAUCUAACUAGCGGGCACAAAACAAUUAAUGAAGAAUGUUUUUGGGGACGAGCUCUGCAUCUUGUUUUUUUUUUUUUUUUUUUAAAUAAUUAUUUAAUUUAUUUUAAUAUUUUUAGAUUGUUUUGAUAUAUUAAUAUCAAAAAUAAAUAAAUAAAAAAUUUAUUUUAAUAUAUUUUUAAAUUAAUCACUGUAAUCUCAACCACAUCAUGAGAAUGAAACUUAGCAUAUCUCACUUUUCAUAGUAGUUUUCUUACAAUAUUUUAAGAUGGUGAUAAAGUGUUUUUUAAAAUAUUUUUUUAUUUAAAAAUAUAUUAUGAUAAUUUUUUUUUUAUUUUUAAUAUUAAUAUAUUAAAAUAAUUUAAAAUUAUAAAAAAAUAAUUUAAUUUGUUUUAAAAAAUUCUAAAAUAAUUUUUAAACACAAAAACAAAUACUUUACAAGUACAAACUUGAUUAAUAAACAAACCAUCAAAGCAAAUUGUCCUUGGAAAAUAAAUUUGUCUGUCCAACUACCCUACUACUAGUAGUGUCACUAAAUUUUAGUCAUGAGUAAGAAAAUAAAUAAAUAAAUAAACACAAAAUAGUGUCAGUGUUUUUUACUACUUUACUUGUGAUGCGCAUCAAUUACAAAAUAAAAUAUAAAAAAUUAACAAUUGAUUUGGCAAAGCAAACACAUGAUUUAGAAUUGAUUGUUUCACUAGUAAAUCAAAUAUCAUAAAUCCUUGUAAAUGAACCUAAGACUAAAUACACAAGGAAGAAGAAAAUCAAACCAAUGAGACAAUUAGUGCUUAUAACAAGCGCUCCCAUGAAGGUUUUAGAAAUGCGUAUGUGCUUAUGAUGAAUGCGAUAAUCAUUAUCUCCAUGCCAAUCAUGGUCAACAAUGUUGCAACCGCAAGUAAUCUUAGAGUGGUUUUCAAAUUCAUUUCUUCACCCUUAUUCAUUUUCAAAUCUUGAAUCAACGCCGUCAAAAAAUAGAUAAUUAGAGAUAGCAGAAAUAGAAAGCAUUAUUGACAUUGCAUAUAAUAUGACAAAAACUAUAAAAAUAGCUUUUUUUAGCUAGAAUUGUAGUGCCUCCGUCACUCGGUGAAUGGUGCUACAAAUAUUACUGUUGCUAUCAACACCACAACUACUAGAUGAGACUCUCUUACUUUAGUUAAAACAUCCUUUUUCUCUUUGUUUUCCUCCUUCUCUCUUCUCAAAACAAAGCGCCUGCGGCCAAAUGGUCCCAUGCCAACAUCAUCAAGGCAUUCUAGGAUCUCUUUCUGCAAAAUAUUUAGGAUAAAAUAUUGUAGAUAUCCAUUAUCUUUUGCUAUUUAAUUCUCAGAUUAUUUAAAUUUUAAUUAAUUGUAUUUUUUUCAUUCAUUUGUACUGCUUUUUGUUUUUUUAUUGAAUAAUAUGUUUUUAUGAAGUAGUUACAUGCGAUUGAUAUGCAAAUCUGUUAUCUUAGAUGAAAAACUUAACAUAAUCAAUAAAAUGACUUGAUUUCAAAUAAAAGAGAUUAUUAAGUUAUUUAAAUGAAUUCAUUUUUAUGUUUGAUAUUGCAGUACGAAUAGUUUUUAAAAGGAAAAUCUUUUUUGAAAAUUAAAUCAAUUUUUUUUUUAUUAGAAAGUAUUUUUUAUUGACCAAUUUUUUUAAUAGCAAACAAACACAGUAAAGUUUGAAAAGUGAUUUUCAAAAAAAUAAUUAAAAUAAUAUAUAACAUGUUAAAAUAAUUUAAAAACAUUAAAUAUAAUUUAAUUUCAAACUUUAAAAAAAUUUAAGAUUUAAAAAAACAUGCUUCACACAUCUAAGACUUGAAGAUAAGAAGAUUAUGGUCCAGCUCUAACCAUAAGAAAAACGAGUGAAGACAGAAAAGAUGCAAGUGGAGCAGAGAAAUUUAAAUUGUUUGUGAAACUUUUAGAAUCAUUUUUAUUCUAAUCUCUCACAGAACUCAGACAGCUUCCUCUGCUUUAUUUAUUUAUUUAUUCAUAUUGAUGAAUUGGUAUAAAUAGGCUUACAAGCCUAGCUAGUAAAUGGAACUAGCCAAAAUAGUUACUUCUAUCAACAACCAUUUUCAACAAACAAACAGUCAUACAAGAUGAAUUCCUCUGAUCAACAAAUGAAUAGCAUCACUUACAUGGGACCAGAAUUGUACAAAGCUGCAGCAAAAGGCCAGAUCAACCCAUUUCAGGAGCGUCUUCCAACUCCUCUCAGUGAGCUAUUGACUCCACAAAAAAACACAAUUCUUCAUGUUUACCAGUGGAUGGAAAUGCACUGAUUUUGUUGGCCAAAUUAUUGAUAUGUGCCCGCAACUGCUAUUGCAAGCCAAUACUAAAGGCGAAACCCCACUACAUUUUGCGGCAAGAUAUGGUCAUUCCAAAGUGGUAAAGGUCCUUAUUGACCGCGCAAAAGCUCGACCUACUGAUCCAGAGAGCGGAGUAACAGAAGCAAAAAAGAUGUUGAGGAUAACCACUGAAGAGCAAGAUACAGCGUUGCACGAGGCAGCUCGAAAUAUCCAAGCCCAAGUGGUGAAAAUAUUGACAAAAGAGGACCGUGAGUUUUCAUAUUCCGCCAAUGUUCAUGGAGAAUCUCCACUUUAUAUUGCUGCCAAUAUGAGGUUUGUGAACAUUUUUUUUUAGUCUCAAACAGAGUCCACCAUCUUUUUUUCUUUCUUUUUUUAAUAUAUACUAGAUUAAUCAAUUUUUUACUAAUCUAUUUAUCAAUCUAGAAUACUAUCGUUUUAAGAUUAUAUAAAUGUUAUUGUUGCAUGAUUAAUUUUAAUUUGUUCAGCUUUAUAAUGUUUAAGUAAAUCUGUUUUUAAAAUUAUCAUAAAAGAUAUUAGAAAAGCAAUGCUUCUAUAGUAAUAGGAUUUUACCUGCUUAUUUUUUUUAUUGGAAUUAAAAUGUUAAUAAAAAUCACAUAUAUCUAAUUAUAAUUAUAUUGCUGCCAAUGUAAGGUUUAAUAAUUGGAGGUUUAAAAGACAUGAAGAAAAUAGAAAAAAAGUGAUCGACGAAAUCUUGAGUAAUUGCAAGUUAGUGGAAUAUUGUGGUUCUCAUGGCAGAACGGCACUCCACGCGGCAGCCAUGCAUGGUGAUCAUGGUAAGAUUUUAUUCUGAACUGUAAAGCUUUGAAUUCAUAAAUUAUUAUCGGAAACCAUAACCGUGAGAAGUGUGUUCUUAUCUUAAAUUGGGUUAAAGGAAGAACACUACUAAUGACCUCUCUUGACACGAUUGUUUGAUUUUAAUUUAGCAAUUCUAAAGCGGAUGGUUUAACUAAGCAAAAUUCAGAUAGACAAUGAUAAGAUGACACAACACCAUACAUAACACCGUCUAAUUACACUUCGUCAUAGGAUUAAUAGAAUGUUCCUCUGUUUGCCAUUUUAUUGUACUUUGUAUUUAUAAUCUAAUAGCAAAUUUAAAGUGUUUCUAUUUUUUUACUCAAUACAAACAAAUCCUGAUGUAACUUAUAAUUUUUAAGUAGUCCCUACAUAAUUUACGGUGUACAAAAAAAAACUAAAUUCUUUUUCAAUUCAAGAAAAGCCCUUAUCUGUUCAGUACACAAUAUAUUGUAUUUUUUAUAUUUUAGUUUCUUUUUAUUUAAAGCCAUUUAUUUUCAUUUUCUUAAAAAAUCUUAUUUUAACCUUUAGGAUAUUGUUCUUUUCAUUUAUUUUCCAUUUGUCAAAUUCUUCGUUUACUCUAUCACAUUUAUUUGAUAUAGAAGUUAGUAAAGGAAAAAAAAAACAAAAAUUUUCAUUGUAUGUUUGUUAAAUUAAAGGUUAAAUUGUAUUUAUUACUUAUAUAAUUCAUUGAAAGAUACAAGGGAAAGAAAAUACAUAAUAAGAAGACAAUGAAUUUCCUAGUCUAUUUAAUUAAGGAUUUACAUGCAUGAUUAUAAGAUUUUAGGACCAAAAUGUUCUUAUUCACGUUUGCAUGUAAGGAAUCUAUAUGACAAGUAUGUGUGGGAGUAUCAUUUCCCUUGCAUAAAUAAAAAUAAAAAAACACAAAUGAAUUAUUAAAUUAGUAAGACUAUUAAUUGGAUUCUACGUUAAAAUGAUAAUUUAAAGGCUCAUAAUAAUAUUGAACUUUAUUCUUGUUGUUUAUAGUUUUUCUUAAAAACUUUGGUCAUCUAGUUAAAUGAAGUUGGAGUUGUUGACAUUUCCAUAUUACAGUUAAAGAACGUAGAAAGUAAGAAAGGGCAUUUAUAGCGGUCACCAAGUGAUGUCGUUUGUCUUAUAUGUCCACUUUUUAAAUUUUUCUUUCUUUCCAUUAAAUUGAGUAGUUUGUAGUGAUGUAUGUUGAAUCCUUUCUAAUUUACCAACACUAAGUUGCCAAUUUUGAGUUGACAGACACAAAGGUGGAUGGUACACUUUUUUUAUGAAUAAAAGGUGGCUUAUUGAAGAAUAAUUAGUAAAAUAUAAAUUUAUUAUCUACUUGAUAAAGGGGUAUUGGGACUUUUUAGCAUGACUGAUGUACUUUUACGUUAAGAUGAUGGUUUUAGGUAUGCUAUAGAUUAUCAACUAGUUUUAUUUUUCCCGUGUGUCAAAUAUUUGGAUAAAAAGAGAGAAGAUAUGCGACUUUUUGUUCAUAGCACUGAUAAUGCGAUUGCUUUAAAUAUGUGCAUAAGGUAGAAAACAUCAAAAUAUUUGAGAGUGUGGUUAAGUUGUUUUUAAAAUAUUUUUUAUUUAGAAAUAUAUUAAAAUAAUAUUUUUUAAAAAAUUAUUUUUGAUAUCAGCAUAUUAAAAUAAUUUAAAAAUACCAAAAAAAUAAUUAAUUUAAAAUAAAAAAAUUAAAAUAUUUUUAAAAUACAAAAACAACAGCUAAACUUCAGUGCUAUAUUGUUUUCUGAAUUUCAAAGUAAUCAGAAGAUUGGUCAUCCUCGUACACUUUUGAAUAUGUCAAUUAUCAAUAAAAUAUUUCUAAGAAGUUAGUUGCACAUUUGAAAAGGUGCAGAGGAUUCUGAUGCGAAUUCACUUGUUCAUACAUCGAUUCGAUAUAUGGUUUUGCGAUAGAAAUAUAAUAUAGAAUCUAGAACUUGAUCUUCUUCCGCAGUACUGUCCAAACAUCAUCAAUAAAGAGUGAUUUGGUAGUGGAGAGUGGGACUGAUUCCUGGCAUUUUUUAUCUGAGUCCAUGAAGCGCAAAGGCACUCACACAUCUUUUCAUGGCGGUGCUCUCCAGUAGCUAGAGACAAAUUAACAUUUAAAUAACUCAGGGUAAGUACACGAGGAUUGUUAGGGAAAAUUAUUUAUUUUUUAGUUAUUUUAUUUAAUUUAGAAAAGUAUUUUUUGUUUAUGGUGUUUAUUUUUUUAUUUAGUUUAGAAAAUAAAAAAAUAGAUAACAAUAACUACUCUCAAUCAAAUUUACAAUUAACAACAAAUAUCUUUAUAUUUUAUAAGAAUAACAAAAUAAUUAUUACGGUGAAUAAAAAAAUAUAAGAAGGGUUACAGUGAGUCCUCCUUAUGUUCAUUUUUAAUGCCGUAAAAGAUAAUAAAUGUUUCCUAAUUAAUUAGAUGGCCUUGUCUCGAGAGUCACUUUUUCCUCGCGUUCAUAGCAUGGACUUCGGAGUCAUUUUCAAGCGAUUUAUUAAAGAAAUCUUUAACAAGUCCCGUAUAUUAAGGCUCUGCAUUGAUUUUUACUGGGGUAUUUUGGCAUGUUUUUUUUGGGGUUAUAAAUAUAUAAUUUAAAAUAUUAAUUUAAUAAAUAUAAUUUCAAUUCAAAUUUAAAAAUAAAUUAACUUAAAAUUAUAUAAUUCAAAAUUUAAAUACAAGUAAAAAGAUGAGAGUUGACAUGAUAUAACUCAUCAAAAUAUAAUAUGAACAACUAAUAAAAAUAUAAUUUUACUCAAAAUAAAUUUUAAAUGUUUAACGACAUGUGGAAUUCAAAUUCAAGCUUUCACACUCGCUUGCCUCUUGAAUUCUUAUAGUAUUCUUUCCUCUUCCUGCCUAAAAUAUGAACAACAGAAAGCUGUUCACACUGGCGAUGGUUUCUGUAUUCCUUUUUUUUUAAUCUGUCAAGAGAGGACCACCUGACAAUUAGCACAAAUAAACAAUUAUAAUGAUCUGUGUGAGGGCCAAUCCUCUUGUUGCUUUCCUUGAAAACCUCCAAGAACUACCAGUCAACUUUCAUGGUAUUUGCUGAGCCAAUCCACUUGCUGGCUUCCUUGAAAACCUCUCAGAUAUACCAGUCAACUCGAUGGUUAAUUUAAGCUCAUGGUGUUUCUACUUUUAAGCUCUCUUUCUCUCUCUCGUCUUUUUAUUGACUGGUAAUAACCAAGAGUUUGAUUAAAUAAACCUUCCAUAAAUUUGACAGCACAUGUUCUUGCCUCGACAAAAUAUACAUCCUUAAAUUAGUUCUGUACGUCAAUUAAAUAAGUUUUUUUAAUCAUUUUAAAAAUAUAUUCUUGUAUUAGAUGGAUUUAAUGAAAGAAAAAUUACAUUCAGCAUGGUAUAGUUUUGUUGUUUCUUCACUUUACAUUCAUGGUUUGAAAAAUUAUUUCUGGGGUUAUAUAUAUAUAUAUAAUUCAAAAUAUUAAUUUAACCAAUAUAAUUUUAAUUCAAAUCCAAAAAUAAAUUAACUUGAAAUUAUACAAUUUAAAUUUCAAAUAUAAGUAAAAAUGUGAGAGUUAACAUGAUGUGACUUGAUUUAUUUGACAAGUCCAAAAACAACAUGAACAACUAGUAAAAAUAUAGUUUGACUCAAAAUAAAUUCAAGGCAUCUAUUUUUAAAAAUAAUAUUGAGACGAUAACAUAUUAGAUCAACUCAGGUCAUUAAACCAUAAAACGAUCUAAGUCUACUCGGGUUAACUUGUAAAAUUAACCUCGGUCAUUAGACUGAAAUAAGUUCAUAGAAAAUAAACCAAAAUAAAUGACAAAGUCUAAUUCAUAAUCAAUCAAAUAUUAAAAAUAUUUAAUGAUGAAAUUGAAAAAAAAAAGAUCAAUUAAAAAAAAAAAAUAAACUCAAGUCAAUCAGAUUAACCCGCCAAACCCAUGAUAGAAGUAAUGAGACUGAGAUAACCAAACAAAACAUGAAGAAAACCAUGAUAAAUUAUAAAGACUAAUCUUCAAUAAAUCAAGUGUUAAAUGAUAAAAUUAGAGAAAAACACAUGGAUUUUUUUAAGAAAAAAACAACAAAAAAAAAUUAUUUAGCUAGAAUGGAACUAGAACAUUUUAGUUGGAAUUUCCAAAACAAGCUGAGAUUCUGAGCAAAAUUAAAUUUGUUCAAGUUUGUUUUAUUUUUUAAAUUAAAAUAAAAUAUAUUUCAGUCAUUUUAAAUAAACAUAGUGAAAUUCACAACCUUAAUUUGGAGUUACUUUUUUUCUUGCAAUCUAGUCAUUUAAACAAGAUGAGAAUUUUUUUAAUUUUGUACUAUAAAAUGAAGGCAUUUUUAAUUACUUAAAUUAUAGUAAAGGUAUCUUAAUUAUCCUUCUCAUAAAACAGCAUGCAAUUCAAUCAUUUUCAAGCAAGUUGAGAAUUAUUUAAUUUUGUCCGAUAAAGUGGUGGCUAAUUGGCUCGGAAUUUUUCCACCCUUUUGGCGUUGUCCUAUCGCUGUAUAAAAUAUAUAAAAGCCCCGUAUAUAAUAAACGUGGAGUCAUUUUUAAUGUCUUAAAUUAUAAUAAACGUCCGGGUUGUCUAAGGACCUGGGAGUGCUUUUUAAAAAAAAUUUAAAAAAAAUUUAAAAUUUUUUUAUAUAUUUUUUUACUUUAAAUUAAUAUAUUUUUGAUGUUUUCAAAUUAUUUUGAUGUGCUGAUCUCAAAAAUAAUUUUUUUAAAAAUAAAAAAAUAUUAUUGACAUGCUUUUCUAAGUAAAAAACACUUUGAAAAUCAACAACAACCACACUCUCAAACACCCUCUUAAUUUAGUUGGCGUGACCCUGUCUAAUCAUUUUAUAUUCUCAUGUAUAGCAUAAGUUUUAAUAGCCGUGUUUUUUAAAAAAAUUUUUUAAAUUAUUUUAAUUUAUCGAUAUUAAAAAUAUUUUUUAAAAAAUAAAAAAAUAUUAUUUUAAUAUAUUUCAAACAAAAAAAUACUUUAAACUAUAAUUACUAUUACAUUCACAAACACAUGAGUUAUUCAAGAAUCCUUUAAUAUUUUCUAUUUAAAUAAUUUAAAAUUAUUUUAAUAUAAUGAUAUUAAAAAUAAUUUUUAAAAAUAAAAAAAAUAUUUUAAUGUAUUUCAAAUAAAAAAAAUAGUUUAAACCAUAAUCACUAUUACAUUUAUAAACACAUGAGUUAUUUAAAAAUCCUGUAAAAUGUCCUAUUUAUUUAUAAAGGAAUCUGGAUUGUUUUUUUUUUUUUUGGUUCAAUGUGGAGUCAUUUUUAAUCUAUAAAAUUAUAUAGUAAAUGUAUCUUUCAUAGCUGUUGAGGAAUCUGUCUGGAGUCAUGUUUUUCGUCUCAUAAAACAGCGUGCAAUUUUGUCAUUUUCGUGCAAUUUGAGAAUUCUUUAAUUUGGUCCUAUAAAGUGGUUGCUAAAUGGCUCGUAGUUUUCUCAACGUGUUACCGUUGUCUUAUUUUAACGACAUCUUACCUGGCUUUACAUCAUCUUGUCUAUAAUCUCAUGAGCAGAAAGCUGUCCUCCUCAUCCAAUAUUAAUGAUCUUAAAAUAAAAUUUAUGAAUUAAGUAUGCCAUUUUUAUUUUAAGAUUAAGAAUUCUUUAAGAAUUUGGAGUCAUUUUCAAGCAAGUUAAGAAUUCUUUAAUUAAGAAUUCCUAUUUAUAAAGGAAUCUGCAUUAAUUUUUUGGAGUCAUUUUUAAUUAGCUGGCGAGGAAUCUGUCUGGAUUCGUUAUUUAUUCUAAUAAAAUAGCAUGCAAUUUAACCUUUCUCAACCAAGUUGCAAAUUGGCUCUGAAUUUUCUAAACUUUUUGGCGCUGUCCAUCCUUUACAUUAUAAACUACCUAUAGAAUAUAAACCCGCUAUUUGACUCGGGGUUUUAUCACGGAUUAAAUAUAUUUUCUAUAAAAAAAUUAUUUAUACUAAUUUUUUGACGUGUUUUUAUAAAUUAAAAAUUAUAUAUAUUAAGAAGUUUAUACAUACAUGUAAUUAAAUAAAUUAAAAAUUAUAUAUGUUAAUAAAUGGGAAAAAUAUCAUUAACAAUAAAUAAAAAUAAAAUUAAAAAAAUCAAGAAACAAGAAUAAAUCAAUACAUUUAAACUUGUAAAACAAGAUAUUUACCUGAUUGCACUUGCUAAAUUUGAUUAUUAAAAUUAAUUCUUUAUUCAAUCAAAUGAUAAUAAAAAUAGACACACAUAUUAAAUUGAUUGAAUAAAAAAAAUAAAAUAUUAUGCAAUGUUGAUCGCAAGAUGAAAUAUUAUUUUAUGAAAAUAAGUAUUUUUUAUGUUAAAAAAUAAAGUUCAUUUAUAUAAAAGAUUUUUAAAAAAAUGAAUUAGAAUAGUCUUUCGAAAAACUAAAUAUACACAACACCAUUAAAAAAAAUAUGUAUAUCCAAAAAAGGUUAAAUAAAAAAAUCAUAAAUGAGGGAUAUUAAUUGAAUCAUAAAAUUUAAAAAAUAUUUAAGAAAAAAAGAUAUUCAAAGAAGAUAUCAAUUAAAAAAAGCAAGAUUAGGAAAAAAAAAAAAAAAAAAGCUCAGAUAUUGUUGUUUAACUCUUCAAACAUGUAUUAUAAGUCAUGGAAUCAACCUGGUUCAAUAAUUGUUUUUCUUAAACUUCUAUCUAACCCUUAAAAAAGGCUAGAAAUAGCCUAGGCUCGUAGCCCAGCGUGCCUGAGCCAUUGUAGUGACAAGCCCAGCCCAGCCCCGUACCCUCACCUCAGGAUCAAAGGGCUUGUUUGAGAGCUGCGCUAGAGGCACCGCAGAACAGAGAGUGUACAAGCGCCCCUUUGCUUUGUUGGGCUUGAUUUCAAUUUUUUAAUUUGAAAAAAAAAAACACAUAAACUACGUGUCGUCUUCAAGUCUAGAUUUUGGCCACUAUAAUGGUGACUGGAAAAUCAAGGCAGCGCCUCUUUUGGUCAAAAAACUUGAUUUUUAAAUCAUUGCAACCCCAAAACACCUUAGGAAAAUGCCUCUUUUGGUGGAAAAAAAAACACUUUUUUUUAAGCGAUGACAACUCAAAAACACCUCGCCAACACUCUUAUAACACCAAAAAAUUAUUUCAUCAACUUCAAAUACCCAAACAAUAGCCUAAAAAUCUAAAAUCAAAUCGGGUUAGUUUUAGUUUUCUCGGCUUAGAUCUAGAAGUUCUAAACAACCACCAUAAAGCCCUUUUUAUAUCUGAGAACCCGUAGACACCAAUAAAACUCAUUUUAAUGGUCGAAAAUAGAGUGAAUAAUGACUUUCUCUUAUUGUUAGAAUCUGACAACACUUAUCUCUCUCUUCUCUCUAACCUUACAUUGAAGAAUAACACAGAUAAACUUGUGUAUCAAAACUGAUUUUUUAAAAUUUCAAGAGACCUAAAUUGAUGUUAUUUUUAAAUAACACAGAUAAAUUUAUAUGAAUGAUGUUAUUUUUAAAGAUCAAGGACAUUAGUGUAUUUUGCCUGAAGUCUCUGGUAUGUCAUCCAUAUUUGGUGUCCUUUUCAUUUGAGUCUUCAUUUUUUUAAUUUCGACUAACAAAUCAUACGUAAUUAGCAUUUAAUUAUGAUCAAAUUUUACAAAAUAAAACUUUGUGGUUAAAAUGAAUUAUUAUUAAAAAAUAAUAAUAAAUUCAUAGUGUUUUGUGAAUGCAUGAAUAAUACCCAAUCGUAGUAAAAAAAAACACGGUUUUAGAGUUUGUUAUAAAUCCAUCAUUUAUACCCAUUAUACUCAAAUUAAAACCUCACAGAAUAGGACAGAUUCAUCACGAGAUCUCUGCCUCACCUCUCUCGCAGAACAACUAAUUAUGAUCUCUCAUUACGGGAUAAAUAAAUUUAUCCUGAUAUAAGAAACUUUUCAAUAUUAAGUUAGUAUUUAUAGAGAAGAAAAAAAAUAAUAUAUAGAAAAAGAAAAGUAAAGGUAUGUUGUGUGCGAUAUCUCCGGACUUAGCCUAUGUUUGGCUGUGUAAAAAAUUGGUCCCUUCUCUACUAGGUGUAUUUAUAUAAAGUUAAAAAAGUUAAUGUCUUGAUAAAGUAAUGUUGGUUCUAAUUGGAAAUCUGAUCAUGAACAAAAGUCAUAGUCAAACUCUCAUAACCAAUUUUUUGAAUUUUAAAAAAAUGAUAAUGAAUAAAUAAAUAACUAAUGAAUGAAUGAAUGAAAAAUACUUUAAGAAUUAGUUUAAGAAAAUCCGAAUUGGAAGUUUGAGGACUAAUAAGAAUGAAAUUAUAAAUUUGAAAGUCAAUUUGGUCAAAGAAUUGGAAGAAUUGAUAAGUUUUGAGAUUUAAUUAAUAUUAAAAUUAAUUUAAUUAAUGAAAUCAGGGACUUAAUUGAAGAUGUACCAAGUUUGGGGCUGAUUUAGAUUGAAAUUGCGAGACAUAAAGUACAAGGACAAUAGAUGGUGAUACCAUAGGGGGGUUAACUGAUUUUUUCAGGGGUAAUUUUAAAAGCAUUAAAAGUUGAAAAGCCAAUUAAGAAUUGAAUUGAUUAAAUUGGAAAUCAAGGACUGUUUUGUAUAUGAUGCUAAAGUCUAGGGGUUCAAUUACAAUUGAUGUAGGGGUAAGAUUAAAAAGUAAAGAGGAGAUUUUCCAUGAAUAAGGGAUCAAUUGCUAAAUGUCAGAACUUCAGGGUAGAAAAUUAAAAAUAGCUAUUUCCGUUGAAAACGGCGCCAUUUCAAAGUAAACUGUUCAUACACCUUCAUUCCACAUUUCCACCGAUUCUGCAGAAACUGCAGCAAAACCGUUCGGGUCACGUCUCCUACCAGCUGCCCACCUCACCCCCACGAUGCCAUCUCCAAAUGCUAAUAUGUCGUGACCAACAGUCUUGCAAUGGCAGGACUGUUGAUCCCUGUUUUUUCUCAUAACAAAGACGAACAUGCCUCAUUGAGUAUCUUGAGGCACGAACGCACGGCAUUCUCUAGCUUUAUAAAAGCCAGAGAAAGGCCAGAAAAGUGGGGGGGACGAACGAACGAGAAGAAGAGGACAAGAGUGGAGGAACGAACAAAGAAAACCAGGAAGACAGAAAAAACGAACAGAGACUCAGAAACGAAAACAAUGACAGAAAGAAAGACAAGAGGACGAAGAAGAAAAACACAGAGGACAAACAAGAAACAGAGAGCAGAGGAGAAAGGCAGAAGGGGAGAGACCGAGAGAGAAUUCAAAGAAGUAAGACCAGAAGAGAAGCACACGAAACACAGAAGUACAGGGAAGAAAGUAGCUUUGGCCAGCCAUUACACCUUCGCCAUCGUCUUCUCCCCCAAGCACCAGGUAAGCUACGUACGUUUUCCGUCCCCUUACAUUUUAAUCACCCUUUGACUAUAACAAGUGUGCGUGAACAAUUCACGCCCGCCUGCUAGUAAAAGUCCGUCCGUUACUGGUUUGGGCUAGUAAUAAUGCUGGACUGAUUAAGUCCAACCCAGCCCAUAUAACUAGGCUAGAUGGCACUAAAAAAAUAAAACAAAUAGCAACUGAGGUUCGGCUGGGCUUGGAUUUCAGGCCCAACCGAUCUAAUUUGUUUUGGACCAAGGAUGUGUUUAGCAAAACACAUCUUUAUUUUUUCCUUUUUUAUUUCAUUCUUUUUAUUUUGGUAACUAGUCAAACAAAUCUUUUUGGAUAUGAGAGAAAAUUCUAAAAAAAGUCGUGGACCCUUUUAAAUUUAUUUACGGCUCCCUCACGGUUUUUUUUUUUUAAUGUUUUCAUUGUAUAUUUGAUUUGUGAAUUUGUACUAUGAAAUGUGAAUAUGGUAUGCGACACAUGUCUUUUUUUUUCAUAAAAAAUAACAAUAAAAAAAUAUAUAUGCUUUAUUUUCAAUUCAAUUUUUACUGGUUUAUUCAUUGGCGUCAGAGUUAAAAAUAAUAUGCUUUACAGUGUUACAUAAUAUUUACCAACACUAGAAUUUAAAGUAUUUAUAUCUGAAUAUUCAUUAGUGUUAUAGUCAGAAAUAUUACAAGUAAACCAUUAGUAGCAUAAUACAACAAACUCUUAGCAAUUUAAUACAAAACCAGCAAUGCAACCUACCUUAAAUAAAACAUUUAAAAAAUAAUAAUAUUUUUUAUUUUACAUAAUUAAUCUCGCACCAUAAAAUCAUUAUUAACCGGUUAAUAUUCCGGUUACCAUAACAACUUCUUCAGUUAGAACUUUCUCCUAAUAAAAAGUCAAUUACCUGUUUUUUUUCAUAAUUGAACUUUUAAAGGUUGCCACGGUUGCCUCGAAUGACAGCUUUCCUGUUUAUACUACAAAGAAGGUCAUGUCUUGCUAAAUUAAGUCAUAAUUAAAAAAUAAAAAACCUUAGGCCACAAGCUACGAAGCACCAAACCACAAAUAAAAUACAAAUAAUCAAUAUGAAUAUAUGACAAUUAGCUCUUUUGUUUAUUGAAGACAAGAGGCCCUUUUCCUUAAUUGAAGCAUCAUUUAAUUGAUAGUUGAUUUCUUGUGCUUCUGUCAGUUGUGAGUUCCGGUCGCCAUAAGACUCUAAGCUCUAAAGCAAAAUUACUGCGACCCCUUGUGGAUGACAUUGGUUGAUUUAUGGCCCAACUGCAGUGGCACAAAAGCAAAGUGUUAUAGCUAAGAAAGAGGGAAGGCUGAGUAGCCGAGAGAGACAUUAACACACACGUACUGCUGCAAUAUUUCCUGAAUGGGAGAGGGCGGCAAGUACACUUUGCCAACAACAAUCCUUUACAUGAUUAUGGCAGGAACGGCAUUUUUUCCACUCAUGAUCACCUGUAAUUGCAGUACGUCGAUGAGUUCAUAUAAUUAAUUAAAUAGUUUGAUUAAUGGCAGAAAGUUAACACAGACACAACGCCCAUCAAAACCUAAUGCAUCAGGUCUUGGUUUAAAACAUAAAUUGGAUUUUUUAAAAUUUUUAUUAAAUAGACGGUAAAAAAUCGGGUAACAACAUUUAGUUUAUUUAAACAUUUUAAGAAAACACUUAAUAUAUACUUAAUUUUUAGAGAAUAUAACCGUGAAUUCAAAUCUACAAUUCAUUUUCUUAUCAAAAUUCUAUUAUCAAAUUCUUGAAGUGGUGGGGGUAAUGACUGCCUCAUAUUAUACAGCAUAAGUGGAUCAGAAGAAAGGGACUCAGAUAAGUGUUUUUUUUUUUAAAAAAUCAAAAUUGGUGUCUUUUUCGGUUUCACUUGCAAACGGAACACCUAUCUCCAAAACCCAUGUUUGCAAAAAUGUAUGCUAAGCGUCAAAAGAUGAAAUCUAUGUGCGAUAGUAUUAGCAAUUUACCUGAUGCACUCCUCCUUCACACACACUCUUUUCUGAGAUGCCAAGAAGUUUUGAUUGGAUACAUUGUUCACUCUUUAUUUCAAAUCAAUUCAAUUUUUCUAAUUUCUAUUUUAGUUUUCUUUAUUUUUUAUCCAAUAAACUUUAUUUCUAUUAGAAAAUAUUUUUUUUUCAAAUUAAAAAAAUUAACAUUAAAAAAACAUUUAACUAAAAAUAUAUUUUUUUUCCCGAGAAUUCAAAUAACUAUCUUUAUUAAUGAAUAUUCAUUUUUAUUUUUAUAUAAUUAAAUAAAAAGAAAAAGCAACCAUGUUAUUCGAUUAAAUAUUUACAUUUGCAUUUAUUUUUUUAUUUAUUACACAAAAAAAAACCCAGCUGUUUUAGCCUUUAAUUAGAUUAACCAUUUGAUUUAUUAAUUCAAAUAUCUUUAAUUCGUUUUUAUUUUAAAAAAAAUACAAACACCAUCAUUUCAACUUUGAAUUUAAAAAUUUUAUGCUAUCAAAACACAACUCCACAGAUUCAUAGCUUCUUGUUUUUUUUUGUUUUACAUUACAACUUAGUUUGGAAUGUUACCCGUAACUAGUUGGUAUCUAAUGUCUUGAACUAUUUCCCCAUGAAUUUGUAUCUCAAGAGCAGUCUGGUUUGUCAUGUACAUGCACUUCAUGGAAAAAGCUAGCUACCUGGCACAGGAGCCGAAGAAGAACGAAACUUGGCAUAUUCCACUUUUCAGAAUAAGUUGUGCUUAAGAGUUGUUUUUUAAAAUAUUUUUUAUUUAAAAAUAUAUUAAAAUAAUUUAUUUUUUAUUUUAAAAAAAUUAUUUUUAAUAUAUGAUUUAAAAUCAUAAAACAAUAUUAGAAAAAUUCAAUAAAACUUUUUAAAUAUAAGCAAACACUUUAGAAGUACAAUCUUAAUUAAUAAACAAACCAUCAAAGCAAAUUGUACUUCAAAAAUAAAUUUAUCUGUCCCUAAAUUUUAGUCAUGAUUAGGAAAAUAAAAAUAAAUAAAUAAAUAGUGUCAGAGUUUUUAACCACUUGACUUGUGAUGCACAAUUGCACAUCCAUUACAAUAAUAAUAAAAAGAAUGACAACUAAUUUGGCAACCAACCACAUGAUUUCUGAAAAUAUGACGUUACAAAUUUUUUUCAAAAACAAUAAAGAAUUUUUUAAAAAAUACAUCUGAAUUUUAUUUGAUAGAAAAUUUAGAAUUGAUUGUUUUACUAUGUGUUAUCUUUUACAAGCUUGUAGAAAAACAAAAACACUAAAUACACAAGGAAGAAGAAGCUCAGACCAAUGAGACAAUUGCUGAUGGCAAGCCCCAAGGAAGGUUCUAGAACCGCAUAUGUGCCCGUGAUGAAUGCGAUAAUCAUUGUCCCCAUGCCAAUCAUGGUCAACGACGUGGCAAACAUAAAUAAUAUUAAUGGCAACCCCAUCUAUCACUUCUUCCCUAUCUAUCACUUCUUCACAUUUAGAACCAUGAAUAAACGCAAUCAAUAAAUGGAUAAAAACAGCAAAAAUAGAGAGCACCAUUGAUAUUGUAUCUGAAAUGACAAAUACUAUAAAAGCAUCUUUUUUAGCUAGAAUUGUUGUGCCUCGAUCGCUCUUGUAACCGCCAGGUAGGGUGAAUGCUGCUGCAAAUGUUACCGUUGCUAUCAGCGCCGCAACAACUAGAUGAGACUCUCUUGCUUUACUCAAAACUUCCUCUUUCUCUUUCUCUUUGUUUUUCUCUUUCUCUUUCAAAACAAAGGGACCGUGACCAAUCGGUCCAUUGCCAACAUCUUCAAGGGAUUCUAGGAUCUCUUUCUGCAAAAAUAUAUAUUUUGAAUAAAAUAUGUUAUGAUAUUAAAAGAGGUUUUAAAAGUAAUUUUUUUAUUACUUUCUAGAUUAUUUUUUUAGUGAAAAUUUUUUAUUUAUUUUUCAUAUUAUCUUGUACUUAAAUUUUAUUAAUUAAAAUAAAAAUAGUGAGAUUUGAAUUUAAAAUUGUUUGAUCAAUAAGAUUGUAAUACUAUUUUAAAAAAACUUAACUCAAUCUAAAAAAUUUAAACAAAUAAUCCAUCUUUUUUAGCUAUUUAACAUAUAUCAUAUAUCAACUUCCGAGCCUUUAUUUCCACAACUAGGUUGUUUGCAAUCAAAUCCUUUUUGUUACUGUAUAUAUUAGCAGGUAACAAAAACUAAUUUGGUUGAAAUUAAACCGCGUGCUUUACAUUAGCCCAAUUAUCCCUAAAAAGAAAACUAAGAUGUGGACUUAAUUUUAUAUAACAUUAAUUCUACAUCAUUUCAUUCUAAAAUUAAUUUCCUUGGAGGACUUAAUUGCUUGUAAUAUUAUGUUAAGCUGUUAAAGAGGUUUUAAAAAUAAUUAAUUUCCUAGGAGGAGUAAUCCAAUAUAUUAUUGUUUAUUGUUACUCUCCUUAAUUAAUUGCUUUUAAGAUUAUAUUAAGUUUCUAUUAGAUUUUUAAAAUUUUAAUUAAUUGUAUUAUUUUUUCAUUCAUUUGUACUACUUUUUUUUUUAUUGAAUAAUAUAUGUUUUUAUAAAGCAGUUACACGCGAUUUAUAUGCAUAGUCUGUUAUUGUAGAUGAAAAACUUAACAAAAUCAAUAAAAUGACUUCAUUUCAAAUAAAAAAAGAUUAUUAAGUUAUUCAGAUUACUUUAUUUUUAUAUUUAGUACUGCGAUAUAAUAGAGUGAAACUGAACAAAAGUUACGUGGACCCAUUUGGUGGACAUGAUUAAGAUGCAGAGCUAAGAGAAUCUUAGAUGCAAAGUAAAACCAGUUUGCUUUGAUUUAAUUGAUUCAUUAAUGGAUAUAUAUUGUGAAUCACAACAGUUAAUUCAUAGAGGAUUGAUUACCUGUAUCUCUUCCAAAUUUCCUUCACUAAGGUCGUCGACGCUUAGCUUAUAAAGGAAAUCCCCUCAGAUUCAGCCAAUAUUCAAAUUUCCCCAGAUUCAGCCAAUAUUCACUUGCCUCUUGCCCAUGAUCCUGCAACCAUCAUUCAAGCAUAAUAUCAAGCUUGUAAUGGCAGACAAAUCUUCAAUGUAAAUGCAGUGUAAAUGUCAAGACGUAAUCUUAGCUUACUUUCUAAAUUCAAACCUGCAAAGCUGUGUAUAUAUAUGUUAACAAUUGUAUUACUCAAUGUGUGGUGAAAUAUACAAUUCUGAAGUUUAUCAAAUAGCUCAACUCUCUGAAAUUUCUUAUCUUCAUCAUGGUAUCAGAGCAACAAAUCUCCAACAAGAAUUUGAUCCCUUAUAAUCCUAUCUCAACCCCAUCCUCUCCAACUGAAACACCUCUGAUUGCCCUCAACAUCACAUCCCAGAUAAAUGAUAAACUUACCCCCUCUACAAUCCUUCAAUGGCGCGCUCAGUUUGAAGCCUUACUCAUCGGGUAUGAUCUCCUUGAUUAUGUCACUGGAGAAAAAAUAUGCCCCGUAUCCACCAGUACAGCAGUCUGUGCCAUCCAACGAACACACUGGAUAAGGCAAGAUAAGCUUAUCCUCAGUGCCAUUUUGGCAUCCACAUCCACUGUUAUUACUCCUCUCAUCUCCAUGGCCAAGACAUCAAAGGAUGCAUGGCAUAAAUUGCAUACUCUGUAUGCAAGCAAGUCCAGAACCAGAGCAAUGCAACUUAAGGAAGAACUCACAAUGAUAAAGAAGGGCAACCAGUCAAUUCAAACUUAUCUUCACUCUGUAAAAUCGUUGGCAGACGAAAUCUCCCUCAUAGAUCACCCAAUCUCUGAAGAUGAUCUAACACUCUAUAUUCUAAAUGGCCUGGGAACUGACUUUCAUGAAAUUGCAGGCCCUAUUCGCGCCCGAGAACGACCACUCACUUUUGAGGAACUUCAUGAUCUCCUUGUAAGUCAUGAUGCAUAUCUUCACCGUCUUGAUGCCUCCUCCCAUCCAUUGAUUGCUUCUGCAAACUACACGCACCGACGGGCUUCGUAUAAUCAAGAAAAUCAGUCUUUUAAAUCUGCCCCAAAACCCCACUUUUUUGACAGAUCAUAUGGCCAAAGAAAUAAACCUCCAGCUCACUAUCGCCAGCCUGGCAAUCCGAGAGACAGCAACAAAAAUCAUGGACCACGUCGUUUUCCUCCAGCUCCAAAGUGCCAACUAUGUGACCGCAUGGGUCAUACUGCCAAACACUGCAGUCGGUUUCAGUAUACCACCCCAACAGCGAAUUGCACUUCCACCUCACCCGCACAGGAUACAAAAUGGCUUAUAGACUCAGCCGCGUCUCAUAAUAUUACUGGUGAUCUUGCUAAUCUAUCUAUUCAUUCCGAAUACGAUGGCACUAACGAAGUUAUCAUUGGUGAUGGUUCAGGUUUGCCUGUUUCUCAUAUUGGCUCCUUACAUCUUCAUUCCCCCACACGUACUUUCCAUUUAAAUGACACCCUUUGUGUUCCUAAUCUACAAAAAAAUCUCAUAUCUGCUCAUCAAUUUACUUGUCAAAAUCAUGUCUUUAUUGAGCUUCACCCCUCUUUCUUUUUUGUUAAGGACAAGAUCACGGGAGCGGCUCUAUUCCGAGGAGCGUGUGAGAAUGGUGUUUACAUCCUUCCGAAGUCAAUGGUGCAGCCUUCUCAUCCUAUUGUUGCUAAUGUGCAUGAAAGGGUCUCCAUGGACGGAUGGCACAAACGCCUUGGGCAUCCCUCUCCUAAAUUGGUCACUCACCUUAUCAAAUCAUUUUCCCUUCCAACAAUAAAUAAAAAAAAUAUUUCUCUUUGUUCCUCAUGUUCUAUUAAUAAAGCUCAUCGUCAACCAUUUCGUCAAAACAGUCUCUUGAGUCAUGCCUCUCUUGACUUACUUUAUACUGAUGUGUGGGGUUCCUCAAGUAUAAUUGGCAUUACUGGGGCUCGUUACUAUCUCAUUUUUGUUGAUCAUUUCACGAAAUACAUUUGGUUUUAUCCUAUGGAGACUAAAUCUAGUGUCCGCAUCAUAUUUCCUCAAUUCAAAAAUCUUGUUGAAAAUCGGUUUCAGUUAAAAAUUAAAUCUGUCUAUUCUGAUAAUGGUGGUGAAUUUGUUGCCUUAAAACAAUAUUUUACAACAAAUGGAAUCAGUCAUUACACCACAGCUCCUCAUACACCGCAACAAAAUGGUGUUUCUGAGCGUCGUCAUCGUCACUUGGUUGAAACCGGUCUCACAUUACUACAUGAUGCAUCCCUUCCCCUUCAGUAUUGGCCCUAUGCUUUUUCCACUGCUGCAUAUCUUAUUAACCGUCAACCCACACCUCUCCUCCACCAUAAAUCUCCGUUUGAAACUUUGUUUACACAGCCUCCAAAUUAUAAAAAGCUAAAAAAAUUCGGUUGUCUUUGUUUUCCUCUUGUUCGGCCAUAUAACACAAACAAGUUACAACCAAAAUCAAUUCCAUGUAUUUUCGUAGGCUACUCCUUAACCCAAAAUGCAUACAGCUGUCUUGAUCCCAUAACCAACCGUCUCUACCAAUCACGCCAUGUCAUCUUUCAUGAAAAUGAAAAUGGUUUCUCCUCCAGCCAUCCUUCCACACCCAGCCCGACAAGCGACUCCUCUGUUCAUGGUCCUCUUUCAUCUCCUCCUGCACCUCCACCAGUGACUUCGGCAAGGAUACCCACUCUCACUGCUUCCUCAGGUAAUGACUCCCCCACUGUAUCUUUUAAUUCACGUGCACUCAUACCUUCAUCUUCUCCUGCUUCUCCCAGUUUUCAGCCUGCCUCAUCUCCACUGCCAAAUCCCAGUCAUCCACCCUCAUCAGUUAUUUGUGCACCUUCUCCAAGCUCCCUCCCUCAUCACCCAAUCCUGCACCCACCCGGCCUCACUCCAUGGUCACCCGUUCCAUGAAUAACAUUUAUAAACCCAAACAACUUAACAUCACCACAAAACACCCCAUCCCAAAAACUGUAGAACCAACCUGUGUGGGACAGGCUCUUCGUGACCACACUGGAGAUCAGCAAUGUCUGAGGAACUCACAGCCCUCAUGAGGCAUGGCACAUGGGAGUUGGUACCGCCUCCUCCGGACUGCCAACCAGUUGGGUGCAAAUGGGUUUUUCGGAUCAAACGACAUCCUAAUGGCUCCAUUGCUCGGUUCAAAGCCCGUUUGGUUGCAAAGGGAUAUCAUCAGCGGCCUGGUCUAGACUACAAUGAAACGUUCAGUCCAGUUGUGAAACCUGCCACCAUCAGAACAGUUCUCACCGUGGCUGUCACACAGGGGUGGCCAUUACGGCAGCUAGAUGUAAACAAUGCCUUUUUGCAUGGGAACCUGCAGGAAACAGUCUACAUGUUACAGCCACCGGGGUUCCAUGAUACCUCCACUCCCCAUCAUGUCUGUCGGUUAAACAAGGCUAUUUAUGGCCUCAAACAGGCCCCUCGUGCCUGGUAUUCUGCUCUGCAACAAGCCAUUCUGAAACUGGGAUUCACCAGCUCCAAAGCGAUCCUUCUCUAUUUAUCUUUCACAGUGCAGAUGUUUUGUGUUACUUGCUGGUCUACGUGGAUGAUCUCGUUCUCACUGGAAACACUCCAUCCUUCCUGACUCAUGUGAUUGAUCAACUUAGCAUCCAAUUCUCAUUGAAAGAUAUGGGUGCACUUCAUCAUUUUCUGGGGCUAGAUGUUAUACCCACCAAAAACGGGUUGUUCUUAUCUCAACAUCAAUACAUACGGGAUCUUCUCUUCAAAACUAAUAUGCAGGGUGCUAAGGAUGUCUCUUCUCCUAUGUCCACUUCGGUCCAGCUCAAGCUUAUUGAUGGCACAGCUCCCUGUGACAGCACUGCAUUUCGAAGCAUCAUCGGUGGAUUACAAUAUUUGUCUCUUACUCGUCCUGAUGUUUCCUUCAUUGUUAAUAAGCUGUCACAAUUCAUGCAUCAACCUACGGUCACUCACUGGUCAGCUGCCAAACGCCUGCUCCGCUAUUUGAAGAAAACCAUCUUCCUUGGCAUUCACAUAAAUCGUCAGUCUUCAUUUGAUAUCACCACUUUUGCUGAUGCUGAUUGGGCUGGGAAUUAUGAUGAUCGCACCUCCACCUCAGCUUACAUUACAUUCCUUGGGCUCAAUCCCAUCUCGUGGAGCUCAAAGAAACAACGUGCAGUCGCCAGGUCCUCCACAGAAGCUGAGUAUCGUUCCCUUGCCACUGCUACGUCUGAAACAGUUUGGCUGUUGUCCCUGUUCAAAGAACUGUGUCUCCCAAUUUCAUCUCCGCCAAGGCUGUUGUGUGACAACCUGGGAGCUACCCACCUUAGCUUCAAUCCAGUUCAGCAUUCCCGGAUGAAACACAUUCAGAUAGACCUUCACUUUGUCCGUGAUAUGGUUCACAAGAAGAUCCUCAAUGUUCAGCAUGUCAACACUCAUGACCAACUGGCAGACUUUCUAACGAAGCCUCUGUCUUCCCAGCGUCUGCAUUCCUUACUGCUCAAGAUUGGCUUAGCUGAUGGCUCAUCCAUCUUGCGGAGCGUAUAAAGGAAAUCCCCUCAGAUUCAGCCAAUAUUCAAAUUUCCCCAGAUUCAGCCAAUAUUCACUUGCCUCUUGCCCAUGAUCCUGCAACCAUCAUUCAAGCAUAAUAUCAAGCUUGUAACGGCAGACAAAUCUUCAAUGUAAAUGCAGUGGAAAUGUCAAGACGUAAUCUUAGCUUACUUUCUAAAUUCAAACCUGCAAAGCUGUGUAUAUAUAUGUUAACAAUUGUAUUACUCAAUGUGUGGCGAAAUAUACAAUUCUGAAGUUUAUCAAAUAGCUCAACUCUCUGAAAUUUCUUAUCUUCAUCAUAGCUUUCGCUUAUUAAGACCAUAUUUUAUCUUCCAUCCAAAAUAACAAUAUUGAUUUAAAACACGUCUCCAUUGCUUCUGCUCGCGCGCUAAAGCAGCAAUUAGAUGGAAGGGCGUGUUCCCUUUGUCAUCCUUCUUCGUUCCAAGUCUUGCAAGUUCUGGAAUAUUCUCCAGACAUUCCUCGAAUACUGCUAUAUCUUUACUGGCCACAGCAUAGUGAAGGGCAUUCCAACCUCUGUUAUCAACUAGCUCACAACAAGCUGGGCAUCGAGAAACAAUUUCUUUCAUUAUUCCUACACGUCCUCGAAUGGCAGCAAUGUGAAGAGCUGUUCUCUUCUUCUCUGUUUCAGCAAUGUAGGCCGCGGACGCAUCAUAUUCUAGUAAUACUUCCACUGUACGACUAUAAUAGGCAGCGUAGUGAAGUGGUGACCAGCCGUUCUCAUCGGUUGUUUUCGUCAACGUUUUUUCUUUUUCUAACAAUUUUCUUGCUGUCUCUGAAACCAACAAAACAAGGAAUAAAAGUUAUCCUUCAUGAACAACAGAGAUUUCACUUAUGCCCCGUUUUAUAAUUUCUUUUAGAAAACUGGUUUCUUGAAAAAUAAUUUUCUAGAAAAUAAAUUAUUUUUUAAUAUUUAGUAAUAUCAUUAAAAAUAAAUUGAAAAAUACUUUCCAGUAUUUUACUAUAUUAUAGAAAAACAAUUGAAAAAAAAUUAUUAAUAUAUUUUUUUCAUGUUUAGUAAAAUAAUGAGGAGCAAAUGAGAAUAAAAUUAAAAAAAUAUAUAUAAUUUUAUAAAUUAUUUCAAAUAAAAUAAAUAAUAAAAAAAUUCAAUUAUUGAUAAGAAAAAAAAUAAAUAACAAUGAUAAAAAUAAAUAUCAAAGUUGAUAUAAAUAUCAAGUUAUAAUAGAUGGAAUUUAAAAAAAAUUCAAAAUAAAAUAUAUAGUAAUUAAAAGUUUAAAGACCAAAUUUGAUAUAAUCAGUAAAUAACAUGAUAUUUUUAAUUUUUUCACAACUUUUAAAAAAUAUUUUUCGCCUAAAAUAAAAGGAGAUCAUUUUUUUAAACCAAGUUAAAUUUUCUUUAAUUUGAAGGUGUUCUUCGUUGAUCAAUAUUUUUAAUAACAAUUAAAUACAAAAAAAUUUUAAAAAUAAUUUUUUAAAAAUUACUUUUCAUAAAAUAAAUGCAUGUUAUAUAUCCAAUACUUAAACUCACAAAGUUUCUUAAAAAAUAAUAAAAAAAGCUAAUUAUGAAGCAAACUAGUACGGAUAUAUAAAAUCAAAUAUACGUGGAUUUUAAAUUAUAGUUUACACUAUUAUAUAUAAAUUAUUUAAUUCUCCAGACUUGAGCACAAAAUCCUACCAUUAUCUCCCACCCUGAUUGCCGCGUGUAGAGCAGUUCUACCAUUCGGGCCGCCGUAGUCCACUGAGAUGCAAUUAGUUAGGAUUUCAUCGAUCACCGUUUCUCGUUCUUGACCCCUUCUGGAAGCAGCUGCAAUAUAAAGUGGAGUUUCUCCAUGAACAUUGGCGGAAUAUGAAAACUCAGGGUCCUCUUUUGUCAAUAUUUCCACCACUUGGGCUUGGAUAUUUCGAGCUGCCACGUGCAACGCUGUAUCUUGCUCUCCAUCGGCCAUCCUCAACAUCUUCUUUUCUUCUGUUACUCCGCUCUCUAGAUCAGUAGGUCGAGCUUUUGCGCGGUCAAUGAGGACUCUUACCACGUUGGAACGCCCAUAUCUUGCCGCAAAAUGGAGUGGGAUUUCACCUUUCUUAUUGGCCUGCAAUAAUAGUGGUGGACACUUUUCAAGAAUUUUAUCAACAAAAUCAGUGGAUUCUGAUUCUCUACGUUGGUUUUCUAAAGUAGACAUGAAGAAUGGUGUUCUCGUCUGGAGUCAAUAACUGAUCAAGGCAGGUUUGAUAUUUCUCAAAGGGACCGAUAUCGCCUUUAGCUGCAGCUUUGAACAAGACAGGAUCCAUAUAGGGCGUCAUACUAUUUUGUAGCUUAGAGAAACUCACUAAAUGAAAAGUAAACAAAUGAAGGGGAGGUGAAAUUAACCACUGUGGCUCAAAGGCAAGAGGUUCCACUCCUCAACUGAUCACAAGCUGCUGAUUUCUUCGGUAUUUAAAGGAAGAAAAAGCGUUAAGAACCACAAAUUACAUUUAUUUUCCAUUUUGAUAUUGUGUCGCAAUAUCUUUGAUUCUGAAACACAGAAUAAAAGGAAAGGAUUAUCAUGCUGACACUCUUCUUUUUUUAUCUGAUACUUAGACACUUGUAUAUAUUAAAGUAUCUCGCUACAUCAAACUUAAAAAGUGAAUUAAAAACAAACACAUGCGCAAGCAUAUGCCUGCGCGCGCACAUAAACUAAAUCAGUAUUUCACUGUAAAUAUUGGAUAUACAUUCAUAAAAACAUUAUUUAGCAAAGAAACUAAAACAUUUUAUCACAAUUUUAAAAAAAAAUAUAUGAGUAUUUUUUCCUUCUUUUAUAAGCAGAGAAUAUUGAUACUUUAACAUAUAUAUAUAUAUAUAUAUAUAUAUAUAUAUAUAUAUAUAUAUAUAUAUAUAUAUAUAUCAAAGUAUCUCGCCACACCAAUAUUUUAAUUUGGGACAUUAAAAAAUUAAUCGAACACAUUACCUAUAAUUUAAAAUAUUAUGAGAAAGUACAAUGACAAUAAUACUUUCCCCACAUUUUCCCCGCAUGUUUUUGUGUGGCUCUAAAAAAUAUGUUUGCUUUUUUUUUUUUCAAUUACUAUUUUUUUUAAUUUUAUCAUUUUAAUAUUAGUUUUUUUUUAUUGGGUUAUCUCACUCACAAGAUAUGAAUCGUGAGUUUGGCAAAUUAACCUAGUUGGCUGGGAUUUUAUUCUUCAUUAUUUAACUUUUUUAUAAUUUUAUCAUUUAAUAUUGAUUUAAUUAAGAAUUAGACUUUAUAAUUUAUUUUAUUAGGUUAAUCAAUUCUCAUAACCCAAGAAUAGAUCUUAGUAGAUUAAUCUUGAGUUGAUUUGAUUGUUUUUUAUGUUUUAUGUUUAAUUGAAUUUCUUUUCAAUUUUAUCAUUGAAUAUUAUGUCAGUUAGAAAUUAAGUAUUCAUAAUCUAUUUUGAUUUCUUUUUUAUUAGGAUAUCUUGGUCUCAUGAUCAAGGUCGCAAGUUUUGGUAUUUUAACCCUAGUUAAAUCAAGUUGUUAUUUUUUUUAUUUUCUUUCAAGAGGUCAUCUUGGUCUCGUACGUGUCCUUCAACAUUAUAUUUGUUUUUUAUUGGGUUGUCCAUGUUUCAUGACCUAAAUUGCGUAUUUGACAAAUUAAUCCAGUUGACUCAAUUUUUUUAUAACUGACUUUUUUCUCAAUUUCAUUAUUUAAUAUUGUGUUUGAUUAAGAAUUAGGCUUUAUUAUUUAUUUUAAUUUAAUUUUUAUGAGAUUAUUUUAGCUUGAUGACCUAAAAAUAGUGCUUAACAGGUUAACAUUUAUUGACUUAGCUUAUUUUUUUAAUUAAUUUUUUUACAAUUUCAUCAUUUAGCAUUAGGUUCGAUAGGAUCGAUUGAGUAUGUGUUGGAUUAAUCAAUAUUUUAUUGAUUGAUUUAUUAAUAAGAUAUUUUAAUCUGGAAUACUUUGAAGCUAAGAUUAUAUAAAUUAUAUAAAUGUAAUUGUUGAUUAAUUUAUAAUGUUUAAGUUUUUUUUCUUGUUUGGCUUAUCAUAAAAGACAAUAGAGAUGAAAUGCUUUCUAUAUGCUCUUGAACUUGACAAAUGCUCAAAUGUGAAUAAAUCACUCGUCAACAUAACUUCCUAGCAAGGCAUGUUGUUUUUUGGGACAAUAAAAAGUUUUCAAAAAAUCUUUAUUGUUAAUUCCCUAAGCAUAACUUCCUAGCAAGGCAGAGGAUUUUGAAACACGAAAGAAAAAGGAAAGGAAGACCAUGUUGUAAUUCAAAGUAUCUCGUUAAAUCAAUAUUUAUCAAACUUCAAAAGUGAAUUAAAAACACUCAUAUAUGUGCAAGCAUAUGCACGCAUCCAUUUACAUAAACUAAAUCAACAUUUUACUUAUUAGAGAUUAAAUUUUUUAUAUAUUUUUAUUAUUUUUUUUCUAUAUUGUUAUCUCAGUUUUAUAACCUGAGUCGCAAGUUUGAUAAAUUAACUUGGAUUUUUUUUAAGUUCUUUUUUUAAUUGAUUUUGUUUUUAAUUUCAUCAUUUUACUUUGAGUUGAUUGAAAAUUAACCUUUAUAAUUUAUUUUAAUUUGUUUUUCAUGGGGUUAUCAUAGUCUUAUAACUCAAGUCACAGAUUUGACAUUUCAACCUAAGUUGAUCUAAGUCAAUCUAAUAUGUUAUUAUCUUAAUAUUAAAAAAAAAUAUCAUCUUGAAUUAUUUUUAGUCAAAUUAUGUUUUUAUUGGUCGUCCGAGUUAUUUUUGGACCCUCAAAAUCAAUCAUGUCAUAUUGAGUCAACACUAACACGGUUUAAAUUUCUUUUCCACUAAAAUAUACAUUAGCAAUAUCUAAAUAUUUUUUUAUGUUCAAGAAAAAUUUGACUCAACCUACAAUGUAGCUAGCGCGGGUCAAUAAUCUAGUACACACACUAAACUAAAACAAUAUCUCAGUAUACAUGUACAUACAUUCAUAAAACACUAUUAAGAGAAUCAAACUAAAAAAUUCAAUCACAAAUUGUUUUAAAAUUCUUUAUUUUCUAUUUGUAACUAACAGUUUAUUCCAAAUAAUGAAUGUUUUUUUUUUUUAAUACAACUGAAUUUUAUUUGAUAGCAAAUCAAGGACUGAGUAUUUUAGGCAAAAUUAUUAUUAUUAUUAUUAUUAUUAUUAUUAUUAUUAUUAUAUGAAAAUAUACUUACUAUGAUAUUAAUUAUUAAUAACUAUCUAAUUAGGAAAAUUAAUUAUUCAUACUAAAUACAAAUUUAAUAUCAUUAUAUAUAUUGUUUCAAACAAAUUCCAAAUUUGCAUUAUUGUGAAAAAAUAAGAUUUUUGUGAACAUUUGUUUGUAGUAUAUGCUGGAUUAAUCAAUAUUUUAUUGAUUAAUUUAUUAAUGAAAUUCAUUAAUAUGGAAUACUGUCAAUCUAAGAUUAUAUAAAUUAUAUAAAUGCAAUUAUUGAUUAAUUUAUAAUUUUUAUGUUUUUUGUAUUUUUUUUCUUUGUUUUCUUAUCAUAAAAAACACUAGAGAUGAAAAGUUUUAAAAAACAUUUUAUUGUUAUUUCCCUCUUCUAAAGCAUAACUUGCUAGCAAGGCAAAGGAUUUUGGAAUACAAAAGUGAAAAGGAAAGGAUGACUAUGCUAACACUUCUUCCUUUUUUAAUGUUCUUUAUAAUACUUAGACACUCGUGCACAUCAAUGUAUCUCACUACAUUAAUAGUUAUUGAACUUAGAAAGUGAAUAAAAAACACACAUUUAUGAAAUUUUAUUUGAUAGCAAAUCUGGAAUUGACUGUUUUUGUUUGAAAUUUUUUUCACAAAUUUUGGCUAAAAUUUAAAAUUUGUCUCAUUAUUGAAAAGCAUCAUCAUCAUUAUUAUUAUAAACCCAAUUUUUUAAUUUAAAAAAAAAAACAAAAAAAAUAAAUGGAUUAAAAAAUAAUUUGAGAAUUGGGUUAAAACAACACAAAUUGAAAGUUUGAGGAUUAAUAAUGAUGGAAUUAUAAAUUUGGUAGUCAAUGUGGUAAAACAUUAGAAGAAUUAAUAAGUUUGGGGACUUAAUUAAACUUUGAUUUAAAGUUCAAGGAUCAAAGUGCAAGCAAUUAAAGUUCAAGAAUCAAAGUGAAUAAGCAGUUACACUAUAGGGGUUAAUUGAUUUUUUCAAGGGUAAUUUUGAUUGAAUUAAAAGUUAAAAAGUCAAUUAAGGAGUGAAUUGAUUAAAUUGGAAACCAAGUACUGUUUUGUAAAUGGCUUUGAAAUUUAGGGAUUCAAUUGCAAUUUGAUUUAGGGGUAACAUUAAGGAAAAAAUAAAGAUUUUUCUUGAUUAGAAUCGUAGUUAUUUAGUGUCAAAAGUUUAAAGGUCAAAUUAAAAAUAGUUAUUUCGAGUGUAACAGUGUCAUUUUCUUAUCAUCUCUUCAUCCUCCUGAAAACCGGAUUCACAGGAAACACAACCAAAAAAAUUAAAGCUGCCAAUAUCCCCACCCCACCCACACGAUGAAUCUCCUGUUCAACUCUGAGAACCAUUGUAACGCAAACAUAAGAAAUGAAUUAGCUAAUGUGUUCAUAAGAAACAGAUAUAAAACUGUGGUACAAGGACCACAUGCAAUCGACUUUAUUCCUGCGUUUAACAGUAAAAACAUCAUAAAACCCGCAGAAACCUAUGACAAAUAAUAUCGAUUUAUGGCAAACUUCUUAUAGUUGUAGUUAUAUCAUAUAUAGGCUUUGAAGAGGUAACUAGCUUCUUAUCAGCAAAAGAUAUAUAAACACAAUCAGCAAACAAGCCACUUCAAGAUUUUACGAUUUAGGAAAUCAAAACAACCACAUGAUUUCUGACCAUAUGAUGUCACGAAAUUUUUUCAAAAACAAUAAGAAUUUUUUAAAAAGUACAUCUUUUAUUUGAUAGGAAAUUUAUAAUAGAUUGUUUCUCUGGAAUAACUUAUCUUAAAAAUCCUUGCCUAAACAAACUAAACAUUAAGAGCGUGAUUGAGAUUAUAAUAAUGAUUUAAAGAAUUUUUUUAUUUGAAAAUAUAUUAAAAUAAAAUUUUUUAUUUUUUAAAAUUAUUUUUGACAUCGAUAUAUAUUAAAACGAUUUAAAAAUAUAUAUUUUUUAUUUUAAAUAAAAAUAAAUUUUUAAUUUGUUUUUUAUAAAUAUAAUUAAAGAAGCUUAAACCAAUGAGUCAGACAUUGAUAGCAAGCCACAAGAAAGGUAAUUAAUAUCCUAUCAUGGUAAACAACGUGGCAACCCCAAAUAAUAUCCUAGUGGUUUCCUUGUCUAUCUUUUCAUCCUUGACCAUUUCCGAACCUUGAAUCAGCAAAAUCAAAAAGUGAAUGAAGACAGCAAAAAUUGAGAGCACCAUUGACAUUUCAUUUGAUAUGACAAAUACGAUAAAAGUAGUUUUUUUUAGCUAGAAUUGCAGUGCUCUGAUAUGACAAAUCAUCCCCUUUCUCUUUAUUUUUCUCAUCAUUCCCUCUUCUCAAAACCUGGCGCCGGCUGCUAGGCGGUCCACUGCCAACGUCUUCUAGGGAUUCUAGGAUCUCUUGCUGCAAAAAGCUUAGGGUAAAAUAUCGUAGAUAUCCAUCAUUUUUAGCUAUUUAAUAAAUAUCAUAUAUCAACUUCCGGGCUUUUAAUUUUCAGAUAACCCAAUAUAUUAUUGUUUAUUGUUACUCUCCUUAAUUGCUUGUAAGAUUAUGUUAAGUUUUUAUUUGAUUUUUCAACUUUAAUUUUCAGAUUUUUUAAAUUUUAAUUAAUUGUUUUGUUUUCAUUCAUUUGUACUACUUUUCGUUUUUAGAUGGAAGGGCUUGUUUCCUUCGUCAUCCUUCUUCGUUUUAAGUCUGUCAAGUUAUGGAAUCUCCCAUAGUUAUUGCCGCAUGUAGAGCAGUUCUACCAUUAGGGCCGCCAUAGUCCACUGAAACGCAUUUUCCUAUGAUUUCAUCGACUACCUUUCCUCGUUCUUCGCUCCCCCAUGGGAUGAUGGAAGCAGCAAUAUAAAGUGGAGUUUCUCCAUGAACAUUGGCGGGAUAUGAAAACUGACGGUCCUCUUUAGUCAAUAUUUUCACCACACGGCUCUGGCUAUUUCGAGCUGCCUCGUGCAACGCUGUAUCUCCUUCUCCAUUGGUCAUCCUCAACAUCAUUUUAGCUUUAGUUAUUCUGCUCUCCGGAUCUGAAGGUAGAGCUUUUGCACGGUGAAAGAGGAGUUCUACCACAUUGGAAUGGCCAUAUCUUGCUGCCAAAUGGAGGGGGGGUUUCUCCUUUUUUAUUGGCUUGGAAUAACAGUGGUGGACACCUUUCAAGAAUUUUAUCAACAAAAUAAGUGGAUUCCGGUUCCGUUGUUUGGUUUCUUAAGUAGACAUGAAGAAUGGUGUUCUCGUCUGGAGUCAAUAACUGAUUGAGGCAGGUUUGACAAUUCUCAAAGGGACCGAUAUUGCCUGCUUCUGCAGCUUUGAACAAGAAAGGAUCCAUAAAUGAAAUGUAAACAAAUGAAGGGGAGGAGAAAGUACUGUGGAACAAAGGGUCCACUCAACUGAUCACAAGCUGCUGAUUUCUUUGGUUUUUUUACAAAAGAGAAAGCAUGAUAUAUGAAUCAUGUUUAGGACCUUUUUAAAAUCAUUGCCAUAUAUAUAUAAGAUUUGGGGUUCUAACAAGAUAUUCAUGUUAAUCACAAAUAGAAUCAUAAUGCAAAUAACUUCAUCUUUUAGGUGAUUGUUGAGCAAAAUGGCUAUGGAUGGAGUUGGCUAUUAACAAGAAGUGGAAGUGUAUUUCCCACAAUUAUUACAAUAUUUCUUCAAGCCAAAAUGAACUUGCUGACAAAUUAGUAAGUAACUGGCAGCUGUCAUCAAAAUAGAGUAUUAAUAAGAACAGGGGAAUUGGUACCCGUCGCCAGAGAAAGGCCAGAAGAGUGGGGGGGACGAACGAACGAGAAGAAGAGGACAUGAGUGGAGGAACGAACAAAGAAAACCAGGAAGACAGAAAAAACGAACAGAGACUCAGAAACGAAAACAAAGACCGAGAGAAAGACGAGAGGGCGAAGAAGAAAAACACAGAGGACAAACAAGAAACAGAGAGCAGAGGAGAAAGGCAGAAGGGGAGAGACCGAGAGAGAAUUAAAAGAAGUAAGACCAGAAGAGAAGCACGCGAAACACAGAAGUACAGGGAAGAAAGUAGCUUUGGCCAGCCAUUACACCUUCGCCAUCGUCUUCGUCCCCAAGCAGCACCAGAAAAACAUAGAGGACAAACAAGAAACAGAGAGCAGAGGAGAGAGGCAGAAGGGGAGAGAACCCAGAGAGAAAAGAAGCAAGACCAGAAGAGAGCGCACGAAAAACAGAAGCAGAGGGAAGAGAGUAGCUUUAGCCAGCCAGUACACAUCCGCCAUUAUUAAUAUUUAAUAAUAAUAUUAAAUGUCGCCACGAUCUCGAUUGCCUCAAAAGACAGCUUUCCUGUUUACACUACAAGGAAGGUUAUGUCUCGCUAAAUUAACUCAUAAUUAAAAAACCAAAAACCUUAGGCCACAAGCUACGAAGCACCAAACCAAAAAUAAAAUACAAAUAAUCAAAAUGAAUAUAUGACAAUUAGCUCUUUUGUUUAUUGAAGGCAAGAGGCCCUUUUCCUUAAUUGAAGCAUCAUUUAAUUGAUAGUUGAUUUCUUGUGCUUCUGUCAGUUGUGGGUUCCGGUCGCCGUUAGACUCUAAGAUCUAAAGCAAAAUUACUGCGACCCCUUCUGGAUGACAUUGGUUGAUGUAUGGUCCAUCUGCAGUGGCACAAAAGCAAUGUAUUAUAGAGGGGAUUAAUUAAUAUAUCGGCUGAGUAGCCGAGAGAGACAUUAACACACACGUACUGCAGCAAUAUUUUCUGAAUGGAGGAGGGCGGCAAGAACACUUUGCCAACAACAAUCCUUUACAUGAUUAUGGCAGGAACGGCUUUUUUUCCACUCAUGAUCACCUGUAAUUGCAGUACGUCGAUGAGUUAGUACACUUCAUAUAAUUAAUUAAAUAGUUUGAUUAAUGGCAGAAAGUUAAUACAGACACAACGCCCAUCAAAACCUAAUGCAUCAGGUCUUGGUUUAAAACACAAAUUCUUGUUAGCAAAAAUUGCUAGGAUUUAUAAAUGUUUUUGUUUGUAAAUGGGCAUUGUAUAUUUCUCAAUUUUUCUAAAAAAAACUGAAGAGGACUAAAAGCUAUUUCCAAGUGCUCCACUAUAAGAGAAAAAUUUGAAAAAAAAAAUGUUAAGAGAAUAAGAAUUAAAAGUGAAUUAUCAUAUUUGAAGAAAUUUUAAUUGAAAAUCGAUUAACUUGCUAAUUUCAAUUGUAUUGUAUGUGAUAAGGAUAGACCUAAAUUUGCUUCAUACGUAUGUGUUAUUGACCGGAACAGUUUGAUUGGAUUAAAACGAAACAUGUGAAAGUAAACACGACUAAUUAAAUUAAAUAAAAUCAACUAAGAAAAAUAUUUUAUGGAUAAUAGUAAAUGCUAAUAUAAAUCAAGUCAAAAUCUAAAUUAAAUAUAAUUAUAAAAAAACUUAAAAUCACUUAUAUAAAAUUUAAAAAUAUAUUUAUGGUUUUAAAUGAGAAAUGGAAUAAAAAGGGAGGGACAUAUACCAGAGCAAAGAAUUUUUCCCCUUCAAAAUUUCUUUAUCCCCUUACCUUUCCUCCACGAAAUGAGGGUUAAAUGAUAACCUCGUUAAAAUGAUUCUCUCUUUCUAAAUUUGUACCAAACAUGAGGGAUGAAAAUUGAAAGUAGGGAACCUCUCUUACCCUUAACCAAAAUUAACCUAAAAACCAAGUUUCUUGUUUGGUUCACUUUUUUUUUUUUUUUAAUUUUAAUGUAAAACCAAACGAUAACUUUUAUUUUCUAUUUUAAAAAAUAGAAACACAAAAAACAAAAAAAUAAAUCAAGUAAAGGCAUCCUAGAAGUCAAAACCUCAAGAACAACAACACUGACAGGAAGAGCAAUAAUUAAAGAGCAUAUUUGCUGACUACGUACAGAGAUGAUCACAUAUUAUUAUUUUUUUUAAAAAGGAUGUUUACUUUUUGUAGUACUUUAUAUAAAUCUAUCUAUAACUCCUCCUCUUUUUUUUUAACAUGCAUCAAAACAAGAGUUAUUAAAAUUCGAGCUUUGAUUUAAUUAUUUUUUGUUCAGAGAUAAUGAUGUAUAAACUGAAGUCGCUGUAAAUGAAGAGGGGAUAACUUCAGAUAUUUCACCAACUCAGAUUUUAUACAUGGGAUCGUACCAUGUGCUGUAUCACCAGGCAAUUGGGAUGGCCGACUGGUAGGUGUUGUAGACAAUGUUGCUGGUGAAGAAGUUUUCGCUGUUGCUGCUGUUAGCGGCCGCGUCAGUGAUAGAUGAUGGCUUUGUCGUUUCAACAAGUGAAGUAAUGGUACCAAAACUAAUUAGAAAACCCGCAGUACUACUCGAAGAUGCUGAAGGGUCUGAAAUAUGAGUUGACGUUUUCGUUCCAUUGUUUUUAGAAGGUUGAGUUUGUGAAGAUGAGAAUAUGUCUGGGGUUACAGAUGGUUGAAUUUGUGAUGUUGGUGACAGUGGCAGCAGCUGUUGUGAAGGUUGAGAUGGCGGCUGUUGUGAAUGUUGAGAUGGCGGCUGUUUUGAAGGUUGAGAUGCAUUGUUGUUCAUCGACUCUUUGUUAUUACGCGUAUCCCGGAAGGUUGAGAAUAUGUCUGGUUUUUCUCCCUGAUGAUCAGGGGUUACAGAUGGUUGAAUUUGUGAUGUUGGUGCUGUGGCCGCAGCUGUUGUGAAGGUUGAGAUGCGGCGUUGUUCAUCGACCUUUGUUAUCACGCUUAUCCCGGAAGGUAUUGGGUGGAAGAGGAGGAAAGUCUCGUGGAGACUCGAUAGCAUAAUUUUUAUAUGGAGGCUUCCUAGCAAAGUUAUCAUGGUGGGAAGGUACUUUUGAUCUUGAAGAUGGAUUAUUGUGAUACCAAUUUGUGUUAGGAGAGUAAUUGGCAGCACUCUCGCGCACCAUUAUGACCAUGUUCACCGUCUCAAAACAAUCCAGCCUUUUUUAGAUAGGACAUAUUUGGGAUGCUAAUACCUUUUAUUUAUGCAAUCAGUCCUCGUACACAAUCUCUUAAACCAGUUAUGAUUUCUAAUGACUAAAAUACUAGAUGGCGACUCUCAUUUUAUUUUUCCACUCAUAAAAGAUAAGAAUUCUUUGUCUUCCUACACAUUUGCCAGAUCAAUAGAAAAUAAUAAUUUUGAGGGUGGAUGCUUUCGUCGGGACACCGUGUUAAAAAUUAUACAAAACACAUAUGCUAAUCAUCCGCUGCAGAUAAAGGAAACCAUGUAUGGUGCAUACAUAUCCUCUGAAGACUCCCUGUCAACAUACAAUUCCAGCUGAAACAAACUUCUAGUCAUUGUAUUUACAUUACAUACAACUUGUAAUCUAUCCUAUAAAAAGGAACUCACAUUAAUAAAGAAAGUAUGUUCAACAAUUUUCUAUAUGGUAUCAGAGCCUACCUUCUCUCACGAGACUCUCCAAUAUGGCCUCAACUAAAGAUGCUGUCAUCAUAAACUCUGAAACUCAUAGCAAUGGUGAUACUCACCUCAUUGCAUUCAAUGCUAGUUCUCAACUUCCCCUGAAACUGACACCCUCAAAUUUUCCCUCCUGGCGUGCUCAACUAAUGUCCUUGCUAAUAGGUUACAACCUACAAGGACAUAUUGAUCGAACCACUAGUUGUACAUCUCAAACAUUACAUGAUCCAAAUACUGGAUUAUCUACUGCAGGUGAUUCAAAUCCUGCUUUUUGGCGUUGGUUUCGGCAAGAUAACUUGCUCCUUCAUGCAAUCCUUGCAUCUGUUUCAGAACCAGUUUUGCCACUAAUCGCCACUUCCACCACUGCUCGUGAUGCAUGGGUAAAAAUACAACGAUUGUAUGCAAAUCGAUCAUGCACGCGUGUCAUGCAACUCAAGGAAGAGUUGACACUUAUACAAAGAGGAAGCCAACCAGUUUCAGAUUACCUCAACACUGUCAAAAGGCUAGUUGAUGAACUCACUGUCAUUGAUACUCCCAUAUGCAUAGAUGGCAUUACGUUAUAUAUUCUCAAUGGAAUAGGAGCAGAAUUUCGUGAUAUAGCAACCAUGAUACGAACCAGAGAAACAUCCCUCACAUUUGAGGAACUCCAUGAUGUAUUAAUCAGUCAUGAAAAUUAUCUCAAGCAUAUUGAUGCCUCCAACUCCAGAUUAAUAGCCACUGUUAAUGCAACACAACACAGCAGAUACUUCAAACCAGGACGCUCUUCAAACCCUCCUACUGGUUACUACAGGUCCAACCAACGGAGAUACGUCCCCAGAGACAAAUCCAGUCAGCCUCCACUAAUUUGUCAACUAUGUGAUACCAAAGGACACUCAGCCAAAACAUUGUUGCUACCCAAUUUUUGACCCUUGUUUUUGAUAUGUUUUCAAAAAAUCUAAAAAAUUGAGAAAAACAAAGAAAAUCCAAAAAAUAUGUUUUUUAAUAUAUUUUUGUCAUUUUAGCAUUUUCAACGUCGUCUAAAAAGAAUUUAAAUUGUUAAAAUAUUUUCAAACGCGUUCGACUUUUCACGCGUCAUUUUUAAAAUCAUUGAUUUUCCGCAUUUGAGUCGACGUUGAUAUUGCUCGUUUUCAAAAAAUACAAAAAAUAAGAAAAAUCUAAAUUUACAAAAAAAAAGAAGUUGAGGGACCAAGUCGAAAGACCUAGCAACAUUUUUGCCUAUAAAUACCAUGCUAAACUGAUUUUUAAGGGGGGGGGUAAUUUUGACACUUUUAGAAGAAAAAAAUACAGAAACCCUAACCCUAAAAAAAAAAAAACUUUUUCUUUCACACCAGCCGCCCCCCUGGUUUUCAUUUUUGAUCCCCCGGAGUUGCUCCUCGGUUUGAUUUUUCUGACCCAAAAAAAACCGGCCACCCGAACCAGCCUCCCCCUGUUUUCAUCUUCUUCUCCGCCGUUCCCUUUCUCUCGGCCACAAACAAAUCCAAAACGCAGCCCCUUUUCUUUCCAUUUCUUCUCCCUCACCGGACCCAAACCAGCCUGCCAAGACAGCUCCCUCUCAGUCGUUCCUCCUUCUUCAUCGUCAGCGACCCGCAACCAUCAAGGACUCAGCUCGGACUGACCUCCUUCUCAGCCACCAUGAGCUGACCACCAUCUCUUCUCCGUUCAGCCUCCAACAGCAGCAGCGCCGUCCUCGGCAGCGGCCACAGACCCAGCUCACCGCCUCCAGCAGCGGCACGCCCACAGAUCGCGAUCUGUUCGCUCCUCCGCCUCAUCAUCAACAGCGCCUUCUUCCUCUCCGCAGUGGCCACCGCAGCCGACCAUCACCGGAUCUGCAACCGGCGAAGGAAGAGAGCAGACCUGCAAAAAAAAAAAAACAGAUCUAAAAAACGAAACAAACAAACAAAAAGUUAAAAUCGACUGCCGUGUGUGUUUCUUCUCUUGUUCUGCAGGUCGCCGGUGGUUUAGGAAGACAAGGGAGAAGAAGCCGGUCCGAAGCCUCCAUGUUUCUGGUUUUUUUCCGUGGUGGCGCGUGAACCCACGCGCCGCCAGUGGCGGGGGUGCGUGAGGUCCACGCGCCGGAACUAUUCAUUCAUCCCCAGAAGUCUUUCCGUACAAAUUCGGGAGUUUUGAGGGACCAUUUUGUAAAUUUUAAAGUUUUAAUGUAAUUUUUGUUUAUUUAUUUUAAAUUUGUAAUAUGUGAAUGUAAAAGAAAAAAAAAGAAGAAAAAAAAAAGAAAAUAAUAAUAACAAAGGGGAUGUGUGUGUUGGUGUAUUUUUAUUUAUUUAUUUUGAAUUUGUAUUUGUAUUUGUAAAAGAAAAGGAAAAGAAAAGAAAAAGAAAAGAAAAGAAUAAAAAUAGUGAAAGUGUAUGUGUGUGUUUGUAUUUUGUUUUAUUUAUUUGUAUAUAUUUUUAAUGAUAAAAUUGCAAAUAUAUUAAAGAAGAAUUUAAUAUUUUGAUUGGAUCACGGUUAAGAAUUAUUAACUUAUACGUAAGUGAUAUUUCUAAUUUCCGAUGAAAAAAACAAUUAUUAAAACUUCUUUAACACGUGUAUGUGUGUGUUUGUAUUUUAUUUUAUUUAUUUGUAUAUAUUUUUUAAGGAUGAAAUUGCAAAAUACAUUAAAGAAGAAUUUAAUAUUUUGAUCGGAUCACGGUUAAGAAUUAUUAACUUAUACGUAAGUGAUAUUUCUAAUUUCCGAAGAAAAGACAAUUAUUAAAACUUCUUUAACACGUCAAAGCCACGAAGCAGCUUACCUCAGGUAGGGUGCGUUAGGGGUGCUAAUACCUUCCCUAACCACAACCAGUCCCUUACCCGCGAAUCUCUGACAAGACCAGUAUAUCCGGUUUCCUAGUAGCCCGCAAUCAAUUACUAGGUGGCGACUCCAACGUAUGAAUUCAAAGCAAACACAACAACGAGACUUAAAUCGCCAGCCGAUGCCGCGCGCUGAUUUUUUUUUGGGGUGCGACAAACAUGUCGUAAGGUAUCAAGGCCAAAAACUGCAAAUUGUGCAGCUACAAAUGGCACACAGGAGAAGAAAUGGCUCAUGGACUCAACAGCAUCACAUCACAUCACCUCUGAUCUUACAAACCUCUCAAUUCACUCUGAAUACGAUGGAACAGAUGAAGUAGUCAUCGGUGAUGGCUCAGGUUUGAAAGUAACACAUGUUGGCUCCAUGUCAUUGAGCUCAUUGUCAAAAUCCUUUCUUUUGCAUAAUACUCUUUGUGUCCCAGAUAUACACAAGAAUUUAGUCUCUGUUCAUAACUUUACCCGUUCAAAUAAUGUCUACAUAGAAUUUCAUCCAUUCUAUUUUCUUGUGAAGGAUCGGAACACGGGGACAACAAUACUUCGCGGUGAUUGCCAGGAUGGUGUCUAUCCACUGCCACAACUAUCAUCAAUCAAGAAGCCUUCAGCACUUGCACUUGUUGGUGAAAGAACCUCCCAUGAUCGCUGACACACACGACUUGGUCACCCCUCCACCAAAAUCUAUCGUUCUCUAAUCAGUCGGUUUUCCCUUCCAGUUCUAGGCUCCACCCAAACUUUGUCAUCUCUGUGUUCAGCUUGUCAAUGCAAUAAAAGUCAUCAAUUAUCGUUUUCCAAAACAUCACUCACAAGCACACAUCCUCUACAAUAUAUCUACACAGAUAUAUGGGGACCAGUAGCUUCAACCUCCAUCGAUGGUUAUCGAUAUUAUGUUCUAUUUGUGGACCACUUCACAAAGUACUGCUGGUUCUUUCCAAUUCAUCACAAAAAUGAUGUUCAUCCCAUUUUCAUUCAAUUAAAAGGAUUUGUUGAAAAACAGUUUGGUUUUCAAGUUAAAAAUCUAUACUCUGACAAUGGUGGUGAGUACCAGAGUUUACGUCAGUAUCUAUCAGACCAGUCCAUAAACAUGCUCACCACUGCUCCACACACACCACAACAAAAUGGGACAAGUGAACGACGACAUCGUCACAUUGUUGAGACAGGUCUCACAUUGCUUCAUCAAGCACAUCUUCUAGUGUCCUACUGGACACAUGCCUUUCAAACUACAGUUUAUCUAAUUAACCGCAUGCCAACUUCAAUUCUUCAAAACAAAAGUCUGUUUGAAAGCAUCUUUGGUCGUCAACCAAAUUAUCACAAACUGCGCACCUUUGGGUGCCAGUGUUUUCCAUGGCUCAAACCUUACAAUCACAACAAGCUGCAACCAAAGUCCAAAGCAUGCAUUUUUCUUGGUUACUCAAGCACUCAAAACACAUAUAAAUGCAUGGACAUUCACUCAUCCCGGAUUUACAUCUCAAAACAUGUUGUCUUUGAUGAAACUGUUUUUCCCUACUCUGCCUCCACUAGUGUGUCAUCACCAUCACAUGCAGGGAAUCCCACAAUCAUCUCUACCAUCCCGGUGGUUCCACCCUCAAGAUAGAUACCAUCCAGGCAAUCAUCAGAGACACCUGUUGCUCCUGUUGUUCCUCCAACUUCACCACCAACACAGAUUCCUGAUCCACCCCCUGCACCAUCAGAAAACAGGUUAGUAAUACAGCCACCAUUGUCACAAUCACCCACAAGACAACAUAACAUGAUCACAAGAUCCAUGAACAACAUCUAUAAGCCAAAACAAAUCCACCUCACCACCAAACACCCCCUCCCACAACCCAUAGAACCAACAUGUGUCUCUCAAGCCCUGAAAGAUAAAAAAUGGCGACAUGCCAUGUCUGAAGAGUUCAACGCCUUGGUUAAACAUGGCACCUGGGAACUGGUUCCAUCCAACCCAUCCAUCACUCCUGUAGGUUGCAGGUGGCUCUUUCGCAUUAAACACAAUGCUGAUGGCACAAUAUCAAGAUACAAAGCACGUCUGGUAGCUAAAGGAUAUCAUCAACGUCCUGGCCUUGAUUACAAUGAGACCUUCAGUCCAGUCGUCAAACCAGUAACAAUCAGAACUGUGUUAUCCAUUGCUUUUCAACAUCGCUGGUGCAUGAAACAACUGGACGUAAAUAAUGCAUUCCUUCAUGGGUCCCUACAAGAAGAUGUUUACAUGAUUCAGCCCCCAGGAUUUGUCGACUCCACAGUGCCCACCCACAUCUGCAAACUACACAAAUCCAUCUACGGCUUAAAACAGGCACCACGUGCCUGGUAUGACAAACUCAGCUCCUUUCUUCUGACACUGGGAUUCAAGCAAUCAAAGUCUGACUCUUCCUUGUUUAUCUACUCAAAGCAGGACAUCAUCUUAUUUCUACUGGUAUAUGUUGAUGAUGUGUUACUCACAGGUACUGAUUCCCAGGUUAUGGCCGACAUAAUACGUCAACUUGGUGCCCAAGUCUCACUAAAGGACCUUGGUGACCUGCACUAUUUUAUUGGGAUCGAAGUGCAGCCAACUCAUGAGGGAAUCUUCCUAUCUCAACAAAAAUACAUCAGAGAUCUUCUCAAGAGAACUAACAUGGAAGGAGCCAGACCAAUUCACACACCUAUGUCCACCAAACCAACACUUCAACUCAAUGAUGGUCAUCCCCUUGCAGACCAGAAACAAUAUCGAAGUGUCAUAGGAGCCCUACAGUACCUAGCCAUCACCAGACCAGACAUCGUUUUUGCUGUGAAUAAACUUGCUCAAUUCAUGCACCAACCCAGUCAACUUCACUGGACUUCAGCAAAACGGGUACUUCGGUAUCUCAAAGGCACAAUCACUCAUGGGAUAUCAUUAACACCCUCUGUCAAUCCUCAUCUCUCCGGAUACUCAGAUGCAGACUGGGGCACUGAUCCAGACAACAGACACUCUACCUCUGCCUAUCUCAUAUUCUUUGGCAACUGUCCAAUCUCAUGGAGCACAAGGAAACAACAUUCAGUUGCCAGAUCCUCCACAGAGGCCGAAUAUAGGGCCCUAGCCUCAACAACUUCAGAACUCAUAUGGAUUCACAAUUUACUUCAUGAACUGGGAAUCAAGAUGUCCCAACGUCCUAGCAUAUUCUGUGAUAACAUUGGAGCUACUCAACUGAGUCAAAAUCCAGUACUGCACUCUCGCAUGAAACACAUCGCCAUUGAUCUGCACUUUGUUCGUGAUCUGGUAAAGAAAGGCGUUUUAGAUGUCUCCCAUGUCAGUACCCAUGACCAACUUGCUGACUUCCUCACUAAACCCCUUCCACGUAUCAAGUUUCAAGCUAUGGUAAACAAGAUAGGCUUACUCAUUAGCCCGCCUAUCUUGAGGGAGCGUGUUAAAGAUUAUACAAAACACACAUGCUAAUCAUCCGUUGCAUAUAAAGGAAACCAUGUAUGGUGCAUACAUAUCAUCUGAAGACUCCCUGUCAACAUACAAUUCCAGCUGAAACAAACUUCUAGUCAUUGUAUUUACAUUACAUACAACUUGUAAUCUAUCCUAUGAAAAGGAACUCACAUUAAUAAAGAAAGUAUGUUCAGCAGUUUUCUAUACACCACACACCUACGAUAGUUACGAAGAUUGUGUACUCCCAUGAAUUCUCCGCUUUGUAUGGUAAAGUGUAAGAGUUAGGCUUAAAGCCACGACUUGAGGUAUACUUGUAUGGUAACACGAUAACAAUGACUUGAAUAGCUUAACGCGUACUGUCGGACCAAAUUAGUUUUUUACGAAUCUCAUUUCCUUAUUAAGUAUUUAGAAUCCAAAAAAGAAAAAACUAAUUAUUUGAUCCAAUGUUAUGUGUUGGGUUGUCCAAGUUAUUGUUAAGAUAAGAUCAUGCAAUUAAAUCUCAUGCUGAAUGGAAGUUGUUAAAUGUUAACAAGAGACUCAUAACAGUUGAAUUUCAUAUGUGAGUAAGGAGUUUUGUAGCAAAUUUUGAUAUGAUCAAAUACAAUGAUGAAUUUAUAUCUCAAUAGCCUGGAUUUAUGAUUUAAAGAAAGCAUCCAUCAACGUGUAUAAAUCCUUACGUGCAUCUCAUGUGAAGACAAAGGUGAUCUCAAGUGCAGAUUCUCCCCAAUACAUAUAUACGAGGUACAGCUUCUUAAAGACAAUCAGACCACAGAUGAGUUCUGUUGGUUGUAAUAUUGGAUUUUGGAACCGAACUAUGUAGAGAUGUCCAAGGACUGGCUUCCUGAGAAGUUUGAGACGGAAAUGGGGCUGAUGAAGUUCUUGAUGAAGAAUAUACCUAUUUCUUGGAGGAAAUAAUCAUAUGUACAUCAACAGUAGAGAGAAUCUUGAACGGAAGAAAAAGAGAGUAAAUAUUUAUAUCUUCGAAAACAUGUUCAAGUGCCCUUCUGCCGCACAUAAUUCUGAUCCUGAUGCCAAAAUCGUUUCCUUUUAAGAAUUAGUUUUGAUUUUUUUUUUUUAUUUUGGGUGAAAACUGAAAUACAUGAAAGAUUGUCUGUAAGGUUUUCGUAUAUUUAGACACAUAUCAGAAGAUUAUUUUGCUAAUUAUCUUGAUCUAAUUUCUUUAUUUUUUGUAAUUAGGUUUUGUUUUUCGAUUCAUAAAUGUUUUCUAUUAUGAUAUAUUUUUAAGAAAACAGAAAAUAAAAUAAAAAUAUAUUAACUUGUAAAUUUUCACUAAUAUAUUCUUGUUAGUACUCACAAAAUUAAAUAGAUUCAAUUAGAGGAAAUUCAGCAUAUAAUUUAUAUUGUUUUUUUUAACUAAUUACUGGUAUAACAAUCAAACACUAAUUCGAAUUAAAAUAAAAUAAAAUCAGUGACAUUACUUCUUCAUGAGAGAAUGAAAAGAACAGGAUCCGAUGGAAUCGCUAUAUAUCAUGUGAAGUUUACAAUUUCCACCAACGGUCAAGUGACAUGGUUAAUCAUACUCUUUUAAGCAUAUUAAUUGUAAACUUGCUUUGCACUUCUAUAUUAUGUAAUUAUUUAUUUUUGUAAUAUUUAUUAAUACCAGGCUGCAAAGUCAAUGCUCAGAGGAGAAUGAUUAACUACGUGCACGCCCUUGCAUUAUGAAUUUGUCUAUGACGACGUCCUCUUUAACAUGAUAGAGUGUAAUUUUCUUAGAUAAUUAAUUAAUUAUCUUGGUCUUUCCUUCAAGAUCUAACAUCCCAUUUGCAAAAUAAUUAUAUGAAAAGAAAGUCGGUCCAAUAUUAAACUAUAUAAUAAGUUACAAGUCCAAUCAUUUCCCAUUAUUUUAUCAAAUUACAUGUUCUAUUUCUAGAGAGCAUAUAUAUAUAGCACCGUGUUAGACAUAUUCAUACUAUCAUACACUUCAAUUCAAUCGUUCUUCUCUACAGUCAAAUUCAGGCUUCAGCAACAAAAGUUACAAUGGCGGUAAGCGUGUCUAGAUGUAGUGGAUGAAAUUAUAUAACCGUAGGUUAAUUAAUAAGAGUCUUCUAUUUAUUAAUAUUUUCUCCUAUCAUAUUACAACUGAAAGGAAAGAAUGGCACAAUUGUAUUGAAAAUUUUCAUUGUAUUUUACUCAGAUCAUAGAAAUGAGAGUGCAUAUGGAUUGUGCUAGAUGCGAGAGCAAGGUGAAAAAUUCUCUGGAAAAAGUCAAAGGUAAGAAAUUGGUCCACUAAAAACUUUCAUGCAUGCUCCUACAUAAAUCUCCAAUGUUCUUGAGAAACAUAAUCUAAAUGUUGUUCCUUCCUACAUAAAUCUCCAGUAUUUAUGUAAUAAGUACUUGUUGCUUUCACAGUUUGCUUCCUCUUCAAGAAAGGAGAUUACAUUAUGUUAGGAUACUGGCAUGCAAAUCUGACAAAACAAAAGAUAAAGGAUAGGAUAAAAUUAGAAAUGAGACACAAGAAUUUACUUGGUUCACCCAAUUAGGCUACGUUCACGGGCAAGUAUAGAAGGAUUUUACUAAGUAAUAUGAGAAUUACAACCUCUCUCUAAUAAUAGGAGAACAACUGAAAUCUUUUUAUUAUUAGGAGAAAACACCUCACUUACUCUCUCACAAAUACCUCACAAUUUUGUGGGAUUACUUUCCCUCUCUCACUCUCACUCUCCUCUUGCUCUCUCUUAUUUUUUCUUGUGAUGCAUAUGAGGCAAGGAAUGCAAUGGCAUCCUUGCCUUUGCCUUGCAAAAGGCAAGAGUAAGGCAAGUGGGCAAGUGGCAAAAGGGUACCAAUUAUCAAGUGCACAUUCAUUUUCCACUUUGCCAACAAUGUUUAGCUGGCUUCACACAUGGAAUCACAGAAAGCAUCUUUUCGGAGUCUGUCGCAUGAGCUGAAGACUAUCAAAGUACACAAUAUUAUUGGUUGCAACUUCAAUUUGUAAUCAAAAUAUUUAGAGAUGGAUGGAGACUGGCUUACUAAGAAGUUUGAGAAGGAAAUGGAGCUGGUGAUGUCAACAAAAGAGAGGAUUUUGAAGGGGAAAAAGGAGAGUGAUGUUCAACAUGUUCGAAAACCUGUUUUAAGUGCCACAGAGCUUCUCCUCAUGCCGAAUUCUUAUUCUUAUAGAUUUCUCUUGUCAUUUCCGGUUCUCUAAGCAUUCAAUGUAUCUCUGUUAACUCUUGCUUAUAAAUUGAUAUUUGAUACAACUGGAUGAUGUCUACUUUGUAUUGAUUUUUAUUUUCAUUUUUCUUGGUGAACAUUACUACCGAUCCUUGAAUUCUAAAAUCUAGAUUUUCCAUAGAAUUCAAUUCAAAUGGCAUCUUAAAUUCCCAUACCAUGUUUACCAAGUUGCGUAAGGUGUUUGUUAUUCCCUAUAGAGCAUGGUUGUCUCUAUGUUUCGUCAGUAAUGGACUACCUACCGAGAGAUCAUGAUGAAGCAUACAAUUUUUGUGCCUUUCUUCUUCAAAAAUUUGAAAGAUGCUCAAUCAACCACAUUCGCUAGAUGUUUUACAUUGCCAUUCUUUUGUCAGCUCAAACACUUUUAAGAUGCCUAAAUUCGUGUAAUUUUUCACUGUCCCUGCAACAAUUCAUGAGUACAAAAACUAGCUAGAUGUAUUCCCAAGCAUGCGUCGAGGAAGUAAAAUUUUAUCAGUUCACAAACUGCCAAAUACUUAUAACGGGCUUGCAGAUUUUGAGUCCAUACAAGGAUGUUUAGGAUUCGAGUAACACAAAACUUACUCUGUGGCAGCAGAGUUAUUCAGCUGCAUCAUUUUUCACCUCAAGUCCGGCACUGGCUUCACGGUCUAAUGAAGCAUCUGUUCUCUUAUUUUUUUGGACCAUCUUCUGAGUAACCAGAAGCUGAAGCGAAUUAAGUCGACCGAUACUACAAUUACUAUUCCCAAUAACGCGCUACGGGUGAUAGACACGCUAGUCGGACCAAUAAGAAGAACCCCAGAAAUAUAAUUUGCCACCAUACAACGCAAAGCUAGCCCCAGUAAUGACUUGAGUGGAUACUCCUGAAUAAUUAAAUUGAUCACCACAAUCGACGCAAAAAAGCCUAUAGUGUUGGAAGCCAUGAAGAAAAUAAACUCACGCCCAUUUCCUGAAGCCAUCCAAGCAUAAUAGUAAAACGUCCCAUCUUCAAGUUCUUCGGUGCGAAUGCCAGCAGGAGGGUUUAAGAUGGCUUGGUAUGCCAUACCUGCAAUAAGUACUGCCACAACCAACAAUACGUUGUGUUGCUGGGGGAGCCUGUUGAACUUCCUUAGCUAGUUUCUUGUAGUGCUUCACUGGAUUUAAAUGUUUAGCCACCUUAAGUAAGAAAUGCUCUGAAUUUUGACUCAAUGAUUCUGAUACGGUGCUAGAGAUUCGAGUAACUUGAACAUCAACAACAGUUCCAAGUUCCCUUGCUCUUAAUGCUCCAGCACCGUGAAGCAAUUCCCUGAGCAUGAAAUCACCAGCGUCAGCCUGCAUUUUUUGUGAGACAUCUAACAUGUCCCUAGCAGUUAAUCCAAUCUUGUUGACGACAUUCACAUUGAUUGUACCUAUGUCAAUACCUUGACCGCCAAGAAGUGAUUUCAGGGUCUGUAACAUAAGAAAAGAAAAGAGAUUACGUAAAAACUUCUUUUUCCGUUGUGUAAUCAAAGAUUACUUAAAAAUUAAACAUAAUACUAAUCCAGAACUCUGAUGCUCCGAAAGCAUCUGGAUCAACACGACAUGACAUAGCUGGUAUGAAUAUGAAAUACGGGUCAGACAUCCCAAAAACUCCACAUAUUUGAAGGAGAAAAGUAAUGGGAACAUGGGAAGCAUGAUGAAAUACAAAUCUUAUUCGUAUUACAUUAAUUACUCCUUUAAAUAGUAAGUCCAUAUAGAUUUAUACUUAGAUUUACAAUACUUUAUCUAUAAUAAUCUAGGAUAAUUCAAAAGACUUAAAAGAUAAAUACAUCUUGGAUAGUUACAUGCAUAUAUCUAGAACUAAAAUUUACUUUAAAUAAAAACUUCAAAAUUAUUUCCAACACUCCUUAACUUUGAAACUCUCACAUAAAUUUGAAUUUUGAUUGAAAACCAUCUUGUCAUGACUAGCUAAUGGCACCUCAUUGCCAUCUUUUCAAUCUUUCUUUCCAUAAAAAUGGUCUAUAUGAACAUGGUUGUUCCUAGCCAUUUUUCUCCUUUCAUGGUUGCCACCAUAUUUCUCUAACCAAACACUUCUUUUAAUAUUUGGCUCACUGUAUUUUAGUCCGGCUGCUGUCUUCUUCUUAUCAUGGCUCUUUAGCCACUUCUCAUGUCAUGUAAGAAGAGUUCUCUAGAUCUCUCCUCGGCCUCUCUUGUACAACAUCUUAUCUUUCGUUGCAAGAGGUUUUAGGUGUUUUUUUUUUACUAUUUUUUUAUGCAAGGCUAGCUAUGAACCUGUCCUCGACUCUAAAUCUAAAUAUCCUAUAAAUAACUAUGUAUCCUACCAUAGAUUAUCAAAGAAAAGCAUGACAUUUAUGAAUCAAUUAUAUGUUAUAUCUAUUCCUAACAAUGUGCAACUAUUUCUAACAAUGUGCAAGAAGCUUUGAAAGAUUUCAGGCGGAGGGAGGCAAUGAAUGAAGAGAUGAAGAGCUUUUGAAAAAACUCAACAUGGAAAGUUGUUGACGAAACUCAAAGAAAGUUACUUGUUGGAUGCAGCUGGGUUUUCAGCAUUAAAUGCAAAGUCGAUGAAACUAUUGAAUGAUGCAAAGCAAGACUUGUCACCAAUGGAUAUACUCAAACAUAUGGAAUUGAUUAUAUGGAGAUAUUCUUAUUAGUGGCCAAAAUUAAUACUGUUCGUAUUUUAUUAUCUCUAGCAGUAAAUCUUGAGUGGCCAAAAUUGAUUGGCCAAAAUUUAAAUGGAAAUCUCCAAGAAAAAGUGUAUAUGGAGUUGUCCCCUCGCUGUAAUCGGUAGACUAAAGGUAAUAAACAAGUUCGUAGGUUGAGAAAAUCCCUAUAUAGUUUGAAGUAGUCUCUUAGAUCAUGGUUUGAAAGGUUCACAAGUUUUAUGAAGUCUGUUGGUUACAAGCAAAGUAACUUAGAUCACACUCUAUUCUUGAAGCAUAAUAAAAACAAAUCACAGCUUUUAUUGUGUACGUUAAUGAUAUGAUAAUGAUUGGAAAUGAUCCUGAAGAAAAGAAAAUACUAUAAGAGCAUCUUACCCAUGACUUUGAGAUGAAAGACCUUAGUGAAUUAAAGUAUUUUCUUAGAAUUUAAGUGUCUAGAUCAAAGAAAGAUAUUUUUCUGUCACCAAAAAAACAUGCCUUAGACUUUCUAAAUGAAACUGGUAUGACAACAUGUAGUCCAACUAACACUCUCGUUGAAGAAAAUUUGAAACUAUAGGUGUAUUCAAAUCAAGUUCCUACUAACAACGAACAUUAUUAAAGGCUGGUUGGAAGAUUAAUAUAUCUUACAUGUACUCUGCCUAAUGUAGCUUAUGUGUUGAUUAUGGUUAGUCAAUUUAUACACUCCCUAAGUGAAGAAUAUAUGAAUGUUGUCAUCCGUAUCUUACACUAAGUUAUCUUUAGGAAAGGGAAUUUUAUUCACAAAAGAAGACAAUUUGGAUAUUAAUGACUAUACAAAUGCUAAUUGUUUUGGUCGAUUCAAGAUCGACAUUUUAUAUCUAGCUAUUUCACAUUUGUAGGAGGGAAUUUAGUUAUAUGGCGAAGUAAAAAACAUGAGGCAAUUGCUAGAUCCAGUGCUGAAGCAGAAUACAAAUUAAGAAAUGACUAAGGCAAUAUGCGAAUUGUUGUAGAUUAGAAAUUAGAUGCAAGAUUUACAUACUAAGCAAGUCAGCUCUAUGAAGUUAUAUUGUAAUAACAAGACAACGUGUGAUAUUGCUCAUAAUUUUCUCCAAUAUGAUCAAACUAAACAUGUUAGCAUGAUUAAACUAAACAUAUUGAGGUUAAUAUAUAUUUUAUCAAGGAGAAACCAGAAGAAAAAUUGAUUGAAGUUCUUUAUGUUCGAUCUCAAGACUAGCUUGCUGAUGUGCUGAUCAAGACAGUGACAAACCAAGCAUUUAAUGACUGUCUCAACAAACUAGACAUGGAUGACAUUUAUAAGGGAGUGUUGAUAAUUAUGAGUAAUUAUCUUCAUAUUUUAUCUCUACUGCUAGCUACAGAGAUAUAAUAGAAUUACUAGAAUUCCUGUGAACAUGUGAUUGUAUCUUGAUAGCUAUAGGUUUACAUAUAAUUAGUCAAUCAGCUGUCCUAAACUAUAGGAUAUAAAGAGGGCUUUGUAAAGUGGCUAUUUUAUGCCGUGCUAGAAAGAGGAACAAAUUAUUCUCUUCACAAACUCUGUAUUUAUCACUGUUAUAUGCAUAUAUUUAGAAGAUACUCAGGAGAACUAAAAGAUAAUUUGAAUGAAAAAAUCAAAAUUAAUUUCAACAUGUAAAACACAUAUUUGGUGAGUUUAAAACAGUGUUUCAGUAUCCUAAAUUUAAAAUUUGAUGGCUCUGAUUACGAGCAACAUAAAUUCUCCUUGUUUUGAAGGUUUAACUAAACCAGAUCAAAAUGAAUAGAAAAUAGGAAAUUCAAGUACGAAGGGAAAAUGACCAUCUGGUUUCGUAGUUGAGUUUUAUGUCUACCAUUAUGCAGAAAAUCAUAGUUGUAGAAAUAUAAUUCGAAAUUUAGAAAGUUAUACCCGAUCAUGCCCAUCCCAUGGCACCCCAAAAGAUAAGGAGCAAAGAAAGAAGGGAAAGCGGACUUGCCUGAGUCUGCCUCUUAGCUGUCGCAAGGUGUAAAACAGUAUUGCCAUCUUCGUCCGUCACAUUCAGAAGCUCCUUAAUGUUAUGCGGCUGGAGCACAUCAACCAUGACUUUGAAAGCCUCAAACUGAUUAUUUCUCAAAGCAAGGUGAAAUGCGGUUUCCCCUUUGAAUGUCACAAUGUCCUUGCUUGCAGGACAAAACUUGAGCAAUUCCUAUUGGCAGAUAUAUGUAUAUGAUCUGAUACGAUCCUUCUUUCCUUUUCUGUCAUGAUUCUUAUUCCUUUUAUGAGUUGAUUCCAGUAUUAUUCUUAGGAGAAAUAUCAGGAAUGUAGCUAGAAAUAUUCUUGUAAUCAAUGCACUUUGUGUAUAUUGUCGCACCCCCCCCCCAAAAAAAUUUUUUUCAAAUACGCAUCCAUUGCGGGUUCGACUGGCGAAAAUUUGUUUAUUUUAUUUUUAUUUGGUUCUUUGGAGUCGCCACCUAGUAUUUUGGUCACUAGGAACCUAACUGGUCUCAGAGAUCGGGUACGGAGACUGGUUGCGUAAAGGGAAGGUAUUAGCACCCCAAAUACGCCUUACCUAAGGUAAGCUGCAUUGUUUUAAAUGUCUGAUAAAAAAACUAAAGUGUUAUUGUGUUUUCCUAGUUGUUGGUCUGUCUAUGGUUCAAGAAAAAUCCCCCUCAGUAAGGAGGUCUUUAUCUUAUCGGGUAAAAAUCCUAACCGUUCUAACGUCCAUACCAAAACUUUACUAAUAAUAUUUAGGAAUACGUUUUACGUAUAAAUUCGUAAUCCCAAAUAUUAAAAGAAAACAAAAAGAAUUUUUUAGAAUUUUUGAAAUAUUGGCCUAGUUCUCAUGGCUUGAAUAAAUUGGUUAUUAAAGCCAAAAUGCAUGUUAAUACAUAUAUUGUUUUGCAAAUUUUCUUUGUUGUGUGAAAAUAUGAUGUUAUAAUAUUUAUGAAUAUAUAUUGGAGAGACUAGGCCGUAUUUUAAAACAAAAACAAUUUUUAGAAAAUAUUAUUUUUUAUGCUUUGACGAAAAUCGGGUAUUUUAAUACUGAGCUUGUAUCCUUACGGUAAAAAUACAACCCAAUAUUAAUUCCGCUUUUAAAAAAACAAAAAUGCAGAAAAUCAAUAACAUUUUUAGGGAAUUUUUUAGAAAUUUUUUGAAAGCAAAAACAUUUUUUAUUCUGAAAAUCUUUGAUGUUUUGACGAAAACCGGUAUUUAUAACACUGGUUUUGUAUCUUUACAGUAUAAAAAUACAAACCAAAAUUAAACCAUUUGAUAAAAAUAUGCAGAAAAAUCAACAACAUUUUUAGGGACUUUUUAGAAAUUUUUUUGAAAGCAAAAACAUUUUUUAUUCUGAAAAUCUUUGAUAUUUUGACGAAAACCGGGUAUUUAUAACACUGGUUUUGUAUCUUUACAGUAUAAAAAUACAAACCAGAAUUAAAACAUUUUUGACAAAAAAUAUGCAAAAAAUCACAAUAUUUUUAAAGAUUUUUUUUUUAUAUUUUUUUUUAUAAAUAUAUUUUAUAUAUAUAUAACAUAUAUACACACAUAUAUAUAUAUAUAUAUUAUAAUAAUAUAUAAUAUAUUAUAGGGCUGGGCCGGCCCAAAUAAAUGGGCCAGGCUCAGCCCAAAAAAAAUAAUAAAAGGGGGCGGGCCGGUCUCGGCCCGCAAUGAUAUUGGGCCGGUCUCGGCCCGUAACUAAUGUGGGCCGGUCUCGGCCCGUAACUUCUACAGUCUGGGCCAAGACCGGCCCAGACUUACAAGGCUGGGCCAGCAUCGGGCUGGCCCAGUGCCUUAAAACCCAGCGGGGGGGGGAGAAUUAUUUUUCUCCCCCCCCCGCCUCCUGCAUGCAACAUGCAGGAGGCCAGGCGAAAACAAAAAAAAAAAAAUGCAAAGGGGGAGGGGGUGUGCACCUGGCGUGGAGGCGACCGUUGGGGAGCUGCGGUGUCGUGGCCUCGAGGACGGCGGCGCUGUGGUGUUGCUGCGGCGGAGAGAAAAGAUUUCCUUCCUUCCCCUCUUCUUUUCCUUCCUUUCUCUUUGUUUUCUUUUUUUUUUUUUUUUGUUUUUUCGUUUUAUUCUUUUCUCUUCUCCUCUAUCUCGCUGGUUCUAUCUCUCUCUUCGGUCUCGUCUCUCUCUUUUUUCUUCUCUCUCUCCGGUCCCUCUCUCUCCUCUCGGCCUCUCUCUAUUUAUAAGCAAAAAGGAAACGGUUAGUGCGCCUUCAAUCACGCAACGGCUGGUCGGCCACUCUUGCUUUCGGUGGUGGUGGUGGGGGCGAGGAGAGAGAGAGAGGCGGGAAGUUUUGAAAAAAGAAAAAAAAAUGGUUUCGUCUCUGUUUCCGCGGGGGGAAAGGAAGAAGACGAACAGUGUCGUUCAAAACGACACCGUUCUGUCUUCUUCUUUUUUUUUUUUUUUUUUUUAUUAUAUAUAUAUAUAUGAAACGGCGUCGUUUUGGAUAAAACGCGCCGUUUCAUUUAAACGGGUCAAACUUCAAAACAGUCCUCCAAAUCGGUCCCUGCCCCUCUUGUUGGCCGCCUUUUUCAUUUUGGUCCUUGGCAUCUGAUUUAUGCAAUUUAGCCCUCAAUUGAUUAAUAAACUUUCAAUUUCUUCAAUUAGGCCCCUGAAACGAAAAAUUAGCAGCCCCUCCAUUUACGCGCCUCUUCCAAUUUGGUCCCUGGUUUCGGAUUUUCACAAUUAAGUCCCUAAUUGGCCCUUAAACUUCAAUUUUUAUGCAAUUGAGCCCCUGAUUUGACCCAAUAAAUUCCUAAAAAAUAUAUUUUGGCCCCAGAACUUAAAUUUCUCCAAAUUAAAGCCCAAAUUGACUUAAAAAUCAAUUUUUCUUGGAAUCAAAUCUUCUAUAAAUUCAAAUAAAAAUCCAAUUAAGUCCAUAAAAAUCCAAUUAAGCCCAUAAAAAUCCAAAUUUGGGCUUUUCUCCCUAAAAUUCCAAUUUUUCUUCUCAAUAGGGCUUUCAUCCUUCAAGAAUAUACUGUCAAAAAUUCAAUCCUUGUAUUUUUAAAUUCCUUGACCAAUUUUCUGACUGUUUUCCGGGCGCUUCUGCCUCCGGUUAUUUUUCUAACCUCUUUUGGCUAUUUAUUUUAUUUUUCAGGGGGAUCCAAAAAUGGGUUACAACAUAUAUAAUAUAAUACAAUCUUUCUCUGUUAUUCUUUCCGUGUCUUCUUUUCUUCAUGGUAUCAGAGCUGGUUCAUAUCAACCAGUCUCAUAUAAUAAUUGUUUAGAUGGCUUCUCGUGGAUUGGAGAAUAUUGAAGGUUCUAUUGCUCCUUCGUCAUUCAACCAACACCUGUAUUCUGAUUUGAAUAUUCCUGAUAUGAAUUCAAAUCAACGUCUGUGUUCUGUUCAAUUGAAUGAGUUCAAUUAUCUCCCUUGGUCAAGGGCUGUGUCUUUAGCGCUUGGUGGGAGAUCAAGAAUCGAAUUUAUUGACAAAAGUAUUGCUGCUCCUGAUGUCAACUCUCCGCAGUACAAAUCAUGGUUUGCUAGUGAUUAGAUGGUUCAAUCGUGGCUGCUCAACAUUACGGAACCACACAUUGCUGAAAUCUUCAGCUAUUUUGAAUCUGCUGCAGAUUUAUGGGAUGCAGUCAAAGAAAUGUAUGGAAAUCAGAAUAAUGUUGCCCGUGUGUUUCAGCUCAAGAAAGAUAUUUCAUGCUUGCACCAGGAAGGAAAAUCAUUUGUCCAAUACCUUGGGAAUAUGAAAAACAUGUGGAAUGAAUUGGCAAUCUAUCGACCUCACACCAUAGAUGCUGCAACCUUACUGAAACGAGCUGAAGAAAAUAAAAUCUUCCAACUUUUGGCUAAUUUAUCUCAUGACUAUGAAGAUCUUCGUAGCCGUAUUCUCAUGAACUUUGAAUUACCAUCCUUUGCAAAUGUGUGUGCGACUAUUCAACGGGAGGAAACUAGAAGAAAGGUUAUGAACUUGAGCAGCAAAUCAGAUUUCUCUGAACCCGAGCCUUUGUAUCCCAUCAGAGACGUUAUGAAGAGAAAGGGUACAAGAGUAGAAGAUCUGAUUUGAAAUGUAACCAUUGCAACAAUCUUGGACACUUGGUUGAACGAUGUUGGGAUCUUCAUCCUGAACUAAAACCAAAGUUUUCAAGAGACAACAAGGGAGGACAUAAGCCUUUUCAACCAUCAAGGUAUAAAGCCAACUCUGCAAACUCUGUGACCAACCAAUCUGCAAAUGGAUUAUCAACAUUUACUUCUAGUCCAGUCGACCUCAUCAACGAAUUUGCAUCAUAUCUUCAUGCAAGGCAGAGUGCAAAACAGAGUGGAGGUGAUCUAGAGGAGAACAAAGAUUCAUCAACACUGAUUGGUCAAUUUGCAGGAUUUCUAGCUGCAAAUAAAAAUGUCUCAGCUCCGGAUUUACCAGGUAUUUUGAAUGCCUUUUCUUCUGCUCUUAUUGUAAGUAAUGUGCAUGAUUUUUGGAUCAUAGAUUCAGGUGCCACUAAUCACAUAACCAACAAAUAUAAUCAAUUGCUUGACUUUACCAAUUUUUCUCCACCAUCUCAAAUAUCCGUUGCCAAUGGUAAAUUUGCACCAGUUUUUGGGGAAGGGAAGAUUAAGUUACUCUCUCAAACAAUUGCAUCUCCAGUUUUGUAUGUUCCCUCCUUCCCGUUUAAACUACUCUCUGUUGGAAGAAUUACAACAUCACUAAAUUGUCGGGUUGUUUUCUCUCCUUACAAUGUUGUAUUUCAGGAUCUAGUCACCAGGAAGACGAUUGGUGAAGGAUUCUUCUUUCAAGGUCUCUAUUACUUUUCUAAAGAUUUUUGCAUACCCAAGAGUUUUCAAGUCACUGGUUGUUUAGCUUCAGAAUCACAGUUAUGGCAUCAGCGUUUGGCACAUCCUUCAGAGCCUAUUUUGGCAAAACUGUUUCCGAAUUUGAACAGCAAAUCAAUAAACUGUGAUGUUUGCCCUUUGUCAAAAUCUACUCGUUUACCAUUUCCUUCUCCCAUAUCGUACUCAGUUAAACCGUUUGAUUUAGUUCAUUCCGAUGUUUGGGGUCCUGUCAUUGAGUCUUUUGAUGGUUAUAAAUACUUUAUUACAUUUGUUGAUGAUUUCUCUCGAUUUACUUGGCUAUACUUGUUAAAAGCAAAAAGUGAAGUUGCCACUGCAUUUCAAGAUUUCCAUCAUUUGGUUCGUACUCAAUUCUCAUCCCAAAUCAAAAUUCUCCGAUCAGAUAAUGGCUCUGAAUAUAUGUCUAAUGUCGCACGUGUGCGGCGUCGCGGCGAAAAUAAUAUGGUUUUUCCAUUUUUCUUAAAUUUGCAAUGUAAAUAUAUCUAUAUCUAUGGCGAUACAAGAAAAUAUUGUCUUUUAUUGGUAGAAAAUGGAAUGGGAGUCGCCACCUAGUGUUUUGGUCACUAGGAACCCUAACUGGUCACAGAGAUCGGGUACGAGGACUGGUUGUGUAAAGGGAAGGUAUUAGCACACCAAAUACGCCUUACCUAAGGUAAGUCUGAUAAAAACUAAGGUAUUAUUGUACUUCUAAUUGUUGAUCUGUCUAUGGUUCAAGAAAAAUCCUCCUCGGUAAGAAGGUCUUUACCUUAUCGGGUAAGAAGGUCUUUACCUUAUCGGGUAAAAUCCUAACCGUUCUAACGUCUGUACCAAAACUUUAUUAACAAUAUUUAGGAAUACGUUUUACGUAUAAAUUCGUAAUCCCAAAUACUAAAAGAAAGAAAAAAAAACAAAAAAACAAAAAAAAAAAAUUUAGAAUUUUUGAAAUAUUGGCCUAGUUCUCAUGGCUUGAAUAAACUGGUUAUUAAAGCCAAAAUGCAUGCUAAUACAUAUAUUGUUUUGAAAAUUCCUUUUGUUGUGUGAAAAUAUGAUAUGAUAUUUAUAUAUAUUGGAGAGACUAGGCCGUAUUUUAAAACAAAAACAUUUUUUGGAAAAUUAUUUUUUUUUGAUGUUUUAACAAAAAUCGAGUAUUUUAAUAUUGGGUUUGUAUUCUUACUGUCGCACGUGUGCGGCGUCGCGGUGAAAAACUAAGUUUUUUCCAUUUUUAAAUCGACGAAGUAAUAUAUAUAUGGAGAUACGAAAAAUAUUAUUUUUCAUUGGUAAAAAUGGAGUGGGAGUCGCCACCUAGUAUUUUGGUCACUAGGAACCCUAACUGGUCUCAGAGAUUGGGUACGGGGACUGGUUGCGUAAAGGGAAGGUAUUAGCACCCCAAAUACGCCUUACCUAAGGUAAGCUGCAUUGUUUUAUUGUCUGAUAAAAACUAAGGUGUUAUUGUACAUUCUAGUCGUUGGUCUGUCUAUGGUUCAAGAAAAAUCCUCCUCAGUAAGAAGGUCUUUUAUCUUAUCGGGUAAAAUCUUAACCGUUCUAACGUCUAUACCAAAAUAAUAAUAUUUAGGAAUACGUUUUACGUAUAAAUUCGUAAUCCCAAAUACUAAAAAGAAAACAAAAAGAUUUUUUGAAUUUUUGAAAUAUUGGCCUAGUUCUCAUGGCUUAAAUAAACUGGUUAUUAAAGCCAAAAUGCAUGCUAAUACAUAUAUUGUUUUGAAAAUUUUAUUUGUUGUGUAAAAAAAAUAUGAUGUUAUGAUAUUUAUAUCUAUAUAUAUUGGAGAGACUAAGCCGUAUUUUAAAACAAAAACAAUUUUUUGAAAAUAUUAUUAUUAUUAAUUUGUUUUGCUUUUUGACGUGAAUCAGGUAUUUAAAUACUGAGCUUGUAUCCUUACGGUAUAAAAAUUCAACCCAAUAUUAUUCCACCUUAAUAAAAAUAUGCAGAAAAAUCAACAACAUUUUUAGGUAUUUUUUAGAAAAAUUUUUUGAAAGCAAAAACAUUUUUUAUUCGGAAAAUCUUUGAUAUUUUUAGGAAAAUCGGGUAUUUUUAACACUGGUUUUGUAUCUUUACAGUAUAAAAAUACCAACCAACAUUAACCCAUUUUGACAAAAAAAUAUUCAGGGAAAUCAACAAUAUUUUUCAAGAUUUUUUCGAAAUAUUUUUUUUUAGUAAAAAUAUAUAUACACAAUAUACACACAUAUAUAUUACCAAAUACUAUAAUUCAUAAUAUAUAUAUAAUAAAAAUUCGGGUUGGGCCGGCCCAAAUGAAUGGGCCGAACCCAACCCAGCUGGAAUCGGGCCGAUCUCGGCCCGCAAGGAGGAUGGGCCGAUCUCGGCCCAACAAAUGCUGGGCCGAUCUCGGCCCGCAAGGAGGUUGGGCCGAUCUCGGCCCGCAAGGAGGUUGGGCCGAUCUCGGCCCAACAAAAACUCUUUAGACUGGGCCAGACUCGGUCUGGCCCAAAAUAAAUAAUAACAAAACUGGGCCGGAAACCCGGCCCAGUGUAAAAAAAAACCCACGGGGAAGGGAAAAUAAUUCCCUUCCCCUACCUCCUGCAUGCAGAACGAUUCUGCAUGCAGGAGGAUAACAAAUAUAAACAAAAUGAAAACGCAGAGGGGGAAGAAGAAUACCUGGCACGACGGAGGUGAUGUUGCUGGUCGACGGUGCUGCAGCGGAGGUCGGCAGCUCACAACGACGGUUCCCAACAGUCCGGUGUCUCUCGGGUCGUGCUUGGUUUUUUUUCUUUCCACUAAGCUUUCCCAACGGCUUCAGUCUUCUUACCCCUUCUCCCAGCUUCGUUUCCUUGAAUUUUAUGUGUUUAUUACUUUAGUCCACUGUUUCUCUCUCCUUCAGUCUCUCUCUCUCGUGGUCUCGGUUAUUUUCCUUCUCUUUUCUCCCCCGUGCUUCCAGUCUCCUCCUUUCUUUUAUAGGCGAGCAACGGAGCGGGGCUGCAUGGGCAGCGUGGGGAGCAGAACAACGUGGGUUGAGCUGGGCAACGUGGGGAGCAGCACAGCGCCGGUCGGCUGGUCGGUGAGCGUGGUCGAUCACGGCGUGGCCCUCCUGGCUUCGCGUCGUCCGAGGUGCAUGGGCCUGGUCUGUCAGUGCACGCGAGGAGAGAGGGGCACCGGCUGAUUAAACAAAGGUUUCGUCCAUGCUGCUGCACGUUCGGGGAGGAAGAAGAAAGGGGAACAGUGCCGUUCAAAACGGCACCGUUCGGUCCUCUUUUUUUUUUUUUUUUUUUUUUUUAUUUUUUUAUAUAUAUGAAACGGCGUCGUUUUGGGGAAAACGCGCCGUUUCAUUUAAAAAAAGGCGCCAGAAUACGCAAAAUUUCAACUCAGCCCUCAAUUAUCUUUUGAUUCUUUCAAUUGCGUCCCUGCCAAUUUCGGUCCUCGCCCCCAUAGUUGGCCGCGUUUUUCAUCUUGGUCCUUGGCCUCUGAUUUAUGCAAUUAAGCCCUCAAUUGAUCAAUAAACUUCCAAUUUCUUCAAUUACGCCCCUGGAUCAAAUCAAGACAGCCCCCUCUAUUUACCCGCGUGUUCCAAAUUGGUCCCUGGUUUCGGAUUUUCACAAUUAACCCCUAAUUGGCCAUUAAACUUCAAUAUUUAUGCAAUUAAGCCCCUGAUUUGGCCUAAUAAAUUCCAAAAAAAUAUAUUUUGGCCCCAGAACUUAAAUUUCUUCCAAUUAAAGCCCAAAUUGACUUAAAAAUCAAUUUUUUCUUGCACUCCAAUCCUCUAUAAAUUCAAAUAAAAUCCAAUUAAGUCCGUAAACAUCCAAAUUUGGGCUUUUCUCCUCAAAAAUUCAAAUUUUCCUUCUCAACAGGGCUCUCAUCCUUCAAGAAAUACUGCCAAAAAUCCAAUCUCUGUAUUUUUUAACCUCCUUGACCAAUCUUUCGACCAUUUUCUGAGCGCUUAUGCCUCCUGUUAUUUUUCUAACCUUCUUCGGCUAUUUAUUUAUUAUCAUUUUUAUUUUUUGUGGGGACCCAAAAAUGGUUACAACACUUACGGUAAAAAAUAUGACCCAAUAUUAAUCCACCUUAAUAAAAAUAUGCAGAAAAAAUCAACAACAUUUUUUAGAGAUUUUUUUAGAAUUUUUAUGAAAGCAAAACAUUUUUUAUUCUAAAAAUCUUUGAUGUUUUAACGAAAACCGGGUAUAUUAAUACUGGAUUUGUAUCUUUACGGUAUAAAAAUACAAACCAACAUUAAACACUUUUGACCAAAAUAUGCAGGAAAAUCAACAAUAUUUUUAAAGAUUUUUUAGAAUAUAUAUAUAUUUUUUUAUAAUAUAUAUACACACAUAUAUCAUAUAAUAUAUAAUAAUAUAUAAUAUAAUAUAUUAAGUGGGCGGGCCGGCCCAAAUAAAUGGGCCGGACAACCCAGAAGAAAAAAAAGUUGGCCGACCUCGGCCCAAAAUAAAACUGGGCCGAUCUCGGUCCAACUAAAAAUCACUCCUUAGUCUGGGCCUGACCCGGCCCAGAUCGCAGGGCUGGGCCAGAACCAUUCUGGCCCACCCCAAAAAUAUUUCUGGGCCAGAACCCGUCUGGCCCAGAGAAGAAAAAACAACGCUGGGCCAGCAUCAGCCUGGCCCAGCAAACUGAAUGGGGGGAGGGAAUUAUUUUCCCUCCCCACCUCCUGCAUGCAGAAACGAUUCUGCAUGCAGGAGGAAAUCUUAGGCAGCGAAAGAAAAAAAAUGCAGGGGGAUGGAAUGUACCUGGCGAGGAGGAGGCGGUUGCUGGUGGCGCUGCGUGACGUGGCUCACGAACGGUGGCUCCGGGCAGUGCUGCGGCUGUUCGAACGGUGGAGGGUGCGGUUGUUGCUCUUCCCUUUCUCCUCCGUAUGGCUUCCUCUUUUUCGGUGGUUUCCUCCCUCUCAGUACAGUUUGCUAGCGUUGUUUGUUGUUCGGUUCUUUCCCUCCUUUUACUCUCUCUGGUUCGUUCUCCUCUUCCCUCUCUCUCUACCCUUCAAUCUUUCCUCUCUUUUUCUUUUUUUUUCCCUCUGCCUCUGCUUCUCUUUUUCGUCCCUUUUUCCUUCGGGUCACCUACUUUUAUAGGGGGAGAAGGAGCCUUGGGAGCGGACCAAUGCGGAGGCUGGUCGGCCAUUGGGCGCGACUGCCAAGGCGCAGCUCCCUUGAUUCCGGUGUGGUGCGCGGCGGGUGGUCGGCCAGUGUCUUCGGUCGGUGGUCCAACGGCGUGUGGGCUUCGGUCUGGUCGGUAGGAGAGGGGGACAUGCACCAUUAAAAAAACUUUCUUUUUCCUUCUUCCCCGUUGCCUAUUCGGGGGGGGAAGAAGAAAGGGGAACAGUGCCGUUCAAAACGGCACCGUUCGGUCUUCUCUUUUCUUUUCUUUUUUAUGUAUGAAACGGCGUCGUUUUGGAGAAAACGCGGCGUUUCAUUUAAAAAAAAGGCGCCAGAAAUAUGUUUUUUUCAAAUCAGUCCUUAAUUUAUCCUUUGUUCUAUUAAGUCCUCAAAUCUAAUCCUGAUUUUAAGAAUAAAAUUCAAUUGCAUCCCCGCUAAUUUCGGCCUCCACCCCUCAAGUUGGCCGCGUUUUCUAUUCUAAUCCUUGGCCUCUGUUUUGUUCAAUCAAGCCCUCAAUUGAUUAAUAAACUUCCAAUUUCUUCAAUUAGGCCCCUGAACCGAAUAAUUGCAGCCCUCCAUUUACGCGACUCUUCCAAUUUGGUCCCUGGUUUCGGAUUUUCUUAAUUAAGUCCCUAAUUGGCCAUUAAACUUCAAUAUUUAUGCAAUUAAGCCCCUGAUUUGGCCUAAUAAAUUCCAAAAAAAUAUAUUUUGGCCCCAAAACUUAAAUUUCUUCCAAUUAAAGCCCAAAUUGACUUAAAAAUCAAUUUUUUCUUGCACUCCAAUCCUCUAUAAAUUCAAAUAAAAUCCAAUUAAGUCCGUAAACAUCCAAAUUUGGGCUUUUCUCCUCAAAAAUUCAAAUUCUCCUUCUCAACAGGGCUCUCAUCCUUCAAGAUAAUACUGCCAAAAAUCCAAUAUCUGUAUUUUUUUUUAACCUCCUUGACCAAUCUUUCGACCAUUUUCUGAGUGCUUAUACCUCCUGUUAUUUUUCUAACCUUCUUCGGCUAUUUAUUUAUUAUCAUUUUUAUUUUUUGUGGGGACCCAAAAAUGGGUUACAACACUUACGGUAUAAAAAUAUGACCCAAUAUUAAUCCACCUUAAUAAAAAUAUGCAGAAAAAUCAACAAUUUUUAGAGAUUUUUUUAGAAUUUUUAUGAAAGCAAAACAUUUUUUAUUCUAAAAAUCUUUGAUGUUUUAACGAAAACCGGGUAUAUUAAUACUGGAUUUGUAUCUUUACGGUAUAAAAAUAUAAACCAACAUUAAACACUUUUGACCAAAAUAUGCAGGAAAAUCAACAAUAUUUUUAAAGAUUUUUUAGAAUAUAUAUAUAUUUUUUUAUAAUAUAUAUACACACAUAUAUCAUAUAAUAUAUAAUAAUAUAUAAUAUAAUAUAUUAAGUGGGCGGGCCGGCCCAAAUAAAUGGGCCGGACAACCCAGAAGAAAAAAAGUUGGGCCGACCUCGGCCCAAAAUAAAACUGGGCCGAUCUCGGUCCAACUAAAAAUCACUCCUUAGUCUGGGCCUGACCCGGCCCAGAUCGCAGGGCUGGGCCAGAACCAUUCUGGCCCACCCCAAAAAAAAUUCUGGGCCAGAACCCGCCUGGCCCAGAGAAGAAAAACCAACGCUGGGCCAGCAUCAGCCUGGCCCAGCGAACUGAAUGGGGGGGAGGGAAUUAUUUUCCCUCCCCACCUCCUGCAUGCAGAAACGAUUCUGCAUGCAGGAGGAAAUCUUAGGCAGCGAAAGAAAAAAAAUGCAGGGGGAUGGAAUGUACCUGGCGAGGAGGAGGCGGUUGCUGGUGGCGCUGCGGUGACGUGGCUCACGAACGGUGGCUCCGGGCAGUGCUGCGGCUGUUCGAACGGUGGAGGGUGCGGUUGUUGCUCUUCCCUUUCUCCUCCGUAUGGCUUCCUCUGUUUUUCGGUGGUUUCCUCCCUCUCAGUACAGGUUUGCUAGCGUUGUUUGUUUGUUCGGUUCUUUCCCUCCUUUUACUCUCUCUGGUUCGUUCUCUCUCUUCCCUCUCUCUCUACCCUUCAAUCUUUCCUCUCUUUUUUCUUUCUUUUUUUUCCCUCUGCCUCUGCUUCUCUUUUUUCGUCCCUUUUUCCUUCGGGUCACCUACUUUUAUAGGGGGAGAAGGAGCCUUGGGAGCGGACCAAUGCGGAGGCUGGUCGGCCAUUGGGCGCGACUACCAAGGCGCAGCUCCCUUGAUUCCGGUGUGGUGCGCGGCGGGUGGUCGGCCAGUGUCUUCGGUCGGUGGUCCAACGGCGUGUGGGCUUCGGUCUGGUCGGUAGGAGAGGGGGACAUGCACCAUUAAAAAAACUUUCUUUUUCCUUCUUCCCCGUUGCCUAUUCGGGGGGGGAAGAAGAAAGGGGAACAGUGCCGUUCAAAACGGCACCGUUCGGUCUUCUCUUUUCUUUUCUUUUUUAUGUAUGAAACGACGUCGUUUUGGAGAAAACGCGGCGUUUCAUUUAAAAAAAAGGCGCCAGAAAUAUGUUUUUUUCAAAUCAGUCCUUAAUUUAUCCUUUGUUCUAUUAAGUCCUCAAAUCUAAUCCUGAUUUUAAGAAUAAAAUUCAAUUGCAUCCCCGCUAAUUUCGGCCUCCACCCCUCAAGUUGGCCGCGUUUUCUAUUCUAAUCCUUGGCCUCUGUUUUGUUCAAUCAAGCCCUCAAUUGAUUAAUAAACUUCCAAUUUCUUCAAUUAGGCCCCUGAACCGAAUAAUUGCAGCCCUCCAUUUACGCGACUCUUCCAAUUUGGUCCCUGGUUUCGGAUUUUCUUAAUUAAGUCCCUAAUUGGCCAUUAAACUUCAAUAUUUAUGCAAUUAAGCCCCUGAUUUGGCCUAAUAAAUUCCAAAAAAAUAUAUUUUGGCCCCAAAACUUAAAUUUCUUCCAAUUAAAGCCCAAAUUGACUUAAAAAUCAAUUUUUCUUGCAAUCAAAACCCCUAUAAAAUCAAUUAAAAAUCCAAUUAAGUCCAUAAACAUCCAAAUUUGGGUUUUUCUCCUCAAAAUUCAAAAUUUCUUAUCCAUCAGGGCUCUCAUCAUCCAAGAAUAUACUGUCAAAAAUCCAAUCUUGGUAUUUUUUAACCUCCUUGACCAAUCUUCCGACCAUUUUCCGUGCGCUUCUGCCUCUUGUUAUUUUUCUAACCUUCUUUGGCUAUUUAUUUUAUUUUUUUGUGGGGACCCAAAAAUGGGUUACAACAUCUAAUAUCAUGAUAUAAUACUUGAGCAUGCAUGGCAUUAUUCACCAAACUAGUUGUGUUCAUACUCCACAACAAAACGGGAUAGCAGAGCGAAAGAACCGAGACUUACUAGAGAAAACGAGAUCACUGAUGUUUCAAAUGCAUGUGCCCAAAAUAUUGGUCUCAAGGAGUACUCACAGCUGCCUACCUUAUAAACAGAUUGCCUAGUAAAAUUCUAAUGUUUAAUUCUCCAGCUGAGUCAUUGACAGGGAAGAAGCCAUCUCUAUCACAUCUUAAAGUCUUUGGAUGCUCUUGUUAUGUGCACAUUCCAUCUUCUCAGCGUGACAAAUUGGAUCACAGAGCAGUCAAAUGUAUGUUCUUGGGCUAUUCUCCAACACAGAAGGGAUAUAAGUGCUACAAUUCCACUACUCAUAAACUUGUUGUUACCAGGGAUGUUCGGUUUGAUGAACACACAUCUUAUUUCUCUUCCAGUGAGAACUUCAAUCAGGAGGAGUCUUCAUCAGCCUUAUUUCCAUUGCCAACUCCAGUAGUUGAGGCCUAUUGCCCAGAACAAUCUCACUAUAAUGCAGGAAUGGACAUCCAUACUGAUCCUAUUUCAGUAGCAACAGAGGGGGCUGAUCUGCAAGUUGAACAUCAGGAGCACCUUCAUCCCUCCUCCAGGCGUAAUCCUAUUCGUAACCGUAAACCAUCAUCUAGGCUUCAUGAUUAUGUGACGUAUACAGUGAAGCAUCCUGUCACCAAUGCUCUAGCUUAUCAUCGAUCGUCUUCAUCUUUUGGAGCUUAUCUCAGCACAAUCACCAAAGCAACAGAACCAUGCAGUUUUAAUGAAGCCUGUCAUCAAACCGUUUGGCAGAAGGCUAUGCACGAGGAGCUUCAAGCUUUGGAUGCCAAUCACACUUGGAGUAUUGUGUCACUUCCAAAGAAUAAAAAGGUUGUUGGUAGUCGUUGGGUAUACAAGAUCAAAUUCAAGACAGAUGGUUCCAUUGCACGACAUAAAGCCAGAUUAGUCGCUCAAGGCUUCACUCAAACCCUAUGGCAUAGACUACAAGGAAACUUUUGCACCAGUUGCAAAAAUGAACACCAUUCACACUCUGCUCUCAGUUGCUAUAAAUUAUGGCUGGUUUUUUAUCUCAAAUGGAUGUCAAGAAUGCUUUUUUACACGGCGACCUCCAAGAAGAAGUGUAUAUGAAGUUACCACCCGGCCAUCCUCAGAGUAAUGAUCCCAAGCUGGUCUGCAAAUUGCAUAAAUCUAUCUAUGGCUUGAAACAAUCUCCCCGUGCUUGGUAUGCUAAGUUGAGCACUGUUCUUACUGACCUUGGGUUUACCAGAAGCAAUGCUGACCACUCACUAUUUGUUCGUAUCAAGGCUAAUGAAAGGUUGGUGGUUCUAAUUUAUGUUGAUGACCUUAUUGUUACCGGUAAUAAUCAUGCAGCUAUUGCCACUCUUAAGAGCAUUCUUCAUCAGCGAUUUGCUAUUAAGGAUCUUGGUGUUCUUAAAUAUUUUCUUGGCAUAGAGAUGGCUACUUCUCAUAAAGGAUUGUUUUUGAAUCAAUCCAAAUAUGUGUUGGACUUGUUGCGUGAAGCUGACAUGCUUGACUGCAAACCUGCAAAGACACCUCUGGAUAGCAAACUUCAGCUGACUUUGAAUGGGGACCUUUUUUAUCAACCUCAGCUUUAUCAGAAAUUGGUGGGCAAGCUUAUCUAUCUUACCAUCACCCGGCCUGAUCUGAGUCAUUCGGUUAGUAUUGUCAGUCAAUUCAUGCACUCACCUACAGCUCAUAUGAUGAUGUCAAACGAAUUCUUCGAUAUCUCAAGGCACUAUUGGACGUGGAAUUCUUAUGCAAAACCAUGGUCACACACAGAUACUUGGUUACACUGACGCAGAUUGGCCAGGAAAUACUCUUGAUCGCAAAUCUACUACGGGGUAUUGUAUCUUUGUUGGAGGAAAUCUAGUUUCAUGGAAAAGUAAGAAACAAUCAGUCGUUGCCCGUUCCAGCGCUGAAGCCGAAUAUCGCUCCAUGGCUUCCACUGCAUCUGAUCUUAUAUGGCUGAAAGCUUUGUUAACUGAUUUAGGUGUUUUUCACCCUCAACCUAUGUCCCUUUGCUGUGAUAAUCAAGUUGCAAUGCAUAUUGCUUCCAAUCCAGUAUUUCAUGAACGAACCAAACAUAUCGAAGUUGAUUGCCAUUAUAUUAGGGAGCAGGUUCAGUCACAGCUGAUUGUUACUCAAUAUACUAGGAGCGAGGAUCAACUUGCAGACUUAUUCACCAAAGCCUUGUCCUCUGCCCGUUUUCAAUUGCUGCUUUCCAAGCUGGGAUCAAUCAAUCUUCUUGAUCCAGCUUGAGGGGGAAUAUUGGCAGAUAUAUGUAUAUGAUCUGAUACGAUCCUUCUUUCCUUUUCUGUCAUGAUUCUUAUUCCUUUUAUGAGUUGAUUCCAGUAUUAUUCUUAGGAGAAAUAUCAGGAAUGUAGCUAGAAAUAUUCUUGUAAUCAAUGCACUUUGUGUAUAUAUAUGUGAUGGACUGUAAUACAGAAGAUACAAUAUAAUACAAUCUUUCUCUGUUAUUCUUUCCGUGUCUUCUUUUCUUCAAUUCCUUGAUCACAUGUACCAUCCCAUUUAUAGCAGCACAAUGAAGAGAAGUUCUACCAUCACUGCUUUUAAGCCUGCCAAGCUCGCUGUUAACCAUCAAUAGCUCUCUCACUAUCUCCAAAAACCCAUUUGCAGAAGCUAUGUGUAUUGGGCUAAACCCAUCUGGGUUGAGCCUUGUAGCUAAAUCUAUUUUCUUCUUCAGUAGCUCCUUCACGAAUUCUGUUCGUCCGGCUAAGCAGGAAAUAUGUAGGAUUGUCUCGGAGGAGUCAUGGAGACAACUUCUUUCUAGAAGGUAAUCGUUUACUCCGAGCAGCUCCUGUAGUUCAAUGACAUCUCCUCUCCGUGCUGCCUCCAACAAUCUUGGAUCCAUGUUAUUGAUGGAAAUAAUCGCAAACUGAGCAAAGUUAUUAAUGACUCGUGAAAAAUACCAAACAAAAAUUUAUAGAAAUGUACCUGUGAAAAAAAUGUUGUUCAAAGUUAUAAGACUAGAAUAGUGAGAAUAGAGAAGUAUAAUUUAUAUACAUGCAUUAUAAUAUCAUCAUUAUAAGAUUGCAAUUAAAGACAAUAUACAACUUUCAUAUUAAGCAUGUAAUUAAAUAAAAACAUGUAUAGGAUAUUUACUUGUAGAAAUACUUAAAAAAAUAUUUAUCUAAAAAUUUAUUGUUGUGAAUGAUUUUGUAUUGAAGAUUUUAUUACUUUCUACUAAAUACAAAAAAGUUAAUUUUAAUAAGUUUCUUAGGAUUUCAAUAAAAAUUAUAUUGUUUAAAUACACUCCUAAAUAAAAUCAAACGAACUCAAGAAUUGUAUUCAAAUAUCUCUCAUUGAAUCUAAGCUUUUGUGUAGAAAAAAAGACUAAAAAAUAACACAAAGCUUAAAACCGAGUAAAUUAUGCUAAAAAUUAAGGUGAGAGAGUAUUAAAAAAUUUACAAUUAUUUUUCUGAACACUGUCCAGAAAAAAUCAGUAAAAAACAUUAUUCUUCACUCCAUUUUUACUAAGGAUUUUUAAACGAAAAUUUAUAUAGAGUUAAUUUUAAUAAUUACCAUAAUAAUUUUUCAAAUUUGUUUUAAUUAAUGUAAGUGUCUGGAUCAGUUUAUGUAUACCUUGACUAAUUCUAAGGGUCUUGAAGUUAAUAACCAUGUAAGCCACUAGUGGUCCUGAGGGGACUCGAACUCAUGACCAUUAGAAAGCAAACCCAAGAUCUAACCAGUUGAACUAACUCUCAGGACUCAUAAUAAUUUCUCAAAAUUGAUUUUUAGAGUCAAUGUGGAGUCAUUUUUAUUGACUUGAAUUAUAAUAAACAUUUCUUAAUUAGCUAGCAUGGACUCUGAGUCAACAGUCAUUUUUAAAUUCUCAUACUUAGUGUUAGAAAAUAAUAUAAAUAAUAUCUUGGGACCUCACCUAACAACUUAAAUUUUUAGGUUGAGAUGGUUCUUUGACAUGGUAUCAAAACUUUAAUGACCAAAUGCUCACGAGUUCGACUCUCACCACCCCUAUAUAUUUGAUAAAAAUCAAACAUAAGGUAAUAUGAGCCUGUGCAAGUUUCAAGCUCAAAGGGCUUUUAUUUGAGAGGGUGUGUUAAAGAAUAAUAUAAAUCAUAUCUUUGGACCUUACCUAAUAGUUUAAGCUUUUAGGUUGAGAUAAUUUUUUGACGCCUCCUUUUAUAGGCCAAAAUUUGAAACUAUUGAUUUGAUGAAUAAUUGUUGAGUGGGUAGCCACAUCUUGACUUGGUGAAAAUCCUUAUCUUUUUGUCUGAAUAAAACAUCAUUGCUAACAUCAGAACUAGAACCAUAUGAAAUCAUGAAAGUUCUAGCAAAUUCUCUUAGCUUUCCAGGAAAAAAAAGUUGAGGUCAUUUGGACUUCUAGAACUCAAGAUAUGGGUUGAACACUUAAUAGUAUCCGGGCUGCAGGACAGAUUCAGACUUCUCCGUUGUUGCUAUAAUUUGGACUUGAAAACGGCCUUGUUAGAUCCUAGCCUCCCAUGAAAGUUGUAGGCCUAUGUCUUACCAAAUCUGUGUAAACAUUUGAGGUCAUUUGGACAUCUAGAACUCGAGAUAUGACCCAAUUACCAAACAGUGUUCCAGUUUGGACUGCACCAACAUCUCUUUUUUAAGCUUCAUCCUCUCUUUAUCUUCACAAAUUUCAAUAGUUGAAUUCAUCAAUCAAUCCUUUGAUUUAUGUGAUAUGCCUGCAUUUAAGAUGAACAUUUACCAUAUAUUAAGGUAUCUUAUAGUAUUAGACUUGUUAUUAUAAAACAUGCUUUAGUUAAGGAGUUAUUGAUACUUCAAGUACAAAAUAAUGAUAUAAAACAUUGAUAAACAUGCACUUUUAAGUACUAAUCACCAAGAAAAACAAACCCACACUAAAUCAGAAAUUAAGCAGACCAAGCUGAAAUGCAUUCAUGAUUUCUGUACAGAUCAGCAGCGGUAUACCAAAAGGAAGAGUUGAGAUUCCUGAUCCAACCUGCAACAAAGUAAAACAAAAGCCAUAUGAUAUCUUUCCAUAUUGGCUUUUGUUCCUCAAAUAUAAAGUUGUUCCUAGCAUUCCAUAUAGUCUAGACAAUGCUAAACAUAAAGCCCCCCAAACAGAUCUUUCAAACUUACAGUGGUUGCCCUGCAAAAGACCCAGCCAUUGACAUUGAAGGUCGUCAAGGCCAUACGGCAUUACCCAGCUCAGUCCUCUCCAAGCUACAAUUUUGUUCUAUAGUUUCCAAACCACUAGGCAAUGCAAGAGGAUGUGGGAUACAGUUUCUGAAUGUUGCUCAUAAAAGGACACCUGUGCUCUUGAAGGCUUAGAACGUACCUCUUCACCAUGAAGGCUUUUGUCAAAGGCCCUCAUUUAAGGCCAGCCAUAAAGUCUUUUUUUUUUUUUAGGGAAAAUGGAUUUCCAUACAUUUGUGACAUAAGUUGUAGAACUAGCAUACAUGAUCCUUUCAAGGGCAAGCAUACAAGAGUCUACAGUAUAGUCUCCGACUUUCCCCCAUUCCCAAAUUAACCUGUCUUCUUUCAAUCGAUGAAUAGCUGUAAGAUUAAGAUCAGACAUUAAUCUUUGAAUCAUCAAGGUCUCACUAGCUUUGAGGGGUCUUCUCCAUUUCAGAUUCCAAUACCAAGUAUCCUCUAACCAGUAUCCCAUCUGACUAACAAACCCUAAUUUGGAGGAGGAUAGUUGGAAGAGGGUUGGAUAAGAGUUAGCUAAGCAGAAGCCAGUCAACCAAGUAUCUAACCAAAAUUUAACAUGAUUACCAUUACCCAUUUUAAGUUUACAACCAGCUUGAAUAAGAGAAUUAUCAAGAUCCGAGCUAGUAAUAGUAGAGCUGAUUCCUCGCCAAAUCCCUAAAAGUUUUUUAUUGAAUGUGGGCUUCCCACUUAUGAAUUGAGGUCUGUAUUUUGCCUUAAUGAAAUCUACCCAACUAGCUUUAUCAUUGCUUCCCAAUUUCCAAAUCCACUUGAAGAGGAGAGCUUCUUUUUUUGCUGAUAUAUUCCCAACACCUAAACCACCCCUGUCUUUUUCUUUGCCACUGUAUCCCAAGCAAGCCGAUGAAUUUCCCUAUUAUCAACACUCCCACCCCACAAAAAUUAAGACUGCAUGGCUGUGAUUUUGCGUGCCACUGUCUUUGAAAUGUUGAAGAUGGACAUGUAAUACAGAGAAAUGAUAAAGAUUACACUUUUAAUCAAUAUUCUUCUCCCUGCUAGUGAUAAUAACCAACCCUUCCAAGAGUUGAGCCAUCCUCUAAUAUGAGAGAGAACAGUGGCAAAAGAAAAGAUGCCAUGGCCAUGUAGAGAAUCAGUCAAGUUUUGUCUUUGAUACGUUACUCACUCAAAUAUAUAUUAAUUAUCUGCCUUCUUUUUUUUAUAUCAUAAAAAGAAACCUUUCACUAAAAGAUCUUGAAGUUGAUGACAAAGAAGAUUUAACCAUACAUUGACUAAAUUAAACUAAAUUAAAAUAUGAGAAAGAUAUUUUGUAAUAAACUUUAAACCAAGAUUCCUAUAAUAUUCACAUUGUUAAUCGGUUUGACUUAAUCGAAUACAAAUGCACAUUGUUAAUUGGUUUGACUUAAUCGAAUGCAAAUUCCACGCAUGUUUUUAAGAUUCACUAUAUAUAUAUAUAUAUAUAUAUAUAUAUAUAAUCAUAGGAAAAAAGGAUGCUACCUGGUGCAUGCAUGAUGUUAUAUUUAAUGAUGUUUUUAAAAUAUUUUUUAUUUAAAAAUAUAUUAAAAUAAUAUUUUUAAAAUCAACCCAUUAAAAUUAUUUAAAAAUAUUAAAAAAUUAUUAAUUUAAUUUAUUUUUAAAAAAUAUAUAAAAAUAAAAACAAUUUUUUUCGUAUGAUUAGAAUUACCAAAGAUAAUUUGGCUUUGAACACAUGUUUGAAAAGUAUAACAAAAAUUAUUUUUUAAAGUAUUUUUUAUUUAGAAAUAUAUAUAAAAACAAUAUAUUAUUAUUAUUAUUAAAAUAAUUUUUUUUAUUUUUUAAAAUUUAAUUUUGAUAUUAGUAUAUUACAAUAAUUAAAAAUAUUAAAUAUAAUUUUAUUUUCAAACUAAAAAAAUUAAUUUUCUUUUAAAAAAAACAUGUUUCACGCAUCCAAGAAUUGAAUAUAAGUAGAUUGUGGUCCAGCUCUAACCAUAAAAAAAAAAAAAAAAAAAAAGGAGUGACGGCAGAAAAGAUGCAAGUGGGGCAGAGAAAUUGACUUCGACGGUGCAGCUUGAUUUUUGCAAAUUUUCAAAUUUUUUUUUUUACUAAAAUUAAGUUUGGUUUGUAUUUUUUGUAUCGUUUUGAUGUGCUGAUAUCAAAAAUGAUUUUUAAAAAAUAAAAAAAUAUUAUUUACAUGCUUUUCGACAUGAAAAGCAACCGCUACCACACUCUCAAACACCCUCGAAGACAAGCUAGGACAAUCACAAUGAGAAAUUGACUUGAAGUAAAACAAGGACAAUCAUAAUGGGUAUGUUUAUGUUAAAUAAUAUUUUUUUUUAAUAAAAAUAUUAAAAUUAAUUUUUUUUAUUUUAAAAAAAAUUAUUUUUAAUAUUAAUAUAUUAAAAUAAUUUAAAAUAUAUAAUAUAAAAAAAUUAAUUUUUAAAAUAUAAAAAUAAACAAAACCAAAACAAUUCAAGCUACUUAAAAAAUUUAGUAAAAAAAAAAUACUCAUAAUAUAAAUAACCACAGCCACAUUAUUCGAAUUUAAAAUAUAAAAGAAACAAAUAUUUUAAUGCUAAACUACUACUAAUAGGCUACCUACUGUAUGAUUACAAGUACAUAUUAUUUGAUAACUCCGAUUACCGUUAGUUACUGUAGAAUGAAGAAUGGUGUUCUCGUCUGGAGUCGAUAACUGAUCAAGGCAGGUUUGAUCAUUCUCAAAGCGAUCGAUAUCGCCUGCUUCUGCAGCUUUGAACAAGACAGGAUCCAUAUAGGUCGUCAUACUAUUUUGUAGCUUAGAGAAACUCACUAAAUGAAAUCUAAACAAAUGAAGGUAAGAGGUUCCACUCCUCAACUGAUCACAAGCUGCUGAUUUCUGUGGUCUGCUACAAGCGUGUUAGAUAUUGUUUUUUUUUUUUUAAAUAUUUUUUAUUUAAAAAUGAUUUUUAAUAUAUAUUAUUUAAAAAUAUUUAAAAAAUUAAUUUAAAAUCAAUUUUUUUUUUUUACGUUUUGAGCAGAAACACGAAUUAUAGUGUUUGGUUUUUUUAAAAAAAGAAGCUUAGUUUUUAAUUGUGGGGGCACACCAAAAUAUCAUUUAAUUUCAAAAUAAAAAAAAUAAAAAUUUGAAAAACAUCUUGGACUUGAAGAUAAGGAGAUUGUGGUACAGCUCUAACCAGAAGAAAAACGAGUGAAGACAGAAAAGAUGCAAGUGGGGAAGAGAAAUUGACCUCGAGGAAGACAAGGAGAUUGUGGUACUGAGUAUGUUCAUGUUCAAGAACUUCUGCAAUACACGAAGAAAAAAGGCUAAAUAAAUAUAUAAAAAUCAAAUAAGAUGUGGCACUGAAAACCUCAAUUUUUGCACUCAUUGUAGAUCAUCAUGCAAUUAUUCUCGCCCUUUCUUUCCUCAACAGACCACAUAUGGAUCUGGGAUGGUUUCUUUGAGCUUGGAACCACCUCAGGUCCUCAACUGCCAUCUCUUAAAAUGCCAUUGUGUGCUUAAAAUGUCUUUUGCCCUGCUACAAAGUUCUGCUUUACAAAAUGGAACCGAUAACAACAAAUUUUUGCUUUGUCCUUGAAAGAAAUAGAAUUUUAUUUGUUCUUCUUCAAUCAUCUAUACAAUCACUGAAUAUUUUUCGUAAUUUGGUGUAGUUACUAAUUUGAAGUCGGAGUAAAAAUGUAUUGAUGGUCAAAAAAUCAAUUCCUAAUGUUUUGAGGAGCAGAGAAAUAUGUCCUUCCGAGUACACAUUAUUAUUAUUAUUAUUAUUAUUUAUUAAGAUGUGUAUUCGGGUCAGUUUGCAUGCAUCUCGACUAAUCCAACAAAUUCUGAAAUUAACAACAAUGUAAGUUUCCAGUGAUCAUCAUAUUACCAACUAAGGGUUCGAACCUGAAACUAUAGAGAAAGUAAAUCCUUUGAUUUUAAACUCUUAUCACUACCUACUAGGUGAUUUUAAAUUAUCAGGGACACAUUAUUUGAUAACCCCGAUUACCGUUAGUUACUGUAACGUAGCUGGCUCAAGCAACCAGUUACUAGACAAAACUGCACCCAACUUGGCAUGAAUCUCUUUCCCGUGGUUUUGAAUUAUCAGGGACAAUGUGGCUUGAAGACUUGAAGAUAAGGAGAUUGUUGUCUAGCUUUAACCAUAAGAAGAAAGAGGACAGAAAAGACUCAUAAAGAUGAGUAUUGAUGAAUCCAGUUUUAAGGGUCCCAACAAACCUCUCUUGGACUUGGUCAAAGGAAGGACCUUGAGCUGAGUUAAAGAGCUGAGGUAUCAGACACUAGCCUCCAUCCACCUCCAAAAAAAGAAAAAAGAAAAUAGAUCAGAUUUUGAGAGAAAAACAAAUUCUAGCGUUUUAAGCACGCACCUUCAGCAACCAUAAAAUCAGAUCUUAUUGCAUAACUCUGAGCCAGAGGAUACAAAUUCCAAGACAAGUUGAUACAAGAAAAAGAAUAAAAUUUGUCCCAACGCCAAGAGAAAGGAAAUUUCAACCACCCCUUCUUGCUAGUCUACACUGUCACCACCUUAUACGACGGUUGUCUAUUUUGUUCUGGGUGGCAUUUUAUUUGGUUCGGAUUUUUCUGCCACUUUGAAUUUAAGAAUAUACCUGGCUGAUUUGCCUCUGAAUUUAUUGUAAUUAAUCAUCCAACUUAAUAGAUCAUCCAAUUUUAUCUUGUCUCGUAGCCUUUGUCACAUGUUCACACGGUGGAAAGUAUGAAUGCACUUGGACAAAAAUAACAGCAAAGACAAAGAACACAGGUCUGGUCCUUUUCUUUUUCCUUUCACUGCUGUCCCGUUCCCUCUGCAUUUUUGUCGACAGAGCUCAAGUUUAACGUGUCAUCCGCGGAAACGAAGACUUUCAGGUAGAAUUUGAGGUUUUUUUUUUUUUUUUUUAAUAUUUUUUAUGUUUUUAUAAAAAAACAUUAUAUUAAUGUAUUUUUUAAAACAAAUUAAAUGCUCACGAAAUACUUUUUGUCCCGUCCCGUCCCUAUGCAGUAUUGUCCAUUGAGCCCAAGUUUAAUUCUGAUGCAAUCCUGUCUCAGUUUGUUUGAGGGAGGUCCAUACUUUUAAGUGGUAGUAUAAAUCAUGGUUUCCACACUUGAUUGAGUAAAGCAGAUUGAUUUAGAGUUUAAUCGGAUUUUAAUUCGAAAUUAAAUUAGUUAAGGAGAUGAUUGUUUAACUUUUUAAAAAAAUAUUUAAACUAAGAAUCAAAUCACUACCAGAAAAUCAAUAAAUACAAACGGAAAUACCGAGGGAAUAUUUCCGUCGGUCAAUUUCUGAGGGAUUUUAUCGACGCAAAUAUUCCCUCGGUAUAUACCGAGGGAAUUACCGUGGGAAAAAAAAAUUAAAACAAAGCAAAAAAAAAUAACGACGUGUCAUUUUUUACCGACGGAUUAAUAUUCCGUCGGGAAAUCCGUUGGUAAACUGUGAACAAUGUUCAUCAUGUCAAUUACAAAGGGAAUUACCGAUGGAAUUUUCCGUCGGUAUUUUCCAGAGAACUCCAGAAUUGUUCAUCUUCCAAUUGCACUGUUAAUUGUUUUACUUUACGGACAAAGUCACCGACGGAUUGAAAAUUCGUCGGUGUGUUUUGGCGGUUUUCUGAAAAAAUUCAAUUGAUUUAAAAUUUUCAUUUAAAUAUUACAUACAGAAUCACCGACGGAUUGAAAAAUCAUCAGUAAUUUUUGGCGGUUUCUGAAAACUUUUUACGAAAUUGAAAAUUUAAAUUAAAUAUUACCGAUGGAAUUAUCGACAGAAUAAUUAAAAAAUAUUAAUAUUCAAUUAUCCGUCAGUAAAUCCAUCGGUAACGCGCCCCAAUAAAAAACCUAAAUCUGCUUAUUUCAUAAGAGACAAACUCAUUAUUUCUUUUUCUUCUUCUACUACUUUUACUUCUUCUUCUUCUUCUUCUUCUUCUUCUUCUUCACUAUAUGUAAAAAACAUCAAUAUCUAUUUCUUUCUCUUCUUUUCUCUCCUCAUCUCCUUCUCUUUUCCUCCAUGCUCGGGUAUGUCUUCUUCUUCUUUCUUCUUUUAUCCUCUUAGUUUUUUUUAAUUAAUAUGCUUUGUCGCACCCCAAAAAAAAAUACAAUCCUAUCGCGGGUUCGACUGGCGAAAUUUUUUUUAUUAUUAUUUUUAUUUGAUUUGGUUCUUUGGAGUCGCCACCUAGUAUUUUGGUCACUAGGAACCCUAACUGGUCUCAGAGAUCGGGUACGGAGACUGGUUGCGUAAAAGGAAGGUAUUAGCACCCCAAAUACGUCCUACCUAAGGUAAGCUGCAUUGUUUUAUUGUCUGAUAAAAACUAAAGUGUUAUUGUACUUCUAGUCGUUGGUCUGUCUAUGGUUCAAGAAAAAUCCUCCUCUAUAAGAAGGUCUUUUAUCUUAUCGGGUAAAAUCCUAAACGUUAUAACGUCUAUACCCAAAACUUUAUUAAUAAUAUUUAGGAAUACGUUUUACGUAUAAAUUCGUAAUCCCAAAUACUAAAAUAAAACAAAAAGAUUUUUUAGAAUUUUUUGAAAUAUUGGCCUAGUUCUCAUGGCUUGAAUAAACUGGUUAUUAAAGCCAAAAUGCAUGCUAAUACAUAUAUUGUUUUGAAAAUUUUCUUUGUUGUGUGAAAAUAUGAUGUUAUAAUAUUUAUAUAUAUAUAUUGGAGAGACUAGGCCGUAUUUUAAAACAAAAACAAUUUUUAAAAAAUAUUUUUUUUUUAUGCUUUGACGAAAAUCGGGUAUUUUAAAUACUGAGCUUGUAUCCUUACGGUAUUAAAAUACAACCCAAUAUUAAUCCACUUUGAUAAAAAUAUGCAGAAAAAUCAACAACAUUUUUAGGGAAUUUUUAGAAAAAAAUUUGAAAGCAAAAACAUUUUUUAUUCUGAAAAUCUUUGAUAUUUUGACGAAAACCGGGUAUUUUUAACACUGGUUUUGUAUCCUUAUGGUAUAAAAAUACAAACCAACAUUAAACCACUUUGACAAAAAUAUGCAUAAAAAUCAACAAUAUUUUUUAAGAUUUUUCAAAAUAUUUUUUUAUUAUUAUUAUAUUUUAUAUAUAUAUAUACAUAUAUACACACAUAUAUUAUAACAUAUUAUAAUAUAUAUAAUAUAAAAACAAUUCGGGCUGGGCCGGCCCAAAUAAACGGGCCGGACUCAGCCCAGCAAGAAUGGGGUCGAUUUCGGCCCAGAAUGGAUUGGGUCGAUAUCGGCCCAAAAAAAAAUUAUAUCUGGGCCGGACUUGGCCCAGAGAGCUUGGUAUGGGCCAGACCUGGUCUGGCCCGUCAAACACAAGGCCGGGUCUGGCCCCAAAAAAAAAAUGCUGGGCCAGGAUCCGCCUGGCCCAGCUACGCAUCAUCAGGGGGGGAAUUAUUUCCCCCCCCUGCAUGCAGAACGAACGUUCUGCAUGCAGGGAAAGCAAAUAAAAAAACUAACGAAAAGGGGGAAGAAAAGGUUACCUGGCGUGGAGGAGGCGGUGCUGCGGUGGCGCGGCGGUGGCGGUGGCGUGGCUUCGCGGACGGCGGCGUUGUGGCUGUUACCAAGCGGCGGAGAGCAAAGAUUUUUUCCUCUUCCCCUCUUCUUUUUUUGUUUUCUUUAUCUCUCUUCCUUCAAUUCUCUUUGUUUUCUGUUUUAUUUUCUUUUGUUUUCGGUUUAUUCUUUUCUCUUUUCCCUGGUCCCGUUUGUUCUCUCUCUCUCUUCGGUCUCCUCUCUCUCUCCUCCCUUCGGUUUCUUCUUUUGUUCUGUUUUUUUUCGUCCCCCUCGGUGUGCUGGGUUGGGCGUUAUUUAUAGAACCCGUGGGCGUGGCCUCAAUGGCGGUAGUUGUUCUGAAAAAGGUCUGUUAAAGUUUAUGUGGGCCACAUGAUAGGUAGGUAUUUGUGGGUUAUAUGAAUCCAUUAUCUUGUCAUUGGACCCACCUUCGAAGUUGUUAACGGGACCUUUCAAUUUUCUUCCGAAAAAACCCUUUGUCUCCAAUGGCUCAAUUAUGCGUCCAGCUUUAAUCCCUUGCUCUAUUCUUUCCGCUAUGCGUACAACAUCAUAGAAAUGUUGAGAUGAGCUACCCAUUAAAUGCUCAUAGUAGGGUGCCUUGAAUGUGUUGGCGAACAAAGUCACCAUCUCCGUUUCUAUCAAAGGGGGUUGCACAUGCAUGGCCUCGUCCCUCCAUCUUUGCGCAUAAGCCCUUACUGAUUCUUGGCUUCUCUUUUCCAUUGACAUAAGGCUCGUUCGAUCUGGAGCAAUUUCCAAAUUGAACUUGUAUUGCUUAAGGAAAGCCUCAACUAAAUCCUUCCAUUUCUUGAUCUUGGCAUUAUCCAGCCUCAUGUACCAACUUAGCGCCGACCCCGAUAGACUGUCUUGGAAAAAGUAGAUCAGUAACUUAUCGUCAUGAAUCACCUCAGCCAUCUUAUUGCAAUAAGAUCGAAGGUGAGUGUUUGGGCAUUCCAACCCAGUGUACUUUAUAAACUCCGGUAUCCUAAAUUUUUGGUACCGUGAUGUUUGGUACCAAGCAUAUUUCAGACGCUCGCAUGGGGUCAAACCAGUCAUUUCCCUCGACUGCUCUUAACCUUUCUUCCAAGGCUGAUAUCUUGUCAUCGUUCAUAAAUCCAGUGGACCUAUUAUCGGAAGGCCCAUCUGCACACAGUGAUGAGCUUGAGGGGGCUGAAUGGGAAUGGCAGGUGCAAAGUGCUGCCCCGUCACUGAAUCUGCCCCCAAGUUCUGAGAUACCCCCGGGACAUGAACUGACGGUGCUCCUAUAGGUGGUUGGGUAGACGUUCCCUCCCCGUUCUUGGCUCUUAAAAGUUGCUCAAGCAGAUUGGUCAGUCGAGAAACUUCAUUUUUCACGAUUCCAACUCGGUCUGGUAGUGCGACUCUAAUGAGCUCUUUCUUCGUUUUCCAUUCUUGAUCUGGACCGGGUUUGGUGGACUCUGGAUGUGGACCUAUGUUUCACGAUCUGGAAUGCAUAUGAUAAAAAAAUACUGUGAUGAAAAUGUGAUGCAUAAGUGAUGCGAUGAGUAUAAUAUUGCAAAAAAGAUACAUAACCUAAGGACAAGCUCUAUUUAUUAAGUGAGAGUGGGUAGAUUUUCUAUCUAGUCUUGAAGGUUCUCAUAUCUGCCCAGUGACGUUCUUCGUAAAGACAGUAUGGGGGCGUUGCAAGGAACAGUUAAGACACGUAUGUCCACCAUUACCAAGCAGGCACUCAGAUAUGAGUUGGGUGUUUCACGCAUUUAAACCCUGACCAAUAGUCUUAGGGUAAAUCGCUAAUUCCCCACUUAACUUAAGGCUUGUGUGUGCUUUUCAAAAUAAAAGCAAGUGAUGCAUGAGACAAUUUUAUACAAUGCAUGAAUAAUAUGCGUAAAAUAAAAAUAAAUAUGCAAAUAAAAGGAAAGGCAUAUUAACAAUAAACACAUAAAAACACAAACAAAUCAGACAAAAACAAAACUUAGUCUACAAGGUCCCUAGUGGAGUCGCCAUUCUGUCGCACCCAAAAAAAAAAUACAAUCCUAUCGCGGGUUCGACUGGCGAAAUUUUUUUUUUAUUUAUUUUUAUUUGAUUUGGUUCUUUGGAGUCGCCACCUAGUAUUUUGGUCACUAGGAACCCUAACUAGUCUCAGAGAUCGGGUACGGAGACUGGUUGCGUAAAAGGAAGGUAUUAGCACCCCAAAUACGCCCUACCUAAGGUAAGCUGCAUUGUUUUAUUGUCUGAUAAAAAACUAAAGUGUUAUUGUGUUCCUAGUUGUUGGUCUGUCUAUGGUUCAAGAAAAAUCCUCCUCGUAAGAAGGUCUUUAUCUUAUCGGGUAAAAUCCUAACCGUUCUAACGUCCAUACCAAAAUUUAUUAAUAAUAUUUAGGAAUACGUUUUACGUAUAAAUUCGUAAUCCCAAAUACUAAAAUAAAACAAAAAGAUUUUUUAGAAUUUUUUGAAAUAUUGGCCUAGUUCUCAUGGCUUGAAUAAACUGGUUAUUAAAGCCAAAAUGCAUGUUAAUACAUAUAUUGUUUUGAAAAUUUUCUUUGUUGUGUGAAAAUAUGAUGUUAUAAUAUUUAUAUAUAUAUAUUGGAGAGACUAGGCCGUAUUUUAAAACAAAAACAAUUUUUAAAAAAUAUUAUUUUUUUUAUGCUUUGACGAAAAUCGGGUAUUUUAAAUACUGAGCUUGUAUCCUUACGGUAUAAAAAUACAACCCAAUAUUAAUCCACUUUGAUAAAAAUAUGCAGAAAAAUCAACAACAUUUUUAGGGAAUUUUUAGAAAUUUUUUGAAAGCAAAAACAUUUUUUAUUCUGAAAAUCUUUGAUAUUUUGACGAAAACCGGGUAUUUUUAACACUGGUUUUGUAUCCUUACGGUAUAAAAAUACAAACCAACAUUAAACCACUUUGACAAAAAUAUGCAUAAAAAUCAACAAUAUUUUUUAAGAUUUUUCAAAAUAGUUUUUUAUUAUUAUUAUAUUUUAUAUAUAUAUACAUAUAUACACACAUAUAUUAUAACAUAUUAUAAUAUAUAUAAUAUAUAAUAUAAAAACAAUUCGGGCUGGGCCGGCCCAAAUAAACGGGUCGGACUCAGCCCAGCAAGAAUGGGGUCGAUUUCGGCCCAGAAUGGAUUGGGUCGAUAUCGGCCCAAAAAAAAAUACAUUUGGGCCGGACUUGGCCCAGAGAGCUUGGUAUGGGCCAGACCUGGUCUGGCCCGUCAAACACAAGAGUCUGGCCCCAAAAAAAAAUGCUGGGCCAGGAUCCGCCUGGCCCAUCUACGCAUCAUCAGGGGGGGAAUUAUUUCCCCCCCCUGCAUGCAGAACGAACGUUCUGCAUGCAGGGAAAGCAAAUAAAAAAACUAACGAAAAGGGGGAAGAAGAGGUUACCUGGCGUGGAGGAGGCGGUGCUGCGGUGGCGUGGCUUCGCGGACGGCGGCGCUGUGGCUGUUCCCAAGCGGCGGAGAGAAAAGAUUUUUUCCUCUUCCCCUCUUCUUUUUUUGUUUUCGGUCUUUAUCUCUCUUCCUUCAAUUCUCUUUGUUUUCUGUUUUAUUUUCUUUUGUUUUCGGUUUAUUCUUUUCUCUUUUCCCUGGUCCCGUUUGUUCUCUCUCUCUAUUCGGUCUCCUCUCUCUCUCCUCCCUUCGGUUUCUUAUUUUGUUCUGUUUUUUUUCGUCCCCCUCGGUGUGCUGGGUUGGGCGUUAUUUAUAGAACCCGUGGGCGUGGCCUCAACGUGGAGCCCAGGAGCGGGUCGAGGAGCGGCUGUCCGGGCGGGCCUCCCUCGGCUUCGGCGACGCGGCGGGUGGUCGGCCAUGGUCUUCUGUCGGUGGCCCACCGGCGUAGGGCCUCGGUCGGUGGCAAGAGGGACCUGCAAAGAAAUAAAAAAAAAAUGCAAACUUUUCCUUCUUCCCCGCUGUAAUGUUCGGGGGGAAGAAGAAAGUGAACAGUGCCGUUCAAAACUGCACCGUUUGGUCUCUUUUUUUUUUUUUUUAAUUUAUUUAUGCAUGAAACGGCGUCGUUUUGGAUAAAACGCGCCGUUUCAUUUUAAAAUAAAGGCGCCAGAAACUUUGUUUUGAAUCAGUCCCUAAUUUGUCAUUUGUUCUAUUAAGUCCUUCAAUCGAGUCCUUCAAUCAAGAAUAAAAGUCAAUUGCGUCCCUGCCAAAUUUAGUCCCUACCCCUAUAGUUGGCCGCGUUUUUCACUUUGGUCCUUGGCCUAUGAUUUUUACAAUUAAGCCCCCUAAUUGAUCAAUAAACUUCCAAUUUUUUCAAUUAAGCCCCUGAAACAAUUCCAAACAGCCCCCUUUAUCUUUGCGUCUUCUCCAAAUUGGUCCCUGGUUUCGGAUUUUCAUAAUUAAGUCCUUAAUUGGCCAUUAAACUUCAAUAUUUAUGCAAUUAAGCCCCUGAUUUGACCCAAUAAAUUCCUAAAAAAUAUAUUUUGGCCCCAGAACUUAAAUUUCUUCAAAUUAAAGCCCAAAUUGACUUAAAAAUCAAUUUUUCUUGCAAUCAAAUCUUCUAUAAAUUCAAAUAAAAAUCCAAUUAAGUCCAUAAACAUCCAAAUUUGGGUUUUUCUCCUCACAAUUCAAAUUUUCCUUCUCAAUAGGGCUUUCAUCCUUCAAGAAUAUACUGUAAAAAAUUCAAUCCUUGUAUUUUUAAAUUCCUUGACCAAUUUUCUGACUGUUUCCUGAGCGCUUCUGCCUCCUGUUAUUUUUUCUAAACUCUUUUGGCUAUUUAUUUUAUUUUUUAUGGGGACCCAAAAAUGGGUUACAACAUGCUUUACGAAUUUUGUUUUCCUUAGCUUCACUUGCAAGUAUAUUAAGGUAAGAUUUUUCUUUUUUCUUAUUGUUUCAUGAUUUUUUUCACUAUAUUUGUUUUUUAUUUAAUUUUAAUUGAUUUUGUUCAUAAUAAUUGUAUAAAUGUUGUUGUGAGAUUUUUUUUUUCAUAUGAGAUCAAUUUUUAAUUGAUUUAUUUAUAGGAUUCUUAAAUUUUUAGCAAUUGCAACUUCAUUUUUUUCAUAUGAAUUUUUUUAGUUGAAUUAAUUUUUUUGUUUUAUUUAUUUGUUGCAAAUUUAUUUGAGUUGAUUUUCUUCUUUUUUUUUCCAAGCAUUUUGAGUAUAUAAUUUUGAUUUAUGUUAAUUUAAUUAUUUUAUAAUUUUAUAAAACGAUUUUUUUAAAAUGUUUUUAAAUCAUUACCGACGGAUUUACCGACGCGUCUGUUCCGCCAGUAAAUCCGUCGGUAAUAUUAUUACCAACGGACAAAAAAUUACCGACAAAAAAUUCACCGACAGAAAUUUUCCGUCGGUGAUUUCGUUGGUAAAUUAAUUACCGAUGGAAUAUGUGUCUUACGCCGACGGAAAAAUUCCGUCGGUAAAACUGUUAAAUCUUGUAGUGAAUCUUGAUAUAGCUUCUGUUUUAAAUAAAAAUGCUUUGUCAACACCUUAUAUCAACACAUUUGAUAGAAACUGAUUUUAAUAUUAUAUAAUUUCACCACUACUGUAUAAUAUAAUCAAAGACUAAGGUGAAAUUCUUACAUGUUGUAACUCAAUUUUGACCAAUUGACUUUUUAAUUUAAUUUUAUAGGGUUUAAAAUGUAAAAUUAAAAUAUCAAAGAUAUAUUUUGAUGAAAAAUAUGAUUUGUCAACUUGCAUGAAACAAGCUAACUAGCGGGCACAAAACAGCCAAUGAAGGAUGUUGUUCAAGAUGCGGUCUGAAUCGUGUUUUUUUUAAAAAAACAAUUAAUUAAAAAUAAUUUUUUAAAUAUUUUUAGAUCGUUUUGAUGGUUGAUGUUAAAAAUAAUUUUAAAAAAUAAAAAAAAAUUAUUUUGAUACAUUUUUAAAUAAAUCACUUUAAACUUUCACCGCUAUGAAACUUGGCAUAUCCCACUUUUCAUAGUAGUUUUCUUACAAUAUUUUGAGAUUAUUGUAAAGUGUUUUUUAAAAUAUUUUUUUAUUUAAAAAUAUAUUAUGAUAUUUUUUUUUUGUAAGAAUUUAUUUUUAAUAUUAAUAUAUUAAAACAAUUUAAAAUUAUAAAAAAGUUAAUUAAUUUUUUUUAAAAAAAUUCAAUAAUACUUUCUAAACACAAAAACAAAUACUUUACAAGUACAAACUUGAUUAAUAAACAAACCAUCCAAGCAAAUUGUACUUGGAAAAUAAAUGUAUCUGUCCCAACUAGUAGUUGUGUCUAUAUCCUUGUAAAUGAGCCUAAGACUAAAUACAGAAGGAAGAAGAAGAUCAAACCAAUGAGACAACUAAUGUUGAAAACAAGCCCUACUGAAGGUACUAGAACUGCGUAUGUGCGAAUGCGAUAAUCAUUGUCCCCAUGCCAAUUAUGGUUAACAACAUUGCAACCGCAAAUAAUCUUAGAGUGGUUUUCAAAUUCAUUUCUUCACCCUUAUUCAUUUCCAAAUCUUGAAUCAACACCGUCAAAAAAAUGAAUAAUUAGAUACAACAGAAAUAGAGAGCAUCAUUGACAUUGCAUCUAAUAUGACAAAUACUAUAAAAAUAGCUUUUUUUAGCUAGAAUUGCAAUGCCUCCGUCACUCUUGUAACUGCCAGGUAGGAUGAAUGGUGCUACAAAUAUUAAUGUUGCUAUCAAUGUUGUAACUACUAGAUGAGACUCUCUUGCUUUACUUAAAUCAUCCUCUUCCUCUUUGUUUUCCUCCUUCUCUUUUCUCAAAACAAAGCGCCGGACCAAAUGGUCCCCUGCCAACAUCAUCAAAGGAUUCUAGGAUCGUUUUCUGCAAAAUAUUUAGGGUAAAAUAUCAUAGAUAUCUAUUAUUUUUUUCUAUUUAAUUAUCAGAUUAUUUAAAUUUUAAUUAAUUGUAUUUUUUCAUUCAAUUGUACUGCUUUUUGUUUUUUUAUUGAAUAAUAUGUUUUUAUAAAGUAGUUACAUGCGAUUGAUAUGCAUAAUUUAUUAUCGUAGAUGAAAAACUUAACAAAAUCAAUAAAAUAACUUGAUUUCAAAUAAAAAAGAUUAUUAAGUUAUUUAGAUGAAUUCAUUUUUAUGUUUGGUAUUGCAGUACGAAUGGUUUUUAAAAAGAAAAUCUUUCUUGAAAAUUAAGUUAAUUUUUUCUUUGACUGGAAAAUAUUUUUUAUUGACCAACUUUUUAAAUAGCAAACAAACACAGUAAAGUUUGAAAAGUAAUUUUUAAAAAAAUAAUUAAAAUAAUAUAUCAGCAUGUUAAAAUGAUUUAAAAACAUUAAAUAUAAUUUAAUUUCAAACUUUAAAAAAAUUGAAAUUUAAAAAAAACAUGCUUCACACAUCUUAAGACUUGAAGAUAAGAAGAUUAUGGUCCAGCUCUAACCAUAAGAAAAACGAGUGAAGACAGAAAAGAUGCAAGUGGAGCAGAGAUAUUUAAAUUGUUUGUGAAACUUCUAGAAUCAUUUUUAUUCUAAUCUCUCACAGAACUCAGACAGCUUCCUCUGCUUUAUUUAUUUAUUUAUUCAUAUUGAUGAAUUGGUAUAAAUAGGCUUACAAGCCUAGCUAGUAAAUGGAAAUAGCCAAAAUAGUUACUUCUAUCAACAACCAUUUUCAACAAACAAACAGUCAUACAAGAUGAAUUCCUUUGAUCAACAAAUGAAUAGCAUCACUUACAUGGAAACAAAAUUGUACGAAGCUGCAGAAGCAGGCAACAUCAACCCAUUUAAGGAUCGUCUUCCAACUUCUCUCAUUGAGCUAUUGACUCCACAAAAAAACACAAUUCUUCAUGUUUACUUCGAAAACCAACGUAGAGGAUGGAGAUCCACUGAUUUUGUUGGCCAAAUUAUUGAUAUGUGUCCACAACUGCUAUUGCAAGCCAAUACUAAAGGCGAAACCCCACUCCAUUUUGCGGCAAGAUAUGGGCGUUCCAAUGCAGUGGAAGUCCUCAUUGACCGCGCAGAAGCUCGACCUACUGAUCCAGAGAGCGGAGUAACAGAAGCAAAAAAGAUGUUGAGGAUGACCAAUGAAGAGCAAGAUACAGCGUUGCAUGUGGCAGCUCGAAAUAUCCAAGCCCAAGUGGUGGAAAUAUUGACAAAAGAGGACCCUGAGUUUUCAUAUUCCGCCAAUGUUCAUGGAGAAUCUCCACUUUAUAUUGCUGCCAAUAUGAGGUUUGUGAACAUUUUUUUAGUCUCAAACAGAGUUUGAUACCGAUUCGAUACUAUAUGUGACCAACAUCUUUUUUUUUUCUUUUAAUAUAUACUAGAUUAAUCAAUUUUUUACUAAUCUAUUUAUCAAUCUAGAAUACUAUCGUUUUAAGAUUAUAUAAAUGUAAUUGUUGCAUGAUUAAUUUUAAUUUGUUCAGCUUUAUAAUGUUUAAGUAAAUCUGUUUUUAAAAUUAUCAUAAGAGAUAUUAGAAAAGCAAUGCUUCUAUAAUAAUAGGAUUUUACCUGGUUAUUUUUUUAUGCUAUGUAUGUUCUUGAACUCGAGACAUAUUAAUUCAAUAUGAAUAAGUUCACUUAUCUCCCUAAUUGUUUUUUAAGAACAAUAAAAAAUAGCAAAAUUUAAUGGUUUUUAAUUCUGUUUUAUUGGACUUAAAAUCUUGCUACAUAAGUAUUUAUUGGACUUAAAAUGUUAAUAAAAAUCACAUAUAUCUAAUUAUGAUUAUAUUGCUGCCAAUGUAAGGUUUAAUUGGAUGUUUAAAAGACAUGAAGAAAAUAGAAAAAAAGUGAUCGACGAAAUCUUGAGUAAUUGCAAGUCAGUGGAAUAUUGUGGUUCUCAUGGCAGAACCGCACUACACGCGGCAGCCAUGCAUGGUGAUCAUGGUAAGAUUUUAUUCUGAACUGUAAAUCCUUGAAUUCAUAAAUUAUUAUCGGAAACCAUAACUGUGAGAAGUGUGUUCUUAUCUUAAAUUAUUUCUUAUCUGUUUGCCAUUUUAUUGUACUCAUUUAUUUUAUGUUUCUUAAAAAAAAUCUUAUUUUAACCUUUAGGAUAUUGUUCUUUUCAUUGUUCAUUUGUCAAAUUCUUCGUUUACUCUAUCACAUUAAUAUUUGAUAUAUAUAGAAGUUAAUAAAGGGGUAAAAAACAAAAAUAUUCAUUUUAUGUUUGUUAAAUUAAAGGUUAAAUUGUAUUUAUUACUUACAUAAUUCUUUGGAAGAUAUAUACAAGGUAAAGAAAAUACAUAUUAAGAAGACAAUGAAUUUCCUAGUCUAUUUAAUUAAGGACUUAUUUGCAUGAUUAUAUAUAAGAUUUUAGGACCAAAUUGUUCUUAUAUACGUUUGUAUGUAAGGAAUCUAUAUGACAUGUAUGUGUGGGCGAAUCAUUUCCAUAUUAUUAUUGAACAUAAAAAAACGUAGAAAGAUAUUAAAAAAAUGAUGCAUAAACAAUAUUGAAUAGCGACUAUAAGAACCCAAGAACGUAGAAAGCAAGAAAGGGCAUUUAUAAUACAAUUAAAGAGAGAAAAAUGCCAAAUUAAAUAUUAACUUAUCACUAAAUUAGUAGCGUAGAUUACGCAUUAACCAUAAUAUUAUUCAUAUAUUACCUAAUAUGUACCAUAUUUUUUUUAUGGUUUAUUGCAGAGACAGCAAGAAAGAUAUUAAAAAGCGACGCGAGUUUGACGAGAAGAACCGACGAUGACGGGUGGUCACCACUUCACUACGCUGCCUUUUUCCCUACUUUAUUGCCAGGUUCUCUAACAGUAAAAGUAUUACUAGAACAUGAUGUGUCCGCAGCCUACAUUGUUGAUUCAGAGAAGAGAACAGCCCUUCACUUGGCCGUCGUUCGAGGCAAUGGGGCAGCAGUGGGAGCGAUUAUGAACGCUUGUCCAGCUUGUUGUGAACUAGUGGAUAGCGGAGGUCGGAAUGUCCUUCACUAUGCUGCCUUAACUCUAAAAGGAGCACUUACAUCUAUGUCUUUCCCUCGAUUGAUUCCUAAAUUUGACAAACUUAUAUACGAGAAGGAUAACAAUGGAAACACACCAUUGCAUCUAUUUGCUGCUUUCGGCAGUUAUCCCCAGAAGUUUCUGAGUAGUGAUUGUAGACAUGUGUACAAGAAGAUGUGUGGCCUUAACAAGCAAAACCUCAGCAUUGAUGACAUCUUGGAACGAAAUUUUCCUGAAGAAAAGGUAAUUCCCUCUAUUUGAUUUUUUAACGAGUCGCACUCGUACACGCGAAAAAGUCUUUGCAUUUGAAAAAGCUCGCUAACUUACCAAAAAAAAUUAAAUUUAAAUUGUCAGAGGAAUGAUGUAAGAUUAUUUUCAUAACUAUCAAAGGACGCAUCAAGAGAAUUUAUAAUAUUCAUUCAAUCUUGUUAAAGAAAAAAAAACUUCAACUCUAACAAUAAAUACGUAUGCACCUUUAAUAAAUCACAUCAAUCAAACAUAAAUUCACUUCGUUAUUCUCUUUUUUUAAAAAAAAUAGAAUAAAAAUAGAAUAGAAAUCCUUUUGUCAAUAUAACAAAAUUAUACCUUCAACAUCAACACUUAUAAUUGAUUAACACUAUUUGCUUUGUCCCUAGACUGAUGUUGGUUUCUUUAUUUGUUUGUUUUAAGAUGUGUUUGAUAUUAUGGUAUAAAAUAUUUUUAAAAAUUAUUUUUGUUUUGAAAAUAUAUUAAAAUAAUUUUUUAAUUUUUAACAUUAAAAAAAUACUAAAAAGUUUCAUUUGAUUUUUUUUUCCAGCGAGACACUUUUAAAUCAUACCUAAAAACAGUUUAAAAUUAAAAAACAAACAGCCCUCUCGUAGCAACAAAAGCAUUAUAUAUUGUUGCUAGCUAAAAGAAACAAAAUUACUUGAUUUCAAACUCGCUGGUUAUGAUAUCAAACAAAGGUUGAGAGUCUACAGAUGAUAAAGGAAAAGAAAGAUUCGUUUAAUUUCAUUGCCGAAACUUGUUGCAGAAAGAGAUUUUGGAAUCAUUGAAAGAUGUACGGAGUGGACUGCUUCAACGGCCCAUAGCUAUGCUGACACUAGACGACUUCUUUUAUUACCGACAGUGGAAUGGACGCUCUUAUAGUUGUAGCGGCACUCGUAGCAACAGUAACAUUUGCAGCUGCUUUCACGAUGCCUGGCGGUUACAAGAACGAAAAAGGCACUCCAGUUCUUCUUAAAAAUACUGCUUUUGCAGUCUUUGUUAUAUCAGAUGCAGUAGCAAUGGUUCUCUCAACUUCUGCUCUCUUCAUGCACUUUUCUAGGGCACUGCUUGGAAAAAGAGGUCAAGUGGAAGACGAUAUAAAAGAAACCUUCUCUUAUAGGACAUCUACUUUAACCAUAUGUGCCAUCCCAGCAAUGGUCAUCGCAUUCAUCACAGGAAGUUAUGCAGUGCUAGCUCCAUCAUUAUGGCUUGCAAUCACGACUUGUUUCAUUGGUGUAGCCUUCUUCUUCUUUGCGUGCCAGGCAUUCAUAGUUCAAUUCCGCACCCUCAUAAAAUACUGAAAAUAAACACUUCACAGCAGACUUUAAAAGAGUCUGAUAUUGAAGAAGAUUGAUUCUCAUUUAGCUCGUGUUAUAAACUAUCUUCUCGUCAUCUUCUUGAUGGCAUCAACUGUAACGUUGGCUUUAUUUAUCAAUAUAUUUCACCUUGCUUUUCACGAGUACAAUGAUCGAAAAAUUCAAUUUUGGCACUUGGGAAAUGCUAACAUCUUCAAUAUAGAGAUCAUAGAAUGACGGCUCACAAGUUCACCAUUAAUUCUAGAUGAAUAGUAACUGAGCCAUAAUUUUCGAAGGACUUGAAUUUCUAAUAUAUUAGAAUUUCCAUUAAUUGCUGAAUGGUCAUUUGGACUUCAAUUUCUACACAUUGCAACUUCAUUCACAAGAACGACAAAAAAGCACAUAAACAUUUUGAGAAAUUAAUAAAUGAUGUAAUGCUAUUAUUUAACUCCGAUCUGGUGGGUUAUGAAGGAGAUGAAGCUGAUGACAACACACAAUGUUGAGUUUUUCAGACCCUAAUUCCACUUACAAGGUGUAAAAAAUGUAGUUAAAACUCAAUUUGAAUAACAAAGAUAAAAAAAAAAAAAUCAAAUUAUUUUUAUGUUUAUUAAAAUUAGACAAGAAAUGAGUAAAAACAAAUUAGAAAACUUGAUUCAAUCAAAAAUUAAAAUUAACUUAUAAUCAAGUCAACCCGAGAUAAAACACAAUUAAAAAAAUUUUAAUUUUUUUUUGAUAACAAGAUUGGUUUAAUUUAUUUUUAUUUUAUAUCAAUUUAAAUUGAUCAUCUUGUCUCAUGACUAGGCUAGACCUAGAUUAGAUUUUAAAACAAUUAUAAUAAUUAUUUUUAUUCAUGUAUUAAUUAAAUUAAUCCUAGUUAAUCUUCCUAACACAUCUCGCCUUAGGUCAUCACUUAUAUUAAGUUUUAAGCUAUGAAAAUAAUUAUUUUUAUUUUUAUAUUAACCCAAAUUAAUGAUUAACAUAUGAUUUAUGACUCAAACUUUGCCUUGAGUGAAUUAUUAUUUAAAUUUAAAAAUUAUGAUAAUAAUUAUUUUUAAUUUUUAUUAACACAGAUAACCUAAGUUUUUUUUUUUUUUUAGAAAAUUUAACGAUGUUGUUCUACUCCUUUUAAUAAACAAAUAUUUCUUCACUGGAAUGGCCUUGAUAGAACAAAAAAUAAAUACUCCAAAAAACUUCACAAAAAGAUUAUACCGUCCAAUCCAUUUUUACAGCAUAUCAAACACUACAUAAAUUUCAAAAUCAAAUUACCUCAGUUAAAUCCAUUAAUAUCAUCGUAAUGUAGCUUCCACCAAGUAGGUUCUCCCUGAUAAACAGGGACAUGGCUCCACUACACCUUCAACAAAUUGGAUUAUAUCAUCAUAGGCAAUCUUACAUUACAAUUUUGCUCAAACCAAAAAUUACCAUAGCCAACUCUCAAAAACCUUAAACCUCCUACAUAUUACUUUAACAUUAAAAAUAGAUAUACAAGGAAUUCAUGAAUGGAUGCAAUGUAAUAAGCUAUUCAAACUAUUUUGUAUCUAUAAAUUAAAUGGAUCAGAGUUAUAACAGCUCUAUCAAUCAAGAAUUUUCAGUAGCAGAACUGGCAUUAAAGCUGUCUAUUAAUCAUCAUUGCCAAAAAUUUAUGGAAAAAAGCAUAACUUUAAUCACAGAGCAAACAGAACCUAAGAUCGAUCAAUAAAACGAAAACUUGAUGAAUCCAAUCAAAACUUGAUUUAUCUCUUUGCUUCAUUGAUUUCUCUCAGAAUAGCGAUAAAUCCAAUCUAAUAAUCGCCAACAAAUUCAAUAACAUAAAACAAUCAAAACUUGAUGAAUUUGGAGGGAUUUUUUUGAGGCAAAACCAUUGACACAAAGGGCAUAAGCCCCACGUGAACACCACCAAAAAAGACUCAAUCCUUGCCCCAGUGACUAGCUUAAUUUCCACCAUAGUUCUCAAAAAAACAAGCUAGGGGUACAGAGAGGCAGCAAAAAAACACAUACCCAGAUGAAAAAAAUGAGAAAUUUUUAAAAAAUGAGAGAUGUAGUCGUUGAUUUGACACAGAUAAGCCAUGGAAAAAGGUACAAGAGGCUAAACUGCAACACUGAACGGCAGGAUUUUUUAGCACGAGCAUUGGAGCUUUCUACUUCAGUGAAUGGUAACAAGUGAUGCCUAGGAGGCAUUAUUCAUAGAGAAUUUUGUUAAAAGAAAAGGUUUUGAAAGGAUUUGCGAUGAAAACAGGGUUUUUGGAGACGUGGAGCCUGCUAAUGGAGAGAAACAGAGUUGUCAAUAAGUUAUAUAGAGGCUGUAAAGAGCUAUAAAACCCUAGUUUUGUUAUCUGAGGAGGUAUUUUGUGUUUUUUGGGUUACGAGGCUGCGCUUGUUUUUCACAUAUUUUUGUAUUUACAAUAAAACAAAUAUAAUAAGAUAUUAUAUUUGAUAGUAUGAUUUCAUUAAAAAAUUAAAUUUGAAAAAAGUUUGUGUAUAGUUUUUACAUGUUUUUUAAUUUAGUUUUGUAAAAUUUUAUUUAUUUUUACAUUUCAAGAGCUUUUAAAAAAAUUAAAUUUUUUUUUAUUAUUUUUACUUCAAAUUGAUAUAUUUUAUGAUGUUUUUAAAUCAUUUUAAUGUGCUCUAAUUUGUUUCGGGAGUUCAAGGUAUUGAUAUUUGAAGUUUAUUUUUUAUUUUUUAUCUUUAAUUACUUGAUAAUUUUAACGAACAUAAAUUUUAAUUUUUUGAUCUAAAAAAUCAAUAACAAAAUAAUCCUUCUUUUUCAUUCUUCCAAAAAUAGGUUUAUUAGGUUUAGGGCUGGAUUUGGGGUCAUCCAUUUCAAAACCAAAAUAUCAUGAAAAAUAAAAUAAAUUAUUAUAUAUUUUAUCUAUGUUGAAAAAAUAUUUUAGCUCUUUUUUUUAAUUUUUUGAUAUAAUUAUUUUGGUUUUAGUGGUUAUUGUUAAGAUUUCUAAAUUUGGUAAAAUAUUUUUUGGACUAGAUUUUAUAUAUUAUAACUAAAUUUAUUUUCAAUUAGAUUUUAAAUAAAUCAUUUAUAUCGAAAUCGAUGUAUAUCAUAAAAAAAUAAUAUAAAGAAUCAUUGAUAUUUUUAAAUAUUUUUAUAUAGUUUAUUGCCUCUGUUUCUUUAAAUAAUUUGUUUUUAUUAUCGUUGACACCUUUCUUUUCUUAUUUUACUAUUGUUAUUCCGGCUACAGUUACUAACAAUAACAUUAAGAAUUAAGGGAAAAUCACGUACUUGCACUGUUAAUGUAAAUAACACAAGCAGGUCCUUUUUUUUUCUUUUUUAAUUUAAAUUUCAUUACUCAAUAAUAAUUAUUCUUUAUAAUUUAUUUUGGUUUGUUUUUUUAUAAGGUUAUUAUAUUUUCAAACAAAUAAAUUGUUAUUUGAUUGGUUCUUAAUUUUAUAACCAUUUAAUUUUAUUAUCAUAAAAUUAAGUAAAAUUUAGUUUCAAAAAACAAAAUUAUUAAAUUUAGUGAAGUUUAUAACUCGGGUUGCGGAUUUAGUGGGUUAAGCCGCAACGCUUAAAAUAUUGUUGUCUCAAUAUUAAAAAAAAAUAUCAUAUUGAAUUUUUUUUUAAACCAAUCCAUAUUUUUACCGGUUAUUUCAUAGUCUUUAGAUUCAUCAAAUAGAUUAGGUCACAUUGAGGCAAAAAAAGUAUAAAUAACAAAGUUAUUAUACCUCGAGGAGUCCAUAACUUGGAUAGCGAGUUUUAAGGGUUAAACUAAAAAGCUCGGGUCGGUUUAAUAUGUUAUAUUUUAAUAUUUAAAAAAUAAAAAUUAUUUUAAAUAUUUUUUAAAAUUAAAUUAUAUUUUUACCGGUUAUCUAAGUUACUUUUCAAAUCGACAACUUUUAACUAAAUUAUGACUUGAUCCAUCCUUUAUAGAAGUACACAGACAUCUUAGGAUUCCUCCUAAGUUUAGUCACAAAAAAAAAAAAUUCAAAUUAAGAAUAAAUUGUAUUCCAUUGUCCGCAGGAGUAUAAAUUACGAACGACUAAAUAAAAAAAAAAUCUCAUUUUUCUUGUUUUAUUUUAUAUCCUUGGUUUUAAAAUACUUUGAAAUCCAAUUCAAGGAACAAAAGAAAAUAAAUGAAAAGAUACAUUCAUCUAGGUGCUUGCAACAACUUGUCCGAAUAAAUUAAUGAAAUAAAAAUUCUUCAAAAAGAAAGAGAAAAUUAAAUGUCUUCUCAAACUAAAUGUUUACUUAUAAAUGUAAAGUAAAUAAAACAAUAAAUCAAUAAUUGAAUAAAGGGUUAUUACAUAAUAUUUGUCCAGCUUGAUUGUCAUUCGAAGUAAAGUCUGCUUUAGAUGCCACCUUGUUUGGUUUACCUCCUUUAUAUCAUCAGCACUCUAGGGUGCUUGAUCUAACUUUAAAAGUUAUUCCUUUGGACUUAAUUUCGUCAUAUGUAUUAUAUUUCUUAUCAUAACUUAAUUUUUAAAUAAAUAAUAAAAAAUAUAUAUAUAGUUGAAAAUGAGGGUAAGACAACACAAAUUCAAAUUUCAGAGAUGAAAUUAUCAAAUUUAAGAGUUAAUUGGUCAGAAAUUAAAGAAUUAAUAAGUUUGAGAAUUUAAUUAAAAUUUUAAUUAGUUUAAUUAAUGAAAUCAAGAGUUUAAUUGGAGAAUAAAUAAGUUUGCAGACUUAAUUAAACUUUGAUUUAAUAAAUUAAAUAAAUUCAGGGAUUUAAUUAAAAUUAAUCCAAGGGGCAAAAUUAAAAUUUGUUGAUUAAGGGACCCUAUUGAUACAUUUCAAAAUAUCAGGGACUAAAUUAUAAUUUGUCAUUUUCCAUGCCAAAUGACGCCGUUUUGGAUAUUACUGUUCAUCAUCUGUUUGCCGAAGACCAGUUCAACAGGGCAAAUGCAGCAAUCACGGCCACUAUACCCACGAUGCCGCCCACGAUCUCUCGCCUCCACGAUGCCCGCCAUUGCUGGAGGCAGGGACACAAGACCUUCUCUGGCUUUAUAAAAGCCAGAGAAAGGCCUCGGAGAGGGAACCGAAAGGAAAAACAGGGAGCACGAACGAAAACAGAGAGGGGACUAAAAACAGAGAAACAGUGAGAGAGCCAAAAAGACAGCAUUCCCAGCUUUGUCUUCGCUCUCAAAACGCAUGUGAAGUGCAGAGAAACUGCAAGCGUUGGUCAGCCUAAUUAUUCGUCUCCAGCUACACACUCCAAACCAUCAGGGGAAAGGAGACGACGAGCAGGGAGACUGGGAGAAAGUGGGCUGAAGACACAAACCAGAGAAAAUAAAAACAAAAGGGGACGCUCUCGACUUCUUCGGUGGCAGCUCUAAAAGCUCCAUUUUCAGCAGCCACUGCUGUUAUGGCUUGAGAAGGAACAAACAAACACUGAGGGGCUGACUGAAGGAGGCUUCAACAGAGAAUAAAAAAAAAACAGGGGAGAAUGGAAAAGGGAACGAACCAGGCGACUGAGAGAAAAAUGAAAGAAUUCGGGGAGGAGAGAAAAGCAGAGAACCAAGGGAGAUGCAGAGAACAAAAGCAAGCCUAAAAUAGUGAGAAGGGCGACCAGACAAGAAGAGACAGAAGGGGAGAAUAGCCUCGGCCCGCCAGGACACUUCGUCUCCUUUGCAACCAGGUAAGUUCCUUCAUUUCCUUCUCCUUUGCAAUUAUAAUUACAUAGGUACUGUACAUAUACAAAUUUAAUUCACUACUUACUGUUCAACCGACAUGUAAAUUCACUGGUUUGUAGUGACCAGGAUAGAACUAGCCCCAAAAAAUUAAAAAAAAAAUAAAAAAAAUGUGUGUAUGCAUAAAUAAAUAAAAUAUUGAUUUAAAUUUAUUUUUAUUUUAUUGUAUUUUAUUUUAUUUAGAUACAUAAAAAAUAUGUGUAUGUGUAUGCGUAAAAGUAAAUUUAUUUUAUUGGUUUAUUCAGCAUAGUUAGGAAUAUAAAAAAAUAUUUAUUUAAAUUUAUUUUGUUUUUAUAACUAUGUAAUAUUUACCAAUGUCAAGUUUGAAGUAUCUAUAGUUGAAUAUUCACUAGCAUCAAAGUCAGAAAUAUUACACACAAACCAUAAUAGCACAAACCAACAAAAUAUUAGCAAUUUAUGAUGAAAUUAGAAAUGUAGCCUGCCUCAGGCAGGACGCUUAAGGGUAAUAAUAUCUUUUCUUUUGCGUAACUAGUCUCGUACCAUAGAAUCUCUGUUGAUCAGUUAGGGUUCCUAGUAACCAUAAUACUAGGUGGUGACUCCUUAAACAAAAUCAUUCCCCAUAAAAAAAUAGGAUGCCAGAAAUCUAUUAUUUUUCAUGAAAAUUUUUAAGAUCACCGCGAUGUCCAGAUACGACAUUGCUAAUCAUAAAUUAAGUCAAUCUACAAUGCCAACUUUGUCUUAUGUUGUUGUAUUAUUGGCAAAAAUCAUAUUUGAAUGGUUUGCAAUUUAACCUAAUAACAAUCUAUCUUGAAGAACCAAAGUUAUAUACAAUGAUUAUUCACAGUUUAUGUCUAUAAAGAGAUACGAACGAGUAGUAUAAAAUUAUAACGAACUUGAUUAAUCAUUCGAAGAAUUUAAACGUGCCAUCAAGAACUUAGUAUGAGAAUUACUCAACCACUUAAAAGAUAGCAAGAAUGUUGAUUUUUUUAUAUUAAAAAUAUUCUUUCUCCCCUUAAAAAAAAAGUCUUUACAAAAGAGUUUAUAUAUUAUAAAGAAUUAUAAGUUUAAUAGGAUAUUCCUAAUGAAUAUAGAUAAAUCUAAUAAAUAUUAAUAAUAAUUCAAUGAAUCUAAAUUUAAAUAAAAGAACCUAAUAUAUCUAAAAGACAUAAUAUUAACUAAAAUAAACCUGGAGUGUUUGCAUCCCCUUACAGUUUUCUAGAUUCAAUUCUUUAAUUGUAGGGUAAUUCAAUGUCAAAUUCCAGGGAGGCUCUAACAUGAACCCUUUCAAUUUCAAAACUGUAAUACUUUGGCUGGAUAAUACUUUCUUUGGCAAAUUAUAAUGUGCCUUGAAUUUGAAUUUCUCUUUUCGAAAAAUAUUUAGCUCUAAUCCCUCCACCUUAUUCUGUUUUGCAUAAAAUUCGGAUUUUUCUUUUCCAACAAUAUCAAGCUCCAACUCGUUCACCUUAUUUUCUAUUGCAUAACUAAUUACACUAUUAAUACCAUUAUUUGUAUCCUCACAAAUAACCUCUAAACUAAAAGAAAACAACAUAAGGUUUUAUUAUGGAUCAACGUCAACUAGUUUAACUUUCUCGGGACAAUUUCAAUUGUUAAUUUUGUUCUGGUUGACAUUUUAUUUUGUCAAUUAAAACAGUAUAUUUUGGUUUCAGUGUACUAUUUUGACGUAUAUAUCCAUUGAUAUAAUGAAAAAAUGGGCUUAGAAACAUUUUAAUAUUUACCAUAUUCUCAUGUUCAAUGCAUGUGUUUCAAGAAGUGAUAUUAAGCUUUAAGAUUAGGCAUUGAUACCGAAUCACUUCUUAAGAAAACCCAUGAUGAAUUUAGAAAAAUAAUUAGAAAGGCCCAAUAGGUAUAUUGUCAUGAAAUUUAAAAUAUAGAAAUGACUUAUCUUAGAUAAAAUGAUUUAGGGUGAUGUGUUUUUUUUUUUUUAAUAUAAUCAUCAUCUUAUCUAAAUUAGAUGGUAACUUCUUAUCUAUUCUUACAAUUCUAAUUUUUACCACAAUGUUAGGUGCAAAAAAACAAUGACUUCAUUGGGGAUGAUUUUGACCAUUACCGCUAAGCUUCAUGUAUUUAAUUUUAUGAUGAAUGUAUCUUUCCUAAUUAAUUUUGUUUACUUUAUUUUUGCCUGGUUUUGUUUUUUUUAUUCUUUUAUAUUUCCUUAUUCUUUUAUGCAUGUUUUUUUUUAAUUAGAUAUGGACUUAUAUAUGUACACACACUACAUAAACUUUUAUUUGCACACACAUUGCUUAACGCUAGGAUUGAGGAAUUAGCAAUGUCUCGAUAGUUAUUGACUUGAACAACAAUUGUAAAACCACUAAAUUCUCAUGAAAAGUCUACUUUGUGGAGACAAAUGAGUCAAUAGAGCUUUGCCUUGAUCCAUUAUUUUCUACAAUGUAGGCCUUGGUUCAGCCUAUUAAAGCCCAUUAAUUGAACAGCGGGAUCCUUCUGAAACCAAUUAGAUAUUAAAUUUAUAUUCAUGUAAUGACUAGAAUCUUUUAAUAGAUUGUCUUCUUGUAUUAUCACAAUGAGAAGUCUUAUAAAGAUAAACUUUCAUGAGAAAAUGGAUGACAAGAUAGUAACAAUUCACAAAUAUACCACACAAAAAUUCUAACAUGAGUCUGAAACCUUGCAGCAAAUUAAGGGGACUUUUUUAAUAAAUAAAAACUUGAUACCGAGCUCCCGGACUUGAAAAAUAUAACUUGUCUUGCCAAUAGAACUCACAUACUCAAAUAUUGGAAGAAGUUGAGUAAUUAAGAACUACAUAUUUUAAAUGAGAGGUAUGAGAAUUUGAUUGCAAUGUUGAAUAUAUUUUUGCAAAAAUAGCUAUAAAGGUGCUCGUACAUUUUAGGACCCCUUUUUAUAGAUUUUUUUUUGUUUUUUGUUUUGUUUUGUGGAGAAAUGGACAUCAUACAUACCAACUAUUGAAGAAUAUGGCAUGCCCAAAUCUACACGCGCGCGCGCAUAUAUAUAUAUAAAUUUAUUUUCACAAUUGGUAAGAUGGGAAUAUUGCAUGACAUCUUGUAAAAGCUUAUAAAUGCUAGAAACAUGACAAGCAAAGUGAGAUACUGCAGGUGUUAAGGGCUGGCCUUGAAAAACCUGGGAAAAUAUGCUUAACCAGAAAAAAAAGACCCAAGUAGUUGUUUUAACAGAAUCAGGAUAUUGGCUCUGGUAUCUUUGGGCUAAUAUUAUUUCUCUUUGUUGGUGGUCUGAUUAGUUUAGAGGCGGCAAAUGUGCUUCUAGAAAUGGAAAGAAAUUAGGUCAAUUCAAUAGUCACGGUGAUAAUAGAAACUAUUUUUUCACUUAAUCACUGUCGAAGAACGAAUAAAGGUGAGAUGUUGUGUUCACUUGCUAUACAUGUAGAUAGUCAACCAUAUGAUAACUGGCAAAACAGUUUUAUGGUAAGUUUGGUGGGUUGAUCAAAAGCCAUUAAAGGAGUUUGUGGAAAAAAAUAGCAACCUAUAAUGAGGAAAAAUUUAUGAUUAGUUGUUUUAUAAGUUACCAACAGUAGUUGGACAACAAUUUUGAUGGGAAUUAAACCGUCCAUGGGUCCUCUAAUAGGUAUCGCUGGUUAUAUUAAUUAGUACUUAUGCACCCUCCAUGAUGGCGAGACAAUUUAAGUAUAUGCAAUGUAUCCCAAUAACAAUGAUGUGAAUAGCUUAAUGCAUGUCCUUGAACCAAAUCAGUUUCUUAUAAAUCUCAUUUCCUUAAAUACACAAAAAAAAAAAAAAACUAUUUUGGUCGUUGAGCUCCCAUUGUUGCUCCUAAUGGUUAUGAAGAUUGUGUUCUCCCAUGAAUUCUCCACUUUCUAUGGUAAAGUGUAAGAGUUAGGCUUAAAGCCACGACUUGAGGUAUACUUGUAUGGUAACACGAUAACAAUGACUUGAAUAGCUGAACGCGUACUGUUGGACCAAAUUAGUUUCUUACGAAUCUCAUUUCCUCAUUAAGUAUUGAGAAUCCAAAAAAGAAAAAACUAAUUUGAUCCAAUGUUAUGUGUUGGGUUGUCCAAGUUAUUGUUAAGAUAAGAUCAUGCAAUUAAAUCUCAUGCUGAAUGGAAGUUGUUAAAUGUUAACAAGAGACUCAUAACAGUUGAAUUUCAUAUGUGAGUAAGGAGUUUUAUAGCAAAUUUUGAUAUGAUUAUAUAAAUGAUGAAUUUAUAUUUCAAUAGCCUGGAUUUAUGAUUUAAAGAAAGCAUCCAUCAACGUGUAUAAAUCCUUACGUGCAUCUCAUGUGAAGACAAAGGUGAUCUCAAGUGCAGAUUCUCCCUAAUACAUAUAUACGACGUACAGCUUUUAAAGACAAUCAGACCAGAGAUGAGUUUUGUUGGUUGUAAUAUUGGAUUUUGGAACCGAACUAUGUAGAGAUGGCCAAAGACUGGCUUCCUGAGAAGUUUGAAACGGAAAUGGGGCUGAUAAAGUUCUUGAUGAAGAAUAUACCUAUUUCUUGGAGGACAUAAUCAUGUACAUCAACACUAGGGAGAAUUUUGAAGAGAAAAAAAAGAAUAAAUAUUUAUUUUCGAAAACAUGUUCAAGUGCCCUUCUGCCGCACAGAAUUCUGAUCCUGACGCCAGAAUCGUUUCUGUUUAUGAAUUAGUUUUGCUUUUUUUUUUUUGGUUGCAAAGUUUUCGAUGAAAAUGAAAUACAUGAUUUCUGAUUGUAUAUAUGGUUUCCGUAUAUUUAGACAAAUAUCAGAAGGCUAAUUAUUUUGUGAUACUAAUUUCUUUAUUUUCAUCUUUUUUUGUAAUUAGGUUUUGUGUUUUCGAUUCAUAAAUGUUUUUCUACAACUUCGAUGUGCUUGUAUUACCAUGCAUGGUUUUUUAAGAAAAACAGCGAAAACUAAAAUAAAAAUAUAUAUUAACUUGUAAAUUUUCAUUACAUAUAUUCUUGUUAGGACUCACAAAAUUAAAUAGAUUCAAUUAGAGGAAAUUCGAGCAUAUAAUUUAUAUUGUUUUUUUUAACUAAUUACUGGUAUACAAUCAAACACUAAUUCGAAUUAAAAUAAAAUAAAAUCAGUGACAUUACUUCUUCAUGAGAGAAUGAAAAGAACAGGAUCCGAUGGAAUCGCUAUGUAUCAUGUGAAGUUUACAAUUUCCACCACCGGUUCCAACGGUCAAGUGACAUGAGUUAAUCAUACUCUUUUAAGCAUAUUAAUUGUAAACUUGCUUUGCACUUCUAUAUUAGUAAUUAUUUAUUUUUGUAAUAUUUAUUAAUACCAGGCUGCAAAGUCAAUGCUCAGAGAGGAGAAUGAUUAACUACGUGCACGCCCUUGCAUUAUGAAUUUGUCUAUGACGACGUCCUCUUUAACAUGAUAGAGUGUAAUUUUCUUUGAUAAUUAAUUAAUUAAUUAUCUUUGGUCUUUCCUUCAAGAUCUAACAUCCCAUUUGCAAAAUAAUUAUAUGAAAAGAAAGUCGGUCCAAUAUUAAACUAUAUAAUAAGUUACAAGUCCAAUCAUUCCCAUUAUUUUAUCAAAUUACAUGUUCUAUUUAUAGAGAGCAUAUAGCACCUUGUUUGACAUAUUCAUACUAUCAUACACUUCAACUCAAUCGUUCUUCUCCACAAUCAAAUUCAGGCUUCAGCAACAGAAGUUAUAAUGGCGGUAAGCAUGUAUACAUAUAGUGGAUGAAAUUAACCGUAGGUUAAUUAAUAAGAGUCUUCUAUUAAUUACUAUUUUCUCGUAUCAUAUUACAACUGAAAGGAAAGAAUGGCACAGUUGUAUUGAAAAUUUUUGUUGUAAUUUACUCAGUCGAUCAUAGAAAUGAGAGUGCAUAUGGAUUGUGUUGGAUGUGAGAGCAAGGUGAAAAAUGCUCUGGAAAAAGUCAAAGGUAAGAAAUCACCUCCAAUAAAAACUUUAUGCAUGCGACAAUUUUCAUCUUAAUCAUCCCUUUUUUUUUCAUAAAUUAUUUUCAUUGUUCCUCUCUUUUUAAGGUUUUCUUUGGCCAUAUUUUCUUGGACUAUAUCUUAAACUUUUGUAUUUGAACUUAUACACACACAGGCAUAGAUGACAUAGAUAUAGAUAUGGGGUUGCAAAAGGUGACGGUCACAGGAUGGGCUGACCAAAAGAAGGUUCUAAAGACAGUUCGUAAGACAGGAAGAAGGGUUGAGCUCUGGCAAUUACCUUACAAUCCACAUCAUCAUAGCUAUUCUGACCAUUACUAUAACCAACACCAAGUUAACGGUCCACUUACUAUCAUAUAUCUUCGAAAAUAUGAUAGCAACGAUCAUGGUUAUUAUCAUCAUCCAGUGCAUUCCUCCAUCUUUAACCACCAGACAGGAGCAGUUUUCAGCGAUGAAAACCCUCAUGGUUGUUCUAUAAUGUGAACAACAUAGUAUAUAUUAUUCUUACUAUAUAUAUACUUAUACUGGUUUGUUUUACAUGUACUGAUUUCCUUUUCACUUUAUGUUUUGUUAAACCUUGUUCACAUGAAGCUAUAAAAUAUAGACAAGAAAUGCCUUUAAUUUUUUUCCUUAUCAUUUUGCAACUUAUAAAUUGUUUUGUUCUGAUUUGUGCCCGAGGCAAGGUAUUGUCUGCUGAGAAAAUCGAGCUCCAUUGAUCUUUUCUUUUUACUAAACUAAAUCACCACCGAUUGCAAUUAAAAUUUUGAUCAACAUUAUAUCAUUCGGAUAGGAUGAGGAUGCACUCCUCCACACACUCAAAUAAAUAUUUUCCAUGGAAGAGAUGCCUUGGAAUGUUUUAGAAAGGGGAUAAUAUUCUCAUGUGCGCCCCUAACUUAUUCGCUAUUACCCUUUCUGAGUUGUGUCCCUAAACUACAUAAUUAAGCAAUUUGGUCCAGAAUAUAUCUAAGAAUUAUCAAUCUAAUCCUUUCAUCCUCAAAUAUACUUUGUUGUCAUCUUUAGUUGUGGACUCAGAUGAGAAAUUAAGUUCUUAAGCAAAUUUUUUAUUGACAAAUCCAAUUGAUAAUUCUUGUGGUCAGUUCGUUGAAAGUUAUAACUAGAUUGGGGAUCAAAUUUGCAAAAUAAUUAGAGACAAAGGACUGAUAUUAUGUUACCCAAGAACCCCAUAAAAAUUAGGGAUGAAAACGUCACCACUCAACAGAUAUGAUACCAGGAAUCCUCUCAUCUAAUUGAGAUGGGUUUUAACUAGGAUUCAGCCUAGUGUGGAACUUAACUCCCUUUUAUUUUUUAGUAUACAAAUGAGUGUAUGUUCGUCCAAUUAAUACCCAACUUUUUUUUUUUAUUUCCUAAAUAUUCUAAGAAUUUUUGUGACUUUAUAGUUUUUAAUUUUUUAUUUCCUUAAUAUUGUGGAAAAAAAUUAUUUCAUUUAUCAUUUAAUCUUUGUAAAGGGAUGGUGAUAGGUAUUUACGGGCUAGGUUUUGGUAUUAUCUAUAUUUGAAUUCAAACCCGGUUUUGGUAUUAUCUACAUUUGAAUUCAAACCCAAAAUAUUAUCAAGUCAAAACUUGACGGGUGUAAAUUUUGAAUACCAAAAUCUAAUUCAUUCAGAUUUUAGUUAUCAAUUCAGAUAAUCAUUACCUAAUUGAUAUAGUAAGGUUUGUGAAAACUUGAAGUUUUGAUCAUGUAUAUAAGAAUCUAUCACAAGCAGACUAUUUGGAUAAUUUAACAUAUAUUUUUAUAAACGGGUACUGAGAUAGCACUAGGUUUAAGAAGAUGCAUGGCUAUGCUAUACUACAGUACGUAGUGGCUUUAAAUGGAAAUAAUAAGAGAUUUGACGGUUGGUUGAGAUUAAAUUUUUUUAAAAGAUUCUACAAGUUUUUUUUUUUUUUGGAAAGCCACUAUGUCAGGACUAUUAGAUCUUCAAAAAUUAGUCCUAAAAGUUUCUGCUUAGACUAAUUUUGUUGUUUUUUUCUAGAUUGUUUUUGGAUUUAUUAUUUUAUUUAAGAUUUUAUGUUAGUUUUCUUUAUGAUUUUGAAUUCUAAAUUCUUUUUAUAGAGAUAGGAUUUUCUAUUUAUUUAAACAUUUUGUAAACAUUUUAAGGAGAAACUUAAUAUAUACUUAAUUUUUAAAGAAUAAAAACGUGAAUUUAAAAUUCAAAUCUACAAUUCAUUUUCUUAUCAAAUUCUUGAAGUGGUGGGGGUAAAGACUGCCUCAUAUUAUACAGUGUUGUUAUCCAUUUUUAAGUUCCCACAAAAAAAAAAAAAAAUACAAAAAAACUAUAUAUAUCAAAAAAAAAAUAUUCAAAAGAAAUUAAAAAAUAAUAAUAAUAGGAGCGAGAAAAUGAUGUUGGAAUGCUGAAAAAUAGCCAAAAAUUGAUUGAGAAAGUUUAAAAAUGCAAAGGGUUGGAAUUUGACAGUUUAUCGUUAGUUGAUGAGAGUCUUGUUGAUAAAGAAAAUUCAAUUUUAAAAAAAAUAUAUUCAAAAUCAAAUGUUUAUGUACUCAAUUAAAUUUUAUCUAAUGUUUAAUUGAAUAUAUGGAGGGUUUGAUUGCAAGAAAAAUUGAUUUUGAAGUCAAUUUAGACUUUUAUUGGAAGAAAUUAAAGUUCUGAGGUCUAAUUAUAAUUUUGAAGAGUUGAUUUGGCCAAAUCAGGGGCUUAAUUGCAUAAUUAUUAAAGUUUGAUGGCCAAUUAAAAAUUUAAUUGAAACAAUCGAAAACCAAGAAUCAAACCAGAAAAGGCGCUAUAUAAAAUCAAGAGAUCCAAUUACAACUCAUCCGAGGGACUUGGUUACAAAAUUGUCAGAACAGCCGAGGACCCAAUCGAAAAUAUUCAUUUUGAAAAUUUGAAACGGCGUUUUUUCCUUAAAGAGCAUUAUUCACUGUCUCCUUCAAAGAAACCAGUUUUUAGCAGUAAAAUAGGGAUAUGUUUUGCAGCAAAUUGCUCCAAUUAGGGGCACAUUUUAUGGCUCCUAUCCCGCAGUCUCCAGAUUACAAGGCAACCAUUACCACCGCAGGGCUUUCCCUGGCUUAUAAAAGCCAAAGAAAGACAGUGAAGAAGAGGGGGGGCAACGAGACAACGAGAGGAGAAAAAGAAGGAGACAAAGGGAGAGUACAGUGAAGAGAGGAAAGAAAACCGAGAGAGGGAGACGAACGAAAAAAAAAAGGGCAGAAAGAAAAAAGAAGAGAGCCGCACCAGCACUGCCAACGCCAUUUUCAGCUCAUCAUCUUCUUCGUCCAGCAGCCACUGCCAUUCUCCAUCAGAGCCGCACCAGCACUGCACAACAGAAAGGAGAAAGAAGAAGAGUAAGGGAGAGCAGGGACAGAAAGAAAACGGGAAAAUAAAGGAGGAGAACCAGACGAGACAGAGAGGCAAAGCGUGAGGAAGAAAACAGAGGAGAAGGUGGGAGAAACAGAGGGGCAGAAAUAAAAAACUAGGAGGCAGAGUGAAGAAAGGAAGGAGAGGAAGCAGUGUUGGAACAGCCCUUCACACUGUUUCUUCGUCUGCAACUAGUGCAAAGGAGAGGGACUGUUGAACCUUUUUCAAAACUGCAGUAUCCGUGAUCAAGCUCAGAGAAACUGGAAAAAAACACGAAUACCAGUAGCAAGGAAAAACAAAAGAAGAUGACGAACCAGAGGAACCGGAGGAAAAGCAAAUGAAAAGGGGAAAAUAUAGGCCAAAACAAAGCUCAUGCAUUUUGGCUUUAAUAACCAGUUUAUUAAAUUCACGAGAACUAGAUCAAUAUUUUAAAAAAUUCCAAAAAAAUUAUUUUGUUUUCUUUUAAUAUCUAGAGUUACAACCUUAUAUGUAAGACGUAUUCAAUAUAUUAAAUUCUUUUGAUAACGUCAGAACAAUUAGGUUUUACCCGACAAGAUAAGAAUCUUCUUACCGAUGGGAACUUUUCUUAAACCAUAGACGAACCAACAACUAGAAAACACGACAAGACCUUAGAUUUUAUUAGACAAUAAAAAAAUGCAGCUUACCUUAGAUAAGGUGUAUUUAGGGUGCUAAUACCUUCCAUUUACGUAACCAGUCUCCGUACUCGAUCUCUGAGACCAGUUAGGGUUCCUAAUGACCAAAAUACUAGGUGACGACUCUCAUUCUAUUUUUCCACACAUUUUUAGAUAAUACUAAGAUUUUAAGGGUGUAUAUUUUCACCGCGAUGCUGCACACAUGCGACAUACAGCAUAAAUGGAUUAAAAAGGGACUCAGAUAAGUGUUUUUUUUUUUUAAUUAAAAUUGGUGUCUUUUUCGGUUUCACUUGCAAACGGAACACCUAUCUCCAAAACCCAUGUUUGCAAACAUGUAUGCUAAGCGUCAAAAGAUGAAAUCUAUGUGCGAUAGGAUUAGCAAUUUACCUGAUGCACUCCUCCUUCACACACUCUUUUCUGAGAUGCCAAGGAGUUUUGAUUGGAUACAUUGUUCACUCUUUAUUUCAAAUCAAUUCAAUUUUUCUAAUUUCUAUUUUAGUUUUCUUUAUUUUUUAUCCAAUAAACUUUAUUUCUAUUAGAAAAGAUUUGUUUUUCAAAUUAAAAAAAUUAACAUUAAAAGAAAAUUUUAACUAAAAAUAUGUUUUUUUUCCCGAGAAUUCAAAUAACUAUCUUUAUUAAUGAAUAUUUAUUUUUAUUUUCAUAUAAUUAAAUAAAAAACAAAAAGCAACCAUGUUAUUAGAUUAAAUAUUUACAUUUACAUUUGCAUUUAUGUUUUUUAUUUUUUACAAAAAAAAAACCCAACUGUUUUAGCCUUUAAAUAGAUUAACCAUUUGAUUUAUUAAUUCAAAUAUUUUUAAUUCGUUUUUUUUAAAAUACAAACACAAUCAUUUCAAUUUUGAAUUUAAAAAUUUUAUGCUAUCAAAACUCAACUCCACAGAUUCAUAGCUUCUUGUUUUUUUUGUUUUACAUUACAACUUAGCUUGGAAUGUUACCCGUAACUAGUUGGUAUCUAAUGUCUUUAACUAUUUCCCCAUGAAUUUGUAUCUCAAGAGCAGUCUGGUUUGUCAUGUACAUGCACUUCAUGGAAAAUGCUAGCUAGCUGGCACAGGAGCCAAAGAAGAACGAAACUUGGCAUAUUCCACUUUUCAGAAUAAGCUGUGCGCUUAAGGAGUUUGAAAUGCGGUAGCGGUUGCUUUUCAAAUAGUUUUUUGUACUGAAAAGUAUGUCAAUAAUUUUUUUUAUUUUUUAAAAAUUAAUUUUGAUAUCAGCACAUAAAACGAUCCAAAAAAUACAAACCGCACUCAAUUUUAGUAAAAAAACAAAAUUUAAAAUUUUCCAAAAAAUAGAUUCAACCGCAGUGCCAAACAGACAUUAAGAGUUGUUUUUUAAAAUAUUUUUUAUUUAAAAAUAUAUUAAAAUAAUUUAUUUUUAAUAUAUAUGAUUUAAAAUCAUAAAAAAUAUUAGAAAAAUUCAAUAACACUUUUUAAAUAUAAAAACAAAAACACUUCAGAAGUACAAUCUUGAUUAAUAAACAAACCAUCAAAGCAAAUCAUGGUCAACAACAUUGCAACCCCAAAUAAUUUUAUAGUGGCUUCCUCACUUAUCUGGUCGUCCUCAGCAUCUUUAUUGCUGCUGUUACUCCGCUCUCUGAAUCAGUAGGUAGAGCUCUGGCACGGUCAAUGAGGACCUUUACCACAGUGGAAUGACCAUAUGCUGCUGGCAAAUGGAGUGGGAUUUCACCUUUCUUAUUGGCUUGGAAUAACAGUGGUGGACACAUUUUAAGAAUUAUAUCAACAAAAUUAUAUCCUGCCGUACAGUUAGUUCAAUGGCAAGCUGGCGUUGUGUUAUUUGGGCAUGGGAUUAAUUUGCUUACAUUUUGAACUUCCAUGCAGACUGCAGGAUCUGUCCCUUGGUGGUGGUUAUGUUUACCCUACUAACAACAUUGUAGUAAUCAAUAUUUAAAAAUAGUGCUUUCUGAAUUUCCAUAUCUCAAUUUUAUUAUAUUACCUGUAGAAUAAAAGAAAAUACAAAAAACAUUCAUUAAAAUGACGUUUUAACCACAAAAACAAUCACUGUCAUAAAAAAGCCAAUUUAGAGAAUCAGGAUUAAACAACUGCAUGUGGGUUAAUUAUGAUUGAGGUGUUCUUCGAAACCAAAAGUUAACAAAUUGGCCCUCCUUCUUUUUCUUUUUCAUUUCUUUUCCUAUUCUCCCUCUUUUUUCUUUUUCUUUUUCUUUUUUAUUUCAUCUCUUUCUCUUCAGUUUUUCUUUUUCUUUAUACUCAUCCACACACGUUUUCUCUUUAACACAGGAACAAAAAAAUGAAAAGGCAAAAAAGUGUGAUCGUAUUAAAACACCAUUUGCUAUACACUUGUACUAGAAUAGUUUUCUUUUUAUUUCUUUAUGUACUCGUCUUACUGUAUUUGAACUUCUUUUUGUACUCGUCUUCCUGUGUUUGAACUUAUCAAAUAAUUAUUUCAAUUCAAAAUUUUUUUAUUUUUUUUAGCAUAUAUUAUAACUUAUUAAACAAUGAUUUCAAUUUAAAUUAAUUUAAGGGACGAAACCUUAAAAAUAGUAAUACAGUGUAUAUAAUUAUUUAAUUUUAAUUAAAAAAAAGUGUCAAUAGUAAGAUUGAAAUUCGUAACUCUUGACAACUCAAAUUUAUGCUUGAACUGUAUGCCAUUAGCUUUCUGCAUCCUCUAGCCUUGAUGAUAUAUCUGAUGUUCAUUCCAACCCAACCCGAAGUCAGACCAGCACCAAGCAGAUACACCAUAGAUAAUAUAUCUGAAUUAGAGAUUUUCAUAGCAAUGCCACAAACUCUUCUGCUCUACGGACUCCUUGUAUAGCAAGAACAUCUGCACGGUGACUAAUCUCCCUUGGUGUACGUACGAGUGAAGGAUACUGGACCCAAGCAAGAUGAAAAUCUACCUGCUAGAAUGAAAAGAUCAUUAAAGCGCCACGACCUGAUAAAAUACCUUAGUCCUGCCUAUACGAUGAUAAUUCCAUAGCUUUAAUUGCUGCAAUCAAUUCAGCCUCGUUUGAUUCUUUAUUUCCCACUGGAAUAGAGAAAACCCCUAGAACCACCCCACAUUGAUUCCAAUGAACAUGUUCGAUCCCCGGGGGGCCAUCGAACAACUGAACUAAUUUUCUUAAUAUUUGACCCUUUUUUUCAAACCAUCACCAGAUAAAAGUAGAUCAAGAGCACAAUAUGGGAAGUCAGAAUCUAAAGCUUUAAUCCAUACACGAAAUCUAGUUAAAAUAAGGAGGAAUAUGGUGUCACAAUCUGAAUUUUAUUCUGAAGACCAAUUCAUUCCUAGUGAUCCAUAGCUGAUGGUAAAUAAAAGCAUAAACCAUACCUUCCUUUGGAAUUUUCCUUCAACAAGGACUUCCCAUUGCUGAAAAAGGUCAGGAAAAUUUAUUGGGCAACAUCAAGAGAGGCCCCACCAUUCACAUGAUUUUGUCCAGAUUUUCCAGUGAUUUUGACAGUGGAUGAGAAGAUGCUCCACAGAUGCUUCACUACACCAUUAAACAAUUUCCAAGGAAGGAACUGCGAGUUGAAUAAAUUAAUCUCCCUGGUCUUUCCUUGAAGAUCCAUCAUCCCAUUUGCAAAAUAAUUAUAUGAAAAGAAAGUCGGUCCAAUAUUAAAUUAUAUAACAAGUUACAAGUCCAAUCAUUCCCAUUAUUUUAUCAAAUUACAUGUUCUAUUUAUAGAGAGCAUAUAGCACCUUGUUUGACAUAUUCAUGCUAUCAUACACUUCAACUCAAUCGUUCUUCUCCACAAUCAAAUUCAGGCUUCAGCAGCAAAAGUUACAAUGGCGGUAAGCGUGUAUACAUUUAGUGGAUGAAAUUAACCGUAGGUUAAAUAUUAAGGGUCUUCUAUUAAUUAAUAUUUUCUCGUAUCAUAUUUUACCCAGUCGAUCAUAGAAAUGAGAGUGCAUAUGGAUUGUGCUGGAUGCGAGAGCAAGGUGAAAAAUGCUCUGGAAAAAGUCAAAGGUAAGAAACCACCUCCACUAAAAACUUUAUGCAAGCGACAAUUUUCAUCAUAAUCAUCCCUUUUUUUUCAUGAAUUAUUUUUUAUGUUCCUCUCUUUUUAAGGUUUUCUUUGGACAUAUUUUCUUGGACUAUAUCUUAAACUUUUGUAUUUAUAUAUAUACACACACAGGUGUAGAUGACGGAUAUAGAUAUGGGGUUGCAAAAGGUGACGGUCACAGGAUGGGCUGACCAAAAGAAGGUUCUAAAGACAGUUCAUAAGACAGGAAGAAGAGCUGAGCUCUGGCAAUUACCUUACAAUCCACAUCAUCAUAGCUAUUCUGACCAUUAUUACAACCAACACUAAGUUAACGGUCCACUUACUUACCAUGCUCCUCAGCCUUCCUCUUCUUACAAUUACUACAAGCAUGGAUACGAUAGCAACGAUCAUGGUUAUUAUCAUCAUCCUGUGCAUUCCUCCAUCUUUAACCACCAGGCAGGAGUAGUUUUUAGUGAUGAAAACCCUCAUGGUUGUUCUAUAAUGCGAACAACGUAGUAUAUAUUAUUCUUACUAUAUAUGUACUUAUAUUGCUUUGUUUUUCAUGCACUAAUUUCCUUUCCACUUUAUGUUUUGUUAAACCUUGUUCUCGUGAAGCUAUAAAAUAUAGAUAAGAAAUGCCUUUAUGUUCCUUAUCAUUUCUAUUAAAGGUUAUAAAAACAGAGGCCGGGGCCUCUGCACAGGGAAGAUGAAGAAAAUUGCAGCAAUCGCCGCCUAUCGUCGUCCUGCCUCUAGUGCCACCGCCUCCGCCUCUGCUAUAGAAUAAAAGGAGAAGAACAAGAUAAAAUAGAGACAAAGAGGAGACUGAAAGAAAAACAAAAGAAAACAGAAGAAAAUAAAGGAGAAGAACAGAAGGAAAAUACGCAGAGAAGAAGAAGAACCGAUCACCGACCAAGCAACUGGUCACUAUAUAAAAAGCUUUUCCUGUAGCCAUUGAUUAACUUUUAGCGUCAAAUACAUGCAUGGACAAAAGAUCUGAAAUUAUUUGAACAGAAAAGCUGGAAUUUAUACAGUGACAGUGAUAGAAAAGCAAGCAAUUAUGUACAAUUAUCCUAUAUGCAGUCAGUGUAUCUAAUUCCGACUUGCUUUUUUUUAUUUUAUUUUUAUCCUUAAUCAAUUAUUCAUUUUAACAUUAUUCUUUUUCUUAAUUUCAUUCUCUUCACAUAAUUUUAACAUGACAAUUAAAAAAACCGAUUGUAUUAGUAACUUAACACACCUAGUAGCUGUAUAGCGUCUGUUCAUAAGUGUCAAUAACAAUAAUGAUUACAUACAACUAUCAUUCCUAUUAAUGGUUAUAAAAUAUCAAAUCAAAGUGUUUUAUUUUUUAAAUAUUUUUAUCUUUUCUAGCUAUAUUUUAAAAAAAUUUACGACAAUAAAAAAAAUGACUCUUGAAUGCCACAUGGUAUGGUCCCAGAAUUGGACGGUGCAAAGAUUUCUUGGUCCCACAAAUAUUUCUGAUCGAUUAACUUUACUAGUGAUUUAGCAUUUGCUUGGCUGCUUUUGAAAUUUUUUCCCCUGACUUUAGCAAAUAAUUUCUGGACUGAUUUGAUUUUUUAUCUUGUUGCCCAGGUUUAACGUGUCAUCCGCGGAAAAGAAGACUCUUGGGUAGAAUUCGAUUUUUUAAAAAAAGUAAAAUUCUUUUUAUAUUUUUAUAAAAAAUUAUUAUAUUAAUAUAUAUAAAAAAAAACAUUUUAAAUGCCCCCGCAAUACUUACUGUCCCGUGCCCUCUGCAGUAUUGUCCUUGGAGCCCAAGUUUAAACCAAGAAUCAAUCCUGUCUCAGUUUGUUUGAGGGGGGGGUCUAUACUUUUAAGUGGUAGUAUAAAUCAUGGUUUCCACACUUGAUCGAGUAAAGCAGAUUGAUAUAGAGUUAAUCGGAUUUUAAUUCUAAAUUAAAUUAGUCAAGGAGUUGAACGUUUAACUUUUUUAAAAAUUAUUUAAACCAAGAAUCAAAUCUUGAUAGCUUCUCUGUUUUAAAUAAAAAUGCUUUGUCAACACACCAUAUUAACACAUUUGAUAGAAAUUGAUUUUAGUAUUAUAUAUUUAUAUCUGUAUAUAUUGUUUAAACCAAGAAAAAAUAUUUAAAUUACGGCGACUUGGGAUACGUAAAGGAAUGUUUUACUAUCCUGUUGCACCAAAAAUUAUUUUUAAAUUAAUUUUUUAAAGUGUUGAUAACUAGACGUAGUAGUGUCUAGAGUUAAAAUUCUACUUUUCACUAUUUAAAAGGCCUUUUGGUUCGGCCACUAGCUAGCACUCGGCCAGCAGCCAUGCAGCGCCUCGUCAACAUCCCAGGAAGACAACAAGCGUGCCUGCCCUGCACUCACUUUCGGGCCUAAAGGCCCAGGGAUUUUUUUUAAUCAAAAUCUUUAAACAUUUAGAUAAUUCAUAUAAUAUUAAAAAGGAACGUAUUGCAAUUAUAAUAAAUUUUUUUACUAUCUUUUUUUUUUUCAAAUUAAGCAUUUGAUCAUACCUAAAUUUUUUGAGUUUGACCAUACUAAAAUACUUUAGGUUUAGGUUUAGCAUGAUUACUAGAUCCAAGUCUCUUGAAUCUGACAUGAUUGUCAGAUCCAAUAUCUAUAAAAAAUUAAAAAUAACUAUUUAGAAUUUUUGUUUAAGAUACUUCAAGAAUAUUUUAAAUUUUUUUAAUAAAAAAAAUACAUUAGAAUUUCUAUUUAAAAUACUUUAAGGAUAAUUUAAAUAUUUUUUAUAUUGUUUUUAAAUACAUCUGAAUUUUAUUUGAUAGAAAAGUAAGAAAUUCUAAAAUAUAUAUGAUUUUGAUAAUUUUUAAUUUAAAAUAACAAUACUUCUUAAAAAAAAAACAUGUUUUCGUAAUUUAAAAAAAAAGAAACACAUUAAUAAAAAAAAAAUGGAGUUUUGAUUAGAUACAUUGUUCACUCUUUAUUUUAAAUCAAUACAAUAUUUCUAAUUUCUAUUGUAGUUUUCUUUAUUUUGUUAUUCAAUAAACUUUAUUGCUAUUAGAAAAGAUAUGUUUUUCAAAUUAAAAAAAUAUAUUAUGAAAAGAGAAUUUUAACAAAAAAUAUAUUUUUCCAGAGAAUUCAAAUAACUAUUUUUAUUAAAAAUAUUCAUUUUUAUUUUUAUACAAUUAAAUAAACAAAUAAAAAGCAAUCAUGUUACUAGGUUAAAUAUUUACACUUACAUUUAUUUUUUUGUUUUUUACAACAAAAAAAACCCAACUGUUGUAGCCUUUAAUUAGAUUAACCAUUCUUUAUGUGAUUUAUUAAUUCAAAUAUUUUUAAUUUGUUUUUUUUAAUACAAACAUCAUCAUUUCAAUUUUCAAUUUAAAAUUUUUAUGCUAUCAAAACACAUGUUCAGAGGUCUGACUUGUCAUCCAAUGGAGUCGAUGAGAUUAGUCCAACCAUACAUGCACUUCAUGGAACAAGCUAGCCAGCUGACACAGGAGGCAAAGAGGAAUGAAACUUGGCAUAUCCCACUUUUGAGAGUAGCUUUUGUUACAAUGUUUUGAUCGUGGUAACAGUGUUUUUUAAAAUAUUUUUAUUCAAGGAUAUAUUAAAACAAUUUAUUUAUUUUUAUUUUUAAAAUUUUAUUUUUAAUAUUAACAUAUUAAAACAAUCUAAAAUUAAUAUAAAAUUUAAAAAAUAAAAAAAUCUAAUAAUACCUUUUAAACACAAAAACAAAGAAUUUGCAAGUACAAUCUGAAUUAAUAAACAAACCAUCAAAGCAAAUUGUACUGAAAAUAAAUUUAGUUUUACCAACUAGUAUUUGCAUCACUAAAUUUUAGUCAUGAAUAAGAAAAAUAAAUAAAUAAUAGUGUUAAGAGUUUUUGACCACUUGACUUGUGAUGCGUAUCAAUUACAAUAAAAAAUAAAAAAUAAAAAUUGACAACCAACCACAUAAUUUCUGACCAUAUGACGUCAUAAUUUUUUUCAAAAACAAUAAGAUCGUCUUAAAAAUACAUCUGAAUUUUAUUUAAUAGAAAAUUUAAAACAUACUCUAAAUUCUUGCAAAUGAACCUCAACACGAAAUACACAAAGAAGAAGAAGGUCAAACCAAUGAGACAAGUGCUGAUGGCAAGCCCCAAUGAAGAUUCUAGAACUGUAUAUGUGCCUGUGAUGAAUGCGAUAAUCAUUGUACCCAUGCCAAUCAUGGUCAACAAUGUGGCAACCCAAAAUAAUUUCUCAGUGGUUCCUACAUCAUCUAUCUCUUUAUCCUUUACCAUUUCAAAACCUUUAAUCAGUGAAAUUAAAAAGUGGAUAAAAACAGCUAAAAUAGAGAGCACCAACGACAUUGUAUCUGAUACAACAAAUGCUAUAAAAGCAGCUUUUUUAGCAAGAAUUGCAGUGCCUCGAUCGCUCUUGUAACCGCCAGGUAAGGUGAAUGCUGCUGCAAAUGUUACCGUUGCUAUUAACGCCGCAACAACUAGUUGAGACUCUCUUGCUUUACUCAAAGCAUCCUUUAACUCUUUCUUUCUCUCAACAUUCUCUAUUCUCAAAACUCGACUACCAAGCGGUCCACUGCCAAUAUCUUCAAGGGAUUCUAAGAUCUCUUUCUGCAAAAUAUUUAGGGUAAAAUAUAGUAGAUUUCCAUCAUUUUUGGCUAUUUAUCAAAUAUUAUAAAUCAACUUCCGGACCUUUGUUUUUGUUUCCGCAACAACUUUGUUUGCAAUCAAAUCCUUUCUGUUACUGUAUAUAUUAGUAGGUAACAAAAACUAAUUUGGUUGAAAUUAAAAUGCAUGCUUUUAUUUCCUAAGAUUAAUUUUAUAUUAAAUUUCCUAAGAUUAUAUUAAGUUUCUCUUAGAUUUUUCAACUUUAAUUCUCAGAUUUUUAAAAUUUUAAUUAAUUGUAUUUUUUUUCAUUCAUUUGUAAUACUUUUGUUUUUUUAUUGAAUAAUAUAUGUUUUUAUAAAACAGUUACAUGCGAAUCAUAUGCAUAAUCUGUUAUUGUAGAUGAAAAACUUAACAAAAUCAAUAAAAUGACUUCAUUCCAAAUAUAAAAAAAUUAUUAAGUUAUUCGGAUUACACUUUAUUUUUAUAUUUAGUACUUCUGAUAUAGAUAAUUUUUAAAAGUAUUUUUUUAUUGUAAAAUAUUUAAAAAUAAUUUUUUUAUAUUUUAUUUUAUUUUUAAUAUCAGCUUAUCAAAAUUAUACAAAAAAAUAAUUUAAUUUUUUUAAAUAAAAUACAUUUUUAAAACAAAACAAAAAAUAGAAGAUACUCCUAAGAUGAUACAGAACUGAGCCCAACUGAACAAAAGUUAUGUGGACCUACUUGGUGGACAUGAUUAAGAUGCGGAGCUAAGAGAAUCUUAGAUGCAAAGUAAAACCAGUUUGCUGUGAUUUAAUUGAUUCAUUAAUUGAUUUAAUUGUGAAUCACAACAGUUAAUUCAUAGAGGAUUGAUUACCUGUAUCUCUCCAAAAUCUCUCAACACGUUGAUGACGCUUAGCUUUCGCUUAUUAAGACCAUAUUUCUCAUCUUCAAUAUAACCAUAUUCAAAAAAAACACGUCUCCAUGGCUUCAGCUCGCGCGCUAAAGCAGCAAUUAGAUGGAAGGGCGUGUUUCCAUUGUCAUCCUUCUUCGAUUUAAGUCUCUCAAGUAAUGGAAUCCUCAGACAUUCCUUGAAUACUUCGGUUCUCUUACUGGCCACAGCAUAGUGAAGGGCAUUCCAACCUCUGUUAUCAACUAGCUCACAACAAGCUGGGCAUCGAGAAACAAUCUCUUUCAUUAUUCCUACAUGUCCUUGAAUGGCAGCAAUGUGAAGAGCUGUUCUCUUCUUCUCUGUUUCAGCAAUGUAGGCCGCGGACGCAUCAUAUUUUAGUAAUACUUUCACUGUAAGAGCACACCAGUCAUAAAAGGCAGCGUAGUGAAGUGGUGACCAACCGUUCUCAUCGGUUGUUUUCGUCAACGUUUUUUCUUUUUCUAACAAUUUUCUUGCUGUCCCUGAAACCAUCAAAACAAGGAAUAAAAGUUAUCCUUCAUGAACAACAGAGAUUUCACUUAUGCCCCGUUUUAUAAUUUCUUUUAGAAAACUAGUUUCUAAAAUAAUUUUCUAGAAAAUAAAUUAUUUUUCAUGUUUUGUAGAAAAAUAAAUUGUAAAACACUUUUCAACUAUAUUAUUAAAAUUAAGCUGAAAAAUAAAUUAUUAAUAUAUUUUUUUUCAUGUUUAUUAAAAUAAUAAAAAACAAAUCUUACUAAUUAAAAAGUUGAAUAAGAAUAAAAUUGAAAAAAAAAUUUAAUUUCAUAAAUGAUUUCAAAUCAAAUAAAUAAGAUCACGAAGAUUAAAUCUAACUGAUAAAAAAAGUUGAAAAAUAAUAAAAUUAAAAAAUAAAGACUAAAUUUUAUAAAUAAAUAAAAAUCAAUUAAUGAUAAGAGAAAAAAAAUAAUAAUGAUAAAAAUGAGGAUCAUGAUUGCCAGACUUGAGCACAAAAUCCUACCUUCAUCUGUCUUCAUGAUUGCCGCGUGUAGAGCAGUUCUACCAUUAGGGCCGCCAUAGUCCACUGAAAUGCAAUUAGUUAGGAUUUCAUCGAUCACCUUUUGUUGACCCCGCCAGUCAGAAGCAGCUGCAAUAUAAAGUGGAGUUUCUCCAUGAACAUUGGCGGAAUAUGAAAACUCAGGGUCCUCUUUUGUCAAUAUUUCAACCAACUGGCUCCGCCUAUGUCGAGCUGCCUCGUGCAACGCUGUAUCUUGCUCUUCAUUGGUCAUCCUCAACAUCUUUUUUGCUUCUGUUACUCCGCUCUCUGGAUCUGAAGGUAGAGCUUUUGCGCGGUAAAUGAGGACCUUUACCACUUUGGAAAGACCAUAUCUUGCUGCCAAAUGGAGGGGGGUUUCUCCUUUCUUAUUGGCUUGGAAUAACAGAGGUGGACACAUUUCAAGAAUUAUAUCAACAAAAUCAGUGAAUUCCGGUUCCCUACUAUGGUUUCCUAAGUAGACAAGAAGAAUGGUGUUCUCGUCUGGAGUCAAUAACUGAUCAAGGCGGGUUUGAUAAUUCUCAAAGGGAUCGAUAUUGCCUUCCUCCGCAGCUUUGUACAAGACAGGAUCCAUAUAGGGAUCGAUGCUAUUCAUUUUCUCAGAAGAAUCCAUUUUGUAGCUUAGAGAACUGACUAAAUGAAAUGUAAGCAAAUAAAGGGGAGGAGAAAUCACUGUGGCUCAAAGGUAAGAGGUUACACUCCUCAACUGAUCACAAGCUGCUGAUUUAUUUGGUCUGUUGCUUCUCUGGAGAUGGACAGGAUAUUUAUUGAGGUUGGAUUUUUAAAUGUUAUUUAUUUGAAAAUAUAUUAAAAAAAUUAUAUCAUUACAUUAAAAUUAUUUAAAAAUACAAAAAAAAAAAUUAAUUUAUAAUAAAAAAAAUUCAAAAACAUUUUUACGUUUUGAGCCAGAAGAUACAAAUUCAAAGACAAAGGUGAUACAAGAAACAGAAUCAAAUUUGGCCCAAUGCCAAGAGAAAGGAAAUAUCAACCAGCCCUUCUUGCUAGUCUACACUGUCACCACCUUAAUUAUACCAAGGUCGUCUAUUUUCUUGUAGUUGGUAUUUUGUUUUUUCAACUGUAACAAUGUAUUUUAAAUUUUGAAGUGUUUCGACUUUCGAGGUUGUACUCUUACAAGUUACUAUCCGGUAAGUUGCUGCAUUAAUUACCUACUAGAUAAAAUUGCAUGAGACUUGGUGAAUGUUUGAUAUCUAUGGUAAUUUUUUAAAUGUUUUUUUAAAUAUAUUAAAAUAAUAUUUUUUUAAUUUUUAAAAUUAAUAUAUCAAAACCAUUAAAAAACACUAAAAUACAUAUUAAUUUAUUUUAUUUUUAAAAAAUACUUUUUAAAAAAAUAUAUAUAACCAAAAGGAAUCUCUUUUCUAUUGUUAGAGAAUAUAAUUUUAUUUCAAACUGGAAAAAAAAAUUUUAAAAAAAAAAAAACAAACAAACAUGUUUCACGCAUCUGACUUGAAGAUAAGGAGAUUAUGGUCCAGCUCUAACCAUAAAAAAACGAGUGGAGACAGAAAAGAAGCAAGUGGGGCAGAGAAAUUGACCUCGAGGAAGACAAGCUAGGACAAUCAUUUUGAGUGUCUUUAUGUUCAAGAGCAGCUGCAAUACACGAAGAAGGCCAAGCUACUUCAAAAAUUGAACUUUCCACGAAGGUUGUCAGUCAAAUUUAAAUUUUAGACUUUGGAUCCAAGGCAAGAAUUAAAGGAACGGUUGGUAUGCAUCAGUGUCAUAAAUAGGGUUAACAUUAAUAGUUUCUUAGUUAUUUGGAGAUUUUUAUUUAUUUGAUGCACAUAAUAGUUCCUUUUUAAUUGUUGAUAUUAUAAUUGUUUUUUUUAAUUAAAACUCUAGGAAUUUGUUUAACAUUUGAACAUAAUUGUUACGUUAUUAAACUGAUUUUCAUAUCACACAUAAUAAGUCACUUUAAUAUUAUGCAUCUAGGUUGUCACAUUUUUUUCUCUAAUUUAUAUGUAUCAUAAAUUUUUAUUGCCAAUUUUAAGAAUUUCAAUAUAGGUUAAAAAUUUCUAGCAGGCAUCUCGAAUUUUUCACGUUGGCUUCCUCGGCGCAAGCUAGGCAUUCUUUGAUCCGAGUUUGAGGCCUAUCGCCCCCUCCUGUAAACAAAUUAGUGUCGACUUCCUUUUUUUACAAAACAAAGAUCCCGACAUGAAUCCCCGCUCCCGGAAAAGGUCGUCGCGACGCCGCGCUCUAGCGAGGGUGCGACAAGAACUUCGAGUCUUCAUAAACCUACCCAUCAAGUAUAGGUGCUCAACAAUAUUAUUUUAGUUAUAAAUUAAUAACUUCACACUCUUCCAUUUCAAAAAAAAAAAAAAUACAACAUAUUGAUCCAUCAUAUGCACCAAAAGAUAAGACAACUCUAGUUUCAUGAAGAAAUAUGAAAAAUAACAUGUAAAGUAUGCACAAUACUUCAACUCUUUAAUAAAAUUACUCUUGUUGUAAAAAUUACUCUAUAAUUUAUGCUCUCCUACAACUUGCAAGAUAUUUUAUUGAUAUGCUCUGGAUAUGGUAUCACAAUAUUGAUCUUGGCUUUAUAUUUGAUCUUUAUAAUUUGUAUAUUAAGCUAACCUUUUAUUUUAGCACUGGUAUACCAAGUAAAAAUAGCACGAUUAAGCUCUUCAUCAUUACACAACAAGAGAAUAGGGGUGAGCAAAUUUGGUUCGGUUCGGUUUUUAUCAAAAAAAAAUAACCAAACCAAAAAAAGUAUUUUAAAAAAAAACCGAAACCGGUUCGAACCGGUUGGUUUCGGCUCGGUUUGGUUUUUUAGGGAAAAACCGGUUUGGCUCGGUUCGGUUUUAUAAUCCUAAAACCGAUACCAAACCGAACCGGUUAGCUUUUUCAAAAUUUUAAUCGAUUUAAUCAGUUUUUUUUCCCGGUUCAGUUUUUUCAAUUAUUUUUUUCUCAGUUUUCUCGAUUUUUCAGUUUUUUUGCUUAUCCCUACAAGAGAAUGAAAGCACAAAACAUAUAUUUAAAGAUUCAACAAAUAAAUUGUAAACAUGAAUAAUCUAUGUGAACUUAUCGCCACAUAGGCUCUAAUAAGUGGAUUCUAUAAAUAUUCAUUAUGGGAAUGCUUCUAUAAUUUUUAUGAAAAAACUUUUGUCAAUAAAAAUCAUGUAAUAAAAAAUCAUAUUUGGGUGGAGGAAGCAAGUGUGACCAAAUAAGAAUACUCUUAUUUCUAGAGGGAAGAAUCUCCACGAUCUCACCAAUCUUCUACUAGGACAUUAAAGAAAAGUAAUAAGGGAUCCAUUUAUGAUUUCUUAACAUGCAUCAUUCACCACUAUGCAUACAUAGGUGUUGGAUUCCAUCUAGGGAAGAGAUUUUGUACGAUAUCCAUCUUUAAUGAAGAGUGGUAUUAACAUAAAUAACAUUAACAAGUUCUGUCAUUUUCAUUAUGACUUUAAUCAUGACAUUAAAGAAUAUCAUGCCCUAAAAGGAGAGAUAAAAAGGUUGAUAUCCAAGGGAUAUCUCCAAUAAUUUAUGAAGAAUGAGAUGUAAUUUAAACAAAUAAAAAAAAAUCUCCUCCUUAACACAUUACUAAUUUGUAAGAAAAUAUUGCCAGCAAUAUCUCCACUAAUUGCAAGCAAGGCACAUCAUCUAAUAACUUAAUUUUCUAUGAAAAUAUUUUUUUUUCUCCAUAAGAUAAGUUCAGAGACUACACCCGGUCUCCAUAUAUAUAGGAAAGCCAAAGUUACUCUUAGCCAUUGAAAGCUUUAGCCUUGCAAGAUAUCAGUUCUAAGCCACACAAAGCUAGCGCCAAGUUAUACAAGAGAUAAGUCUUGGAAAUACAGACUAAAAUAGUCUCUUCCAUUCUACACACAAAAACUCUGCACUCUUAUACUUACUAAUUUUAGUAUCAAAUAGUUUUCUAUUGUUUACAAGGGUUUUAUUUUGUAAAAUGGCUCCUGAACCUUCCAAGCCCAACUACAGUACCAUCAACCCAGGACGGCCAUGAAAAACCUAAUUUUUAUCUAAAUGUUUUUCAUAUAAUUUCAUUACCUAUACUGUUAGUGUUAAGCCAAUGGUAUGGAAGCCAUAUGCCUGUAAUCUUUCUAAAAGUAUUCGUUUUAGAUAAGUAUUCUCGCACUUUGAAUGCAAAGACAUUUACCGGUAGCUAAUACCAAUAUCACCACUAAAAGAAAGAGGGCUCUCUUCCACCUUUCCUUUCUUUCACAUCUUGAUUCGGACUUUAUAGAGGUCCAUGGCCGGCCAUUUCCCCUUGACCUCUCUGUCCAUGACCACUUCUUCUAUCGUACCAUGCCAUUUCUUUUUAGCGGUCUUGUCUUAGAGAAAAAAAUGUCAUGGUCAUGCACAUGAUCAAUCAAGUUUUGUCCUUGAUAUGUGACUCACUCAAGUAUAUAUUUAUCUGCCUUCUUUUUCUAUAUCGUAAAAAGGAAACCUUUCACAAAAGAGCUUUAAGUUAUGAUAGUUUGGUUUUUUUUAACAAAAACUGGCAGAACUUGUUUUGCUUUUUUUGAGUUUUUAUGAGAUUUUACUGACUUUUCAUAGGUUUUUUUAAAACUUUUUUUUUUUAGUUUUAUGGGCUUUUCCAAAAAACUUUUUAUAUAUCUAGUUAUUUUGAGCCCAAGUUAAUUAACAAUGCAUGCAAGGAGAAAAGUGAAUCCACUAAAGUUAUCGAAAGCAAAAUACUCUAAUUCAACUACCAAUCAAUAUAUCAUCUGCAUACACUUGAGUAUCUAAUUUAUUGGUCAACUGCAAAGCUUGUUUUUGUGAAGGUCCUGGGUUCGAUCCUCAAAAGUACCAGCCUGUCACCCCUGCGGUGUCUUACCUGCCUACUGGGCUUGCAGGAUGUUCAGUAGGCCCUGUGAUUAGUUGUGGUGCGCGUAAGCUGGCCCGGACACCUAGGGUCAACAAAAAAAAUCAUCUGCAUGCAACAAUUAUUUAUUGAACUAUGCUGGAUUGGUUUUUUUUUUUUGUGAAUCAUCACACACAUAGUAUAUAAAAGUUUUUCCUGUAGCCAUUGAUUAACUUUUAGCGUCAAAUACAUGCAUCGACAAAAGAUCUGAAGUUCUUUGAACAGAAAAGCUGGAAUUUAUGCAGUGACAGUGAUAGAAAAGCAAGCAAUUAUGCACAAUUAUCCUAUUUGCAGUCAGGGCAUCUAAUUCCGACUUGCUUUUUUUAUUUUAUUUUAUCCUUAAUCAAUUAUUCAUUUUACUAUUAUUAUUUUCAAUUUCAUUCUCUUCACAUAAUUUUAACAUGACAGUUGGGCUUGGUUUGCAUGUGGUGCUGCAUUCAUGAUAUAAAAAAAACUAUCAUGGCAUUAAAUUGAUCAUCAAUUUUAUAAAACUUAAUUUAAUUUUAUCAAUUCAAAAAAAUAUAUACAGCAGUGACAGAGUUUAACACAAACAAAAAACCCUUUUUUUCUUUUUUAUUGUUUAAGAAGCAUGGAAAACUAUAGUUUAUUCCCAAAGUUUUUUUUUUUCACUUUUAGUCCCUAUAUAUGUUUUCUAGGGUUUCAUGUUAGGGUUUCAAUAGUUAUUAUAAUUUGAAAGGAAGGAGAAAGUUACCAAAAAAAAGUAAAUAUAAAAUAUUUGACCAUUCAUAUUUUAACACUAAAAAAAUGAUUUUAUUAUUUAUCAUUUAGCUUCUGUUCAUAACUGCUAAUAAAAAUAAUGAUUAUUUACAACCACUAUUCUAUUAAUGGUUAUAAAAUAUUAAAUAAAAGUGUUUUAUGUUUUAAAUAUUUUUAUUUUUUCUAGCUAUAUUUCAAAAAACAUUACGACAAAAAAAAUAAUUAAACUCUUGAAUGCUACAUGGUAUAUGGUCCCAGAAUGAGACCGUGCAAAGAUUUCUUGGUCCCAUAAAUAUUUCUGAUCGGUUAACUUUACUAGUGAUUUAGCAUUUGCUUGGCCUUUAGCAAAUAAUUUCAGGACUGAUUUGAUUUUUUAUCUUGUCUCGUAGCCUUUAUCACGGUGGAAAGUAUGAAAUAUGAAUGCACUUAGACAAAAAUAAGAGCAAAGACAGGACACAAGUCGGGUCCUCUUCUUUUUCCUUUCACUGGUUUCGGUGCUGUCCCGUCCCCUCUGCUUUUUUGUCCACAGGGCCCAAGUUCAACGUGUUUCGCAUUGCUCAAGACCUCGUCAUCCGCGCAAAAGAAGACUCUAGGGUAGAAUUUUUGUUUUUAUUUUUAAAUUAAUAUUUUUUUUAAUAUAUUAUAUUAAAAAUAAAUUUUAAAAAAUAAAAAAUAAAUAUAUUUCAUAAAAAACAUGCAAUCCUGUCUUUUUUUUUUUUUUUGGGGGUGGGGGGAUUUUUUUUUUUAGGGUUAUAAAACAGAUUGAGUUAGAGUUUAAUUUGAAAUUAAAUUAGUUAAGGAGUUGAUCAGUUUAACUUUUUUUUAUAAAAUUAUUUAAAUUAAGAAUCAAAUCUUGAUAGCUUCUGUUUUAAAUAAAAAUGCUUUAUCAACACAAUAUUAACACAUUUAAUAGAAAUUGAUUUUAAUAUUAUAUAUUUAUAUUUAUAUAUAUAUUGUUUAAACUACGGCGACUUAGGAUAAGUAAAGGAAUUUUUGUAAUAUUUAUUAAAUAUAAAGGGGAUUUUUAUCAAAUCUUUAAACAUUUAGAUAAUUCAUAUAAUAUUACAAUACUUAAAUGGAAGGUAUUGCAAUUUAUGCUAUUUUAUAUCAUUACUAACGUCAAUUUUUUUUAUUUUUUUUGUUGAAGUCCAUUUGAAAGGAAAGAUUGGACCAACGUCGAGUAUAUAUUUAUCUGCCUUUUUUUUCUUUAUCGUAAAAAGAAAAUAUUUCACUAAAAGAGCUUUAAGUUAUGAUAGUUUGGUUUUUUUUUAACAAAAACUAGCAAAACUUGUUUUGCUUUUCUCGAGUUUUUAUGAGAUUUUACUGACUUUUCAUAGGUUUUUUUUAAAACCUUUUUUUUAGUUUUAUGGGUUUUUUAAAAACUUUUUUUAUAUCUAGUUAUUUUAAGCUCAAGUUAAUUAACAAUGCAUGCAAGAAGAAAAGUGAAUCCACUAAAGUUAUCAAAAGCAAAUUACUCUAAUUCAACUACCAAUAAUAUAUCAUCUAGAUUCAACAAUUAUUUAUUGAACUAUGCUGGAUUGGGUUUAAUUUUUGGGUGAAUCAUCACAUACAUAAUAUAUAUAAGCUUUUCCUGUUGCCACUUGCCAUUGAUUAACUUUUAGCGUCAAAUACAUGGACAAAAAAUUUGGAAUUCUUUGAACAGAAAAGCUGGAAUUUAUGCAGUGACAGUGAUACAAAAUCAAGCUAUUAUGGACAAUUAUCCUAUAUGCGGUCAGUGCAUCUAAUUCCGAGUUGCUUUUUUUUUUUAAAAAAAAUAUAUCCAUAAUCAAUUAUUCAUUUUAUUAUUAUUAUUUUUAAUUUCAUUCUCUUCACAUAAUUUUAAUAUGACAGUUGGGCUUGGUUUGCAUGUGAUGUUGUAUUCAUGAUAUAAAAAAACUAUCAUGGCAUUAAAUUCACCAUCAAUUUUAUGAAACUUAAUUUAAUUUUAUCAAUUCAAAAAAAUAUAUACAGUGCUGACCGAGUUUAACACAAACAAAAAAACCUUUUUUUUUAUCUUUUUUAUUGUUUAUGAAGCAUGGAAAAUUAUAGUUUAUUCCCAAAGUUUUUUUUUUCACUUGUAGUCCCUAUAUAUGCUUUCUAGGUUUCAUGUUAGGUUUGAUAGUUAUUAUAAUUUGAAAGGAAAGAGAAGGUUAAAAAAAAAGUAAAUAUAAAAUAUGUGACCAUCCAUAUUUUAACACUAAAAAAAUGGUUAUAAAAUAUUAAAUCAAAGUGUUUUAUUUUUUAAAUAUUUUUAUCUUUUCUAGCUAUAUGUAAAAUAAAAUAAAAAUGAGUCUUGAAUGCUACAUGGUAUAUGGUCCCAGAAUGAGACCGUGCAAAGAUUUCUUGGUCCCAUAAAUAUUUCUGAUCGGUUAACUUUACCAGUGAUUUAGCAUUUGCUUUUGAAUUUUCUUCCCUGCCUUUAGCUAAUAAUUUCUGGAACUGAUUUGACGUUUUAUCUUGUCUCGUACGUAGCCUUUGUCAGCGUGUUCACACGGUGGAAAGCAUGAAUGCACAUGGACAAAAAUAAGAGGGAAUGACGAAGAACAGAAGUCUGGUCCUUUUCUUUUUCCUAUCACUGGUCUCGGUGCUGUCCCGUCCGUCCCCUCUGCGUGUUCAACUUGUUUCGCAUUGCUCAAGACCUCAUCAUCCGCGGAAAAGAAGACUCUAGGGUGAUUUAGCAUUUGCUUGGCUGGCAGCUGCUUUUGAAUUUUUUUCCCUGCCUUUAGCUAAUAAUUUCUGGACUGAUUUGAUUUUCUUAUGUUGUCUCGUAGCCUUUGUCAACAUGUUCACACGGUGGAAAGUAUGAAUAUAUUAGAGGUGAUGGAGAGUUUUAUUGUGGUUGUUUUUUAAAUUAUUUUUAUUUAAAAAAAUAUUAAAAAAAUAUUUUUUUAAUUUUUAAAAAAAUAUUUUUUACAACAGUAAAUUAAAAUAUCUGAAAAUAUUUAAAAAAUAAUAUUUUAAAAUUAAAAAAUUAAAAAAAUUAAAUUUUUUUAAAAAUAUAAAAACAAACAGUAUUUUAAAUCACAGACAAAGAACACAAGUCUGGUCCUUUUCUUUUUCCUUUCACUGUUGUUCCGUCCCCUCUGCAUUUUUGUCCACAGAGCUCAAUUUUAACGUGUCACCCACGGAAAAGAAAACAAGCCUAAUUUUAAUUUUUUUUGAAAUUAUGGGUUGUGAUGCGUUUCUAAACGGUACUUUAUUAUCCCGUCCCCUUUUCGGUAUGCAAAACUGUCUUAGUUUUUCUUUGGGAGUGGGGGGAUUGAUUCGGAGUUUAAUCGGAUUUUAAUUCGAAAUUAAAUUAGUUAAGGAAUUGAUCGUUUAACUUUUUAAAAAAUUAUUUAAACUAAGAAUCAAAUCUUGAUAGCUUGUCUGUUUUAAAUAAAAAUGCUUUGUCAACACACUAUAUUAACACAUUUGAUAGAAAUUGAUUUUAAUAUUAUUUAAUUUCACCGCUACUGUAUAAUAUAAUGAAAGACUAAGGUGAAAUUCUUACCAGUGGUGAUCAGUUUUUGAUUGAUUAGGUUUUUGGUUAAAAAAAAACCAAAUAUUUUUUAAAAAAAUAUCACAACUGAACUGUUUGGUUUUUUUAAUAAAAACUGGUAAAAUCUGUUUUUGUUUUUUAGUUUUUAUGGGAAUUUACUAAAUUUUCAGUUUUUUUCAAACUUUUUUUUUAAGUUUUAUGGGUAUUUUUAUACUUUUUAUAUAUCUAGCUAUUUUUAGCCCAGGUUAAUUAACAAUGCAUGCCAGGAGAAAAGUAUAAACAAAAACUUUAAAAAAUAAAAAUAUAUAUUUUAUAAAAAAUUAUUUUCUAGCGAGUAAUAGAAAAAAAUAAUAGCAAAGACAAAGAACACAAGUCUAGUUAUCUUUUUCCUUUCACUGCUGUCCCGUCCCCUCCGCAUGUUUUUUCCACAGAGCCCAAGUUUAACGUGUCAUCCGCGGAAAAGAAGACUUGGGGUAGAAUUUGAGUUUUUUUAAGAAAAAAAAAAUAAUAUAUUUUUUAUAUUUUUAUAAAAAUAUUAUAUUAAUAUAUUUUUUUAAAAAAAAUUGAAUGCUUGAGCAAUACUCACUGUCCCGUCCCCGCUGCAGUAUUCUCCAUGGAACCCAAGUUUAAUUCUGAUGCAAUCCUGUCUCAGUUUGUUUGAGGAGUUGAUCGUUUAACUUAAAAAAAAUAAUAUUUAAACUAAGAAUCAAAUCUUGAUAGCUUCUGUUUUAAAUAAAAAUGCUUUGUCAACACUAUAUUAACACAUUUGAUAGAAAUUGACUUUAAUAUUAUAUACUUAUAUCUAUAUAUAUUGUUUAAACCAAGAAAACAUGCUUAAAUUACGGCGACUUGGGAUACGUAAAGGAAUCUUUUACUAUUUCUGAAAAGUUGUGUAAAAAUUUAUUUUUAAAUUAAGUUUUUUAGGGAUUGAUAACUGGAACUAGUAGUGUUUAUUAAUCCAAGAGCUGAAAAUCUACUUUUCACUUUUUCACUUUUUGAUGGGUAUUAUCAAUUAUGGUUCGGCCAAUGCCAGCCAAAACCCUAAAAAAACUACAUGUGUGCCCCGCUCUCACGCUGGGGCCUAGGAGCCUGGCGAUUUUUAUCAAAAUCUUUAAACAUUUAGAUAAUUCAUAUAGUAUUUCAAUACUUAAAAGGAACGUAUUGUAAUUAUAGCAAAAGUUAAAUGGUAUGGAGAAAUUAUUAUAUAUUAAAAUAUAUUUUAUUAUGAAUUGUAAUAAUAUUUUAAUUUUUAAUUUUUUUUUUAAUUUGUUUUUUGUUGUUUGUGUUUUUUUUUUCUUAACAUCUAAACUACUCAAUUGUCUUUUUUUUAUUAUUAUUAUUUAUCAAAUUAGACAUAACCGCUAUACUCAAUUCUCUUAGAUCUGGUUUGGCUAUAUCUAAUUAUUUUAGAUUUUGCAUGACAAUUAAACCCAAGGCUCUUUGGUUUGUCAUGACCACUAAACCCAAGAGUCUAUAAAAAUAUUUUAAAAAAUAAUAAUUAAGAUUUAAGUUUAAAAUACUUUAAUGAUAAUUUAAAUAUUUUUAUAAAAACAAAAAAAAAUAUAAACAAAUUAAUUAGGAUUUCUGUUUAGGAUACUUUAAGAUAAUUUAAAUAUUUUUUGUAUAAAAUAUUUAUAAAAUUAUUAAUUAAUAUUUUUGUUUAGAAUAUUUCAAGGAUAUCUAAAUUUUUUUUUAUAAAAAAUAAAAAAAAUUAAUUAGGAUUUUUGUUUAGGAUACUUCAAUGAUAGUUUAAAUGUUUUUUUAAUAAAAAAUAAAAAACAUAAUUAGAAUUUUUUUUAUGAUACUUAAAAGAUAGUUUAAUUUUUUAAAAAAAUAAAAAUAAUUUAUAAAGGAAUUAAUUAGAAUUUCUGUUUAGAAUACUUCAAUGAUAGUUUAAAUGUUUUUUUUUCAAGACUUUUGGGUUUAACAUGGUUGCCAGAUUCAAUUCACUUGAGUAUAGUAUGACUGUUAAACCCAAUAAAUUUAAAAUAUUUUUUAUACUUUUAAUAUCUUUUUAACAAUUUUUAAAAAAGAUAUUGAUCUACUGUGAAGAAUAACCCAAAAUAUUAGUUUAUGUUAUUUUAUAUCAUUAUUAACGUCAAAUUUUUUUUUUCUUUCCAUAAAGUCCAUUUGAAAGGAAAGAUUGGAUGAAAUUAGAAAUCACAAGACAUCGUUUGUUUGGCGAAAAAUGAUUUCCUAAAAUGAUUUUUCAAUUUUUUCUCUGUUUGUUUGUCAUUAGAAAUGUUGGUCAACAGAAAACACUUUUCAAUUAAAGAAAAAUUUUGCUUAGUUUCAAGGAAAGUGUUUUUCUUUUUAUUUUGGAUGGAAAACACUUUUAAGAAGUUAUGAAAAAAUUAAAAAUAUCAUCUUAUUUACUAAUUGUAUCCAAUUUGGUCCUUAAAUUUUUUAUUGCUAUAUAUAUUUUGUUUAGAAUAUUUAUUUUUCAAUUUUAUCCAUUAGAAUUUGAUUUUUAUAUUAACUUUGGUCCUUAUUUUUAUGAUUAUUAUUUGAUUUUGAUCUCUUAUCAUUUUUUUAAUUGAAAUUUUUUAUCUAUCAAAUUUGGUCAUCAUUCUUUUAAUUGUUACUUAUUUUAUUUGAAAUAAUUUAUAAAAUUAUAAUAAUUAUUAUUUUAAUUUCAUCAUCUUUUAAUUUUUUUAAUCUGUUAAAUUUGAUUUCUAUUAUUUUAAUUAUUAUUUAUUUUAUUUGAGAUAGUUUAUGAAAUUAUAUAUUUUUUUCAAUUUCAUUCUCAUUCACCUUUUUAAUUUGUAAAUUUGUUUCUUAUUAUUUUAAUAAACUUGAAAAACAAUAAAACAUUAAUAAGUUAUUUUCUAGUUUAUUUUCUAUGACAUAACCAAACACUAAAAAAUAUUUUCAGUUAAAAAGAAAAGUCAACUUGGUUUUGGACCUUACGACUGGAUCCAUAAUCCGGAUUUUAGACCUAUAAAGCCCACGUUCCGGCCAUUUUGUUGCAAGGCCCAUUAUGCCUAGAAAUUAUUCCCGUGAUGUUAAAAAACGUUGUUCAUGUUAAGAAAAAUAAUCUUUCUAGAGUGGUGAUAUAUAUAUAUUUGCGCUACGGAAAGCAAAGAUAACAAGGUGCAGGGGUGGAUGUGCCAAGACCCAGCAGUGGGAUUUUGGAUCAUCACACAAUAUGCAUUACAUAUAGUGUGUUUGUAUAAUUAACAUAUACAUAAAUUGUUUAUUAUUUUUUAUAUAAAAAAACGAUUCAACCAAGAAAAUUGGUUAAAUUUUGAAUGAAUAUCAAGAAUUAUUAUAUAUAAAAAGAUUUUAAUUUAUAAUUAUUUAAUAAACCUAUAUUAAAUAUCAUAUCAAAUAAUCAUCUAAAUCAAUCAAACAAAAGGUAUAAAAUAGUAUUAUAUAUUUAUAUUAAUUCAAUAUCAUAGGAUUCCAUGCACACAUGUACACGGUUUGAUCCGAAGAAUGAUGUGAUAUAUACCGUAGGUAAAAGCAAUUAAACUCGAGAUUGGUUUUUUGCUCAGGUUCCCAGGUAAUAUAAUCUUCUUCUUUCUAUUGGUUCUUCUGUAAUUACACACACACACACUUUUUGCAUCGUAGGGAUGAAGGAAACAACUGGUCAUUACACAUUCCAAUUGGAUUUAGCAUCAGCCCAUUUAUGUGCCCUUCAGGUAAAAAUCUUCACAUUCUUUCGAACAAAUGUUUUUUUCAAAAGUAAAAUAAACUGAGUUACUUUCUCAUGAUUUGAUCGAUCUUUUUUUUCAAUCUGUACGAGAAUUGUGCUUACUUUUUCAAUGAAGAAUAAAAAAAUAAUUCUAAUAAUUGAAUACUCAUCUUAUCCCUCUGGAAACUCAGAGAGUGCAAUAUCAUUAUGAAGGAGAGAGUACUUAUUUUCAUUGAAAAUGAUUAUUGUCUACAUUAAUAAGACACACAGAGAGAAUAAUCAUGUGCAUCAACAGCAGAGAGAAUCUGAAGAGAACAAAGGAGAGUAAUAUUCUAUGCUUCGAAAACAUUUUCAAAUGCCCUUUGCCGCGCAGAAUUCUGAUCCUAAUAUCAAAAUCGUUUCCUUUUAUGAAUUAGUUUUGAUUCUUUUUUUGGGGUGCAAAGUUUUUGAUGAAAACUAAAAUACAUGAAAGAUUGUAUGUAAGGUUUUCGUAUAUUUAGACACAUAUAAGAAGAUCUUUUCGCUAAUUAUCGUGUGAUACUAAAUUUCUUUAUUUUUUGUAAUUAGGUUUUGUUUUUUCGAUUCAUAAAUGUUUUUCUACAACUGGGAUGCGCAUAUAUUACCAUGCAUGGUUUUUAAGAAAAACUGUGAAAAUUAAAAUAAAAAAUAUAUUAAUUUGUAAAUUUUCAGUAAAUAUAUUCUUUUAGUACUCACAAAAUUAAAUAAAUUCAAUUAAAUAAAAUUUCAAAAUAUAUUUUAUAUUAUUUUUUAACUAAUAACAGGUAUAACAAUCAAACACUAAUUUGAAGUAAAAAAUAAAAAAUAAAAUCAGUUACAUUACUUCUUCAUGAGAGAAUGAAAAGAACAGGAUCCGAUGGAAUCGCCAUAUAUCAUGUGAAGUUUACAAUUUCCACCACCGGUUCCAACGGUCAAGUGAAAUAAGUUUUAAACUUGCUUUGCACUUCUAUAUUAUGUAAUUAUUUAUUUUUGUCAAUAUUUAUUAAUACCAGGCUGCAAAGUCAAUGCUCAGAGAGGAGAAUGAUUAACUAUGCACGCCCUUGCAUUAUGAAUUUGUCUAUGACGACGUCCUCUUUAACAUGGUAGAGUUAAUAAUUUCUUAGAUAAUUAAUUAAUUAAUUAUUAAUUCUCUUGGUCUUUCCUUCAAGAUCCAACAUCCCAUUUGCAAAAUAAUUAUAUGAAAAGAAAGUCGGUCCAAUAUUAAAUAAUAAUAAGUUACAAGUCCAAUCAUUACCAUUAUUUUAUCAAAUUACAUGUUAUUUAUAGAGAGCAUAUAGCCCUUGUUUGACAUAUUCAUACUAUCAUACACUUCAACUCAUCGUUCUUCUCCACAAUCAAAUUCAGGCUUCAGCAGCAAAAAGUUAUAAUGGCGGUAAGCGUGUAUACAUUUAGUGGAUGAAAUUAACCGUAGGUUAAUUAAAAGAGCUUUCUAUUAAUUAAUAUUUUCUCGUAUCAUAUUACAACUGAAAGGAAAGAAUGACACAAUUGUAUUGAAAAUUUUCGUUGUAUUUACCCAGUCGAUCAUAGAAAUGAGAGUGCAUAUGGAUUGUGCUCGAUGCGAGAGCAAGAUGAAAAAUGCUCUGGAAAAAGUCAAAGGUAAGAAACACCUCCACUAAAAACUUUAUGCAAGCGACAAUUUCUUCAUAAUCAUCCCUUUUUUUUCAUGAAUUAUUUUCUAUGUUCCUCUCUUUUUAAGGUUUCCUUUGGACAUAUUUUCUUGGACUAUAUCUUAAACUUUUGUAUUUAUACAUAUACACACACAGGCGUAGAUGACAUAGACAUAGAUAUAGAUAUGGGGUUACAAAAGGUGACGGUCAUAGGAUGAGCUGACCAAAAAAAGGUUCUAAAGACAGUUCGAAAGACAGGAAGAAGAGCUGAGCUCUGGCAAUUACCUUACAAUCCACAACAUCAUAGCUAUUCUGGCCAUUACUAUAACCAACACCAAGUUAACGGUCCACUUACUUACUAUGCUCCUCAGCCUUCCUCUUCUUACAAUUACUACAAGCAUGGAUAUGAUAGCAAUUAUCAUGGUUAUUGUUGCACCCAAAAAAAAAAAUUCGGCGCGCGGCAUCGGAUGGCGAUUUAAGUCUCGUUGUCAUUGCGUUUGUUUGAAUUGUUCGUUGGAGUCGCCACCUAGUAAUUUAUUGAAGGCUACUAGGAAACCGGAUAUACUGGUCUGGUUAGAGAUUCACGGGUAAGGGACUGGUUGUGGUUAGGGAAGGUAUUAGCACCCCUAACACACCCUACCUGAGGUAAGCUGCUUCGUGACUUUGACGUGUUAAAGAAGUUUUAAUAAUUGUCUUUUCAUCGGAAAUUAGAAAUAUCACUUACGUAUAAGUUAAUAAUUCUUAACCGUGAUCCGAUCAAAAUAUUAAAUUCUUCUUUAAUAUAUUUGCAAUUUCAUCCUAAAAAAUAAAAAAAUAAAUAAAUAACAUAACAAAAUUCAUAAAAACAAAUACAAACACACACAUAUACUUUCACUAUAUUUCUUUUCUUUUCUUUUCCUUUCUUUUUUUUUUUUUUUUUUGUUACAUCCAUAAUACAAAAUACAAAUACAAAUUCAAAUUCAAAAUAAUAAAUAAAAAUUACAUUACAUAAUUUAAAAUUUACAAAACAUGUCCCUAAAAUUCUAGAAAUUGCAGGGAAGGACUCCUGCACCCGCUGGAACAGUAGCGGCGCGUCGCCCAACGCGCCCCCACCACUGGCGGCGCGUGGGCUCACGCGCCGCCGCUGGAAACUAAAAAAAACAGGGGGCUGGGGUCUUCUUCCCCUCUGUCUUCCCACGCCGGCGGUGGGAGUCACCGUCACCUUCAAAGACCCCAAAGAUACACAAGGCAGUUGGUUUUAGUUUUGUUUUCACAUAUCUGUUUUCCUUCUUCUUCUCCAGAUCUGCUCCCGGUCUUCUUUCUUCUUCGUGACGUCCGUCUUUCCUUCUUCAAUCGGUGGCUCUGUCGGAGGCGGGAGCUGUCGGUGGUGGUCACUGUGUUGACAGCGUGGACGGCGCUGUUCGGCUGAAGAAGGAGACGGCGGGUCUGCAGCGAUGGGGAACGGCUGUUUUCUGUGGGCACCGGGACUGUGGUUUCGGAGGAGGCGCCGUCGAAGGAAGAUCGAUGGCGGGGGAAGCAGCGUGGAUGGAGAGGGACGGCGCCGCCGCUGGGUUCUUCGGGUGGCUGAGGAAGAAAGGAAAUAAAUCAGAGGGAAAGGUGGGGGACGAGUCUGUCGGAGCAAAACAAUUCCAGCGGGGGGAUAAAACAAAUCAAGCCGGAGAGGAGAGAUUAGCCGUGGCCUCUGGUUUUGGGAGAGCUGGUAAAUGAAGGCAGUGUGUUGAUGACCGGUGGCUGGGUUAAGGAGGAGGAAAUCCGGCCUGGUUUGGGUCGAAAAAAAAAAAUGAAACCGGGGAGUAUGGGGGCCUGUUUGGCCGGGUGUAGGGGAGCUGUGGUUGGGGGAAGGAAGAAGAGAAAAAAUAAAAAAAUCCAAAGGAUGGGGGGCUCCGGUGGCUGCCUUUGGUUAGAGAUGGAUUUUAGGGUUUUUUUGUGGUUUAGGGUUUUUAUUUGUUUAAUUUUCUGGUGUUUCCAAAAUUAGCCCCCCCUUGAAUGUGUUGAAGAAACCAGUAUUUAUUGGCGAAAUGUUGCUAGGUUUUUCAACUUGGUCCCCUCAACUUCUUUCUUUUUUGUAAAUUUUGAUUUUUCUUAUUUUUUUGUAUUUUUUUGAAAAACGAGCAAUAUCAAACGUCGACUCAAUGAGGAAAAUCAAUUAUUUUAAAAUGGCGCGUGAAAAUUCGAACGCAUUUGAAAAUCUUUUUAAAAAAAUUAAAAUUCUUUUUUAGACGACGUUGAAAAUGCUAAAAAUGACGAAAAUAUAUUAAAAAAACAUAUUUUUUGGAUUUUCUUUGUUUUUCUCUAUUUUGAAAAUAUUUUUGAAAAUAUAUCAAAAACAUGGGUCAAAAAUUGGGUAGCAACAGUUGCCCCCUCUUUACAAUGCUUACGAAGCAAAACUCCUCAAAAUUUUGAAUAGUAAGCUUUGUAAAGAAAACAAAAGGAAAAUGAUUUCAUUAUCUUGGGCGACCUGCCCACACACUCACACGGAUCUAUUUUCACGGGCGACCUGCCCACACAUACUCACUCUGGUCUAUUUUCACGAGCGACCUGCCCACACAUACUCACUCUGGUAUGCAUAUGUUCGAUGUUCAUCUAAAUGCACUCACCCGAUAACAUCUGCCCACACACCUCAUUCAACUGGAACGAAAUAUGCGUAACUCGGUUAACCUGAAAUCCCAUCUGGCGAUUCCCUUUAACCAAAGCUACAUGAGAUCCCAUCUGGCGACCUCAUUCAACUGGAACUAAACUGUGUGUAACUCGGUUAACCUGAAAUCCUAUCUGGCGAUUCCCUUUAACCAAAGCUACAUGAGAUCCCAUCUGGCGACCUCAUUCAACUGGAACUAAACUGUGUGUAACUCGGUUAACCUGAAAUCCUAUCUGGCGAUUCCCUUUAACCAAAGCUACAUGAGAUCCCAUCUGGCGACCUCAUUCAAUUGGAACGAAAUAUGCGUAACUCGGUUAACCUGAAAUCCCAUAUGGCGAUUCCCUUUAACCAAAGCUACCCGAGAUCCCAUCUGGCGACCUCAUUUAACCAAAACAAAAGAAUGUGUGAAAAAUGGUCUCAUUGUAUGGGUGACGAACCCAAGAAAAAUGAUGGUCUCAUUGUAUAGGUGAUGAACCCAAGAAAAAUGAUGGUCUUAUUGUAUGGGUGACGAACCCAAGAAAAAUGAUGGUCUCAUUGUAUGGGUGACCUACCCAAAUGGAAAAAAUGUGAAGUGCGGUCUCAUUGUAAUGGGUGACCUACCCACGUGGAAAAAAUAUGAAGUGUGGUCUCAUUGUAAUGGGUGACCUACCCGAAUGGAAAAAAUAUGAUGAAGUGCGGUCUCAUUGUCAUGGGUGACCUACCCGGAUGGAAAAAAAUAUGAAAAACGGUCUUAUUAUGAUGCGAGACCUACCCAGAUGGAAAAAAUGUGAUAUGACAAGUGUGAAAAAUAGGACUUACCUGGCGAAGUCUGAGGGGAUGACAGAAGAAGGGCUGGAAAACUUGGUGCUUCCUGAUAAUUCUCAAUCAUAGGGUUUGAAAACUCGAUGUUUCCUGACUGCAAGGGUUGAAAACUCGAGGCUUCCCGAUUGCAAGGUUGAUCUUUUCAUUUCUUUGGGAUUUUCCUAAUGGUAAGGUUUAUCCCAUCUUCUUUUUAUUCCAUGAUCAAAACCGAUUCGUUACUAUUAUCACCACCAUGCUUCCUUCUUUUUCCAUCAUCUUGCUGGACCUCAUUAAGGGUUUUCCUGUAACAAUUCAAAAAUAUAUGCAAAUAUUUUUUUUUAUUUUUUUUUUUAGGUUAGAUGAUAUGCAUGCAUCCUUACCUGAUUUGAAAUAAUAGGUCCCCCCUCUUUGAUGCUCCAUCGUCAUAGGGUGCCCUUGUUUGUAUCCCAAAGCUUUCUUUGUUCUUCCGAUGUAUUGGCUCAUUCAUGUGUUAGCCAUCCACUCAGCUGUAAAUGCAGUGCCCAUCCCGGGCUGUCUUCGACAAUUACUGCUUGCAUCGUUCAUGAAGCUUGACCCUGCCCCCAAGUGUGGUACUGCUUGAUUCAUCAUGAAGAUUUUCUCUCCUGGCUUCUUCUGAGAAUUAUCCUCUGAUUGAUUGUGUGCAUCAUGCCAACACCCAUCACGUUUGUUAAUCAGUCAUGAACUUGCCUUCGGUUGAAACACCAUUCAAGUAUGUAUGGUCACCAGCCUUCAUGGAACUGCCAAGUCAUCCAGACAUGUAUCUCAUGCUUUGCAGUAAACAACUCAUCAUUGUAAGCGCGAUGUAUUUCUCUAUGGAUUCCUCUUAGCUUGUCAAAUCAGAUCGUGAAAAUACCUGCUUUGGCAUCAUCAAUGAUGUUCAUGUUAUCACCCAUAUUCAUGCGGUGAAGUGCGCAUUUGAGCUUCAGAAUAGAUGGUCCCAUCGUAAAUCUUGGUGGUAUGCAUAUGUUCGAUGUUCAUCCAAAUGCACUCACCCGAUAACAUCUGUCCGGAGUCAUAUCCAUGUUUUACAAAGUAACCUAAGAUGAAGAUAUGAAAAUAUCUUUCUAGUGCAGCGUUGCUCAUCAAUUGCUGCUGAAGUGCACUAGAUCAUGGAUUGUCUUUGAACAACAUUGGCCCCAGUAUGAUCUGAAGGUUCAUUCAUUGGUUUAUACUCAAGAAGGUUUUUCUUUUUCAUUGUCAGAUGCUAAACAUAACUUUGAUGAACUUUGACAACUCAUUAUCGGAUUCUUUCUUUGCCCCUAGCUGAUCUGGAUACUGUUUGCUUUCCUUCUUAAGGUCCACUGUAUUGCCCCCAGGUGGUCAACGUUUCAAGGAGUGUCGAGAAAUGUUGAUGUCAUUUUUGUCAAGAAUUUUGCAAACUCAAUUGAUGUUCUUGUUUGAAAAUCUUUCUUGUUCUGGAAUCAAAUCUCAACAUUUCAACGAUCAUGUCUAUUCAAGUAUAAUUGUUGAAAUGAAAUCAGAGAGAUAUCAGUUUUUGAAAAGUUAUUUUUGAAAUUCGAGCUCCUUUGGUCAAAGACCCAACACACUAUUCAAUGCAGUCCUUUGAUUGUCUUGUAUUUUGAAAACAGAAAUGACCCGUUGUAAGAUUUAAAAUGACUUUUUCAUGGUUCUUUGUGUCCACUUUAAACUCUGAUUUUGGGUAUAUCUUUUGAUGGUUUAUGGUGAGGUGAUAUUUUUGUGAAUCUCAAAUGACUAGAUGCUCAGGCUUGAUAAAGAAAGGUUGUUUCUUUUCUCAGUAUUUAUUUUAUCAGCAUGCAUAAUAACCAGUAGCCUAAUUCAAUGAAGCCACGACUCUUAUAGAAAAAACUCUUCAAGUUUUGAGAUCGCCAUUUAUUGGUUCAGAUUGCUUGCUUGAUUAAAAAGGGCUUUUAAAAGCACGUAAUGCAGGCUAUGGUUCAUGGCUAUGAAAGAAAGGAAUUCCAUAGGCUCAAAAGGUGUUUGAGGGUUUCAACGACCUAGGACCAACAUUAACUAUUCACCGAUUCUCUUUCUCUUGUUGUCAUUGUAAAGAGAGUGACAUAUAACCUUGUUAAUCUUCAAAUAGAAUUCUCUUAACAUAGGUCAUAAUGCAAAUCCAACUUUUUCUUUGAUGAAUAACUAAUCUAAAUAUUUUUGAAGACAUUAGAGGCUCUAUCCAAGACACACCAAAAGAUAUGAAGCAUCGAUUUUUCUAGUGUUGACUUUUGGCAUUUGCUGUCUUUUCUCAAUUGAAAACUGUCUUGCCUCUCUUAGAAUUGAUAGGCAUUUUCUUUCCUUUCCAUUUUCUUUACAUUUUUUUUUGCAUAGCCUUCCUCAAAGUUUUUUCUUGGAUGGCCCUCAAUCUAUGGAUUUUCUUCUUCUAGCCCUUUCUCAAACAUUGGACUUUUGUUCUAAGCUUUUCUUUGAUCCAUUGAUUUUAUCAGUGUCUCCAAAAUAUUUCUCAUUUGCCCCCAGUGUGGGGUGUGAUCCUAGUCAGGGUUUCCUUUUGAAAGAAAAUAUUUCACCAGGCUCAAAAUGGGACUACAAGGGAUAUAAUCUUUAGAAAGUGAAGGGAUAUCAAAGAUGGCCUUUUCUCAUUUCAAGCAAAGUCGGUUAGAACCGAUAAAUUUUGACCUCAUCUAGUGUAAUGAUUUGUAUUUGCAAGAAUCAUGAUUCACGAGUCCAUAACUAUUGAAUCCACUACAUGUCAUUAUGCAUACUGCUAAAACUUAGCUAUAUGAUGUGUGGUUCAGUUUCAAAAGGUAUGAGUUCAAAAUUGUUUCACCUCAUGUCAUUUUCAAGCAUAGAGUCAUUUCUGUAAUCAAAACACUUUUAAUCUUCCGGAUUGAUUAACCUUUAUCGCAUGUUGGAGUUUGAUCAAAAUAUUUUGUCAGAAUAAAAUGUUAAACAUCUGUUGAUUUCAAAACAACAAAGAGACAAAAGCAAGGCAUGUUUCGUUGAAGGAUGAGAUGUGAUCCCAAAACAAAAUGCAGAAUUCCAUAACAAUAUGAUUGACUGUUCAUCACCCUUCUCGAAUCAGCUUUUCUGGCAAUAUCUGUGUUUUGCCAAGCAUUUUCGAUCACAUGUCAUUCUAAAGAUGUUCGGGGAACAAUAUAGCCAAUGACACCCUCCUUCAACGACUCCACUUGUCUCUUACUCACAAACUUUCAGACUCGCUUCUUGAAAUUCUUGCAAUUGCUCAAUUGAAAUGGUUGAGGACCCCAUCAUGACAUCACAUCUCUUGUCUGGAUUAAACCACCCAGAAAAUGGUGGUUGCAUGGGAUUUGUCGGAGUCAAGCAAAAUUCUGGAAUCUGGCAGAUGCUGGUCGACAAACUUAAAUGGCAGAGGAAUGUCCCAUCUUGGCAAAGAUAUUUGAGCAAUUGAUGCUACCGUGAGACCUGGCUAUACCACAUAAUUAAGGGCUCACACCGUCAAAGUCAUCUCCUGAUUCACCUCUCAUCAUUGUUCUAGAAUCCAUGGCAGAUCCUUCAAUCUUUCUUCUCUUCAUAGCUUGUUCAAUUCUUCGGCAAAUCCUCACAACAUUAUUUCAAUCUUCCAAUGUUGCUAUGGUUGGUUGAGGAUUGUUAGAAAACUUUCUAACAGCUUGGUAAUCUUGGCAGCGCCCAGAAACUUGUAGUAUCGCCACUACCACGUGUGGAAUCACACUUGUCUCUCUAUUGGAGAACGAUGAACUGAAUCUCCUUUGUCUCUUCGAUUCUCUGAAGUGCAGCAAACAACACCAUAGAGGAAGUCCUGCUCUGUUGAAGUUUCAGUCUUCUUCAUGUUUUUCAGUCUAGGCAUGUCUCUUCUCUCUACUUUUGCGUUUUAAUACUGACACUGUUGGAGGAAAAUCAUAGAUGACCUGAAACUACUGUAUUCCUUCUUGGACUUCCCACUUGCGGAUCCACAAACAGAUUCCUGCUGAGAGAGCUCUGCUACGUUGAAGUUUGAUGUCUGCUCAUAUUUUUCAGACCAGGUCUGGCUCUUCAACCUACUAAGAGGUCUUCGUGCUGAAACUGAUGAGAGAAAUAUUUGUAGCAUAUGCAACUUAUAAAUCCCCUCUUGCCUUCCCAAUUUGCAGAGCCAUAAAUUGAUUUUUGUAGAGAGAGCUCUGCCACAUUGAAGUUCAGUGUUCAAUCAUGGUUUUUCAGACCAUCUUGUGCUGCUGAACUGGAAUUGAGCUCGUAAUCGGGGUAACUUCAAAGCAGAUUAAUGCACCAUGUACAGGAGACCAGUAGUUGUUUGGUUCCAUUAGAUGAUGUGGAGGCGAUGAACAUUUAACAAUGCAACUGGAUAAGAACCAGAGUUGUCAUUAGUUGAUGACUGAAGGCGUUGUUGCUUUUGUUCAUGACGAAAAAGGAGAGAUACAGCUUCAAUUAGAUGUGAACAAGCAGUGUUCCCACAGAAGAACUGUGCAGAUAUUCUCUUUCCAUUUGAUGCUCAACACUUGUUCGAGCAGAUCUGAGUCUAGCUACUUCACAUUUAAUGCUCUCAACCUUAAUCUGAUAAUGAGCCUCUAUCUGACACCUUUCUUCACCUCCAUCAUUUUUCUCCAAUCACGUGCAGCACAGCUUGUGUGGGGGACCUACCUUUCAGCCCGGUACAUGCAUGAUAAAUGUAUGAACAUGUAAUCUAUAUGAUGAACUCACCCUUCGAGAGGUGACAAUAUGGUCGUAACUCUUGUAUGAUGGACAAGAAUCGUGAUUUUUGCCCAAACUCUACAAUGAAAAUUUUCGGAGCAACGGCCAAUGUGUCACCCACAAGUCUUGAGUUCAAGAUGCUUCAAGAAGGGUUUGCCCUUAUGCAAAAAACGAUAGCACAUACAACCUAAGGACAGGUUCUAUUCAUUAUGUGAACAUGGGUAGGUUUUCUAUCUGGUCUCAAAAGGGUCUCAUAUCUGCCCAGUGACGUUCUUCGUAAAGACAGUAUGGGGGCGUUGCAAGGAAUGGUUAAGGCACGUAUACCCACCAUUACCAAGCAGGCACUCAGAUAUGAGUUGGGUGUUUCACGCAUCUGAACCCUGACCAAUAGUCUUAGGGCAGAUCGCUAGUUCCCCACCUAACCUAGAAGCUUGUGUGUGCUUUCAAAAAUAAAUACAGGUGAUGCAUGAGACAAUUCUAUAAAAUGCAUGGAAAUAAAUAUUAACAAAAAGAUAAAAAUGCAAAAACUUAAACACAUCAAAUACACAAAGCUUAGUCCAAUAAUGUCAGAAACAGUACCUUCCCCAGUGGAGUCGCCAUUCUGUCGCACCCCAAAAAAAAAAUCAGCGCGCGGCAUCGGCUGGCGAUUUAAGUCUCGUUGUUUGCGUUUGUUUGAAUUUGGUUCGUUGGAGUCGCCACCUAGUAAUUGAUUGCGGGCUACUAGGAAACCGGAUGUACUGGUCUUGUCAGAGAUUCGCGGGUAAGGGACUGGUUGUGGUUAGGGAAGGUAUUAGCACCCCUAACGCACCCUACCUGAGGUAAGCUGCUUCGUGACUUUGACGUGUUAAAGAAGUUUUAAUAAUUGUCUUUUCAUCGGAAAUUAGAAAUAUCACUUACGUAUAAGUUAAUAAUUCUUAACCGUGAUCCGAUCAAAAUAUUAAAUUCUUCUUUAAUAUAUUUGCAAUUUUAUCAUAAAAAAAUAAAUAAAUAACAUAACAAAAUAUAAAACAAAUACAACACACACAUAUACUUUCACUAUAUUUUUUUCUUUUCUUUUCUUUUUUUUUUUUUUUUUUUGUUACAUCCAUAUACAAAUACAAAUACAAAUUCAAAUUCAAAAUAAAAAUAAAUUACAUUACAUAAUUUAAAAUUACAAAACAUGUCCCUAAAAUUCUAGAAAUUGCAGGGAAGGACUCCUGCACCCGCUGGAACAGUAGCGGCGCGUCGCCCAACGCGCCCCCACCACUGGCGGCGCGUGGGCUCACGCGCCGCCGCUGGAAACUAAAAAAAACAGGGGGCUGGGGUCUUCUUCCCCUCUGUCUUCCCACGCCGGCGGUGGGAGUCACCGUCACCUUCAAAGACCCCAAAGAUACACAAGGCAGUUGGUUUUAGUUUUGUUUUCACAUAUCUGUUUUCCUUCUUCUUCUCCAGAUCUGCUCCCGGUCUUCUUUCUUCUUCGUGACGUCCGUCUUUCCUUCUUCAAUCGGUGGCUCUGUCGGAGGCGGGAGCUGUCGGUGGUGGUCACUGUGUUGACAGCGUGGACGGCGCUGUUCGGCUGAAGAAGGAGACGGCGGGUCUGCAGCGAUGGGGAACGGCUGUUUUCUGUGGGCACCGGGACUGUGGUUUCGGAGGAGGCGCCGUCGAAGGAAGAUCGAUGGCGGGGGAAGCAGCGUGGAUGGAGAGGGACGGCGCCGCCGCUGGGUUCUUCGGGUGGCUGAGGAAGAAAGGAAAUAAAUCAGAGGGAAAGGUGGGGGACGAGUCUGUCGGAGCAAAACAAUUCCAGCGGGGGGAUAAAACAAAUCAAGCCGGAGAGGAGAGAUUAGCCGUGGCCUCUGGUUUUGGGAGAGCUGGUAAAUGAAGGCAGUGUGUUGAUGACCGGUGGCUGGGUUAAGGAGGAGGAAAUCCGGCCUGGUUUGGGUCGAAAAAAAAAUGAAACCGGGGAGUAUGGGGGCCUGUUUGGCCGGGUGUAGGGGAGCUGUGGUUGGGGGAAGGAAGAAGAGAAAAAAUAAAAAAUCCAAAGGAUGGGGGGCUCCGGUGGCUGCCUUUGGUUAGAGAUGGAUUUUAGGGUUUUUUGUGGUUUAGGGUUUUUAUUUGUUUAAUUUUCUGGUGUUUCCAAAAUUAGCCCCCCCCUUGAAUGUGUUGAAGAAACCAGUAUUUAUUGGCGAAAUGUUGCUAGGUUUUUCAACUUGGUCCCUCAACUUCUUUCUUUUUUGUAAAUUUUGAUUUUUCUUAUUUUUUUGUAUUUUUUGAAAACGAGCAAUAUCAACGUCGACUCAAUGAGGAAAAUCAAUUAUUUUAAAAUGGCGCGUGAAAAUUCGAACGCGUUUGAAAAUCUUUUUAAAAAAUUAAAUUCUUUUUUAGACGACGUUGAAAAUGCUAAAAUGACGAAAAUAUAUUAAAAAAACAUAUUUUUUGGAUUUUCUUUGUUUUUCUCUAUUUUUGAAAUAUUUUUGAAAAUAUAUCAAAAACAUGGGUCAAAAAUUGGGUAGCAACAGUUGCCCCCUCUUUACAAUGCUUACGAAGCAAAACUCCUCAAAAUUUUGAAUAGUAAGCUUUGUAAAGAAAACAAAAGGAAAAUGAUUUCAUUAUCUUGGGCGACCUGCCCACACACUCACACGGAUCUAUUUUCACGGGCGACCUGCCCACACAUACUCACUCUGGUCUAUUUUCACGAGCGACCUGCCCACACAUACUCACUCUGGUAUGCAUAUGUUCGAUGUUCAUCUAAAUGCACUCACCCGAUAACAUCUGCCCACACACCUCAUUCAACUGGAACGAAAUAUGCGUAACUCGGUUAACCUGAAAUCCCAUCUGGCGAUUCCCUUUAACCAAAGCUACAUGAGAUCCCAUCUGGCGACCUCAUUCAACUGGAACUAAACUGUGUGUAACUCGGUUAACCUGAAAUCCUAUCUGGCGAUUCCCUUUAACCAAAGCUACAUGAGAUCCCAUCUGGCGACCUCAUUCAACUGGAACGAAACUUGUGUAACUCGGUUAACCUGAAAUCCCAUCUGGCGAUUCCCUUUAACCAAAGCUACAUGAGAUCCCAUCUGGCGACCUCAUUCAAUUGGAACGAAAUAUGCGUAACUCGGUUAACCUGAAAUCCCAUAUGGCGAUUCCCUUUAACCAAAGCUACCCGAGAUCCCAUCUGGCGACCUCAUUUAACCAAAACAAAAGAAUGUGUGAAAAAUGGUCUCAUUGUAUGGGUGACGAACCCCAAGAAAAAUGAUGGUCUCAUUGUAUGGGUGACGAACCCAGAAAAUGAUGGUCUCAUUGUAUGGGUGACGAACCCCAGAAAAAUGAUGGUCUCAUUGUAUGGGUGACGAACCCAAUGGAAAAAAUGUGAAGUGCGGUCUCAUUGUAAUGGGUGACCUACCCACGUGGAAAAAAUAUGAAGUGUGGUCUCAUUGUAAUGGGUGACCUACCCGAUGGAAAAAAUAUGAUGAAGUGCGGUCUCAUUGUAUGGGUGACCUACCCGAUGGAAAAAAGAAAAACGGUCUUAUUAUGAUGCGACCUACCCAGAUGGAAAAAAUGUGAUAUGACAAGUGUGAAAAAUAGGACUUACCUGGCGAAGUUCUGAAGGGAUGACAGAAGAAGGGCUGGAAACUUGGUGCUUCCUGAUAAUUCCCGAUCAUGGGUUUGAAAACUCGGUGUUUCCUGACUGCAAGGGUUGAAAACUCGAGGCUUCCCGGUUGCAAGGUUGAUCUUUCAUUUCUUUGGGAUUUUCCUAAUGGUAGGGUUCAUCCCAUCGUCCUUUUAUUCCAUGAUCAAAACCGAUUCUUUAUUAUCACACCACAAUGCUUCUUUCUUUUCCACCAUCUUGCUGGACCUCAUUAAGGAUUUUCCUGUAACAAUUCAAAAAUAUGUGCAAAUGGUUUUUUUUUUUUUUUUUUUAGGUUAGAUGAUAUGCAUGCAUCCUUACCUGAUUUGAAAUAAUAGGUCCCCCUCUUUGAUGCUCCAUCGUCAUAGGGUGCCCUUGUUUGUAUCCCAAAGCUUUCUUUGUUCUUCCGAUGUAUUGGCUCAUUCAUGUGUUAGCCAUCCACUCAGCUGUAAAUGCAGUGCCCAUCCCGGGCUGUCUUCGACAAUUACUGCUUGCAUCGUUCAUGAAGCUUGACCCUGCCCCCAAGUGUGUACUGCUUGAUUCAUCAUGAGAGAUUUUCUCUCCUGGCUUCUUCUGAGAAUUAUCCUCUGAUUGAUUGUGUGCAUCAUGCCAACACCCAUCACGUUUGUUAAUCAGUCAUGAACUUGCCUUCGGUUGAAACACCAUUCAAGUAUGUAUGGUCACCAGCCUUCAUGGAACUGCCAAGUCAUCCAGACAUGUAUCUCAUGCUUUGCAGUAAACAGCUCAUCAUUGUAAGCGCGAUGUAUUUCUCUAUGGAUUCCUCUUAGCUUGUCAAAUCAGAUCGUGAAAAUACCUGCUUUGGCAUCAUCAAUGAUGUUCAUGUUAUCACCCAUAUUCAUGCGGUGAAGUGUGCAUUUGAGCUUCAGAAUAGAUGGUCCCAUCGUAAAUCUUGAUGGUAUGCAUAUGUUCGAUGUUCAUCCAAAUGCACUCACCCGAUAACAUCUGUCCGGAGUCAUAUCCAUGUUUUACAAAGUAACCUAAGAUGAAGAUAUGAAAAUAUCUUUCUAGUGCAGCGUUGCUCAUCAAUUGCUGCUGAAGUGCACUAGAUCAUGGAUUGUCUUUGAACAACAUUGGCCUCAGUAUGAUCUGAAGGUUCAUUCAUCGAUUUAUACUCAAGAAGGUUUUUCUUUGUCAUUUUCAGAUGCUAAACAUAACUUUGAUGAACUUUGAUGACUCAUCAUCAGAUUCUUUCUUUGCCCCCAGCUGAUCUGGAUACUGUUUGCUUUCCUUCUUAAGGUCCACUGUAUUGCCCCAAGGUGGUCAACGUUUCAAGGAGUGUCGAGAAAUGUUGAUGUCUUUUUUGUCAAGAAUUUUGCAAACUCAAUUGAUGUUCCUGUUUGAAAAUCUUUCUUGUUCUGGAAUCAAAUCUCAACAUUUCAAGGAUCAUGUCUAUUCAAGUAUAAUUGUUGAAAUGAAAUCAGAGAGAUAUCAGUUUUUGAAAAGUUAUUUUUGAAAUUCGAGCUCCUUUGGUCAAAGACCCAACACACUAUUCAAUGCAGUCCUUUGAUUGUCUUGUAUUUUGAAAACAGAAAUGACCCGUUGUAAGAUUUAAAAUGACUUUUUCAUGGUUCUUUGUGUCCACUUUAAACUCUGAUUUUGGGUAUAUCUUUUGAUGGUUUAUGGUGAGGUGAUAUUUUUGUGAAUUUCAAAUGACUAGAUGCUCAGGCUUGAUAAAGAAAGGUUGUUUCUUUUCUCAGUAUUUAUUUUAUCAGCAUGCAUAAUAACCAGUAGCCUAAUUCAAUGAAGCCACGACUCUUAUAGAAAAACUCUUCAAGUUUUGAGAUCGCCAUUUAUUGGUUCAGAUUGCUUGCUUGAUUAAAAAGGGCUUUUAAAAGCACGUAAUGCAGGCUAUGGUUCAUGGCUAUGAAAGAAAGGAAUUCCAUAGGCUCAAAAGGUGUUUGAGGGUUUCAACGACCUAGGACCAACAUUAACUAUUCAUCGAUUCUCUUUCUCUUGUUGUCAUUGUAGAGAGUGACAUAUAACCUUGUUAAUCUUCAAAUAUCAGAAUUCUCUUAACAUAGGUCAUAAUGCAAAUCCAACUUUUUUUUGAUGAAUAAACUAAUCUAAUUAUUUUUGAAGACAUUAGAGGCUCUAUCCAAGACACACCAAAAGAUAUGAAGCAUCGAUUUUUCUAGUGUUGACUUUUGGCAUUUGCUGUCUUUUCUCAAUUGAAAACUGUCUUGCCUCUCUUAGAAUUGAUAGGCAUUUUCUUUCCUUUCCAUUUUCUUUACACACAUUUUUUUUUGCAUAGCCUUCCUCAAAGUUUUUUUCUUGGAUGGCCCUCAAUCUAUGGAUUUUCUUCUGCUAGCCCUUUCUCAAACAUUGGACUUUUGUUCUAAGCUUUUCUUUGAUCCAUUGAUUUUAUCAGUGUCUCCAAAAUAUUUCUCAUUUGCCCCCAGUGUGGGGUGUGAUCCUAGUCAGGGUUUCCUUUUGAAAGAAAAUAUCUCACCAAGCUCAAAAUGGGACUACAAGGGAUAUAAUUUUUAGAAAGUGAAGAGAUAUCAAAGAUGGCCUUUUCUCAUUUCAAGCAAGGUCGGUUAGAACCGAUAAAUUUUGACCUCAUCUAGUGUAAUGAUUUGUACUUGCAAGAAUCAUGAUUCACGAGUCCAUAACUAUUGAAUCCACUACAUGUCAUUAUGCAUACUGCUAAAACUUAGCUAUAUGAUGUGUGGUUCAGUUUCAAAAGGUAUGAGUUCAAAAUUGUUUGGUCACCUCAUGUCAUUUUCAAGCAUAGAGUCAUUUCUGUAAUCAAAACACUUUAAUCUUCCGGAUUGAUUAACCUUUAUCGCAUGUUGGAGUUUGAUCAAAAUAUUUUGUCAGAAUAAAAUGCUAAACAUCUGUUGAUUUCAAAACAACAAAGAGACAAAAGCAAGGCAUGUUCGUUGAAGGAUGAGAUGUGAUCCCAAAACAAAAUGCAGAAUUCCAUAACAAUAUGAUUGACUGUUCAUCACCCUUCUCGAAUCAGCUUUUCUGGCAAUAUCUGUGUUUUGCCAAGCAUUUUCGAUCACAUGUCAUUCUGAAGAUGUUCGGGGAACAAUAUAGCCAGUGACACCCUCCUUCAACGACUCCACUUGUCUCUUGCUCACCAACUUUCAGACUCGCUUCUUGAAAUUCUUGCAAUUGCUCAAUUGAAAUGGUUGAGGACCCCAUCAUGACAUCACAUCUCUUGUCUGGAUUAAACCACCCAGAAAAUGGUGGUUGCAUAGGAUUUGUCGGAGUCAAGCAAAAUUCUGGAAUCUGGCAGAUGCUGGUCGACAAACUUAAAUGGCAGAGGAAUGUCCCAUCUUGGCAAAGAUAUUUGAGCAAUUGAUGCUACCGUGAGACCUGGCUAUACCACAUAAUUAAGGGCUCACACCGUCAAAGUCAUCUCCUGAUUCACCUCUCAUCAUUGUUCUAGAAUCCAUGGCAGAUCCUUCAAUCUUUCUUCUCUUCAUAGCUUGUUCAAUUCUUCGGCAAAUCCUCACAACAUUAUUUCAAUCUUCCAAUGUUGCUAUGGUUGGUUGAGGAUUGUUAGAAAACUUUCUAACAGCUUGGUAAUCUUGGCAGCGCCCAGAAACUUGUAGUAUCGCCACUACCGACGUGUGGAAUCACAUAUCUCUCUAUUGGAGAACCUGAUGAAUCUAAAACUCCUUUGUCCCCUCUUCGAUUUCUCACUGACAGUGCAGCAAACAAACACCUAUAGAGGAAGUCCUGCUCUGUUGAAGUUUCAGUAUUCUUCAUGUUUUUCAGUCUAGGCAUGUUCUUCUCUCUACUUUUGCGUUUUAAUACUGACACUGUUGGAGGAAAAUCAUAGAUGACCUGAAACUACUGUAUUCCUUCUUGGAUUCCCACUUGCGGAUCCACAAACAGAUUCCUGAGAGAGCUUUGCUACGUUGAAGUUUGAUGUCUGCUCAUAUUUUUCAGACCAGGUCUGGCUCUUCAACCUACUAAGAGGUCUUCGUGCUGAAACUGAUGAGAGAAAUAUUUGUAGCAUAUGCAACUUAUAAAUCCCCUCUUGCCUUCCCAAUUUGCAGAGCCAUAAAUUGAUUUUUGUAGAGAGAGCUCUGCCACAUUGAAGUUCAGUGUUCAAUCAUGGUUUUUCAGACCAUCUUGUGCUGCUGAACUGGAAUUGAGCUCGUAAUCGGGGUAACUUCAAAGCAGAUUAAUGCACCAUGUACAGGAGACCGGUAGUUGUUUGGUUCCAUUAGAUGAUGUGGAGGCGAUGAACAUUUAACAAUGCAACUGGAUAAGAACCAGAGUUGUCAUUAGUUGAUGACUGAAGGCGUUGUUGCUUUUGUUCAUGACGAAAAAGGAGAGAUACAGCUUCAAUUAGAUGUGAACAAGCAGUGUUCCCACGGAAGACGAUGUGCAGAUAUUCUCUUUCCAUUUGAUGUUCAACACUUGUUCGAGCAGAUCUGAGUCUAGCUACUUCACAUUUAAUGCUCUCAACCUUAAUCUGAUAAUGAGCCUCUAUCUGACACCUUUCUUCACCUCCAUCAUUUUUCUCCAAUCACGUGCAGCACAGCUUGUGUGGGGGACCUACCUUUCAGCCCGGUACAUGCAUGAUAAAUGUAUGAACAUGUAAUCUAUAUGAUGAACUCACCCUUCGAGAGGUGACAAUAUGGUCGUAACUCUUGUAUGAUGGACAAGAAUCGUGAUUUUUGCCCAAACUCUACAAUGAAAAUUUUCGGAGCAACGGCCAAUGUGUCACCCACAAGUCUUGAGUUCAAGAUGCUUCAAGAAGGGUUUGCCCUUAUGCAAAAAACGAUAGCACAUACAACCUAAGGACAGGUUCUAUUCAUUAUGUGAACAUGGGUAGGUUUUCUAUCUGGUCUCAAAAGGGUCUCAUAUCUGCCCAGUGACGUUCUUCGUAAAGACAGUAUGGGGGCGUUGCAAGGAAUGGUUAAGGCACGUAUACCCACCAUUACCAAGCAGGCACUCAGAUAUGAGUUGGGUGUUUCACGCAUCUGAACCCUGACCAAUAGUCUUAGGGCAGAUCGCUAGUUCCCCACCUAACCUAGAAGCUUGUGUGUGCUUUCAAAAAUAAAUACAGGUGAUGCAUGAGACAAUUCUAUAAAAUGCAUGGAAAAAAUAUUAACAAAAAAGAUAAAAAUGCAAAAACUUAAACACAUCAAAUACACAAAGCUUAGUCCAAUAAUGUCAGAAACAGUACCUUCCCCAGUGGAGUCGCCAUUCUGUCGCACCCAAAAAAAAAAUCAGCGCGCGGCAUCGGCUGGCGAUUUAUCUCGUUGUUGCGUUUGUUUGAAUUUGGUUCGUUGGAGUCGCCACCUAGUAAUUGAUUGGGCUACUAGGAAACCGAUGUACUGGUCUUGUCAGAGAUUCCGGGUAAGGGACUGGUUGUGGUUAGGGAAGGUAUUAGCACCCCUAACACACCCUACCUGAGGUAAGCUGCUUCGUGGCUUUGACGUGUUAAAGAAGUUUUAAUAAUUGUCUUUUCAUCGGAAAUUAGAAAUAUCACUUACGUAUAAGUUAAUAAUUCUUAACCGUGAUCCGAUCAAAAUAUUAAAUUCUUCUUUAAUAUAUUUGCAAUUUUAUCAUAAAAAAAUAAAUAAAUACAUAAAAAUAUAAAAACAAAUACAAACACACACAUAUACUUUCACUAUAUUUUUUUCUUUUCUUUUUUUUUCUUUUCUUUUUUUUUUUUACAUCCAUAAUACAAAAUACAAAUACAAAUUCAAAUUCAAAAUAAAUAAAAAUUACAUUACAUAAUUUUAAAAUUUACAAAAACAUGUCCCUAAAAUUCUAGAAAUUGCAGGGAAGGACCCUCCUGCACCCGCUGGAACAGUAGCGGCGCGUCGCCCAACGCGCCCCCACCACUGGCGGCGCGUGGGCUCACGCGCCGCCGCUGGAAACUAAAAAAAACAGGGGGCUGGGGUCUUCUUCCCCUCUGUCUUCCCACGCCGGCGGUGGGAGUCACCGUCACCUUCAAAGACCCCAAAGAUACACAAGGCAGUUGGUUUUAGUUUUGUUUUUCACAGAUCUGUUUUCCUUCUUCUUCUCCAAAUCUGCUCCCGGUCUUCUUUCUUCUUCGUGACGUCAGUCUUUCCUUCUUCAAUCGGUGGCUCUGUCGGAGGCGGGAGCUGUCGGUGGUGAUCAUUGUGUUGACAGCGUGGACGGCGCUGUUCGGCUGAAGAAGGAGACGGCGGGUCUGCAGCGAUGGGGAACAGCUGUUUUCUAUGGGCACCGGGACUGUGGUUUCGGAGGAGGAGCCAUCGAAGGAAGAUCGAUGGCGGGGGAAGCAGCGUGGAUGGAGAGGGACGGCGCCGCCGCUGGGUUCUUCGGGUGGCUGAGGAAGAAAGGAAAUAAAUCAGAGGGAAAGGUGGGGGACGAGUCUGUCGGAGCAAAACAAUUCCAGCGGGGGGAUAAAAAAAAUCAAGCUGGAGAGGAGAGAUUAGUUGUGGCCUCUGGUUUUGGGAGAGCUGGUAAAUGAAGGCAGUGUGUUGAUGACCGGUGGGUGGGUUAAGGAGGAGGAAAUCCGGCCUGGUUUGGGUCGAAAAAAAAAUGAAACCGGGGAGUUUGGGGGCCUGUUUGGCCGGGUGUAGGGGAGCUGUGGUUGGGGGAAGGAAGAAGAGAAAAAAUAAAAAAUCCAAAGGGUGGGGGGGCUCCGGCGGCUGCCUUUGGUUAGAGAUGGAUUUUAGGGUUUUUUGUGGUUUAGGGUUUUUUUUUGUUGAAUUUUCUGGUGUUUCCAAAAUUAGCCCCCCCCCUUUGAAUGUGUUGAAGACACUAGUAUUUAUAGGCGAAAUGUUGCUAGGUUUUUCAACUUGGUCCCUCAACUUCUUUUUUUUUUUUGUAAAUUUUGAUUUUUCUUAUUUUUUUGUAUUUUUUGAAAACGAGCAAUAUCAACGUCAACUCAAUGAGGAAAAUCAAUUAUUUUAAAAUGGCGCGUGAAAAUUCGAACGCGUUUGAAAAUCUUUUUAAAAAAUUAAAUUCUUUUUUAGACGACGUUGAAAAUGCUAUAAUAACGAAAAUAUAUUAAAAAAACAUAUUUUUUGGAUUUUCUUUGUUUUUUUCUAUUUUUGAAAUUUUUUUGAAAAUAUAUCAAAAACAUGGGUCAAAAAUUGGGUAGCAACAAUUAUUAUCAUCAUCCUGUGCAUUCCUCCAUCUUCAAUCACCAGACAGGAGCAGCUUUCAGUGAUGAAAACCCUCAUGGUUGUUCUAUAAUGUGAACAACGUAGUAUAUAUAUAUAUAUAUAUAUAUAUAUUAUUCUUACUAUAUAUGUAGUUAUACUGCUUUGUUUUUCAUGUACUAAUUUUCUUUUCACUUUAUGUUUUGUUAAACCUUGUUCACAUGAAGCUAUAAAAUAUAGACAAGAAUUGCCUUUUUUUCCUUAUCAUUUUGCAACUAAUUAAUUGUUUUAUUCUGAUUUGUGCCUAGGCAUGGUAUUGUCUUCUGAGAAAACCGAGCUCCAUUGAUCUUUUCUUUUUACUAAACUAAAUCGCCACCUAUUGCAAUUAAAAUUUUAAUCAACAUUAAUAUCAUUCGGAUAGGAUUAGGAUGUACUCUUCCACAAACUCUAAUAAAUCUUUUCCAAAGAAGAGAUGCCUUGGAAUGUUUUAGAAAUGGGAUAAUAUUCUCAUAUGCACACCUAACUUAUUCGCUAUUAUCCUUUCUCAGUUGUGUCCCUAAACUAUAUAUUUAAGCAAUUAGGUCCAGAAUGUAUCUAGGAAUUAUCAAUCUGAUCCUUUCAUCCUCAAAUAUACUUUGUAGUCAUCUUUAGGUGUGGACACGGUUGAGAAAAUUCUUAAGCAAAUUUUUUAUGGACAAAUCCAAUUGAGAAUUCUUGGGACCAGUUGGUUGACAGUUAUAGUUGGGUUAAGGAUCAAAUUUAGAAAAGAAUUAGAGAUAAGGGACCAAAAUUAUGUUACCCAGGAACCCUAUAAAAAUUAGGGAUGAAAACUGUCAGUGAAUAUAAAUUAUAUCUUAUGACCUCACUUAACAACUUAAAGUUUUUAAUUGAGAUGGUUUUUUGGUAUGAUAUCAAAACCUUGAUGACCAAGCGAUUAGAAAUUUGAAUUUCACCAUCCUUAUUUAUUUGAUAAAAAUUAAGCACAAUGUACUAUGGAUCUGUGUAAGUUUCAAGCUCAAAAAGCUUUCACUUAAGGGGGUCUUAGAGAAUAAUAUAAAUAAUAUCUUAGGAACUCAUGUAGCAGUUUAAGUUAUUAAGUUGGGAUGAUUUUUUAACAUGGUAUAAGAGCCUUCAUGGCCAAGCAGUCACGAGUUCGAAUCUUACCAUCUUCAUUUAUUUGAUAAAAAUUAAGCACAAGGUAGUGUGAGUCUGUGCAAGUUUCAAGCUCAAAGGACUUUUCACUUAAAGGAGUGUGUUAGAGAAUAAUAUAAAUCAUACACUACAAGAUUUCACAGUUUUACCGACGGAACUAUUCCGUCGGUGUGUGACAGAAAGUUCGUCGGUAAAUUAUUUACCGACUAUAUUACCGACGGAAUACACCAGUCGGAAUACCUUUUGUCGGUGAUUCCACAUUCUGUCGCUAUAUCGGUCGGAAAUACAAAAAAAACAUUUAUCGACGGACCGUGCGCGCCAAACAAAAAAAAUUUCCCGCUUGGAAUAUACCGACGGAAAAUAUUCCGUCGGUGUUAUGUACAUACCGACGGAAUAAAUCCGUUGGUAAAAGUGUCGGUGAUAUUUCAUACCGACCGAAAAUUUCCGUCUGUAAAUUCGUCGGUAAGUUUAUACCGACGGAUUAUUUUCGUCGAUGAAUAUGUCGGUGAUGGGAUGGAAUACCGACCGAAUCUGUCCGUCUGAAUAUUCGUCGGUGAUGGUGGCAGACAUUGUCCAAUGCCGACGGAGUUAUUCCGUCGGUAAAUCCCUGUGUAAUUUUUUUUUUAAUUUUUUAGAAAAAAUAAUAUAAAUUAAUGGUAAUACAAACUAAUUAUGCAAAUAAAAUUUAUAUUAAGCAACAAAAACUCAAAGUUAAAUAAUAUUCAUUACAAAAUGAAUGUGUUUCAAAAAAACAUUAAACGAAAUUUUAAAUGUAAAUAAUGUUUAUUAAAAAUUAAUAUAAAGGUGGAGGAGGAGGAGGAGGAGGCUGGGGGUUAGGCGGCCAAAAAGGAUUAGGCGCACAUGUUUCACCUUAUGUCAUGUUCAUGACCAUUUAACGAAGCUCUUCAUAGGCCGCUCUUUGUUGUUCAGACUUUGCUCCGUGUUGUUCGUUCGCCAAUCUUUGCUCUUCUUUGAGUUGUGUGUACGCGUCUGAUAGAUGGUCGCACCUUUGCUGUAAGGCCACGAACUCCUUAGAUUGGGAGCUCGAUACAGAUUGGGAGCUCCCAACGGUUGAAGCAGUACCGGUCGACCGCAAGUUGGCGGCGGUAGUGUUGGAGAGCCCGUAAACCCGAUUUUUAUAGUGUCCACCUGACAAUCCAGCCUCCAUCCACAAAUCCGGAUCGAAUUCCGAAUGGGUCGAAGGAUCGUCCCCGUAUCUCUCCCUCAACCGAUUAUUAUAGGUCUCCUGAAAAAAAAAAUCAUCAUAUUGAAUUCAAUAAACAUAAUAAUAACUUACAAAAUAAAGUGGUUGAACAAACAUACCACAAACUGUUGAGCACGGUUGUCAACGAACUGUUGCGUCCCCUUUUGGCGGUCAUGACUCCGCACGUGCGUCUCCACAAAUAGCUCCAUAGGGCUCGGCUCACGUCCAAGAGACGUAGCCUAUAAUGAAAAAAAUGUAUUAACAACAAAUUAAUUGAACGAUAUAUUUCAUUUAAAUUAAUCUUACCAUCCGUUUCGCAUGUGCAGCAAACGGAACGGAGCCGCCGGUGUGCGUUGUCACCGAGCCAUGAAUUGGCCGAUUCCGGUUGCCAGCACCGGACUGUGAGCGUCGAGUGAACCACUCAGACGUCACGUGCUGAAUAUAGUGCGGCCAUAUAUCUUCCGGGAUGUAUAUCGGUUUGAAAUCCCUCCAAACCGCAACAUCGUUCCAGCCUUGGAACCCCUUAUCCCUCGCUGUUUUUUUUGCCUUUUCUGGGUUUCAUACCAAAAAUCACGCAACCUAAUUCACGCACGAAAAAAUUACAUUUCGAAACAUAAAUAAUUAUGUAAAAAAAAAGUCGUAUUGUUUUCGAUGUUACCUAAUUGCCGCGUGAUUUUCCCACACCCUCCUCACAACAGUGUCAUGUUCAUCGUCCCAGCUGAAUCGAUGCUGUGUAUAAAAAAAUAAUUUUUUAAAAUGUUAAUAAUUUAUUUACAAUUAUAACUAGAAUUUAUUAGAAAUAAGCUGAAAAUUAUAUAUUAACACGAACCUCAAAUCUACGAAACCAUGCAUUGAUUUGAGGCAUCCAUUCAGGAUGCCUGGAUAUCUGACUCCAUUAAAACAAUGGAAUCUCCAUCGAUGCUUUAAACGCCGAUGAUAUUACUCGGGCGACCUUAAUGUUUGUGAACCUGAAAAGAAAUGAAAUUAAUGAAAUAGUGAUUACUUCAUAAAUUAUGUUUUAAAUUUAUUUUUUAUAUAUAUAAAAAAAACUAAAACCUUAACAAACUUACAUUGAAAGAUCAUCCUUCCACUGUGCCUCGUACUUGCGGGUAAAUUGAUUCCGCUGCGAAGGCAUGCCGCUUCUGCAAUGUGAAACAUUGCUGGAAAAGGCAGCAUCGGUUGACGGCGCAGGUGGUGUAGGCGCCUCUUCUUGAGAGGCACCUAAGGAAACAUCAGCAUCGCUGCUAGACGAACUUGAUUCGACUGGACGUGAACGACUAGCUCUGGAUUUCAUUCUUCGCAUCUAAACAAUUUUAUAUAAAUAAUUGUAUAAUAAAAUUCAAAAGUUAAAAAAAAUCGGCAGCACCUCCCCUAUACUGGAUACCACCCAAAUCUACAAACCUGCAAAUAUUAACAAUAGCUACAACCAAUUGACCCAAUCUAUAGUAAUUAAUCCAACAUAUUCAACUAUUAAUCCUAAGAUAAAUUCAACGUUAACAAUUACAAUUCACAAAUUAUUUAAUAAUUAUGUCAAUACAACAAAACUAUAAAUUCAAAAUAAAUAGAAACAAUUAAACACAAAUCAUCAAGUUAGAGUAAAAUUAAUAAUUCUUCCAACAUAUUCAAUUAUUAAAUCUAAGAUAAAUUCAACAUUAACAAUAUUAAUUCAACAAAUUAUUAAAUAAUUAUGGCAAUACAACAAUAUAAUAUAUUCAAUAAAAUAAAAAAUAAUUAUAGCCUAACAAUUAAAAUCAAUGGAAACAAUUAAACACAAAUCAUGCAAUAAUAUAAAAAAAUACUAAUUAUUCCAACAUAUCCAAUUAUUAAUUCUAAGGUAAAUUUAACAUUAACAAUCAUAAUUCAACAAAUUAAUCAAUAAUUAUAUAUGGCAAUACAACAAUAAAUUAUAUUCAAUAAAUUUAAAAAAAUAUAUAGACUAACAAUUAAAAUCAAUGAAAAUAAUUAAACACAAAUCAUGCAAUAAUAGAGUAAAAUUAAUAAUUAUUCUAACAUAUUCAAUUACUAAUUCUAAGUUAAAUUCAACUUUAACAACAAAUUAACUAAUAUGUUAUUAUGACAACAAAACAAUAAAAAAUAUUCAAAAAAUUCAAAAAAAAACCUACAUCAAGAAAAGAAACGAAAUAUACAUACCUUAAUAAUAUGACAAAUUCAAAACUUUAUCUACAUUACAAAAAACAAAACACCAAAAUAACAAAAAUAAAAAAACUAAAAAUAAAUCUAAAGUAAAUAAAAUAAAUUGGAAAAAAACACAUACCUUUUAAUAUGAGGAAGAUUCACAACACUAAAUCUUACUAGAGAUUGACGGUGAAAUUCUUGAAGGAUUGAGGGCAAAAAAAUCAAAAAUCUGAGGUGCAAAAUGGAGGAGAAGAGAAGAGAAGCGGCUCGGGGAGAAGAAGAAAAAAUGAGAAAAAGCGGCGGGGGCUGUUACUUAUAGGGCAGUUUUACCGACGGAAUCACCAACGGACAUAAUAUCCGUCGGUAAAAGGUAAAAAAUUCCGUCGGUAACAGGUCAAAAAUCCGUCGGUAAUUUUUGAAUUUCUCACCGAAUUUUUAAAAGCCCUCCAUAUUUUUCGACGUCCGUCGGUGAUUCCAUCGGUAAUAAUUCACACACUUUGGAAAUCGCGCGGUCCGUUGGUAUUUCUGUCGGCAAUAUGUGUGACCAACAAAUUACCGACGGAAAUAUUCCGUCGGUAUUAGCGUCGAAAAAUCUAUCGGAGAAUCCGUCGGUGAUUAUGGCAUUUUGUUGUAAAUAUUUUCGAACUCUCUGUGAGAUGCCGAUGGAUAUAAUUCCGUCGGUAUGCCCGUCGGUGAAGGUGACAUUUUGUUGUAAUUAUUUUCGAACUCUCUGUGAGAUACCGACGGACUUGAAUUCGUCGGUAUCCCCGUCGAUGAUUGUGGCAUUUUGUUGUAAAUUUUUCGAACUCUCUGUGAGAUACCGACGGAUAUAUUCGUGUAUCGUCGGUGAGGUGUGGCAUUUUGUUGUAAUAUUUUCGAACUCUCUGUGAGAUACCGACGGAUGUCGUCGGUAUGGACGUCGGUAAGUUUGCAUUAUGCAGGAAAGGUUGUCUUUGUAUUGCCUGUUUACCUUCCUGCAAAACUUAACUGAUAAACUGUCCAUCACAUAAAACAAUAACCACAUUGCUUAAACAGUAAAUAUUUUGUUUUACAAAAUACAUCAUCAUAAUCUAAAUUACAUGAGACAAAUGUUUUUACAUAGGGCUUCAUUUUCAUAAUUAGUCGGAAUUUUCUUCUUCUCCUCAUCAAUUGAAUUGUCAUCAUCUUCAUCGCAAUCUUCAAUAUGGAUAUCAUCUUCUUCAUCGACAUUUGCUUGUCCGCUAGAGCUGAGAACAACAUUCAACUCCUCUCCGUCAAUAUCAACAAGACUAUCAUCGAGAACUCGAAAAUUUGAAUUUUCUUCCAAUUCAAUCGAAGGAGCAACUCGAUAUGGUUCAACCAACUCACGAACUUGAAAGACUUCAUCUCGCACACUUGUGUCUUCGUUCUCAUCCUGAACAACCUCGACACGACCCCGUGGUUUCGUUUUUAAAACGGACAACCAAUCAACUCUUGACGAUCCUUUCUAAAUGAAGGGGUGUAUGUGUAAUAAACUUGUUGACAUUGCUUUGCGAAAACAAAGACAUCGUUUAUGUUGCGGAGUCUAGCUUUUGAGUUGAUUUCGACCAGACCAUGGUGCGGAUCAACUCUGAUUCCUCUGUCCGUCGUGUCAUACCAAUAGCAUUUGAAUAAAAACACUUUAUUCUGCUCGCUAUGAUAUUGCAGUUCGACGACCUCUUCUAAUCUACCAUAGUAGUCAACUUCUAACUGGCUACUUGUGGAUCCCUUAACACAAACACCGCAGUUGUAUGUCUUUCUUCCUUGCCCGUAUUCUUCAGUAUGGAAAACAUAUCCAUUGACAAAAUACCCGUUGUAGCACUUAACUUUUCUUUCAGGGCCGAGGCUUAGUGAAGACAAUGACUUGGGCGCACUCCUUCCCAUUUGAUAAACCUUGUAAAUAUAUGUAAUUAAAUGUACAUCAAUACACGGUAAAUGAACGAGAAUCUCGUAAUGACAUGCAUACGUUAGAAUGAGUUUGUGAUAGUGCUUACAUGUGUUCUGAACCAUGUGGCAAAUUGUUCAUCUUGUAAUUGAAAGAUCUGGGAUUCGGUCAGCUGCGAGUUAUUGGAGAGCAAAUAUUGUCGAUGUUGCCUGCAAGUGAUAAUGAGUGUAUGAUAUUACAAUAUAUAAUUAACAGUAUAUUACUGACAAAGUUUAAUUAGUAUUACACAUAUAUAGACUUACUGAAUAAAUGGUCUCAGCUCAUCACAGUUAAAUAGAACAUAGUUGUGUGCUUGUUUGAAUUCUAUUUCCGACAAAUAUCUUCCUCUUACGGCAUUUUUAGGUGUGGGUCGUCCAGUAUUGGAGAAUAUUGACAAGUUCCCACUGGAAGGCACUUCACCGCCAUCGUCAUGCCGUGGAACGCGAUUGAUUCUUGUUCUCAGAUGAGGUUCGAAAUAGUACGAGAUAAAUGUUGAUAUCUCUUCAACAAUAUAGGCCUCAGAUAUCGAAGCCUCAACAUGCGCCUUGUUCUUAACCUUUUUUUUUAGAUUAAACAAGUACCUGCAUUGAAGUACAAUUCAAGUAUUUUCAAAUAAGAAAAACAUAGAAAAUACUUUAAGAUAUGAAUUCCAUUGCAACUGUAAUAUCUCACCGUUCGAAUGGGUACAUCCAUCUAUACUGGACCGGUCCUCCAGCUUUUGCCUCGAACGGUAGAUGUAUAGGGAGAUGCUCCAUUGAGUCAAAAAAUGAAGGAGGGAAUAUCAUCUCAAGUUUGCAUAGUGUCUCGAUGAUAUUCGUUUGAAGCAUCUCAAUGUGCUCAACAUUCAUCUUGCUGGAGCAUAUAUCUCUGAAGAAAUGACUGAUCUCCGUUAGUGCAUCCCAUAUUCCCUUUGGCAACAAAUCACGAAAAGCUAAUGGGAUGAGUGUUUGCAUAAACACGUGGCAGUCAUGGCUCUUCAUUCCAUACAAUCUGCAGUCCUCUAUGUUAACAAGCCUUGAUAUGUUCGAUGCAUGUCCAUCCGGGAAACGCAGACUCUUAAGCCAUUUGUAGACUAGCAGUUGUGCGUUUUUCUCUAACACGAAGCUUGCCCUUGGUUUUGCAACCCGUGACUCGUCAUAAACCAACUCCAUAUUUUUACGGUUACAGUAUAAAGCUAUAUCCAAUCUAGCCUUCAUGUUGUCCUUUGUCUUCCCCUUCACAUCCAUGACGGUGUUGAAAAUAUUCUCAAACACGUUCUUUUCGAUGUGCAUGACGUCAAGGUUAUGGCGGAGAAGAUUAGUCUUCCAAUACGGAAGCUCCCAAAAGAUACUUCGCUUUACCCAAUUAUGGGUCAAACCAAAACCAGGAAACUUUUGCUUACCUGAUUGAAGGCCAAACACAAUGUCACCGUACUCUGAUACAACAUGAUGCAAUUCUUCACCAGAAAGACGCGGGGAUGCAACAUCUUUUUCAACUCUACCAACAAAGAAAUCUUUUCUGUUCUUUCUGAACCUGUGAUUAAGUGGCAAGAAGCGACGGUGACAGUAAAAAAAGAAGCUUUACCUCCGUUUGCUAGCGUGAAUGCCUUGUUGUUUUCCAUGCAGUAUGGACAUGCGAGUUUCCCAUGCGUGCUCCAACCAGAAAGCAUUCCAUAAGCUGGAAAAUCACUGAUAGUCCACAUCAAAGCCGCCCUCAUAAGGAAAUUUUGUUUCCUCGAUAUAUCAUAAGUCAGAGAUCCGGAGGACCACAACUGCGCCAGCUCAUCUAUCAACGGUCGAAGACAAACAUCUAUAUUCCGCCCCGGGCUGCUUGGACCGGGUAUGACAGUAGAUAGAAACAUGAACUCCGGCCUCAUACACAUUCCCGGUGGCAAGUUAUAAACUGUGAGAAUGACCGGCCAACAAGAAUAGGGAGCAGCAAAUGACCCAAAUGGGUUGAACCCGUCUGUACACAACCCAAGUCGAACAUUCCUUGAUUCAGCAGAAAAGUCAGGAUGAACACUGUUAAAGCGUUUCCACGCUUCGCCGUCAGAAGGAUGCACCAUCACACCAUCAACGACAUCGUGUGUUUGGUGCCAUGUCAUGUGCUCAGCAGUCCUUGGUGACAUAAAUAACCUCUGCAGUCUAGGUGUGAUCGGGAAAUAUCUAAGUUUUUUAUAUGCCACUAGAGUCUUCCCCCUGCCAGUUCUGGGUUUGUAACGGGAAUGCCCGCAUGUCAUGCACUCGGUCAUCUCAGCAUUUUCAAGGUAGUAUAACAUGCAGAAGUUAGGGCACAUGUCAAUUUUCUGGUAUCCUAAACCGAGGGGUUUCAUCAUGGACUUCGCAGCAUAGAAGUUCUCUUUGAGCCUGUUCCCUUCAGGUAAAAUGCUUCUUGCCCAAUCAAUAAUUUUGUCAUACCCGGCCUCACUCAACCCGUGAUCUGACUUGAUGGUGAACACCUGUGCCACGACCGAUAAUUUACUGUGGUUUGUGCAGCCAUCCCAUAAUGGUUCGUCAGAAUCUUUCAACAAAUCAAAAAACCUAGCUGCCUCUGCAUUAGGUUCUUCUUCUACGAUUGGACAUUGAUUGACAUUAUCUUGAUUCAUUCUCAUUGCAUCCAUAACCAUGUUUCUGUAAGGAUUAGUGUUGUCAUUUGCCGCUUCAUGCACGUUGCUAGCACUAGAAGUUGACCCAACCACCGUUUCUCCCAUUCUCCUAUUACUAACAAAUACCUCUCCAUGUGCAUACCAACACUCGUAAUCCUCCACAAACCCUUUGUGUAGAAGAUGCAUCAUUACAACAUCUGGAUGCAGAUACUUUUUAUUUUGACACUUCCUGCAUGGACACCUAAUACCGCCUCCAGUAAAAUUUCUGGGAAUAGAUGUUGCGAAAUUAAUAAAACCCUGAACCCCGUUACAAUAAUCCAUCCUCCGCAAUCCUUGGGGUGAAUCUAGAUACAUCCAUGAACGAUCAUCCAUGACUUCUAUCGAACCUCUAUAAAAAGGACCCAUUAAGCAAGCUCUUAAUUAUUUCAAAACAUAACAUGUAAUUCGGUAAUUCUACAAAUUAAGUUUUAACAAUUUACAAACAAAUACAAUCUUACAAAAUCUAAAACAAACCAUAACAAGUAUAAAAUUAUACAUUCAUAUACUACAAGUUUGUUUGAGAAAUAACAAUAAAACUUGUACAUCUACUAAAAAAAAAUACAUAUACUAAAAAAACAAUAAAAUUGACAUUUAAAUGUUAAAAUUUUAAAAGAUAGAAUUACUUACAAAAAAUGAUAAAAUCCAUCGGUAAAUCAGAACACGGAUGCUGUGACCACAAAACUUCAAGAAAUACAACUUGUUGUGCUGAGAUGAGGAAGAUUUUUGUUUUGGGGCGAGGGGGGGCUGGUUAUUUUCAGAUGGGGAGGGUUAGGAUUAAGAAGAAGAAGGAGAAAUGGGGGAGGAGAGUGUCGGCAGAGUGGCCAUAUAUUCACUUUCUCCGACUGACUUACCGACGGUUUUAUUCUGUCGGUUAAUACGUCGGCGAAACCGUCGGUAAUUCUGACAGACAAUCGACACGUCACCGCACGGACCUGCUAUUCAAAUCCCUUGGUGAUUCUGUCGGUAUUAUUGGCGGUGAACAACUCCCAUCACGCAUACGACUCCCCGGUUUUUAUUUCGUCAGUGAUUCCGUUGGAAAAAUCACCCGCCAAUUAAUACCCAACUAUGUUAUAUUUUUAUUAUUAUUUCCUAAGUAUUCUAAGAAUUUUUGUGACUUAUAGUUUUUAAUUUUUUUUUCCUUAAUUAAUAUUUUUUAAAAAUAUAUAUGUAUUUUAAAAAUUAAUUUUCAAAUUUCUUUAAGCUUUUCAAACAUUUUAGCAGGUAAGACGUUUCCAAAUCUUUGUAAAGGGAUGAUGAUAGGAAUUCACGGGUUAGGUUUUGGUAUUAUCUAUACUUGAAUUCAAACCCAAAACAUUAUCAAUAUCCGACUCAAAACUUGAUGAGUGUAAAUUUUGAAUAUCAUAAUCUAAAUCGAUCAAGUUUUAGUUAUCGAUUCAGAUAACCAUUACCUAAUUGCUAUAAUUAAGUUUGUAGAAGCUAAAUGUUAUGAUUAUCUACAUGAGAAUUUAUCACAAACAGAAUAUUUAGAUGACUUAACAAAUGUUUUUAUAAACUAGUAUUGAGAUAAGAUAAGUCUAAGAGAAUAUAUGGUUAUGCUAUACUAUACUAGAGCAGCGACUUAAAACAAAGAUAAUAAGGGAUUCGAUGGUUGGUCGAGAUCAAAUUUUUAUAAGAGAUUAUAGAAGUUAUUUUCCUGUGGGAAGCCACUCAAUUAUUUAUUAGACAACUAGAUCUUUCAAAAUUAAGCCCAAAAAUGGUUCAGAAAAGUGUUUGCUCCAUUAGAAGGUAAGUGUUUGCCCCAUUAGAGAAGAGUCAUUCAAUUUUUUUUUAAUCAAAAUUGUUGUCUUUUUCGCUUUCACUUGCAAACUGAGCGAAUUAACUUUUGUGAGAUGGAAUUAUCUUUGUAUCUCAAGACCAGUCUGGUUUGUCAGGUCUGACUUCAUGGAGCGAGCAAGCUAGCUAGCUGACGCAGGAGCCAAAGAAGAAUGAAACUUGGCAUAUCCCACAUUUCAAAAUAAAUUAUUGUUUUUUAAAAUAUUUUUUAUUUAAAAAUAUAUUAAAAUAAUUUAUUUAUUUUUAUUUUUAAAAAGUUAUGUUUAAUAUCAACAUAUUAAAAAAAAUAUAAAGCCAUAAAAAAUUAAUUUAAAAUAAAAAAUCCAAUAACAUUUUUUAAACACAAAACAACCACUUUACAAUCUUGAAUUAUAAAGAAACCAUCAAGGCAAAUUCUACUCUGUCCCAACUUGUAUUUGUGUCGCUAAAUUUUAAUUAUUAAUAGGAAAAUGAAAAUAAAUAAAUAAACAAUAGUGUCAGAGGUUUUUACCACAAGUCUUGUGAUGUGCAUCAAUUACAAAAAAAAAAUUAAAUUGACAACUGAUUUGGCAACCAACCACAUGAUUUCUGACCAUAUGACAUCACAAUUUAAAAAAAAAAAACAAAAAGGAUUUUCUAAAAAAUACAUGUGAUUUUUAUUUGAUAGAAAAUUUAGAAUUGUUUCUGAAUCAACAUAAUCAACCUAAACACUGAAUACACAAGGUAAAAGAAACUCAAACCAAUGAGACAAGUGCUGAUGGCAAGUCCCAAGGAACAUUCUAGAACCGCAUAUGUGCCCGUGACGAAUGUGAUAAUCAUUGUACUCAUGGCAGUCAUGGUAAGCAACAUGGCACGCCGAAAUAAUAUCCUAGGGGCUACCUUAAAUGCCAUUUCAUGCUUUACCCAUUCCGAACUUUGAAUAUACGCAAUCAAAAAGUGGAUAAAGACAGCAGAAAUGGAGAGCACCAAUGAUAUUGCAUCUGAGAUGACAAAUACUAUAAAAGCAGUUUUUUUAGCUAGAAUUGCGGUGCCUUUAUUUGAACCUUGGUCGCUCUUGUAACCGCCAGGUAAGGUGAAUGCUGCUGCAAAUGUUACUGUUGCUAUCAGUGCCGCAACAACUAGAUGAGAUUCUAUUGCUUUACUCAAAGCUUCGUUUUCCUCUUUGUUUUCCUCAUCAUCUCCUUUCAAAAUAAAGGGACCGUGACCAAUCGGUCCAGUGCCAACAUCUUCAAGGUAUUCUAGGGUCUCUUUCUGCAAAUAUAUAUAUAUAGAGAGUAAAAUAUAUUAAGAUGUUAAAGUAAUUUUUUAUUAUUUUCUAAAAUAUUCUUCUAAGUGAAUUUUUUUAAAAUUUUAUUCAUAUUAUCUUGUAUUUAAAUUUUAUUAAUUAAAAUAAAAAUAGUGAGAUUUAAAUUUAUAAUUGGGUGAUCAAUAAGAUUGUAAUACUAUUUUUGAAAAACUAACUCAAUCUAAAAAUUUAAACAAAUAAUCCAUCAUUUUUAGCUAUUUAACAUAUAUCAUAUAUCAACUUCCGAGCUUUUGUUUCCAAAACUAGUUUUUUUGCAAUCAAAUCCUUUUUGUUACUGUAUAUAUUAGCAGGUAACAAAAACUAAUUUGGUUGAAAUUAAACCGCAUGCUUUACAUUAGCCCAAUUAUCCCCAAAAAGAAAACUAAGAUGUGGACUUAAUUUUAUAUACCAUUAAUUCUACAUCAUUUCACUCUAAAAUUAAUUUCCUAGGAGGAGUAAUCCAAUAUAUUAUUUUUUUUUUUACUCUCCUUAAUUGCUUUUAAGAUUAUAUUAAGUUUCUAUUAGAUUUUUCAACUUUAAUUCUCAGAUUUUUUAAAUUUUAAUUAAUUGUAUUUUUUUUUCAUUCAUUUGUACUACUUUAUAAAAAAGUUACAUGCGAUUUAUAUGCAUAAUCUGUUAUUGUAGAUGAAAAACUUAACAAAAUAAAUAAAAUGACUUCAUUUCAAAUAAAAAAAGAUUAUUAAGUUAUUCAGAUUAUUUUAUUUUUAUAUUUAGUACUGCGAUAUAAUAGAGUGAAACUGAACAAAAGUUAUGUGGACUCAUUUGGUGGACCUGAUUAAGAUGCAGAGCUUAAGAGAAUCUUAGAUGCAAAGUAAAACCAGUUUGCUGUGAUUUAAUUGAUUCAUUAAUGGAUAUAUAUUGUGAAUCACAACAGUUAAUUCUUAGAGGAUUGAUUACCUGUAUCUCUCCAAAAUUUCCUAAAUAAAUGUCCUUGACGCUUAGCUUUCGCAAUUUAUUUAGGAAAUUGCGAUAUAAAUUUCCUAAAUAAAUCGUUCCAAGUCUUGCAAGCUCUGGAAUCUCCAGACAUUUUUUGAAUGCUUCUAUAUCUUUACUGGCCACAGCAUAGUGAAGGGCAUUCCAACCUCUGUUAUCAACUAGCUCACAACAAGCUGGGCAUCCAGAAACAAUCUCUUUCAUUACGUCUACACGUCCUCGAAUGGCAGCAAUGUGAAGAGCUGUUCUCUUCUUCUCUGUUUCAGCAAUGUAGGCCGCGGACGCAUCAUAUUCUAGUAAUACUUUCACUUUACGAGCACCAGACCAGUCAUAAAAGGAAGCGUAGUGAAGUGGUGACCAGCCGUUCUCAUCGGUUGUUUUCGUCAACGAUUUUUCUUUUUCUAACAAUUUUCUUGCUGUCUCUGAAACACCAACAAAACAAGGAAUAAAAGUUAUCCUACAUGAACAACAGUGAUUUCACUUAUGCCCCGUUUAAUAAUUUCUUUUAGAAAACUGGUUUCUUGAAAAAUAAUUUUCUAGAUAAUGAAUUAUUUUUCAAUGUUUUAUAGCAUCAUGAAAAAUAAAUUGAAAAAUAUUUUUCAAUAUUUAGCUAUGUCAUAGAAAAUAAAUUAUAAAAAAAAUUAUUAAUAUUUUUUUUCAAGUUUAUUAAAAUAAUGAAGAGCUAAUCUUACAAAUUAAAAAGUUGAAUAAAAAUAAAAUUGAAAAAAAAUCUAAUAUCAUAAAUGAUCUCAGAUAAAAUAAAUAACAAUCAAGAUAAUGAAGAUAACAUCUAACUGAUAAAAAAGUUCAAAAAUAAUCAAAUUAAAAAAAAUUAUAAUUUCAUAAAUUAUUUCAAAUAAAAUAAAUAACAAUAAAAAAUAAGGACUAAAUCUUAUAAAUAAAAAAAUUCAAUUAAUAAUUUCAGAAAAAUAAAUAACAAUAAUAAAAAUAAGGGUCAAAGUUAAUAUAAAAAUAAAAUUAAAUCAAAUUUUAAGAUGAAAUUUGAAAAAAAAAAAAAAAAAUCUCCAGACUUGAGCGCAAAAUCUUACCAUAAUAUCCCAUCAUGCUUGCCGCAUGUAGAGCAGUUCUACCAUUAGGGCCGCCAUAGUCCACUGAAAUGCAAUUAGUUAGGAUUUCAUCAAUCACCUUUUGUUGACCCCAACUGUAAGAAGCAGCAAUAUAAAGUGGAGUUUCUCCAUGAACAUUGGCGGAAUAUGAAAACUCAGGGUCCUCUUUUGUCAAUAUUUCCACCACAUGGCUCCGCCUAUUUCGAGCUGCCACGUGCAACGCUGUAUCUUGCUCUUCAUUGGUCAUCCUCAACAUCUUUUUUGCUUCUGUUACUCCGCUCUCUGAAUCAGUAGGUAGAGCUUUGGCACGGUCAAUGAGGACCUUUACCACAUUGGAAUGACCAUAUGCUGCUGCCAAAUGGAGUGGGAUUUCACCUUUCUUAUUGGCUUGGAAUAACAGUGGUGGACACAUUUCAAGAAUUUUAUCAACAAAAUCAAAGAGUUUGAUUGAGGAUUCCGGUUCCCUACUUUGGUUUCCUAAGUAGACAUGAAGAAUGGUGUUCUCGUCUGGAGUCAAUAACUGAUCAAGGCAGGUUUGAUAUUUCUCAAAGGGAUCGUUAUCGCCUGCUGCUGCAGCUUUGAACAAGACAGUAUCCAUAUAGGUCGUCAUACUAUUUUGUAGCUUAGAGAAACUCACUAAAUGAAAAGUAAACAAAUGAAGGGGAGGUGAAAUUAACCACUGUGGCUCAAAGGCAAGAGGUUCCACUCCUCAACUCAUCACAAGCUGCUGAUUUCUUCGGUAUUUAAAGGAAGAAAAAGCGUUAGGAACCACAAAUUACAUUUAUUUUGUAGCUUAGAGAAACUAACUAAAUGAA
rnacentral:lncRNA from 1 species